GUGAGUUUAAAACUCAGUGAGAUCAGUGAGUGGAUAGUAGGUUUGAAAAUUAAAUCUUACUUUAAAAGAAAUAAUCAUAUCAUUUCCAAAUACGGUUUCAUUAAACCAUAAGCGAGAAAUCAGAAAUAAAUCAUUAAACAUUUAAAUCAGAUUACCAACCAUAGAAAUCAUAUCACCAAAUCAUAUAGGAUUCACAAAUCUGAAAAUCAUCAUAAAACAAGUACCCAGGGAAAUAAUCUCGUCAUAUCCGGACCUCAACGGACGGGCAAUGACGUACUAUCUGGGUAACGUCACGCCCCGGAGCUACACAGAUAGACAGGGAAAUACCAUCUCAUAUCNNNNNNNNNNNNNNNNNNNNNNNNNNNNNNNNNNNNNNNNNNNNNNNNNNNNNNNNNNNNNNNNNNNNNNNNNNNNNNNNNNNNNNNNNNNNNNNNNNNNNNNNNNNNNNNNNNNNNNNNNNNNNNNNNNNNNNNNNNNNNNNNNNNNNNNNNNNNNNNNNNNNNNNNNNNNNNNNNNNNNNNNNNNNNNNNNNNNNNNNNNNNNNNNNNNNNNNNNNNNNNNNNNNNNNNNNNNNNNNNNNNNNNNNNNNNNNNCCAAAGCCUCUAUGUGUGUUUAGACGGGCCCCAAAGGCCUCUCAUCUCAUAUCAUUUAUAUCACUAUAUCUGGAGGGAAGGGUACUGUUUAAUGAUUUUAAAAACAAUCAUAAUACUCAUAUUCUCAUACCUCUUAACCAUAUUUUAAAUCAUACCACACAUUUUAAUAUAAUCUCAACACGUGAAUAAAAUCCAUUUCGAGGGAAUCACAUUAAAUCCAAUUCGAGAAAAAUCGCAUUAAACCCAUUUCGAGAAAUCAUUAAAUCAAAACAUUUAAAAUGCUUAUUCCGCAAACAUGCUUACUAUCAUCGCUAACUAUAAAAAUAAGUUUUAUAUAUUCCACUCACAGUGAUGGUGUUCAGGGUCGGUUAUCGUCCAUGUCCGCAGUCCGGUUCUCGCUCGCGGAUCCUCCUAAAUCAAGGAAACGACAUAAUUAUUUUCCAUAAAUCGGAAUUCCGACUCAAUAUAUGCCAUAAACUCGAAACGAACAUUUAUCCAUAAUUUACAACUCCCGUGUCGAUAAAAUUACUAAAAUGCCCUUGCCGGUGAACGGUCGCCGGAAAUUGGUCAACGACGAUGGGAAGCUUAGGUCUGCUAGUUCAGACCUCGGUGAGUCCAAUGGUGGUGGCUGUGAGUCCCCACGCGCGGUACCGACGGCGGAUCGAGCUUCCCAAGCCGUGAGCUUCCAAGUGGCUAUUCGUCGGCAAUCCGGCCGUUUCAGAUGACGAGGUUGGUCGGAAAAUGAUUCUGGUGACGUGAGGAGUAGAAACCAGCUAGAGGUGUGCCCAAACUCUGGCAAAAUCGACGGCGGCGAAAACGGGUCUUGGCCGCGACUUUUCAAGCUCAAACGCCGGCGUUCCAGUCGGUUUCCGGCGACGAGGAUGGCAGGGUUAUGAUGGCCGGCUUCCAAGCUUCAGAUUGGUACCAAGCUCGGCUGGUGAGGUGGCCGGAAUCGUGAAAUCCGUCCGGGUCAAAGUCGCGGGUCGGGUCGGGUUUCCGGGUAAAAAAUCGGGUCAACUCUCUUUCUCUGUGUUACACGUGCAUGUGUUUUCCUUUGUUUCCAACUUAUUCCUUUGCUUAUAAACUCCUUAACCGCCUCAUGCCAUUUUACAACCACAGGUGUUACAGUACCACCCUUAAACAAUGCAAAUUUGCUUUGACUCAAAUAAGGUACCACCCUAAUAUAGAUACAAGAUUUUUCCUACCUUUAGAUACAUGAUAAACAUCAAUAUGAGUUAAAGUUUUUCCACAAGUGAACUCUAGUUGCACAUUCCCUCUAAUUGUUGCAAUGGAGGAAUUUCCCAUCUAAAGAACACUUCAAUCAUCCAUUGCUUUGUAAGAUGUGAAAAGCCUACGAUUCUUGUACACAUACUUGAUUGCACCGGAAUCUAUUCACCAUGCAUUAUCAUGUUCGAGAAUAUUAAUCUAAGAUAUUACGGCCAUAAAUUUUGUCCACAAAAUUUGUGUUCGAGCACUUUUUUUCUUUCUUAAGAAGCUGACAGUCAUUUUUAAAGUGGCUAGGCUUUUCACAUUGGUCACAUGUACACCUUUCUUUUUUAUUUUGUUGGUUUGAUUCUAUUUGGAAUCAAAUUUUUGCUUUUGGUUAUUAAUGCGGGUAUUAGACUGCUUAAGCUCCUUCUCCUCCUCCACAACAUUAAUUUCAGAGGACAUAGCAGUCUGUUCCUCAAGACUAUUAAGUUUAAGUUUCUAUUCAAUAUGAAGACUUUGCCAAGCCUUCCAGGCUAACUUCCUCUUUGUUAUAUUUAAGACUUUUUUCAUAGUCUUUUCAAGAGGGGGGAAGUUUAUCAAUAAUUGAAGAAAUAAUAAUAAACUUAUUACUUUUCAUGUUGUGUUGGUUGAAUUGAUCAAGAAUGCAAAAAUCUCAUUAUAUUGUUCAAUCACAAGUCUAUUAUCAAUCUUUUUAAAACUAAAAAAAUUAGAAGUCAAGAAUUUCUUACUUGUGGUGUCUUCCAUCAUGUACUAAGACUCCAAUAAGUCUUAUAUUUCUUUUGCUGUGGAUUUUGUUGUGGUACUUAUGGAAACAAAGUACUAGACACGGCAUUGUAAAUGUGUCUUAUGCACACGUAGGCAUCUUGCUUCCACUUUUGCCACACUCGAGUUUCUCAUUCUCACGUUCUUCAGGCUUUGAUAUUGUAAGAGCAUUAACAACAUUGAGGCUUGUCAACAAGAAAUGUAAUAUUUUUUGCCAACGUAUAAAAGUUGUGACCAUAAAUAUUUAUUUAUUAUUGAUUUUGAUGAUAACAAACUUGAUUAAGAUUGAUUAAUCUCUUAAAAGCUCAAAAUAAUUUUCAUAUACUUUUAAAUCAUCACUCUCACUUUAUAUUCUAUGGAAAUAUUUUUUGUUAUUCUCAUGUUAAUGGUUUCAAUUGAAAAAGCUUUGAGAAUUUUGAUAAUAACAAAUAUUGUUUCAAAUCCUGUAAAUGGAUCUAUUUGAUAAGUUUUAUAAAGUGUUGGGUCAUAGUAUAAUUUUAUGAAGUUUUGGGGUCAAACUAUUAUUUUACAAAAUAGUUCAUUUUAGCAGUUACUGUAGAAAACGGCGAUCCGACAUCUUGAUAAAGGCUCGCCGACAUCGAACAGAACUGAAGAUUAGCCUCUGGACACUAACAACAAUCCGACAACUUGAUAACGGCUAACCGACAUUGCACAGAAUUGAGGAUUAGUCUCUGGACACUAACGGUGAUCCCACAUCUAGAUAACGACAAUCCGACAGUGUGCAGAAAGUCAAUAACAGCUAGUUUUCAGCUCCAGCAAUAAAUAAGCUCAAUCAAAUUCAAACUAAAACGAUUGCAACAAUUAUUAUUGAGCAAAGUUAUGAGCAUACAACAUUCAUUGAGCCUUAAAUUCUUGUAUUCAUCUCAUUUACUCACACUUUGAAUCUUCAUUUGUAAUCAAACACAUAGUGUGAGAGAAAUUUAUUUUGUAACAUUCUUUAAAAUCAAAUUGAGUGAUUGUAAGUGUUGAGAUACACUUGGGUUAAGAGAUUAGGGAUAAUCUCUUGUUGUAAAGGUUUAUUGACACCUUAAAAGUCAAGUGUAAGCAUUUGAAGCCUUGGAGGCUUGCUUAGUAGAAUCCUCAAGCCCGAAAAGCUUGGAGGCAUGGACGUGGGAGAGGUUGGCCGAACCACGUAAAAAUCCUCAUGUUUGAAUCUCUCUUACCUUAUCUUUUUAUAUUGUGAUAAAUUUAUUUGUUAUUGCUUUAAAUUCGUUUUAUAUUUGCAUUGAGUUUUGCUUUAAAAAUUGUAUAAUUUUUAGAAUCUCAAUUCACCCCUCCUCUUGGGUUGCAUAACUAGAAUUUCAUUUGGUAUCAGAGCCUUGUGCUUUUGUUAGGACGUAAUCGUCUAGAGUAAAAGAUCAAUGGCAACCCUAAAUGACUCAACCUUUAGAGAAGGACAAUCUACAACUAGACCACCGUUCUUUGACGGUAAUGACUAUGCAUAUUGGAAAACUAGGAUGAGAAUCUAUUUGCAAGUUUUAGAUUAUGAAAUUUGGGAAGUUGUUUAUGAUGGUCCAUUUAUGCCUAUGUUUAAAAAUGAAGAAGGAGAUGAUAUUCCUAAACCAUCAAGUCAAUGGAGUGAGUUAGAAAAGAGAAAGAUGUCCUUAAACUCCAAGGCAAUGAAUGCCUUGUUUUGUGCUCUUGAUAAGAAAGAAUUCCAUAGAGUAUCUAGCUGUGAAAGUGCACAAGAAAUAUGAAAUAAACUUGAAGUUGUCUAUAAAGGGACAAAUCAAGUUAAAGAGUCUAAAAUUAGUAGAUACACUCGUCAAUAUGAAUUGUUCCAAAUGGAAUAAAAUGAAAAUGUGUAUUCUAUGUAUAUUAGAUUUACGGACAUAGUAAACACCCUAGGAACUUUGGGAAAAACUUUCUCAAAUAGUGAGAAAGUAAAGAAAAUCAUUAGGUCACUUCCUAAGGAAUGGAGAUUUAAAAGGACUGCUAUUUAAGAGGUCAAAAAUUUAAAUACUUUACCUCUUGAUGAUUUAAUUAGCUCUCUUAUUUCAUAUGAACAAGACUUAGCAGCUGAAAAAAGGGAUGAGGAGAAGAAGAAAAGUAUUGUUCUCAAAGCUUCAAAAUUUAAGAGUGAUGAGGAAAGUGAACCGGAUGAUGAGGAGUAGGCCAUGCUAGCAAGGAGGUUUAGAAAAUUCUUUAAGAAAACCGGUGAGCGAAGAAGAUUUAGAAACUUCAAGAAUCAAAAGGAGAAGAAAAAGGCAAUCAUAUGCUAUGAGUGCAAAAAGUUCGGCCAUAUGAGAUCAGAAUGCCCACUUCUCAACAAACUCAAGAAGAAAGUCAUGGUUGCUACUUGGGAUGAUAGCGAUGAAGAUUCAAGUGAUGAAGAUGAAUUGCAUGAAGCAUCAAACCUAACACUUAUGACAUAAGAGAUGAUGAUGAUCUCAAUAAGGUAAGUGAUCCUACCUAUGAUGAAUUGUAUGAUGCUUUUAAAGAAUUACAUGAAGAGUUGAUGAAAAUUAGUAAAAAGAAUGCAUGCCUUAAAAAGAAAAUACUAGAACUUACAAAUGAAAGGGAUGCCCUAGAAAAAUGCAAUAAUGAGAAGAUAAAAGAAUUAGAAUUAGAGAAUAAAAUGUUGCAUGAUAAAACUUUAGCUCUUAAAGGUAAACAAAGCACUUAUGAACAUGAAAAGUCACAUGUGGAUGAGUUAAUGAAAGAGAAUGAAGUGCUUAAGAAGAAAAAUAAUGAACUAAAUGAAAUUGUGCUAAAGUUUACAAAUGGACAAAAGAUGUUGGAAAAUAUGCUCAAUUCACAAAAAUGUGUGUUUGAUAAAAGAGGUAUUGGCUAUAAGCCAAACUUGAAACAAAAAUAUUAUAAGAACUACUUUGUGAAAAGUACCUCUAUUAACAAUCAAAUUGUAUGUCAUCAUUAUAAUCAAGAUGGACACAUGAAAAAUAUAUGUCCAGUAAAAAGAAAUGCAUAUUAUGGUAUGAAAUGUAUUUGGGUUCCAAAAGGAACCAUUGCUAACAUAUAAGAACCUAAGAAGUUUUGGGUACCUAAAACUUAGAAACUUUUUCUGCAGGGAUCAAAGAAAAGGAAAAAUAAGUGGUUCUUGGAUAGUGGUUGCUCAAGGCACAUGACCAGAAACUAUGCAUGGUUUUCAAGUUUCACCAAAAUUGAAAAUGGUGGAGAUGUUUCUUUUGGAGAUAACUCAAAGGGAAAGAUUCUCGGAGUUGGAAAUGUCAGUAAAAUUUCGUCAACUUUAAUUGAAAAUGUAUGUUUAGUUGAAAACUUAAAACACAAUUUGAUUAGUAUUAGUCAAUUGUGUGACAAAGGUUAUAAAGUUGUUUUUGAUAAAUCUAAAUGUAUUAUUGAGAAUGCAUGUGAUAACAAGAUUUUAUUUAUUGGAAAUAGAUGCGGUAAUGUUUAUACCAUUGACAUAGAAUGUGCAUCCACUAAUGAUAAAUGUUUUUCGGCUGUGCAUGAUGAUAGUUGGUUAUGGCAUAGAAGACUAGGACAUGCAAGCAUGGAUUUAAUUUCAAAGAUUUCCAAAAAUGAUUUAGUUAAAGGUCUUCCAAAAAUUGGUUUUCAAGAAGAUAAAAUUUGUGAAGCAUGUCAAUUUGGUAAACAAAUCAAAACCUCUUUUAAAAGCAAAAAUCAUAUUUCUAGUUCAAAACUGCUUCAAUUACUUCAUAUAGAUUUAUUUGGACCUUUAAGGUAUGCUAGCUUGAAUGGAAAAUAUUACGCUUUUAUAAUUGUUGAUGAUUUUUCAAGAUACACUUGGUUAUUAUUCUUAACUAAUAAGGAUAAUGCUCUUGAUGCUUUUAAAGUACUUUGUAAGAAAAUUCAAAAUGAAAAAAAGGGUAUGGUAUUGCAUGCAUUAGAAGUGAUCAUGGAGAAGAGUUUGAAAACUAUGCAUUUGAAACCUUUUGUAAUAAUCUAGGCAUUGUGCAUCAAUUUUCAUCACCUAGAACUCCACAACAAAAUGGAGUUGUUGAGAGAAAAAAUAGGUCAAUUCAAGAAAUGGCUAGGAUUAUGUUGAAUGAAAAUUCCUUGCCUAAGUAUUUUUGGGCCGAGGCCGUCAACACCGCUUGUUAUGUUUUAAAUCGUGUGUUGAUUAGACCUAAUCUUAAUAAAACUCCAUAUGAGCUUUGGAAAGAUAGAAAACCCAAUAUUGGUUAUUUCAAAGUUUUUGGAUGCAAAUGUUUUAUUUUGAACACAAGAGAUAAUCUUGGCAAAUUUGAUUCAAAAUCCGAUGUUGGUAUUUUUCUUGAAUAUUUAAACUCAAGCAAAGCUUAUAGAGUUUAUAACAAAAGAACUCUAGUUGUAGAAGAAUCGAUGCAUGUUACAUUUGAUGAAUCUAACCCCUCUUCUACGGAGAAAGUUGUUGUUGAUAAUGAUGCAGAUGAAGACUUACAAAAAGAGUCAUCAAAAGAUAACCAAAAUGAUGCAUCUCAUGGGAAUCAAGAUGAGCAACAUGAAAAAAAAAAUGUAGAGCAAAAUGAAGGUACUUCUCAAUCACUCCCCAAAGAGUGGAGGUAUGUUUCUUCUCACCCUAAGGAUAUAAUUUUAGGAGAUCCCUCACGAGAUGUUACAACUAGAUCAUCACUUAGGAAUACCUGUGAGCAUAAUGCAUUUAUUUCUCAAAUUGAACUCAAAUCCUUUGAGGAUGCGGAAAACGAUAAAUCUUGGAUUAUGGUAAUACAAGAGGAGUUAAAUCAAUUUGAAAGAAACAAUGUGUGGGAAUUAGAUCCUAAACCGGAACAUUAAUCUGUCAUAGGUAUUAAAUGGGUAUUUAGAAAUAAGAUGGAUGAAUCCGGUGUGGUUGUAAGGAAUAAAGCUAGAUUAGUGGCUCAAUGUUACAACCAAGAAGAAGGAAUUAAUUUUGAUGAAACAUUUGCACCCGUAGCUAGAUUAGAAUCAAUUAGAAUGUUGUUGGCAUUUGCAUGUUAUAAAGAUUUCAUUUUAUUUCAAAUGGAUGUGAAAAGUGCUUUCUUAAAUGGUUAUAUUAUGGAAGAAGUGUAUGUAAAACAACCCCCUGAUUUUGAAAAUGAAAAAUUUCCAAAUCAUGUUUAUAAGUUGUUUAAAGCCUUGCAUGGAUUAAAACAAGCACCCAGAGCAUGGUAUGAUAGGCUUAAAAAUUUCUUAUUAGAAAAUAAUUUUUCUAUGGGUAAAGCGGAUACUACUCUCUUUGUCAAACAUAAGAACAAAGACAUACUUGCUGUUCAAAUUUAUGUGGAUGAUAUUAUUUUUUAUUCUACUAAUGAAUUGUUGUGUAAAGAAUUUUCAUCUUGUAUGAGUAAUGAAUUUGAAAUGAGUAUGAUGGGAGAGUUGAAGUACUUCCUUGGGCUGCAAAUAAAACAAAAUGAGAAAGGAAUAUUCAUAAAUCAAGCCAAGUAUGUAAGAGAUCUACUCAAACGAUUCGACAUUGAUGACUGAAAGACAAAAAAUACUCCGAUGAGCACAACAACCAAGCUUGACAAAGAUGAAAAAGGCAAAGAAGUAGAUAUCAAAAUGUAUCGAGGUAUGAUCGGAUCUUUACUUUAUUUAACUGCAAGUAAACUCGAUAUCAUGUUUAGUGUACGUUUGUGCGCAAGAUUUCAAUCAUGUCCCAAGGAAUCCCAUUUGCUUGCUGUUAAAAGAAUUUUUCGUUAUUUGAGUGGAACCAUAGAUAUUGGCCUUUGGUAUCCUAGAGGAACUCAUAUAGAUUUAACUUGUUAUUCGGAUGCCUAUUUUGCCGGUUACAAAGUCGAUAGGAAAAGUACUAGUGGAACUUGCCAUUUUCUAGGUCAUUCACUUGUUUCAUGGUUUAACAAGAAACAAAUUCGGUUGUACUCUCAACAACUGAGGCAGAAUAUAUCACCGCCGGGAGUUGUUGUGCACAAGCACUUUGGAUGAACUUAGAGAUUGUGGCAUUAAUCUUGAACAAAUUCCUAUUAAGUGUGAUAAUACUAGUGCUAUAAAUCUUUCAAAGAAUCCAAUUCAACACUCUAGAACCAAGCAUAUAGAAAUUAGACAUCACUUCUUGAGAGAUCAUGUUCAAAAGGGAGAUAUUGCAUUAGAGUUUAUUUAUACGGAAAAACAAUUUGCCAAUAUUUUUACAAAACCUCUUUGCGAAGAUUAAUUUUUAAAAAUUCGGUAUAAACUUGGGAUGAUGAAAUUUUCACAUUAACAUUUCUACUCAUGUUAUUUAGUCUAAUGAAAUUGAUUGAUUGAUUAUUUGAUGAUUUUGCUUUAAGUGUUUGAGCAUGAUUAAUAAGUGAGAUGUUUAUAUUAUUCAUUGAAUGUGUGUAUGAAUUAAUGGUUGAAAUUCUUACAUGUUCAUGAAUUAUGCAUUGAACUGGCACUUAAAACAUUUUGGAUCAAUGAAAUGAUCCUGAAAUGUAUUUAUUUUAGCCAAAUAUUAAAAUAAAUGUGUGAAAUCAUAAGUUGUAGAAAACGGGUAAUCGUUUUUCAAGCAGAAACCUUGCAAGUAUUCUGGACGCUGUCGGUUCAUCGACAUUUCACUAACGGCUCGCCAUUUUCAUGAAAAAUUUUGGGGAGCUCUCUGGACGCUGCUAGUUCGCCGACAUUUCACUAACAGCUCGCCGUUUUCAUGAAAAAAUUUUGGGCAGCUCUCUGGACGCUGUCGGCUCGCCGAUAUCUCUAUAACGGCUCGCCGUUAUCACGCGAUAAGUGAACAAUCUUUUGUCUCCUUCUUCAUUUCGUUCUUGCUCUCUCUCUCUCUCUCUCUCUCUCUCUCUCUCUCUCUCUCAAACCCGUGACUAUACCUGUUUUCCUCUCUCAAAUUCAUCAUUUUUUCUUGUCAUUUUUCGCCAAAUUGAAGUAUUAAAAACCAUCCUUAUCAUCUUUAGACCCUUUUUCACCGAUUAAAACCGGUUUUCACUUCAAAAAUUGAAAAAUCCCAAUUUAAAACCCUAGAACCAGCCGCACUACCUUUGCCAAUAUUGACCCGAAUUUCUUCCAUUUUCAAUCACUUUUCAACUUGUAAUCACUCUCUCGUCUCUCAAACUUCAUUUCUACUGAUUUAAAUUUCUCCAAAAUCAUCAAUGGCAGCAAGAUCACAGUCACAGAGGCGUGCUCGAACCAAGCACACUGCCCCACGACGUUCCAGUCCAGGCCUCCUUCUCAGGACUUCGAGAGCCUCCAUUUUUCCAAUGCUAACUUUGCUCAGCGAUUUCGUGACAAAUUCAUGGGCAAGCCGGUAACUCUCUCAUUUUCUCUUAACAUUGCAGAGUUUUCAGAUAUUUCAAUUUGUGGUAGUAAUAUUACUCACAUGCUUAGUCAUUAGAAUGAAGCUUUAAAUAUAAAAGAACCUGUUUAUGAAAAUCUUGUACGUGUAUUUUAUUCUAAUAUGGAACUCUCCUCUUCCCGACAAGUUGAAAUUUAUACAUCCGUAAGAGGAGUUCGUAUUGCGUUCAAUGAGGCAGAAUUAUGUGGUAUACUUGAAAUUCAUUAUGUUGGCUUAGACAUUUACACCAUUAGGAAAGAGUUUGAAUUUAGUGAUUUCUGUUAUGUGGAUGGCGUACAGAACAUUUGUAGACGUCGGGAUCUUUCCGAUGACCUCUGCUCUUUGCCCUUUAGGUCUCAACUUCUCCUUUUCCAGGUUCGCAUACUUCAUAUCAUUCUCCAACACAUGGUCACCCUUAGACAGGGCCAUACUGAUGAGGUAACUAGGCUUGAUGUUGGUUUAUUAGAUUCCCUCAUCCGUAGACGACAUGUGAGCUUAUCUUACACUAUCCUUUGUCAUAUGAUGUCCACACCUAAAGUGACCAACCGAUCCCUUCCAUAUGGCAGCAUCAUUACUAGGAUUUUGAAAUUCUUUAAAGUACCUAUCACUAAGCCUGUUUAUGUCGAGACCCAAAAGCUCGGUCGAGAGAUUAUGUCUGCGAUCAGAUUUUUUAAGAAGCAUGGGAAGUGGGAAAAGACAACAUCCUCUAAGAAUGAAGACUAAAACGACUCGUCCCGCACUCCCAGGACGAGUCUAUCUAAACUCGUAUAAUCGAAUCGAUAUUAAUUAUGAUAUCUAAGAAUUCUGUAAAAAAUUCGGCAAAAAUCUCCCCUAUAAAUAAAACAUCCCUAAACCUGCAAUUUAAAAAACAAUAUUUCCAAAAUAACUCAAUAUCCAUUCAUCCUUCAUAACCAACUUCUCAAGUCAACAUAUCAAAUAUCACCCAAAUCAUUCUAAUAUUAAAAUAUAAUGGUUAUCCUUAAUUACAAAAUAUAACAAAUAAAUACAAUUCGCAAUAUCCCAAAUAUCAAAAUAUUAAAUCUACGACUCCUAGCACCAUCACGUGGUCACAAUUUUGAAUCUAACUAUCGUUGCUGGGUCGACUGAUGUACCGACAAAUCUCCUGUGGGGGGGAAAAAUAUAAUAAAAACGGGGUGAACAUAAAACUCAAUGAGCUCAGUGAGUGCAUAGUAAUUUUUAAAAAAUAAAUUUAUUUAAAAUGAUUUAAUCUUUCUCAAAUCAAUUUCAUCAAAAUAUCAUAAGAACUUAUAUAAACAUAUUCAAUUCAAAUCAUGCACUGAAAUAACUAUAUUAUAUAAAUUUGCAUAAAAUCAAUGAAAUCAUAAUACUUAUAAUAUCAAUUACUGAAUACUAAAAACUAUCACCAAACAAGUACUCAGGGGAAUAGUCUCAUCAUAUCCGGACCUCGACGGACGGGCAAUCAGGGAACAAUCAUGCCCCGGAGCUACAAUAGAUAGAUGGGGAAAUCUCAUCUCAUAUCUCAUGUAUCUCAACAUCUGUAUCUCUGUAAUCAUUAUACUGCAUGCAUAAGCCCCCAAAAGGCAAAAGCGCCCAAACACACGGCCUAAAGCUUCUAUGUGUGUUCAGACGGGCCCAAAAGGCCUCUAUCUCAUCUCAUAUGUAUCUUUGUAUUCAUCUCGUAUUAUCUGUAUCUCUGUAUCUGGAGGGGAAGGUUACUAUCCAAUGAUUUUCCAAACAACAUUUAUACACAUGUUCAUAAACAUAUAAUCACAUCUAAAAUCUCAUUUUUUUUUAUUCAACAUAUCUCAAAUCUACUCAAUUCUAAUGUCAUGCGUUUACUCCAAAACGAUAAUAAAAUCAUUAAUCAAACUCAUUCUUAAUAACAAUAAAUAUCAACACAUAGAUAAAAAUCAAUUUUCUAGAAAAUCAUUAAAUCGAAGCAUCAAAUACUUAUUUAUCAAAACAUACUGCACUGUAUCAUAAAAUCAGCAUAUACUAUGAAAAUAGGUUUUGUAUAUUCCACUCACAGUGACGAAGUCCAGACUCAGUAUCAACAACGCCCGCUGGUUGAUUCUCGUUCGCGGAUCCUCCUAAUCAAGGAAACGACAUAAUCAUUCUCCGUAAAUUUGAAAUACAACUAAUCUUACAUAAUAAUUCUCGAAACGAAUAUCUAUCAAUAAUAAACUAUUCCCGCAUGCACAAAAUUACCGAAAUACCCCUACAUGCCAAAAUUCAUUAUUUUACCAAAAUUAUCUUCAGAAUCUUCAAUUACUAAAUUGUCUUCAAUUCAGAUCACGAAAUUACCACAAUGUCAGAAAUUACGAAAUUAUCCUUGGCACGUAAAAUCACCAAAAUAUCCUUAACAACUUAAAUUACCGAAUUACCCUCAAAAUCUCAAAUUACCUCGCUGCCCUAACCUAAAAUUACCAAAUUAUCCACUGAUUCCAUAAAUUACAAAUUCACCCUAAAGUUUUAUGAAUUUACCGAAUUGCCCCUGCCAAUCAACGGUGACCGGACUUCAGUCAACGACGACGGGAAGCUUAUGUCUGAUAGUUCAGACCUCGGUGAGUCCAAUGGUGCCGACGGUGAUCUCCCACGCGCGGCGAAAAGCGGUGGAUCGAAGCUCCAAAAUAUGUGAGAUUUUCGAUGGUCGUUUGCAGCAAAGACGAAAUCCCUGGUGGUCGUGGUCAGUCAGAAAGUGAUGAGUGUAAGUUGAGGAACAAGAUCAGAAUGGUGGCGUGCUAAAAAUCCAGCGGGAUUAACGGCGGCAAAAACGGGUCUUGGCCGUAAAUUUUCGAGCUCAAUCGCCGGCUUUUUGGUCGGUUUCCGGUGGUGAGGAUGGCAGGGUUAUGACGGUCGGCUUCCAAGCUUCAGAUUGGUACCAAGCUCGGCCGGUGAGGUAGCCGGAAUCGCGAGAUCCGUCCAGGUCAAGGUCGCGGGUCAGGUGGAAUCCGGGUCAAAAUCAGGUCAACUCUCUCUCUCUCUCUCUCUCUCUCUCACGUGCCCCUCUUUCUUUCCUUUUUUGGAAACCAGCUUCUCCUUUCCAUUUAUAGAAAUUGGCUUUUUUUUUUUGCACUUAAGCUUAAUACAAUUAAGUUUAUAUCGGACCCGUGACGAAAAUAAAAUCCGACUACUCGAGCUUUUAAUCGCGCUCAAUUUAUCUCGAUUUAAUGUUGUGACAAUUAAUAUCGAAGAGGAAAAAUUAAAUCAUACACUUAAUUAGAAAAAAUCAAAGUGCAUAUGUUACAAAGACACUUUUAUUGCUCCAGAGGAUGAUUGCAUGCUAAAUGAUGUCUAUUUCGAGGAUGAGUUACCUGACUUCCGCCUUGGGGCUAGACCGCGUGCCCCUCGCUGAGCAGCAGUAGCAUCCGCAGUAGCUUCCUCUCCGGAUGAUGAGCCAGCCGAGCCAGCCGUCCCUCUUGCAGCAUCUUCUGCUUCCGAGGGCCGCUUUCAGCAGCUCUUCGACAAGGUGGAUACACUCUCCCAGUAGCAGCAGCAGCAGCAGCAGCCUUAAUAUGAUUUUGUGACUUUUCGACGGCAGAUAUUAGAUCAGCAGAGGGAGUUACUUGCUGGACAGCGCCGCAUUCUUGGUCACCUUGGCUAUGUUCCCGAUAGUUCCUCUUCACCGCCCCCAUCUUAAUUUUCUGCCCCUAUGAUUUUCGCACAAACAUUACUCAUUUCAUGUAGUUUGUUGUGGUACUUUUUGUUUUUUUGUUUUUAUUGUGCUUGUGAUGCUUUUAUGAUGUUUUUAUUGGAUAUGUGAAUUUUAUUUAUGUAACGACUCGCCCCGACCUCCACAGGGCGAAUCUUACUGAUAGAUGCUUAAAAAUAAAAUAAUAAUAAUCCUUUUACAAUCCAUAACAAUUAUAUCCUUGAAAAUACAAAUAUAAAAUGCAAACUGCAGUGGAAGAAUUUAAAAUUCAUGUCAAACCAUCUAUUUCCUCCAUUCAAGUCCUUCUCGACGAUCAUCACGAAUCAAUCCUGAUUUACAGAAACUGAAUCACAAUAAACUAUAAUGAGUACCAAACUCAGUAAGUAAACUAGUUUUGAAUGACGUGCCAUGAUAUUCGAAAACAUCAUAAACAAAUCAUCGAAAUCUCAUUCUGUCUUUCUCAAACUUUCACAUUCUCUUUCAAACCACUUACUUGAGCUACCUUCAUUCGAUUAUCGCUUAGUAGGACACUCCCUUAACUUUCAUAACUUUCAUACUCUUUGGGCUUCUCGCCAAUGCGUCCUUCGCCCACUCAUCUCAUAACUAUAUAAACAUCUAGAGUGUCUUCUACUAAGCCAAUAACGAAUUCAAGCAUCCAAGCUAAAACUGUAAAACAAUCUUUCUUUCUACAAAUUCCAUUUGGCUAAAAUUCACUUUCUCAUUUUAUAGAAAACAUAAUGCAUUUCGUGCUCAUGCCAAUGAAAUAUUCACACAUACGUAUGCCCAUGUCCAUAAACACACAUAACAACACAUCGUAUAAACACAUGGAUAGAACAUAUAAAUCAAUAUCCGUACAUAUAUAAAAAUAGACUUUCCCAACAUGUCAAACAUAUAUAUUGUUUAUUGUGAUUCGUUUGGAAAUCUAGUUUACUUACCUCCUGGUAUCCUCGAUUAACAAAUACACAUCGAUAUCAUCGGCCUAAAAAUAAAAAAAAAAUACUCUCAUAAGAAUAAAAUUAAACCAUAAUCAUAAACUCCAAUAUUCUCAAAUUCCUCAAUAUAAUCACAUUCCAUACUUAACCUCAAAUAAUCUUAAUUUAAAUAAUAAAUCAUCAAAAUACUCAUAAUUCUUGAAAUUAUGAAAUUACCCUCAAAUAUCAAAAUUACCAAAAUGCCCUUGAAUUCAAUAUUACCAAAAUACCCUCAAAUAUCAAAAUUACCAAAUUAACCAAAAUCAUAAAUUACCAACUUUAUCCUUAAUUUCAGCAAUUACUAAAAUACCCACAAAAUCUAAAAUUACAAAAUUGCCCUUAGAUUGUGAAAUUACCGAAAUACCCUUGCCGGUCAACGGUCACCAGAAUUCAACCGACGGCAAUGGGAAGCUCAGAACUGAAAGGUCAAGCCACACUGAGUCCAAUGGUUGCGGUGGUGACCUCUCACGCGCGGUGAUGGCUCCGGAUCGAGCUCCCAAAGUCGUGAAUCCUUCAACGGCCAAUCAACGGCAAAACGACGUCCCCAACGUCAGUGGUUAGUCGAAAAUGGCAGAAGGAACAAAACCCAAGUGAUGGCUUCACCGGAAACCGGCGAAAUCACUGCGAAUCAAGGCGGCGAUUCCACUGAACUUCAAAGCUUCGAUCGGUGGCUUUCCGAUCGAUUUCCGGCGGCAAGGACGGUAUGGAUACGUUGCUCGUCUCUCAAGCUUCAAAUCGGUACCAACCUUGACCGGAACGGUGGCUGGAAAUGGGAGAACCGGUCGGGUCGUGCUCUCGGGUCAGGUUGGAUCCGGUUCAGUUUCUCCUCUUUCUCUCUUAUCUUCUCUCUCUCAAUUUAUAAGGGUGGUCAACAUGGUCAAAAUCGGGUGUGGGGUAUUACAAUUUAUGAUUUCGUUGAUUUUGAUGAUAUGUUUGGUUGUUGUUCAUGAUUAUAUUGAAUUUAUUAGAAUGGAGGUUAGUUGAUAAGUUGGAAUGUAUAUAUGGGGGUGUUUUAAUUAUUUGUAUUGUUGAGAAUAUGUUCAUUUUUAAAGGAAAAUUUUGUCGAAAUGUUUUUAAUAUAGGUAUUGUCUGAACUCCUCUUUUUUACUCUUUUCGCGCUUAUUUUUUUUUUUGUUAUGAAGGAGGAGAUAAUUAACCAAUUCAAUCUCUGGUGGAGCAGAAAGUUAGCCCGAGACGGUGACGGCUAUUGGGAUUUCUUUAAUUUGCAGCAUAAAAGCAUUUACAUUGACAUUGACUCAAGGGUAAAAAUUAAAUAUCUCAUGUAGCAUAAGAAGAAUGCAAAAAAUGCUUGAAUGAGCAUUCUGACUGAAUACACAAAAGCUACUUUCCCUUGAGCAAUUUCGCAACAAAAGAAAAUGUAAAAUUUAGCAUUUAAAUCUAACAUCAAAUGGCUGAUGCCAUCGUUUCCAUCCCUUGGGGAAACUGAAUUCCUCUAUGUGAUAUUACUGUCUGGAGCGGCUCUUAUCUCAGGCAACUUGAGAUAAUUUAGGCGGUUGUUCAGGGCUCCACAUUUAACCUAGGACUCCAUUAUAAAUGAAGGUUUCUAAUUUAAUUCCUAAAUUAUAGUUAUUAAUUAUUGAUUUAUAUUUAUUAUUUAUAACUAUAUUUUCCAUAAACAAACUACUAGAUUCUUACAAAAUCCCCUUUUAACAAUAUAAUUAACAAUUUUAAUCCAUUUAUUUCCUCCAUAUAUUUCAUUUAAAACUCUAUAAAGGCCACAUCUUUUUUAAAUUAUUAUCCAUUAAUAUCUUUUUCCAAUUAAAAAAAAAACACAAAACCUUCAUUGCUUUGGUGAAAAAACUGCUUUCUCUACCUUACUUUUUGCAUAAGGAAGAAAAGAAAAUCAAUUGUUUUACUUUCUUUUGAUCAUUGUUGCUCAAAGCCUCAAUCCAUCAAAGUUAAAUUUCUCAAAUUUUCAGGUUUUAUCUUCCGAUUCUCUUAUUAAUUAAUUGUGUUAUUUAGGUGUUUUUGUUUCUUUGUAAAAAUAUUAUUCUGCUCAUAGGUUGUUUGCUUUUAAUUAUCUAGCAUAAUUGUUUGCAUGAUUACUCUUGUUUCCUUAGAAAAAAAAAUGUCUACUAAAAACUAUGCAUCAUGAUACAAAAAACUUCAUAAAAGGAGAAGAAUAGAAAAGUUAGCUUAAUCUAAAAAUGUGCUAUUGAUAAAAAAUUAUUUAAGAUCAACCAUGUCAUAGGAAAGAUUAAAUAGGUUAACUAUAUUAUCUAUUGAGAAAGAUAUUAGGGGUGUUCACGGAUUGAAUUUUACGGAUUGUACAUCGAUCCAUAUCCGAUCCAUGAUUUUGCGAAUUAUAAUUUUUCAAUCCAAUCCAAUCCACGGAUUGAUAAAAUUCAAUCCAAAUCCAAUCCAUACAUCUGCGGAUCGGAUGCGGAUUUGACUCAAUCCAUAUCCAAUCCAUAUGUCUGCGGAUCGGAUGUGGAUUUAACUCAAUCCAUAUGCAAUCCACCAUUUUCCGCAUUAGUUUUCGAAUUAAAAAUUUUUAGUUCUCUCCAACUAAUGAAAUAAAAAAAUCUAAUAUAAAAAUAAUUUUGCUACCAAUUAAAUUUAAAAUUGAAUAAAAUUUAAAUAAAUUAAUUGUUUAAAUAAAGCUAAAAUAAUACAUUUAAAGUUUCAAAAUAUAACACAUCGAGACUAAUUAUUCAAAUAAAGUUACAAUAAUACGUUCAAAGUUUCAAAAUAUAACACACCAAGCUUAAUUAUUCAAAUAAAGUUACAAUAAUAUGUUAAUAUAACACCGAAAUUAAUUGUUCAAAUAAAUCCACAAUUAAUUGAAAUGGCGAAAUUUUGGAAACCAAACACAGUCUGAUCCCUCACCAGGGCUGUUGCGCCUGUCGAAAAGUAGUGAUUACGAAGCCAUCCACGAUGGGAACCAGGAGAAGCUGUACGGGUGGCGAUCUUGAUGGUUGUGAUAGUGAAAUUGUUUAGUUGGAACCAGUGAAUGUGAAGUGGCUCGAUGGACUUGGGAAAGAAGAUGGCUUGCUCUUGCCAGAAUCGCACGGCCGAUGUCCUUUAAAUCCGUGUCGAGAGUGUAUCCAACCCGUAUUGAGUGUUGCUAGUGUGUGUGACGGCGGGGAAGUUUAGGGUUUUUUGUUUGCAAAUUGUUGGUGACUUUGCGAUAUGUUACUUUGCUUUUGCUAGUGUGUGUGACUUUGCUUUUAUUUUGUUUUACAAUUUUUACAAGUUAUAUUUGUAUAUUUGUAUAUUUGAUUAUUUAAUUAUUUUUCAUUUUAUAUUAUUAUUGGCUAAUGGUUAAGAUAUGUUAUAGUGCUUAGUAACUAUGUAAUGUCACAUUUAUAAUUUUUUAAUUAAAUUUAUAAUAAUUUUUUAAUUAUAUAUAUAUAUAUAUAUAUAUAUAUAUAUAUAUAUAUAUAUAUAUAUUUUGCGGAUUCACGGAUUUCUGCAGAUUUACAGAAGUAAAUCCAUAUCCAAUCCAUCGACUGCGGAUUUUUAAAUUUUCAAUCCAUAUCCAAUCCACGGAUCGGAUUCAGCGGAUCGGACGGAUUGAGCGGAUCGGAUUGGAUUCUGAACACCCCUAAAAGAUAUAUUAGCAAAGUUAGAAUAUAAAAAGUUGAUUAAUAAUUUUGCAUCUCAGAAAGUUAGAGAAAUUUAUUUUAAAUAAAUAAAACUUUAAUAAAAUUAAUACACAUAUUUCACCUCAAAUUUUUUGGAAGGUCUAAUUAAAUCAAUUUAUUUAAGAUGUUAAAUAUGAUUGAGCCGCCCUGAAAUUGUAGUAAGAUAGAAAAGUGAAAUAGACAGAACACUUGGUCAUACGUUAAAGAUGCGACGAAUUUGAGAAUAUUUAUUAUUAUGUGCCAAAUUCCCAAUGAGUGGGAAUUUAAAAAAGUUAGUGCAAAACAUGUGUUCAUCGGUGGAGUAGAAUCAGGGAAAUUAAAGAUGAGCAUAAUUUUUGCAUCCAAAGCCAAAUUCCCCCAGGUAGAGAGUGGGGACUCCUUUGCAUAAAUGUUGAUAAAAGUUUGACUAAGAUCUUAUUAGAAAUUAAUAUAUUAUCUCUCUACAUAUUUCUGCACGAAAUAACAUGCAGAUAUAGUAUUUAGGUUAUUGUUAAUAGUUUUACAAUAAUAAAAAUCAUUUUGUUAGAUCGUAAAAUGUCGUAUUCACACUCUAUUUUGUGCAAAAGUCUGCGAGAAAGGAUUUCAGAUUUGCCUAAUGGUGAAGUUGGGAACUUGCUUUUUUUCUAGGCUAAAAAUAUUUCAAUAAAUUCUGAUCGUGGAGACUAACAAGAGUUUUUUAGUCAUAUAUAUUUAUUUUUUAGGGACUAAUAUGAAUAUUACUAAUUUUAUCGAGAUUAUUAAAAAAACAAUGCGCUAAUUUACCAAUAUGAUUUCUCCAAUCUUUUUUCUUUUCGUCAUUUAUUCCUUUGUGAAUUUGAGUUAAUGCUUGAUAUUAUUUUUGUGCUCAUUUUUUAAAGUAGAAGAUUAUGAAAAAGUGACACACAAAAAGCAUAAAAAUCAUUAUUAGAUCCAAAUUUGUGCUAUUUUCAUACAUAACUUGAGAAUAUUUAUAAUUGCGCAUCACAACUAGUGGAGUAGAAUCAGGGAAAUUAAACAUUCUACAAUCAUUGACGUGCGGGGUGGGGAUAAGCAUAAACUUUUUCUAUGCUGCAUAAAAGAAUGCAAUAACUCCUUUUCUUUCAGUAUUCUCGCAACAAAAGCACAUCUAAUAACUCUUUAGAAUUCUCGUUUUCUUUGCCACAAUGGUUGAAGCAAUCAUUUCCUCUGUCCUAGAGCAGCUGAUCUCUGCUGCGGCUGAUGAAGUGAAGGUGAGGCUUUUUGUGACUGAUGUCCCACAGCAAGUGAUAAAUCUUACCAGAAAUCUUCAAGACAUUCGCGCUGUGCUGGAAGAUCCAGAGAAAAGGCAAAUGCAGCACCACAAAGCUGUUACUUUUUGGCUGGAUCAGCUUAAAGACGCAUCUUACGACAUGGAAGAUGUGCUGGAGGAGUGGACCACUGCAAGGCUCAAAUUGCAGAUUGAGGGCGUUGAUGAUGACAAUGCUCUUGCUCUUGCUCCUUAUAAGAAGAAGGUACGUUCCUUCUUUUGUGCUGUAUCAAACUGCUUUGGUAGUUUCAAACAACUCUGUCUUCGUCAUGACAUUGCUGUCAAGAUUAGGGGAAUCAAUGAAAAGCUAGAUGAUAUUGCCUCCCAAAAAGAUAAGUUUAACUUUAAAUUUGUUGAGAAUGUGAGUAACAAUGUUAAGAAACCAGAGCGAGUGCGAACCACCUCCUUGAUUGAUGAGGGAGGGGUUUGUGGUAGAGUUUAUGAGAAAAAUGAACUCUUAAGCAAGUUGUUGUGUGAAAGUAGUGAAUAAAAUGAAGGCCUUCAUGUCAUCUCACUAGUUGGGUUAGCGGGUAUUGGUAAAACCACUGUUGCACAACUAGCCUAUAAUAAUGAUAAGGUGAAAAGAAAUUUUGAAAAAGUUAUAUGGGUGUGUGUAUCAGACACUUUUGAGGAGAUUAGGGUCGCCAAAGCAAUCAUUGAAGGUUUAGGCGAGUUAGAGUCAGCUUCUAGUUUAAGCGAAUCCCAAUCUCUUAUGAGCCAUAUCCGUAGAUCAAUUGAAGGAAAAAAGUAUUUUCUUGUCCUAGAUGACGUGUGGGAUGGGAAUUACAAAAAAUGGGAACCAUUCUUCCUUUCUCUAAAGAAUGGUCUCCACGGAAGUAAAAUUUUGGUUACCACACGUGAUGUGUCAGUCGCACGUAUGAUGAGAUCAACAAAGUCAGAUAUUAUCUUCAUUAAGCAAUUGAGUGAAGAGGAAUGCUGGUCAUUGCUCAAGCAGUUUACAUUUUUCGGUCGUUCUUUUGAGGAUCGUGAAAAUUUAGAACUAAUCGGGCGCAAAAUUGCACGCAAGUGCGAAGGCCUGCCUCUUGCUGCAAAGGUAAUAGGGAGUCUCUUGCGCUCUAAAAGUACAGUAAAAGAGUGGCAAAUAAUUUUAGAUAGUGAAAUGUGGAAGGUAGAAGGAGUUAGGGAUUGGACUCCUAUGUCGUUGAGUUAUAAUGAUUUGUCGUCCCAUUCUAUGGUAAAACAAUGUUUCUCAUAUUCUUUCAUCUUUCCAAAAGACUACAAUAUGUAUAAAGAGGAACUAAUUUCACUAUGGAUGGCUCAAGGUUACCUUAAUGCAAAAGAAGACGAAGAGAUGGAGAUGAUUGGGGAAUUGUAUUUCAACAUUUUAGCAACGCGCUCUUUCUUUCAAGAGUUUAAGAAAGACGAUGAUGAGGAUGAGAUUAUAAGUUGUAAGAUGCAUCACACAGUACAUGAUUUUGCCCGACGUGUAAGCAGAGAAGAAUGUUCGUGGGCAGAAAUUAAUGGUUAUUUGUCGGUAGAAAUUAAUGGUAACAAAGAAUCAGUCAUAAGCUCUAUUGAUGACAAAGUCCGUCACCUAGGAUUAAAUUUUAAAGGAGGAGCUUCAUUUCCUAUGUCCGUUCUUGGACUUAAUAGAUUGCGUACCCUCUUAAUUUAUGACGAAAGUCCUUCCAAUCCGUCUCUUAAUAGUAGCAUCCUUCCGGAGUUAUUUAGUAAAUUGGCAUGUUUAAGGCCAUUAGUUAUAAGGCAAUCGUUCUCACUUUUUCGUCCUAGCCCAAAUUUCAUUAGAGAAAUUCCAGGAAAUGUUGGAAAAUUGAUACAUUUAAAAUAUCUUAAGUUGUCUAGACUACGUAUAAGGAGACUAUCUGAGACUUUGUGUGAAUUAUAUAAUUUACAAAAGCUAGAUAUUAGGUGGUGCCGAAAUCUUAGAAAAUUGCCUGGGGGGAUUGGGAAGUUAAUGAACAUGAGGAGUUUACUGAAUUUAGGCACUGUUUCGUUGAAAUACAUGCCAGUAGGGAUUUCCAAAUUAACCAAUCUUCGAACAUCGGAAAAGUUUAUGGUGGCUGGAGGUGCUGGUGAUAGCAGUAGGUGUAGCCUUAAAUCUCUGAAAAAUCUUCAACUCCUUCGAGAAUGUGGAAUAGAAGGGCUAAGUAAUAUGUCACAUAUAGAUGAGGCCAAGAGAUUAGAACUCGACAAUAAGAAAAACCUCCUUCGUUUUCGUCUUGUGUUUGGUGAAGUUGUAGGUGGGGAAGGUGAAGAAAGGAGGAGGAAGAAUGAGAAAGAUGAACAACUUCUUGAAGCCUUACAACCGCCUUUGAAUGUACGGGAAUUAGAAAUUUUGUUAUACGGAGGCAACAUUUUUCCCCAAUGGUUGACUUCACUAACCAAUCUAAGGAAUUUACAUCUUCACGGGUGUCUUAACUGUGAGCAUUUGCCUCCUUUGGGAAAAUUGCCUCUGGAAAAGCUCGAACUAUGCAGCUUGAAAAGUGUAAAAAGAGUGGGUAAUGAGUUUUUGGGAAUAGAAGAACUAUGCAACUUGAAAAGUGUAAAAAGAGUGGGUAAUGAGUUUUUGGGAAUAGAAGAAAGUAGUGAGGAUGGCCCAUCUUCAUCUUCAUCGUCAUCAUUGGUUAUUGCCUUCCCCAAAUUGAAAUCACUCGAAAUUACAGACAAGAAUGCAUUGGAAGAGUGGGAUUACAGGAUUACAAGAAAGGAAAACAUUUCCAUCAUGCCAUGUCUCUCUGUCUUGCGGGUUUAUCUUUGCCCCAAAUUAAAGGUGCUGCCGGAUUACCUUCUUCAAACGACGAAAGUAGUGAGGAUGGCCCAUCUUCAUCUUCAUCGUCAUCAUUGGUUAUUGCUUUCCCCAAAUUGAAAUCACUCGAAAUUACAGACAUGAAUGCAUUGGAAGAGUGGGAUUACAGGAUUACAAGAAAGGAAAACAUUUCCAUCAUGCCAUGUCUCUCUGUCUUGUGGGUUUAUCUUUGCCCCAAAUUAAAGGUGCUGCCGGAUUACCUUCUUCAAACGACGACACUGCAGAAAUUGAGGAUCCUUCAGUGUCCAAGUGUGGAAGAACUGCCCAUUCUAGAAGACCACAUCUUUCUUCCAUGUCUUUCUUCCUUGCGAAUUGAGUAUUGCCCCAAAUUAAAGGUGCUGCCGGAUUACCUUCUUCAAACAACCACGCUGAAGGAAUUAAGGAUGGAGGGAUCUCCUCUUCUGCAAAAACGUUAUGGAGAGGGGAAAGGAGAAGACUAGCAGAAGAUAUCUCACAUUCCCCACAUCAUGCGGUCAACAUAAGAUAUCACUCGCCGGUAAUUUCUCCUCCUCCUCUGAUUUACUCUGUUGUUGCUUGCAAUGAAAUUAAUAAAAAAAAUUAUAUUUCGAAUUAAAAUUCUAUAAUUAUAUGCAAUGUUUUCUACUAUUUUGAUUUGCUUAUUGAAUUUAACUAGUUACUUCAACCAUUAAUUUAAUGGGUCAUUCUAUGAUCCUGUUAUAAAAAUUAUAGAAUCAAUCAUGGUAUAAAUAUGUAUGGUUAAAUUUAAUCAAUAGUUCAUAAAGUUACAAGUUAGUUAGGAUAAGUUAGAAUAAUACUUUGAUUUGAGUUAUUUAAAAUUUAAACUUCCUAACUAUUAAAUCUGUUAAACUUGUUUUCUAAAGAUUAAAUAAAAAAAAAAAAACAGGUGUAGUAUGAUUAAAUUUCUAUAUUUUCUUUUAAAAAAUAUGUAGUCUUUGUAAAAUUUCAAACAACAUCAUAGAAAAUCCUAAUGUAAUUUAUUUUUUAAUGUACGAAAAUUUGUUAUGUGUAACUUCCUGAGAGACAAAAUCUCUGUGAUAUAUUUGCAGUAACGUUGAAAACUAAAUUAUCAAUUUUAUCUUGUAUAAUGAUAAUCUUACUUUUUUAUAUGUAAUUUAUGUAACAUUAAUUCUUUAAAGUAACCGUGUAAUUGUUUUUACAACAUUAGCCCACUUUGUUUUAUUUCGUACGAGUGUAAUUAUGUUCACCAGUUAUUCGAGGAAAUGUCGGAACUACAUUUGGUUUUAAUAAUGCAGACAAGAGAGCAGGACUAUGAAAAUGAAAAAUUUAGCGAAAGGAUUGCUAAAAUGUUCUGCUGGUAAUUCUCUUGCUUUGUUUUAUAAAAUUUCAUUUCCAUCUUCAUCUAUUGAUAUCUUGUUGUGUAUAAACAAGAACAGAGAAGUAAAGAUAUAUCAAAAUUUACUAUUACGAUGAUGUUAAAGCAAGCUCAAUGUCACGGGAUCAGUGUUUUGCGUAGCUAACCCGUGUGGCACUUAGACAACUUUGCUGAAUGCUGCUACGUAAGCCUUGAGAUUCUUGAACUAGAGAAGAGAGCAAUGGAGCCGAAUAAGAGAAAUUGUAUUGCACAAAAGAGAGAUUACAAGAAUGCUUGAGUUGCUUGCUCAAUGCUUGUUGUGUGUACAAAUGCCUAUUGCCAUCCCAUAUUUAUAGUGGAGGCUUGCCAAGCUCUAGAGAUUCUAGAGAAAUCUACCAACUAUCUAGAAUUUACAUGUGCUGGAAAUGCAUAGAGAAUUCUAGAGUAUUUACAAGCUCAAUGUGCUAGAGUUGCCUAGAACUUUCCGAAAUUGGGCCAAGCUAGCACUCUUGGCCUUAUGUUGGGCUCUUGGUGAGCAAAUUGGGCUAGCGAAUUGGGCGGUCCGCAACAUCCUCCCCCACCUAAGCUCGCGGCGUCCUCGUCGCGAUCUCGUGCUUGAAAUUCUUGAUGUGUUCAACGAAUUGCCACAAUCCUCUUCACGUUCCCAAGUGGCUUCGCUUUCGAGGAGGUUUUUCCACUUUACCAAGUACUCGCUAUGUGCUGGCACGCCCCUCCUCGAAACCACGCGGUCCGCAAUGAUGUAGUCCACAUCUUUGUCGAACGCGGUGACAACAGCGGUUGGCGCGCGCCUCGAUUCUCCACGACUUGGGUCUCCCAUGUCUUCGUGAUAUGGCUUGAGAAGGCUCACAUGGAAGACCAGAUGGAUCUUGAGUCUUGGUGGAAGUUGGAGUUGAUACGAGACGUUGCCCAUACGUCGAACAACUCGGAAGGGUCCCUCAUAGCGCCUCACUAACCCCUUGUGGACUUUGUGCAAUGUCUUGAAUUGUUGGGGUAGGAGCUUGAUCAUGACUUGAUCACCUUCCUUGUACUCAACAUGCCGUCUCCUUGUAUCCGCCCAUUUCUUCAUUUUCCUCGCGGCUUUGUCGAGGUAGGCUCGCUUGAUAUUUCCUUCCUCAUGCCAUUCGCGGGCGAGCUUGUGGACUUUUUCCUCCGUAAGUCGAGGCUAUGGCGUUGGGGGUCAUGGGCUGGAAUCCCAUGAUGAUCUCGAACAGACUCUUGCCCGUAGCCUCACUUCGCUGCAAGUUAUAAGAAAAUUGGGCAAUGUCGAGUAGUUUCGCCCAAUCCCGCUGAUGAGCGCUCACAUAAUGCCUCAAGUACAUCUCGAGGAGGCCAUUAAUGUGCUCGGUCUGCCCAUCCGUUUGCGGGUGGAAGCUUGUCGAGAACUUGAGAUCGGUCCCCAACAUCUUGAAGAGCUCCGUCCAAAAACGCCCAGUGAACCGAGGGUCUCAGUCGCUCACAAUGCUCCUUGGAACUCCCCAAAGCUUCACAAUAUGCUUGACGAAUAGGCGGGCUGCCUCGUCCGCUUUGCAAUCGACUGGUGCGGCAAUGAAUGUGGCGUACUUGCUGUAUCAGUCAACAACGACCAUGAUGCUUCCGCAACCUUCGGACUUGGGCAGCGAUGUGAUGAAGUCCAUGGAGACACAUUCAUCCUCUACCACACAUCAACAUCAACAUCAACAUCACCACUAUCAUCACCUUUCAUUGGACCCCACAUCCUCAAGCCCAUCACAACUGUCCAUAACCUCACUCUCCUCCUCCUGUCCCUCAUCAUGGCCGUUGGUUGCACUUUCUCCAUCAUCCUCCAUUUACCCCACCUCCGUUACACCCCUGUUUCCCCCUACCAUUUCUCCGUUUGGCCCUCUCUUCUUCUACGCUUACAUCUUCUACCUCUCCAAAAUACUCGAAUUCUUAGACACCCUUUUGAUCAUUUUGUCAAACUCCGAACAACGGCUCACGUUCCUCCACGUAUACCACCAUGCAACCGUCGUUGUAAUGUGCUUCCUUUGGUUACAGACGAAGCAGUCUUUGUUUCCUAUUGCACUUGUCACCAAUGCAAGUGUGCAUGUGAUCAUGUACGAGUACUAUCUGUUGUGUGUGAUGGGGUUGCAGCCAAAGUGGAAGAGAUUGGUCACUGAUUGUCAGAUUGUUCUGUUUGUGUUUGGUUUUGUUGUUUCAGUUUUGAUAUUGUAUUAUCAUUUCACGGGUCUUGGUUGCUUUGGGAUUUAGGGUUGGUGCUUCAACGCUGUGUUUAAUGUGUCCCUUUUGGCACUUUUUGUUAAUUUUUAUUCGAAGAGCUAUGCUAAGAAAAAGAAGUAGGGAUGAUUAAAACAAAUAGUUUAUUGUCCCUUUUGGCACUUUUUGCUAAUUGGUUGAAUGCAAUUGAAGAUAUCCUUUCUUUUUAUUAAAGGGGGCUCUUCAGAGAGAGCUAGACAGGAACAAGACGGGGUUGAAUAAAUCCAAACAUGUCUUGUGAAAUAAUAGAAUAAAUACCCACAGACUGGUUAGGGAACAAGUGUAAACCAACAGGAAUUGAAUGAGCCAUAUUAGCCAUGAAGUCCGCAGCUGAAUUCGCUUCACGAUAGAUGUGAGUGAUAGAAACUUGCCAAUUUCUACUUAGUAACUCUCGGAUAGCCACAAUUAAGGCAUAGAAAGCAUUAGGCACAGUCGCCUGCUUAGCGGUCAUCUGAACUACACAGCUGCUAUCCACUUCCACCAAGAGGCGGCUGAUGCCAACGUUCAAGGCAAGAUUUAAGCCUUAAUAAAGCCCCCAAAGUUCAGCCAUGGUCACUAAACUUUCCCCAAUAUUCAUACAAAAACCAUAUAUCCAAUAGCCAAAUGAAUCCCGAAGAACGCCACCAGCUCCCGCAUCCCCUGUGUUUUUACAGGAGCCAUCCGUGUUCAAUUUGCACCAUGGCCAUGGAGGAGGUGACCGGCCAAUAAACAUCUCCUUAUGUCUUGGUUCCUGACUGAUGUGGGAGUUGUUAACUCUUUGAAUUGUAUUAGCUCUAGCCAUAAUGUCCAUAUGAAUCGUAGUGCUAUCCACAAUCUCCCCACCGAAGCAGAAGUGGUUCCGCCAGAACCAUAGCCUCCAAACAGCCACACUGAAGAUGCACUCCCAUGGGACAUUAGACACAAUCUUCCACUUGUUAUAGAGAUUCGCAACAAUCCAGUCUCUUAAGCUAGAGUGGAAGAAAGUGUAAUGAUCACAAGCCGGCACAAGUCGAAUCCAAAUUCUCUUGAUACAACAACAGCCUCGUAACACAUGAAGAAUAUCCUCAGCCGAAGCUCCACACCUAUCACAGACAUUAGAAACUGGAAUGUGCCGCUUCGCUAGUUCACUGUGAGUCUUCAAUUUCCCAUGCAAAAGCUUCCAUAUAAAGUGGCGAACAAAUUGACGUCCCUUCCAAGACCAUGGUAGGUUCCAAACUUGAUCUUGAGUGUGGCUGCUUUGAUGACAAAUAGAAGCAUAUGUUGAGCGGACGGUGAACAAGCCUCUUGGGUAAAAACACUAGUAGAUUCGAUCAGGGCCAAGAUGAAGAGCAUGAGGCAUGACCGACGCAAUUUGCAUGAGAAUAUAGCUUGGCAGCAAGUGUUCAAAACUGGACCAUCUCCAGCCACCAUGAUCAUUGACAAAAGCAUUCACAGUUGCAUUAACCAAAUCAUAAGGAAUCGGCUGGAGGGCUAGCCUUAUCAAAGGAUCAUGCUUCGUUACCCAGCAAUCCAACCAGAAAUGAACUUGAGCACCAUUACACACAGACCAGCGAACCCCAUGCACCGUGAUGGUUGUCGAAGCCAAUAAAAAUAAAUACCUACUCUAAAUAAAUUGUGUAUAGUGAUUGAGCAGGGUCGUGUCCAUAGAGAUCGGUAAUUAUUUAAAUCCUUUUAAAAUGUAAAAUGCAAAAUGGGGGGAUUGUUGACAAUAAUAAAAAUUAAAUUAAAAUAACAAGAAUGCAAAUUAAAAUUGUAAUUCAAAUUGGGAAAAGCUCUGGUUGAAGGAAUUAACUCAGCUUGAUUCGACUACUAAUUAUUGAUUCAAAUAUAAAUCAUUACUAUUUAUGAAUAGACUGGUUAUAGCUACUGAGACCCUCUAAUAGCCAAUCUCUCCUUAACUAGUCGAUAACCAAGGUACGAUCGUUGGUUAUUUCCCUAAUCAAUAGACAACCCUAGAUACGAUUAUAGGAUUUAAUCAAUUGACAGCCUGAAAAACCAGGGAGACCCAAAUCCUAAUCAACAAACGCAUACGAUGGUUCAGGUAAAUUAGAUUGUUUAUUCUCAUAACACAACGCACUACUAUGCUAUUUGUCACAAACAUUAAAAUCUUCAUACGAUGAAUCUUUUAAUUGACAAUAGAUUAAGUUGAUAAUUAAAUAGUGGCCAAUUAUCUAAUUAACAAACAUAAUCAUGACAAUAAUUUAGAGAAUAAACAAAUACUCAAAAAGUAAUAAAACAAUUAAAGUAUAAGAAAGAUCUCACAGUAGUGACGAAUCAAAGCUUCAUUAACCUUCAACCAAAUAAUAAGUUUAAUUCUUCAUAGAGAGAAGAGAAAAAUUUAGAUCUAGAGUUUUUUUUUUCCAAAAAAAUAUCCCUUUUUGGCAAGAGAUUCCUCCCUUAAAUUCUCUUCUCUCUCUUCUCCUCUAGAGUUCUUUUUAAAAUAAAAUUCUAAUAUCUAAAAUAUUAUCUAAAUAUUAAAUUCGUAAUUACAAAAAUAACCAAAAAUACAAAACACGUUAAACUAAAAACUGCAGGUCCGUAGUUGACAGUACGAGCCCAUGCCUUAUCAACAAAGUUCUUCUGAAGCUCAUAAUUUCUCCAUGAAAACAAUCAUCCUCAAACAUCAUCUUGUAGCUCAAUUUUAGCACCAAUCAAUAGAAUUGCACCUACAAAAAUAAAACACAAGUAAAUCACUAUUAUUAAGUGCAAAACAUCGAUAUUAAAGGAAGUAAAUAAUGCAAAACUAGUGCAUAAAUUGUACUCUAACACACCGUUGCUGCCCAUGUUUUCCUUAUAGCCAUCCAAAUCCUUGACCCUGGUUUGUUAGGAAGGGAAAUCGGAAGGUUACCCAUAUCCAGGCCAUAUUUAGAACAUAUAACCUUCACCCACCAUUUAUCCAAGUUGGCAAUAAUUCCCCAGCUAAUCUUCAUCAACAUGCAUUGUUUGAAGUAUACUAAGCAUCCCAUGCAAACAUAUUGAAUAACAAAGAGUCAAAGUUUUCCUAAGCAUUAUGUGUGAACAACGUAAUAAAAGACAUAGAAUCAAAGAUAAUCAUGUAUAAACUUUAUAGAUCCAAGCAUAGAUUUAAUCGAAUAUUAAUCCUAACAAUCAAUAAUGCAUGACAGAAUUGAUGAAAAGAUUUUAAUUACAUCCAACUAAUCAUGUGAAAUAAAAACCAUAAUUAUCAAAGAAUAUAUAUAAGGAAUUAAUUAAAUAAAAAAAUAAUUAUUUUAUUGAAUAGGGUUUCAUCCUUAACCUCAGUAUAAGAAAAUUAGCUAGACAUACUUGAAUAGGAAGCAACAAAAUUAAUAAAACCAGCCAUGGGAAAAUUUGAAACUCUGCUGCCACUCCUGUCUCUCCCGAAUUGUGUCUGCUUCUUUCUCUUCCUGGUGAUUGCUCUCUUUCUCCAAAAGCCAAAAGCUUGCUUUUAUAUUUAGGUGGCGUUUGUUUUUUAACUUAAUGACUUAAAGUGACUUAAUUUAAUUAGUUAAGUUAAUUAGAGGUGUUUGUUUUUAUAACUUAAUGAGACUUUUUAGAUAAUUUUGACUUAAUAAAAUAAGCCAAUUUUUUUUGGCUUUUUAUUUAAUGGAGACAUUUGAAUUAAGUCAAUUACUUUCUAAUGUCAAAAAUAUCUCUGCUUUAUAAUUUAUUUUUAAUGUCUAUCUAAAAACUCACCCAUAGACAUUUACCCCACAUAAUAAUCUCAUCAUUAUUUUUUUAACCGUCAUGGAAUCCCUCCUCACUUUGGUAUCAACUCCUCAAGUAUUGAAGAUCAAAAUUACAUGCGACAACUUCGAGAUGAAAUGACAAAUCAACUAUUUCAAGUAUCUUAUUAGUUUUUUCUUUCUUAUAUUAUAUACGAUAAAAUUUGAAAUUUAUGGUAUUUUAUAUAUUAAAAUUCUAAAAUCAUUAUGUAUUCAUUUGAAUAUAGUUUUACUUAUAAAUGUUAAAAUAUUGUGGUAUUUAAUAUAUUAUUUAUUUGACAUUCAAAUUUAAUAAGGAUAUAAAUGUAAAAGUACAUAUUUUCAAUUUUUUAAAUUUUAAAAAACAAACAACUUAAUAAUUAAUUUCCGAGAUUCAGACGAAAAAACAAAUAUAUUAUUUAGUUUCAGACAUUCAGAUCUUUUCAGAAUUCAGACUAAUUCAGAUCUAUUUAGAUUUCAAACAAAAAAACAAACGUCACCUUAAGCUUUAAAAUGGGCCCCACCGACUUUUCCAACUCUAAAGCCAAAAGGUUUGGCCUUUUAAUUUGUUUUGGCUUUACUCACGUGCUCACCCAGCCGCUUUUAAAUUGUUUCCUCAUUAAUGUUUGAAAGUAAGCCACUUGUUUGACUUAAAAGCACAGGGCCAAUUAAUAAUGUUUUUUAGAGCUUUAGCUUUAAACGUCUUCUUGGUUUGCAUGAGCAUGGCUGAUUUAAUUUAUUGGCUUCGGUUUCUUUCAUCUUGAAUAUCAUGCACAUUUGCUUAAUUGCUUCCACAAAUUGAUUUGAUCUUCAAUGCUUUCCAAUUAUUAUUCUUUAUGCACUUUUCAUCCAUAAUCUUCAAUUAAUCCCCUAUCCAAUAAUAAUUCAAUUAAUUAAAAAUAAUAAAUAAAAAUAACUAACAACUAUAUAAUAAAGAGUAAAAUAUGUAUAUAAAUUAUGCUCUAUCACUUGGAUCAAUGUAUGCUUGGCAUGGCCACGCGCGUCUAUAGGCUUACUUGAAAUGGUCACUUACAGCGGCCAUGGUUUUGCUAGCGUAGCCAUGGGUUUUGCUGGACAUGGAAGUACGAGACCAUGGGUUUUGCCAUGCAAUGGGCAUGGGUUUUGCUGGGCUGAUUUGGAAUUAACAGUGGCUGUGGAGUUGUUCAGUGUGUGAAAGAGAAAAACAAAAAUGCACGAAGAAGAAGAUGAACUGGGAAUAGAAUGAAGAAGAUGAAGAAAGUAGAAGAGAGAGAAAAAAAUAUUUCCCUUUUUUAUAAAUUGUGGGAAUUUUUUUUCAAAAUUUAUAACUUUUUUUUUUAAAUUUGAGAAUCUUAAUGCAAUACGGUGAGAUUUUCUUAGUAACUAUGUGUAGAAGGAACUAGGAAGUUUUUGGUUAGGUUAACAUGAAAUAUGCUUGUUUUAUGAAAUUUAUUAUUGAGAUUUUGUUUUAUUUUCUAAAAAAUAGCUUAGAGGAUGAUUUUCAUUAGUGACAGACAUAAAGUUUGAAUUAGUUAUAUUUUAGAAAUAGUAGAGAUAUAAAUGAUAUAUCUUUCCCACAUAAAUAUAUCAGUAACAUAAGUUAUUCUAUAAUUAAUAAGGAUAUUAUCGUAUUUUAGUGAGUCAACAUUGGUUGAUAGUUAAAUUUAACAAUUUUUAGAGAGUAAAUUGAAGUUUUAUAUUUUUGACAGUAAAUUAAAGUAUGUCAAUCUCAUAAGCAGUUAAAAUGUAAUUUACUCAAAAAUUAGUGUUAAAAUUUUAUAGAUGAGUGUAUAUUAAGAUGUUCGAACUAUUAGAACAUAAAUAAUCUUAGUUUUAAUAAAAUUUUGCUACAAAAUGAAUAUUAUCCCUCAAGAGAAACAUGUCAAUAAAAUAUAAAAAAAUAGAAUGCAUUAGUACAUGUCAAUAACAAGACCGAUUAGAUCAUGUCAUAUUUGUCAUGCAGUUAUUUUUAUUUUUUCAUUUCUUUUGAAACAAGACCAAUUAGAUCAUGCCAGAAGUUAAAUUUGUAUCAUUUUUAAAUUAAGAAAAGGAACAAAGUUUAAAUAUAAAAUUUAUAAUCUUUUUUUUUUAAUGAAAGUAAUCAUUUCAUAAGUCAAACAACACUGUUUAAUACUUUCAAUAUCUCUGCUGGAAUUUGAUCCAGCUAGAUAGCUGAAGUAUUUGCUCCUACAACAAGCUUUGCCAAGGAAUGGGCACAAGUGUUACAGGUUCGAGAAACAUGUCUGAACUUGACCUCUUUAAAAUCUUUUCGUUGCUCCUGGAUGUCUGAGAUAACCCAGCUUAUACCUGUUCUACUGCCCUUGGUGUUGUUAAGUAAGUCCACAACUUCUUUGCAAUCUGUCUCCAUGAUCAUAGCAAAUAGGGAGAAUUCUUUUUCUACCUGGAGGCCCCACUCCAUCGCUUCAGCUUCUGCAAAGCUCACUCCCUCCCUUAGUGGAACUUUCUUUAUGCCUGCAGCCACUAUCUUGCCACCUGGGUCUUUUAUAACAGCUCCCAAACCUGAUACUUGGUUCCUGCUAUUUAUUGUUGCAUCCACAUUGACCUUGAGAAGAUUUCCAGGCGAGGGCUUCCACUUUUUCUACAUAACCCUUUUGACAUUAUGAAUGUGAGAUGCAUCCGUUUUCCUAGCUCUGUGAUAGGCCUCUAAGAGUGAUUCAGCCUUUGCUGCUGAGACUCUUGGGUCUGACUUUUUUCCUUCGAAAAUCCUUUUAUUUCUUGCAAACCAUACUGCCCAACAGUAAGCUAUUGUUUGUUCAGCCUCUGUUUUCCCCGAGUACUCCACAACUCAUAGAUGAAGUCUAGAAUAUCUUGGUUUUGAGUAUUUGAUAUUUGGACUGGAAAAGCGGCAUGAUACUAGAUUUUCCUUACUACUUUGCAAUCCAAGAGUGCAUGUCUGAUUGUCUCCACCUCCUUGUUGCACCCCUGGCAUAUUGGAUCUUUCAGACAUUUUCUUUUUCAAAGAUUUUCAGUCGUUGGCAAUAAAUUCAUAGCUGCCCUCCACAUGAAGAUUUUCAUUUUUUCCGGUAACUCCAAAGAUCAUACAGCAUUCCACCUUUUAGAGUUUGAUCCUAUUAAGAAAAGGAAGAUUUCGGCACUUAACUAACAGCCAAGAUUCACAAAGAUCAACAAAGAACAGUGUAUAAACUAGAAACAAGUAGAAAACAAAGAGAAGGAAUUAACGUGGUUCGGUACCAGAGUACCUACAUCCACGGCUGAAGAACCCCAAAGGGUGUGAAACUUUAUUGCUAAAGGUUGAUUACAAUGUGACUACAAAUGUCAGAGAACAAAUCUCACUCAACCAAGAAUCCUUACUCUCAGUCUUGGUCACUCAACUUAGCCGAAAAAAGAUUUCCCAUGAUCAGCCCUGGCUCUGCUAUUUAUACGGUCAUAACUAAUUAACCACCAGCUGGCCCACACAAGCUGACUCACUGCCGCCUCACCAAUAACAAAAUGUUACUAACUCUCGACUUCACAAAUCUCCACCUUAGUUCAUUCUGAAACCGCUCCACCUUCCUCUCCAGCAACUACUAGUCUAGUUUUACAAGCUACCAACACCAACCAAGUUCAGAGAGUUUCUAAACUUGAUUGCAGGUACUGCUUUGGUUAGAAUAUCUGCAGGAUUAGUCUGAGUAGGAACUUUAAUAGCAUUCACAACACCAUUUGCAAUUUCAUCACUGACAAAGUGUAACCUAAUAUCAAUAUGUUUUGUUCUUUCAUGAUACUUAGGAUUCUUACUAAGCUUAAUUGCACUAGAGCUGUCACAACCAAUACAAACUGACUCCUGCUUUAACCCAAACUCAGAAACCAAGCCACUUAGCCACUUUGCUUAUUUCACUGCUUCUGUCAAUGCAAUGUACUCAGCCUCAGUUGUGGACAAAGCAACUACUGACUGAAAAGAUGCCUUCCAGCUCACUGCUCCUCCAUUUAAAAUGAAAACAUAUCCAGUAAUAGACCUUCUCUUGUCCAGAUCAGCAGCAAAAUCUGAUUCCACAAAACCUGAUACCUGACAUGAGUUAUUUUCAGAACCACCAUACAAAAUUCCAUGAUUUGCAGUACCAUUCAUAUACCUCAACAACCAUUUAACAGCACUCCAAUGUUCCCUCCCUGGGUUUCCCAUAAACCUGCUAACAACUCCCACACUGUGAGCUACAUCAGGUCUAGUACAAACCAUAGAGUACAUUAUGCUGCCAACUGCACUAGAGUAAGGCACUGACUUCAUAUGCUCAAGCUCAUGGUCUUCUUCUGGUUCCUGAAGUUUUGACAAUUUGAAGUGUGCUGACAAAGGUACUGACACAGGCUUUGCACCACUCAUCUCAAAUCUGCUGAGGACCCUUUUAGUAUACACAGCUUGAGUCAGAAACAAGGUUCCUUUACUUCUGUUCCUCACUAUUUGCAUUCCCAAAAUUCUUGUGGUAGUCCGCAAAGCUUUCAUUUCAAAUGCAGUAUUUAACUCCAUUUUAAGCCUUUCAAUCUCAUCUCUUCUUUUGCAUGCAAUAAGCAUGUCAUCAACAUAAAGAAGGAGAUAAAUUCUAACUUCAGAGGACAAAGUUUUAAAAUACACACAGCUAUCAUAUUGACUUCUACAAUAUCCAUGACUGAUCAUGAAUUCAUCAAACCUCAGAUACCAUUGUCUUGGAGACUGUUUUAGCCCAUACAAACUUCUUUAACAAACAUACCAUGUCUUCAGUCCCUUCUUCAAUGAAUCCAUCAGGCUGAUCCAUGAGGAUUUAUUCUUCAAGAUUCCCAUGUAAGAAGGCUGUCUUCACAUCCAUUUGAUCCAAUUCCAGGUCAUUGUAAGCUGCUAUUGCCAAUAGAAUUCUUUGGAACUGUAUUUUACUACAUGGAAGAAUACCUCAUUGAAAUCCACUCCAUGCUUUUGGGUAAACCCCUUUGCUACCAGCCUUGCCGUAUACCUGGGAGGCUCACCAUCCACAGUCCCUUCUUUAAUUUUAUAGAUCCAUUUGCAACCUACCAGCCUUUUGUUUUGAGGUUUCUUGACCAACAUCCAUGUUUUAUUCUUCUUUAGGGAGAUAAUUUCUUCAUUCAUGGCAUCCAACCAUUUCUCUCUAAUUUUACUGCCCAUAGCUUGUUUGUAGCUAACAGGCUCUUCACCAAUGACUUCUUCAGCUACAGCCAGGGCAUAAGAAAUCAUAUCAGCUAUGCCAUAUCUUUUGGGUAGUUUAAUGACUCUCUUUUCCCUGUCUCUUGUUAGCUGAUAGUCAUUCAUUUGAGAAGUGAUGUGUGUUUUCUGACAAGGCUUGGGAUCCAUUUCUGUAGUUUUCUUUUCUUCACUUGACUCCACCUUAAAGUUGUGUUCCUUAACCUCAUUUGUAUCAGGUGUAGUGAGCUCUGUUUCUACUUUCUGAUGCAACAUAGGCUCUUCAUCAAACACAACAUCUCAGUUGAUCAAAGUUCUUGAAGGUUUUCCAUCUAUGCACCAGAUCUUAUACCCUUUGACACUUUCUGGAUAGCCUAUGAUGUAACCCUUGACAACUUUUGGCUCUAAUUUUCCCUGGUUUAUAUGAGCAUAAGCAAGACAACCAAAUACCCUGAGGUUGCUGAGAUCUGGAGGCUUUCAUGACCAAACUUCUUGGGGGGUCUUGAAAUGCAAAGCAAUUGAAGGGCUCGUGUUGACUAAGUAGGCUGCAGUGGUGACAGCUUCUGCCCAGAAGUGUUUUGAAAGGUUUGCAUUAAACAACAUGCAUCUUACCUUUUCAACUAAGGUCCUAUUCAUCAUUUCUGCUAGUCCAUUCUGUUGAGGUGUGUGCCUCACAGUUUUGUGCCUGGCUAUCCCCUUCUUGAUGAAGAAUUGUUCAAAAUCAUUGCAGCAAUACCCGAGUCCAUUAUCUGUUCUUAGUCUCUUUACCCUCCUUUCUGUUUGAUUCUCUAUUAAAGUCAGCCAAUAUUUAAAUUUCUCAAAAGCUUUACUCUUGUGCUUCAGUACAUAUACCCAGACUUUCCUUGAAAAGUCAUCAAUGAAAGUGAUGAAAUAUCUAGCUCCUCCAUGAGAGGGCACUUAAGAGGGCCCCCAUAGGUCUGAGUGAAUAUAAUCCAGUGUGUUUUUUGUUUCUUGUUUCCUUAUAUUAAACUUCUGCCUAGUUGCUUUACCAAAUACACACUUUUCACAGAAUUCAAGUGCUGAAAUUUGGUCAGUUCCUAGUAGACCUUGUUUACUUAACUCUUUUAAACCUUUCUCACUCAUGUGUGCUAAUCUCAUGUGCCUUGGUUUUAUCACUGUUUACAUUUGUAAUAAUACCAGGUAACUCAACUGAGCCUUUAAGCACAUACAAUCCAUUUCUUCUACUACCUUUCAUUAUGAUUGCACCAUCUUUAAGGAUCUGAAGUUCACCAUUUUCUGCCUAUAUGCAGCAGCCUAAUUGGUCUAUCAUCCCUAAUGAUAUGAGGUUUCUUUUAAGCUCUGGAACAUAUCUCACUUGUUCCAAGCCUUUUACUGAACCAUCAUACAUUUUAAUCCUAACAGACCCUAUUCCAGCAACUUUACAGGCUAGAUUAUUUCCAAGCAAAACUUUUCCGCCAUCAAUACUCUCGAAAGUCACAAAAAAGUCUUUAUGUGGACACAUAUGGAAGGAAAAACCUGAGUCAAGUAUCCACUCACCAGAAGAUUUCUUAUCUGCUACAAUAAGGACAUCUGCAUCUUUUGACUCUCCUUCAUCUACAGAUGCAAUGUCAGCCUUCCCACUUGAUUCUUUUUCUAACUUUUCAAGCUUCUUAUUUUCAAAGCAGUCUUUUAUAUAAUGUCCUUCCUUCUGACAGAAGUAACAUUUUCUUUUCUUCUUCAUCUUAUCAGUCUUCUCUUUCUGAUUUUUGUUCUUCUUAUCUUUGUACAUCUUCUUUUCUGUCUUUGCUUUGGCAAUUAAUCCAUCCCUAGUGAUCUGAUCUUUGCCAUCUGCUCUUUUCUUUAAGUCUUUAGAUUCAAGAGCAUUCUUGAUAUCUUUUAGGGUGAGGGUUUGCCUACCAUAGAGCAGAGUGUCCACGAAGUGUUCAUAAGAAUCUGGUAAGGAGCUUAGUAAGAUGAGAGCCCUAUCUUCAUCUUCAAGCAUUACAUUAACAUUUUCAAGAUCGAGUAUGAGCUUGUUGAACUCAUCAACAUGGUCUCUCGUAGUUGUUCCCUCUUUCAUUGAAAAUGUGUAAAUCUUCCUUUUCAUGUACAACCUCUUGGCCAGAGAUUUCUUCAAGAAAAGCUCUUCUAAUUUUGCCCAUAACCCAGAUGCUGACUUCUCUUUUGCUACUUCUCUUAGUACCUCAUCAGACAGGUGAAGGAUGAUUGUACUGUGGGCUUUAUUGUUCAUGGUCCUCAAGUCUCCACCUGAACUUGAAGAACCUUCCUCUCUCUCUUUCUUGGACUUUUCUUCCUCACCAUCAAGGGCACUGUCUAAGCCCUGUUGAAUCAAGAUUGCCCUCAUCUUAAGACUCCAUAGGUAGAAGUCGUUUUCUCCAUUGAAUUUCUCAAGGUCAAACCUGGUGGUUCCCAUCUUUGAAGAUCAAGAACAGAGAGCAUCGUAGCUCUGAUACCAAUUUGUUAAGAAAAGGAAGAUUUCGGCACUUAACUAACAGCCAAGAUUCACAAAGAUCAACAAAGAACAAUGUAUAAAAUAGAAACAAAUAGAAAACAAAGAGAAGGAAUUAACGUGGUUCGGUACCAGAGUACCUACAUCCACGGCUGAAGAACCCCAAAGGGUGUGAAACUUUAUUGCUAAAGGUUGAUUACAAUGUGACUACAAAUGUCAGAGAACAAAUCUCACUCAACCAAGAAUCCUUACUCUCAGUCUUGGUCACUCAACUUAGCCGAAAAAAGAUUUCCCAUGAUUAGCCCUGGCUCUGCUAUUUAUACGGUCAUAACUAAUUAACCACCAGCUGGCCCACACAAGCUGACUCACUGCCACCUCACCAGUAACAGAAUGUAACUAACUCUCGGCUUCACAGAUCCAGAGCUGCUAGGCUCAUCAGGGGCUUUGAUUUUAAGGGCUAUUUGAUAUCCGCUCUUUACUGAGUAUUCUUCACGCUUGUCAUAAUGCCACAACAUCUCAUCCUCCUUUUGGCUUCUUGGAAGAGGAAUUUUGAGAAUAGCCUCUGUAUCUUCUUGCAUAAAAUGCUGGUUCAGCUUUGCCACAUUCCAGUUGUUUUCAUCAUCAAUCAGAUCAGCCACAGUUGUAUCAAUUGGCAAGGUUGGGGGAGAGAUUGGUUUAAAAGUGUCCAGUCUUCGUAUCCAAUUGUCUUUAUACACCAGAAUGUUGCUGCCAUUUCCAAUACGCCACCCCGCUCCUUUUUGAAUAACUUGCCUUCUCCAUAAAAUGCUCCUCUAUAUAAACGAUGGGUUGGACCCAGAUUUUGCAUCUAAAAAAGAGCAGCUUCUAAAGUAUCUUGCCUGAAGAACUUUGGAAACUAGGGAGUUUGGGAAUUGAAUCAGCCGCCACCCUUGCUUUGCCACCAUAGCUUGAUUAAAGCUUGUGAAGUGUCGAAAUCCCAAUCCUCCCCUACUUUUUGCACAACUCAGUUUGUCCCAUCGAGCCCAAUGGAUGCCCCGCUUAUCUUUUUUAGCCCCCCACCAGAAUUUUGCGAUUGCACUUUGAAUUUCCUCACAUAAGCCUUUAGGGAGCUUGAAAACACUCAUGGCGCAUGCAGGGACAGCUUAAGCAACAACUUUUAUAAGGAUUUCUUCGCCUCCAUUUGAAAACAUUUUGUACUGCCAAUUAUUAAUCUUGCUUAAGACCUUUAGCUUGACUUCUCUAAAAAACCUUGUCUUCUUCCAUAAAAUUUAUAAUCUAAAAUUAAUGAUGUGACAAUUAACAUACGUGUUAUUAAGUUAAUAGAGUAAGAAGUCCCAAAUACAUGUACAUCAUAUAUUGCUAAAGAAAUCAGUUCUGCCAGAAUACUUCUUUCUAUUGAAAUUAAUGAUGAUUGUUUGUUUACAUCAUGAAAGUUCAAAUAACUUUGUAACUAAUUGUUAGAGUGUAAUUUAUGCACUAGUUUUGCAUUGUUUACUUCCUUUAAUAUCGAUGAUUUGCACUUAAUAAUAGUGAUUUACUUGUGUUUUAUUUCUGUAGGUGUAAUUCUAUUGAUUGGUGCUAAAAUUGAGCUACAAGAUGAUGUUUGAGGAUGAUUGUUUUCCAAGAGAAAUUAUGAGCUUCAGAAGAACUUUGUUGAUAAGGCAUGGGUGCGUGCUGUCAACUACGGACCUGCAGUUUUUAGUUUAACGUGUUUUGUUUAACGUGUUUUGACUUUUUGGUUAUUUUUGUAAUUACAAAUUUAAUAUUUAGAUAAUAUUUUAGAUAUUAGUAUUUUAUUUUAAAAAGAACUCUAGAGGAGAAGAGAGAGAGUAGAAUUUAAGAGAGGAAUCUAUUGUGAAAAGAGGAGAUUUUUUUGAAAAGAAAGAAACCCUAAAUCUAAAUUUUUCUCUUCUCUCUAUGAAGAACUAAACCUAUUAUCCUAGUUGAAGGUUAAUCAAGCUUUGAUUCGUCACUACAGUGAGAUCUUUCUUAUGCUUUAAUUGUUUUAUUACUUUUUGGGUAUUUGUUUAUUCUCUGAAUUAUUGUUAUGAUUAUGUUUGUUAAUUAGAUAAUUGGCCACUAUUUAAUUAUCAACUUAAUCUAUUGUCAAUUAAAAGAUUCAUCGUAUGCAAAUUUUAAUGUUUGUGACAAAUAGCAUAGCAGUGCAUUGUGUUAUGAGAAUAAACAAUCUAAUUUAAAUGAACCAUCAUAUGCGUUUGUUGAUUAGGAUUUGGGUCUCUCUGUUUUUUCAGGCUGUCAAUUGAUUAAAUCCUACGAUCGUAUCUAGGGUUGUCUAUUGAUUAGGGAAAUAACCAAUGGUUGUACCUUGGUUAUCGACUAGUUAAGGAGAGAUUGGCUAUUAGAGGGUCUCAGUAGCUAUAACCGGUCUAUUCAUAAGUAGUAAUGAUUUAUAUUUGAAUCAAUGAUCAACAGUCGAAUCAAGCUGAGUUAAUUCCUUCAACCAGAACUUUCCCCAAUUUGAAUUACAAUUUUAAUUUGCACUCUUGUUAUUUUAAUUUGAUUUUUAUUAUUGUCAACAAAUCUCCCAUUUUACAUUUUACAUUUUAAAAGGAUUUAAUAUUACCGAUCUCUGUGGACACGACCCUGCUCAAUCACUAUACACAAUUUAUUUAGAGUAGGUAUUUAUUUUUGCUGGCUUCGACAACCAUUACUAAUUUCAUUCUUUAAUUUACGGUAUACAAAUAAAUUCAAAAAAUGUUAAUUUCUCUCAUACUUUUAAGACUAAAAAAUAACAAAAAGUCUUAACAUAUUUAACGGUUAUAUAUAAAUCAUCCGUACAUAUUUUUCUUGUGAGAAGCUCAAUUCGAUAGACAACGCUCCCCUUAAUUUUCUUUUCUAGUUAGAUAAAAGAACAAAAGAAAUUGAUUACAAGAAUUAACGACGAAGUCACCUUGGACUACCUGAUAUAUAUUACAGAGGUAAGCUUUUUUUUACUGCCUAACUAGAAUAACAAACUUUAAUUUACUUCUUAAAGUGUAAAAGCCUCAAUUUAUCCUUAUAUUUGUUCAAAAUAUAAGGGAAUAUAUAUAUAUAUAUAUAUAUAUAGUCAUUCUUCAGUGCACGCGCCCUCAUUUUUUUCAUACGGACACACUUUAAAACUACAGGGUUUAAGAGAGUUAAUUUUUUAAUUCUUUAAACUCGAAUCAUUGUAUAGUUCAUCCAAUAACUAACUCUUUUAAACUGCACGGUUUUAAAAUGUGUCCGCAUUAAGAAAAAUAUGGGCGUCUGCACCUGAGAAUGAUUACAUACACAUAUAUUGUUUUCUUGAUAUAAACAAGUUAAAUUGAUGUUUCACAUUUUUUUAGGAAUAAAUUAAAAAUUGUCAUUCUAAGUAGGAGGUAAAUUUCAAAUAAAACAUGUGUUCAUAUGAUAGAUGUGCAUUUCACAAUAAUUAAUAAAUAAAAAGGGUAGUGAUAUUUUCACCCGGCAAUUUUUGUAAAUCCACCCCACUGCCAAGAAAUAAUUACAAUAAAUUCACAUAAUUUUUUAAAAAUUCAAAUAAAGAAACAUUUUGGAGAUUUAAACUAUUAGAUACAACAGGAUAAGCGUAAACAUUUUUCAUGCAGUAUAAAAGAAUGCAACAGCUCCUUUUCUUUCGGUAUUUUCGCAACAAAAGCACACUUAAUAACUCAUCAAAUUAUUUCUCAUUUUCUUUGAUCGCUUCGCCUUUCCUAGAGCUGCUGAACUCCUUUGUUGCUGGUGAAGUGAAACAACAUGUGACGCAUUUCAAAAGACCACAAUAUGUAUAAAGAGGAACUAAUUACACUAUCAAUGGCUUAAGGUUACCUUAAUGCAGAAGAGGAAAAAGAGAUGGAGAUUCGAUUUGAUCCGAUAAUAGAAGUUUAUUUUAAUUUUUAUUCAUUUGAUUUCAUAGUAGUAAUUUUUAUUUUUCAAAAAUUGGUAAAAACGAACUAAAAUGAGAUAAUUACAUUAAAACAAUCUUCAAUGACUAAAGUAAUUUGAAUAUAAAAAACUCAAAAGAAAUAAGCUCAAAAUUUACCCCUAAUCUGAACAUUAUCCGAAUUCAACCUAACAAACCCAAAUAUGAUUUUAAUCCAAACCCGACAUGACUGGUAUAUAAUUAUAACCCGCUCAGAUCCAAACUCAACCUAAAUUCUUAAUUCAAUUUGAUCCAAUUCAAAUAUUCCUACCCAAUCAAAUUGAAACUUGAUCAGGUUGAUCCGAAGGAAGGGUUAUGUACUGGCAAAUAGAAAUUAAACCAACAUUAUCACCAUAAUAGGUACAUUAUUACCAUCAAAGAUCAAGAUCUGAAUGGAUGCACAGCAGCCAUCCUCAAGACCAAAAGAGGAAGAAAUUGAAAUAGAACAACCACCUUAAGGUGGAGAAGGCCAGAACAAGACACCCAUUCUCAAAUCAUAAGGAAGAGGUGGGUGCAACCAAAAAAAAAAAAAAAAAAAGAGAAUCCACUGGAGAGGGCAAGAAAGAUUUCUGCCUCCAAAGAUUUGGUGAGGAAGAGAUGAGGAAUUUGGAGAGGAAAAGUUUUCGAAGAGAUCUAGAGAUUGGCUUUAAAAAUGUGUUUUAAAGAAAAAGUUGUUGAGAGGAUAAAUAUGCAAUCAAUCCUGUACUCUUCAUGUUUGUUGACUGUGUAAUGUUUAUCCACUAAGCGUAACCAUGACGGUUGGAUUGAGUGAAUAAAAUAAAGAACAUUACAACCCAUGAGUCCAAGCACUUAAAGUUGGCAUGAGUGCAUGGGUUAUUGUCGGGACUCGAUUUCCUUCCUAAUUAAAUUGGAUAGGGAUAAAAUUAUUUCUUUAUUAAUAAAAAUAGAAUAGAUAUUUCUCUCGAUUUUCCUUCUAAUUAAAUUGGAUAGGACUAAAAUUAUCUUAUGAUUAAUAAGGAUAUAAUAUAUAUCUUUCUAGUAUUGUGUGAUGGUAGAAAUUUGGGUUGUAUCAUAUUAAAAUUAUCCAGGAUAAUCUUGAUAGAAUUAAUGCAAAGAAUUAAGAUAAAGCCUCAAAGAUGGAACAAAGGUAAAAAAAGAAAAAAGAGUACAAGACAAAGAAAUUAGAAAAAAAAAAGAAAAAAAGAAGACGAAGAAUAAAAGAAAAAAUAAUUUGAAAAAAAAGGACUGCAUUUUUAAAUUUUAAAUAAGGAUAAAUAGUAGUGGAUGCCAUUGUUGGUAAUUUAUUAUAUUUCAAAGCUCAAAUAAGGAAUAAGAUUAUUAUUAUUAUUGUUUUUGCAAUAACUCGUUUCAAAUUUUAAAAGAUUAUAACUUUUCAUUUUUAACAUUUUAAUCAUAAAUUAAAAAGGAGUUACUAUUCAAAAUUCCUAAGAAUAAUGAAUAAAAAUGAUAAAUAUUAUUCUAAGAAAAUGAUAAAUUUGGAUAUACUUAAAUAUUUAUAAAUUAUUAAUUAUUUUACUAUUUGCCCCUUAGCUUCAUGUUUGGGGAAAAAAUAUACUAAAGUGGCUUUCAAUAAAAAAAUUUAUUAUUAAAAAAAGUAUGAUUAAAAUUAUAACAAAUGAUAUUAAUAAGAAAGAAACUAAUAAAAUUUGGAAUUAGAAAUGGGAGUUAAGGCUUCGGUCUUUGAAUUUCUCUAAAUUUUACAUAUUUUUUUAUUUUUAUUCCGUCGAAUUACAUUAGUAAUGGAAUAUCAAUAAAUUUUGUGGGUUAAUUUGUCUUUUAAAUACUUUGAAGGGUAAAAUGGUAUUUUAGAUGGUAAAAGUCAACUAAUUAAUUAAUGAUUUAUUUUUUUAAAUUUAAAGCACCAAGUGGUGGGGGGUUAGGAAAGACCCCUACUUGUGAUAUAAAUCAAUAAUGAAGAAGUACAUAGGAGGGGGAUAUAAACCAAAACCUCCUCAAGUAAAUACAAACACAUAAGAAUGAAGGCAAGAGAAUAAAACAACAACUGAAAGAAUAGCACGAGUAAUCCUAUCGCCUGAUAUGAGGAAUCUCCUUAGCAUCCAAAUGAAGAAUGCUAGAUAGGCCAGCGAGAAGUUCCCGAAAAGACAAAAAAACAUCAGUUAACUCGAUGAGUGUAAGCCCAAUUAGCCAGAAAAUCAACAGCAUAAGUAGGUGGAGUCUGACUCUACUUUUAGCACGGAGUGUCCAAGCUGAACUGCGAGAUCUAAUCCCUCAUAGACAACCAUAAGCUCAACAUAAAUUAUUGGUUGGUUACCAAGGAAAGAUCCAAAAGCAGCCAAAACCUCCCCCUGAUGAUCACAGAGAAUACCACCCGAAGCAGCCAUCCCGGGAUUGCCCCCGAGCAACCAUCCACAGUCAGUUUAACAAACCCCAAAGGCAGCCGAAACCAAGAGACUAAAUGAAUUGGCCUUUUUGGUGGUGUGAUUAUUCGCAAACCCUCUGUAAUCCUAGAAUCCAACACUCCUCGAAGCUGGGAAGUUUUGAAACCAAAAGCAGAACUAGCAAGCCCAAGGUCCAAUCCCACCUGGUGGACAAUUGCAACGAGAAAUAUUGUGAAUCAAAUUUGAAAGCAUUACGAGCCUUCCAAAUAUACCAUAAGAUAAAAGAAGGUAGGAGAACUUGAAGAUGGCUCCGAAAAAGGAUGCACCAUCACCAAUGAAGAAGCAGAGCAUGAGGGGUCGGAAACACAACUGCAUGCAUACCUAGAAUCUGUCAAAACUAAUCCCAAACCAACCUAAUCUGCGGGCAAGCAGGGAAUAAGUGACGAGCAGUCUCAGCCACCUGACCACAAAUGCGUCAAGAAACCAUGUAAAAACCCCUUGAACAUAAGGCGUCAUCAGUAGCCAAAAAUCCAUGCAACAUCCGCUAGAGAAAGAAGGAAAUCCAAGAAGGGGUGAGCCACUGGCAAAUAAGAGAAAAGACCUUAAUUCUUAGUUUAGUACAACGCACAAGCUCCCACGUUGAUCGUAAUUAAAAAGUGCCAUCGGUAGUGAGAUCCCACCUAAUCAAGUCUGGCUCCGACCUAGAAAUAGGAACUAAAAGAAUCUAUGCCAUGAUAGAGAGGGUAACACAUCCUGGAGUUUACCUUGAUCCCAGACUGUACCCUGCUAGUAAAAAGAAACUGGAACUAUAGAAGCCGCUGCAGGGUUAUAAAGUGCUAAAGGGCAAGACCCUAGUCAACAAUCAUACCAGAAGCUACACUCCCCCCGGCCUAUCAACCAAUGCACAUGGGGCCCUACAAUACACUGAAUCAAAUAGAGGCAUCUCUAAAGUGGAAAAGCAAGAUAACGAAACUGAACUAGGCUCAGAUGUGUGGCUAUACAAUACUUAGACUUCAUAUACGAAGCCCAUAGUGAACUCUGCUCUUGAAAGCGCCACCAAAGUUUAAGUUCUAAAGCCUUAACCAUAUCAUUAGAAGACCGAAUACCCAGACCACCCUCCUCUACCAGGUAACAAACCGUCGUGCAUCUACAUCAGUGAAUCCGAUGCUUUGUAUCGGAAUCUCCCUAUAAGAAUCGUUUAAAAAUUCUCUCUAAGCGGUGGAUCACAACAUAUGGAGGGCUAAGAAUGUCAAACAAAUGCAUCAUAAUAGAAGAUAGAACAUGGCGAAUAAGCAUCAAUUUCCCUCCAAAAGAGAGCAAUCGAUUGGCUCAUGCUGAGAUUCUAUUCCUGACAUUCUGAACCAUAUCGUCAAAAAGAGAAAUCUAACGACAACCCUUAAAGACAGGGCACCCAAGAUAAGUAAGCAGAAGUUUGCGUCUCUGAAAACCAGUAACUGAAUGGAGAAUAGUCUGGCGUGAAGCAGUAGCUGAGUCCCCAAUAUACAAAGUAUUGUUGUCCUGAUUGAUACACUAUCCGGAAAUAGUCUCAUAGUGGUGGAGGAAAUUUGAAAGACGCUGCAAACUGGUCCUACUCCCAUUAACAAAGAUAAAAAUAUCAUCUGCAAAGCUCAGAUGAGACUGUCAUAAGGGUCGAGGUUCUAUAUGCCAUGGAAGGAUACCGAGAAUAAAGGGAAUCUAGACUUCUAGAGAGAAACUUAGCUGUAAUAAUAAAAAGACACGAGGAUAUAGGAUCGCCUUGUCGCAGGCCUCCAUGAGACUGAAAGAAUCCAUGGCAAGAAUCAUUGACCAGAAUAGAGUACCAUGGACCAGAGAUGGCCCGGUAAAUGAGGGAAAUCCAUCGCUUUGAAAAACCAAGGCUCCGAACCAUCAAAAGAAUGAACGACCAUGACAUCCUAUCAUAAGCCUUAGCCAUAUCUAAUUUAAAAACAACAUUAUUCCCAUGGGUCCUCCUAUUUAAAUCAUGAACAGGCUCCUACACCAACAAAAUAUUAUCAUGGAUUACCCUACCUAGAACAAAGCCACUCUGUGAAAGAGAGAUAAUCUGAGGCAGAAUGUGCGAGAGUCGUGUAACUAGUAACUUCGUAACGAUUUUGCUACUGAUGUUGCAUAGGCUAAUAGAUCUGAAGUUUGCCCGUGUUAAUGGAGAAGUCUUCUUCGGUAGAAGGACCAGAAGUGUACUCUAAAAGCCUCGUGGUAUAGCUGAACUUGAGAAAAAAUCAAUCACAAGAGCCAUCAAAUCACAACAAAUAAUUUCCCAACAAAUUUGAUAAAAUCUGCUACAGAAACCAACAGGCCCGGGCGCACUUAAAGGAUCUAUAGAGAAUACAACUUGGCAAACCUCCUCUAUGUUAUGAACUCUAUAUAGCUCCACAUCCUCCUCAUCUGAAACUAAAGAUGGAAUAUCAUCAAAGUCUGAUAAUUGAAACUAGCUGGUACCUCCAGAAAGCAAAUCUUAUUAGAAAUGAACAGUCGAAGCAACAAUAUCUGUAGAAUUAGCAUCCUGAAUCCUGUGAAUAAAACACUGCUGACGCUUCUUUCUAACCACAGCAUAGUAGAAACGAGUGUUCGAAUCCCUCUCUCGGACCCAUCGAAUACCUAACUGCAAUCUAAGAAAAGUCUCAUCACUGGAUAAAGCAUGUAGUAAUCUCGCUCUAGCCUCAGAAAAAAAAUGGUUCUAUCCUCUGCCGACGCAGACAUAUAAAAAAGGAGCUCCCGAUGAGCCACUUCCACUUCAGCCGCUCUAACUCUCUGAAAGACAUCUCUGAAAAUGUCUUUGUUCCAAGACUUUAAACAAAGUUUCAACCAAACUAACUUCUUCUGAAAGGCCCGCAUCCCUCUACCUAUCACUGGUGCUGACUAGGACUGCCUUACCAUGUCGAAAAAGCUUGAAUGUGUGAUCUAAGAAUGAAGGAACUUAAAUCUUGACUGUCCCCUAACCCACUGUCAAUCAAGAGAUAAAAGGAGGGGAGCAUGGUCUGAUAUAGUACGAUUCAUAUGAGUAACCCUGAAGACUGUAAAAAGACUAGACCAUUGUAAGUUGCAAACCACCCUAUCCAGAGUCGCCAAGUAUGCCCAUUAAUCCAAGUGAAUGAGCUACCUAAAAAGCCAACAUCCUCCAAACUACAGUCUAGUACAGCCAAAUUAAAGGCAUCUAUAAGGACUUGAGUCUGGUUAUGUCCACCGGAGAUCUCAGAUAAAGACUGAACAACAUUAAAGUCUCCCCCAACCAUCCAAGGACCAUCCAUACCAUCAGCAAAAGACACAACAGCAUCCCAUAAUUGUUCUCUUACAGAGAUGAACAACUGGCAUAAACAAGUGAGAUAAAUACAAUAUCAGGAAGAAAUUAGUGACUGGCCCGAUAGUGCAGAACCUAUCCCACAUCCUGAAUAACCUCCAAUGUAAAAGAAGCCAACCAGAAAACCCAAAUCUUCCCAGAAGAAGAGGAAAUAGCUGAUUCUAUUCCUAGUCGAUUCCGAGUGGACUCAAGUUUGUCUAAAUAAAGAAAAUGCUCCAACACACAAACUAAGGACAAAUAGUGCAUGUGAAUAAGUUUCUUCAAGCAACUGCAGGGGCUUUACCGAUGCCCCGUAUAUUCCACAUAAUGGAAUUAAUCAUCUAUGUAAAUAGAAGCGAGAAUUGUCCCCUUAAUUAUUUAAUAACUCAGGUAUUUAUUAUCAAGUACAUCAUCUUAUUCAACAUUUUGGCUAUAUAUAAAGAUUAUAAUUUCUAACAGUUGUUUCGGAUUCUUGUGUACUCAGGUUAAUAGGGCAAAUGUCAGAAUGAAGACUGUUCAGUUUAACCGGUUUAGCAAGGAUGAUAUCGGUGAAGAAGAUUGUUGGCAGGCCAAAUAGAGCCCUCCAUUUUGAGAAAUAUCAUCCGCAAAUUUGAAUUGUUGAGCAUGUGAAGUUAACCUUCUUAGUGAGUGAGAAAUUAAGCAUAUAUCAGUGAUUUUGGUCGUCAGUGAAUGUUUUCAUUUAAUAUUAAUACACUGUCGUUUCUUAGUAAAUUCUCUUCAUGUCACUUCCUCCUUGUCGUUCUUAUGGAAAUACCUUCCUUUUUGACCAGUAGCGGCUCGACCUCUAGGCAACUUAGGCGAUUGCCUAGGGCCCCGCUUUACAUGAAGGCCCCACGAGAUGAUUAUUUUGUAUGUAAAAGGGGAAAAUGGAUUUAAAAGUCAUUAUUAUUCAUUUAAUUUAUUAUUAUUUUGUCAUUAUCUUUUCCUAAAUAAACUAUCAAAUUCCUAUAAAGUUUAUUUAAUGUAGUACUUAGUAGUUUUAGUUUCUGCAAAACUGAUAAAUUAAUAGUUUCAAUUCUACAAAUUCUCUAUUUCAUUGUUAGAAUUAAUAUAUUAUAUUUUAAAAGUUUUAUAUUCAUUUUAAACCUCUAUAAAAGCCCCACAUUUUAUUACUUAUCCAUUGAAUUUUUCCUCCAACAAUCAAGAUAUGAUAUGUUCUUGGUGUUCGAGAGAAAGAAAGAGAGAGAGGGAAAAAGAUCCUGCUUCCUCUACUUUCCACGCAAGAAGAAAAAGAAAAAAUCUAAUAGUUUUCUCUAUUCUCUAUGACUAUUGGUCAUUACUUAAAUCCUCAAACAAUUAAUAUAAACAUAAUUUAUGAUUUCAUCUCAAUUUUCAGAUUUUAUCUUUUUAUUAUUCGUUUAAUUAGUUGUGUUAUUUAUUUGUUCUUAUUUCUUUUUAAUAUAUUCUUUUAUUCAUCUACUUUUUUGUGUGUACUUGUUUUAUCUAUUUUAAAAUAAAACUAUAUUGAAAAACUUUAAAGAAUAGAAGAAUAGAAAAAUUAGUUUAAUUUAGAAAAUGAGUAGUAAAAAAGAUAUAAUUUGAGUUAAAAAAAUAAGUGGAAAUAUUAUAAUUGAAUCAAAAUUUAAUGCAUUAGCAACAUUAGAAUAGAAUUUUAUUUAAUAAUUUUAAAUUUUAGAGUGUUUAAAGAAUUGAUUUUCAAUAAAUAAUAUAUAUAUAUAUAAUCUUAAAUUUUAAGAAAAACUAAUUAAAAUCAUUUGCCUAAGGCCCUAAAUAUGGUUGAGCCGGCCUUGUUUUUGACAUGCAAAAUACAUUACAAAAGCUCCCAAACAAUAUAUUUGAACGAAGUUACCCUUUUCGAGAAUUUUGACUCCCAAACAAGCCUGCAGAGUGGUGUAUGGUGGGAUUAGCUGCAGGAGCAGUGCAAGAUUCUUCGUCAAGCUAUCUGGCUGGUAAAAAGACUGUUGCCAAACCUCCUUUUCAUUCCUUUGUUCACUUAUUCAUUAUAAAUAGAGUAAACUUAGAAGAUUGUUCUGUUAACUAUCUAAGCCAGUGUAACAUUUGUUAAAUUUGGGCCAUCUUGAAUGUCUGACAGGUUGUCUGUGACAAUCCCAGCUGUAAGUACUAAUGCAUUUGGGCCAUCUUUAAUGCACUUGUGCUUUCAUUGAACUGUAUGCAAACAUGAGAUAUCAGCUAUUGCGUGGAUUUGAUAGAGCGGUCACCAACCAAUUUGAAGUUAUUGGAGUAGCUCAAUGUUCUCAAGCACGGCUUUGAGGUCUCUCCCUGUCUCUUUUACGUAUUUGUCUAUUGAUCGACAUCUCUAUAUAUACAUUAAUAGACCAAAUUACUCUUGCUUUAAUGUUUUGUUUGUUGAACUUCGACUGGGGAAUUUGUUUAUUUGUCUCAUAUGAUGUCAAUGUGGUUCCCAUUGAAGUGUAUAGAUCUAUCACCUCAAAUUCUGAUUUCAAUUUUCCUUAAUCAACUAGCAUCCUUUCCAAGUCCAGAUAAUUACCAUUUCUCUUAUUUUACAGUUAAAUAUGUAAGAAUAGUUUUAAAUUUACAGAAUUCUGAUAUAGUUCUCUAAGGAAAUGGGAGUGGUGAAUAUGGUUCCAUCUUUUUAAUAGGCUUAAUAGGCCCAUUUGUUGAGCCACAGAAUUCUGAUUGCGGUCUAAAUUCUUCUUUACUGUCUAUAUGUGUUGGAGUUUGUCUAUUGUCCAACUUCUCGAAGGGAUUCCAUGCAGGGUUUUGACUGUCCAAUUAGGAGAAAGAUCAACGGAUGACCUUUUGAAGAAGGCUUACACAAGAGGGCAUCUCAGAAUGUCAUGGCUCAGCUCAAAAGUCCCUAGGUGGUUGAUACCAAAGAAUGCCAUUGUUUCUGGGCCUGGGCUCCUUGGCGUCAAACAAGAUAAUGUUGACUCUAUUGAAGGGCAAAUAGGGGCAACUAAAGCAUAUAAUGUGUUUUUGUCACUUUUGUGAUACACUUUUGACCGCAAGUUUCCAUUUGAAGUAGCCGAUAUUCUUUACAGACUAAUUAUCUAAUGAUUAUUUUGUACAAAAAAAAUCAUAACUUUAAUUAAUUGAUCAUACUCAACUUAGGUCUUGUUUGAUAUUACUAGUUGUUGUGAAAAAAAAAAAAAACUGAAAGCUGACAAUGUGUAGUAAAUGUAUGACUUUUAGAUAAUAAUUUUAAUAAAAUUAAUAAAGAUAUUAUAAUUUUUUUAUAAUAAAGUAUGAGAUCAAAUCAAAUUAAUUUUUAAGUCAUAAUAGCAAAUGUUUAUCAAAACUGUUUAAUUACGUGGCUUAAAAAGUAUAGUUGUCCAACCUCAACAUUAUAUAAGGAUUUACCAGACUCUACCCGACUUUAGUUGUCCUUACUCGAUCAUGCAAGUCCAUACUCGAUAUGCUUGACCAUAUAAGAUGUUACUCAACUUUAAUUAAUCUUGCUCGACUUUGCAAGUUUGGCAUGUGGGAUGGAAUAUGAUAGUAUAUGAUGUGAUAGAAUAUUAUAGAAAUAGUUGUAACAGGAUUACAUUUAGUACUAUUUAAUAUUUUAUGUAAUGCAGUAGAUGGUUGAAUUAUAGGAUCUAGUUAUGGUGCAAUUGUUGUACCAUACCACAGUUGCUUUCAGCCAUUGGAUCUAUUCAUCUUUAGUAAAAUUGUAAUAUCUUAAAUAAUAGUUAUCUUUAGUAAGUAUUUUUUGUAAUGAAUUAUACUUUUAAAAUAUAAUCGAAAAUUCUUUUACUAAACUAAUAAAAAAUAAUUAUUUGAGUUAUCUCCUAAACUACUUAGCUCAGGUGAACGAAACAGUAGUUUUACGUGGGAGCCACAUCCUUUCCACAUCAACCUCAACAUCCAAACAUGAAAUUGGACUAAAAAUAGUUCUCUCCCAUGAAUUUAUGUACCCUCCUGCCACUAGGGGUGUUCGCGGAUCAGAUUUUAUGGAUUGAACCUCAAUCUAUAUUCGAUCCAUGAUUUUACGGAUUAUAAACUUUCAAUCUAAUCCAAUCCAUGGAUUGAUGAAAUUUAAUCUACAUUCAAUCCAUACAUCUAUGGAUCAGAUGUGGAUUUGACCCAAUCCACCAUUUUACAGAUUGGUUUGCGGACUGAAAUUUUUUAACACUACUAGAAAAAUGGUCUUUACCGACACUUGGUUUGUGACACUUUAUUACAAAGUAUCAGUAUUUGUAUACAUAUGGGCCAUUUUCCAUGUUUAACACAUAAGUAUUACAAAUUAAUGAUACUAUGGUGUCUGAAAUUUGGACAUCAGAAAUCACUGACACUAAAGUAUCAGUAAUAAAAAUAAAAUAAUUCUAAUCAUGUAACGGAUGGAAUCCGAACCGGGGACCUCGAACAUCGGAACAUUUAAGUGACACUAAGGUAUCAGUAAAAGAAAAUAAAAUUUAAAUUUCGUUCCAAACUGAUAUUCGAACCUAGGACUUUUCAAAGCCAAAGCUUUUAAGUUGAAAAUUGAAACCGUUAUGACUUUUUGUUAGUUAUGGUACUGAAUUAGUAGAAUAUUAUGUUUUUAAUAUGAAGAACUUGAAAUGUAUUGAGCGCGGCUGAGUGAAAAUUUUAGCGGGUUUUGGCUGAAAAUUUACUAGUAAAUAAUAUAUAAGUGACACUAAGGUAUCAGUAAAAGAAAAUAAAAUUUAAAUUUCGUUCCAAACUGAUAUUCGAACCUAGGACUUUUCAAAGCCAAAGCUUUUAAGUUAAAAAUUGAAACCGUUAUGACUUUUUGUUAGUUAUGGUACUGAAUUAAUAGAAUAUUAUGUUUUUAAUAUGAAGAACUUGAAAUGUAUUGAGCGCGGCUGAGUGAAAAUUUUAGCGGGUUUUGGCUGAAAAUUUACUAGUAAAUAAUAUAUUUUCAGUUAGAAACGGUAUCGUUUCACUUAGAAAAAAUAAAGAUAAGUAAAACGCAUCGUUUUAUUCAACUCUAAGACCAAAAUCGAAGCUAAUUUUUUUCUAAGUCAUUCACUCAUCAGUCUUUCACCCCUCGGUUCUCCUUCUCUGUCAAAGCUAAGUAAACCAAACCCUAAAAUCAUAUCCCUCACUGUAAUCAAACUUCACGUCGAUCCCAACCAAGCUCGAAGCAGAGGAAUUCAUUUCUAUCAUGAUUUGGUUCUCUCUCUCUCUCUCUUCACUGCGAUAAAUUCGUUUAUGAAGGGGCAUUUUAUUCAUUUUUUUCUUUUUAAUUAUUAUGUUUCCAAUUUACAGUGCCUAUUUUCCUCAUGCAUGUUGUUUUGUUGCGGUUUAACUAUAGAAUGAGUUUUAAAAUUCUUAGUUUUAUAUUGUAAUCUUGAUUGUUUAUAAUUUGGGACCUGGGAAAACCUAAUAGAGAGGUAAAGGUAACUAAAGUUGAAUUAUUGUACUAGAUUAUUUAACUAAGAGUAGUUUUAUAAAUGCCUGAUUCAAAUCAGUUUUCUUUCGUCUCUUUCUUUAGUUGCCAUGUCACUGGACUUUGAAUUUCAUGUACACUUUAACUGGAAUUGAUGGAUACAAUGUCAAUGCAGAUUUGGGUUUUUCUCAUUUUCCCCAUUUCUCGAAAUUGCAUUUUAAAUUUUGCAUGAUGCUUUUAAUUUUGGGCCUAACUUGUUCCAUUUAAUUAGCGCUUGAUAAAGAUACAUAUUAACAAAGGGUCAAUUCAUUAAUCCUUUCCCUGUAAUGCACUUGCUAGACUUAGUAUAAAUGCAAUAUCUCACAUGCAAACCCUUCGACAACAACAAGUAUUGUCCUUAAUUUUUUUUUAUGUGAUUUCCCUUGUACAGCUCUCUGACAUAGUAAUUAACAAUCUCUCGCUUUUGAAGAAUCACAAAAGUUUACGGGGUAACAGCUGUCUUCAUUUGGUAAUUCUUUUAAAUCACUCACUUUCUUUCAAUUUCUAUCAUCGUUGUGUUCUGAGUUUUACUUGUACUGACAUGUUUUAAAUAUUGACAUGCAUGGUUUUACUUUCGUUUUUGUUGCAUAGACUGUUCUGGAAUAAAAUUUUUUAUUCUAAUAUAUACUUUUGUUUGUUCUAAUAUGAAAAUGAAAUUUUGAAAAAUGUGGAUGUGGCAUGUUUUGUUGGCUUGGUGAAUGUGUACAUGUAAGUUAGAUUUGCUGGCUUGGUGAAUGUGUACAUGUAUGCUCUGUUGGCUUGUUGAAUGUGUACAUGUAUGCUUUGUUGGGUUGCUGAAUGCUUACGUAUAUGCUCUGUUGGGUUGCUGAAUGCGUACAUAUAUUUAAGUGACUCUAAACAAAUAGAAUUUAGAUUUAUUUUGCAAUUUUUAUUUUUUUAUUUAAACCUAAAAGUUUGGAGUUAUUUGUGCAAUUUAAGUAAACUUAUUAAACUAACAACAUCUAACAAAUGAACAGGUAACAAUACAUAUUAUGGACAAAACUUGGAUAUUCUGUGAUAGAUUGUCUGAUGAGUAUAGUGAUGGGGUUGAUGAUUUCUUGGAGUUUUCCAUUCUUAAUUCUGAAAAUAGAAUGUCAAUUAGAUGUCCUUGUACUACUUGUUGUAAUAUGGAGUUUUUGAGUCCUCAACAAGUGAGGCUACAUCUAUUUAAAAAAGGUUUUCUAGAAAACUAUUUAGUUUGGAAUUGGCACGGUGAGGUGGACCGGAAACCUGCCUCUGUAAAAUGCCAAGACCAGCCACAAAAUCAACGUUUUAGAUGUCCGGAUUAUAGUUAUGUAGACGACUUGGUUCAUGAUGCUUUUGAGCAUUGUGAUAAAGAUUCUAGUUCUUUUAAGAAUGUGCUUGAAGAUGCUGAAAAGCCCCUAUAUCCAGGUUCAAAGCAUUCAAAGUUAUCGAGUCUAAUGAAAUUGUACAAUAUAAAAGGACUUUAUGGCUGGUCUGAUGGUGGGUUUUCAGUUUUGUUGGAAGUGCUUAAUGAGAUAUUGCCAAAUGAUAAUAGUUUGCCUAAGUCCAUGUAUGAGGCCAGAAAAAUAAUGAAGCUAUUAGGCUUAGAUUAUGAGAAAAUACAUGCAUGUUGAAAUGAUUGCAUUCUUUAUAGGAAUGAGUUCGAGAAUCUUAGUGAAUGCCCAAGGUGUGGAGCAUCUAGGUGGCAAAUAAGAAAAGAUGGAUAAAAAAAAAUUAGAAAGGGGGUCCCUAAAAAGGUGUUAUGGUAUUUUCCUUUAAUUCCUAGGUUGAAAAGAAUGUUUCAAUCACCACAAACUGCUGAGAACUUAACAUGGCAUGAAAAUAAAAGAAUUAGAGAUGGCAAGCUUCGCCACCCAGCAGAUUCACCAGCUUGGCAGUUAAUUGAUAAGAAAUGGCGUGAUUUUGCCCAAGAGCCAAGAAAUCUUCGGUUCGCUUUAUCAUCUAAUGGGAUUAACCCACAUAGCACACUUAGCACUACUUAUAGUUGUUGGCCUGUUACAUUGAUAACAUAUAACCUUCCUCCGUGGCUAUGUAUGAAGAGGAAAUUUAUGAUGUUGUCUCUACUGAUAUCUGGCCCUAAACAACCUUGGAAUGACAUAGAUGUAUACCUAGCACCAUUGAUUGAGGACUUAAAAACCCUAUGGGAUGUAGGCGUCGAUGUGUUUGAUGGUUAUAGGAAAGAAACUUUUAAUUUACAAGCUGUGUUGAUGUGGACAAUUAGUGAUUUUCCAGCUUAUGGAAACCUGUCUGGGUGUACUGUUAAGGGGUAUUAUGGUUGUCCAAUUUGUGUGCUAAACACAUGUACAUGUUGGCUACCGCAUAGUCGGAAAAUGUCAUAACACCAAGUUUGGGAAAAAGGUCUAAAAAAAGUGAAAACGGGGUGAGGUUGAGGGUCACAAUAAGGAUCAAGGUGAGGGUAACAGUAAGGGUAACAGUAAGGGUAAAGGUGAGGGUGAGGGUGAGGGUGAGGGAGAUGGUGAGAUUGAAGGUGAGGGUGAGGGUAAUGGGGAUGUAGCUCAGUUGCUAUACAAAAAGAGAUCAAUCUUCUUUGAUUUAGAAUAUUGGGAACAUUUGUUAGUUCGCCAUCAACUAGAUGUGAUGCAUAUUGAGAAAAAUGUAUACGAGAGCAUCUAUGGCACAUACUCCAUCAAGCGGGGAAAACAAAAGAUGGAAUUAUUGCUAGAAAAGAUCUUACACAUCCAGAGCUUAGAGAAAAAAUUAACAAAGCAUUGAUUGUAUUAGCUCCUAUUGAACAAAACAAAGUCCUGCCCCCUGCCCCGUACACUUUAAGUAAGAAGGAAAAAAAAUUGUUCUGUGAAACCUUGCAAAGUGUUAAAGUUCAUGAUGGCUAUUGUUCUAAUUUUAGAAAUAUUGUUUCAAUGGAUGAUUGUCGUCUUCACGGGCUUAAGUCUCAUGAUUGUCAUACCUUGAUGCAACAACUGCUACUAUUAGCAAUUCGAAAUUGUUUACCUCAAAAUGUCAGAUAUGUCAUAAUCAGGUUGUGCCUCUUCUUUAAUUCUUUAUGUUCUAAGGUAGUAGAGCCUAAUUCUCUAGACCAAUUGCAAAAAGAACUUACAACCACCUUAUACAAUUUAUAACAAUCUUUCCUACCUGCCUUCUUCGAUAUAAUGGUCCAUUUAACAGUCCAUCUAGUUGAAGAAGUUAGAUUAUGUGGUCCGGUUUACCUUCGAUGGAUGUAUCCAUUUGAAAGAGAAAUGAAACCUAUAAAGGGCUAUGUACGCAACCGAUACCGUCCUGAAGGUUGCAUUACAGAGUGCUAUAUUACUGAGGAAGCACUUGAAUUUUGUGCUGAAUACCUUUCAAAUUGUAAUUCAAUCGGAAUACCUACUGGUUGUCUAAUUGAUUUUACAGUCGAAAGGCCACUCGGAGGUGCAAAUAUUAAGGUGGUUGAUGGCCUUACAUUGGCGCAAGCGCACCGAUGUGUUUUGGUGAACACCCCCGAGAUUCAACCAUACAUAGAGUAUGUGACUGAAAAUUUGAACCUCUUUUUCGUUCAUUUUUUUUUCAAUUUUAUUAAUUCCGUUGGUAUAAUUUUAGGGAGCAUUUGGCCUUAAUGCAAUCAACACACCCUCGCCAAUUAAAAAAGCCUUUAUGGUUGCCAACUGAGCACUCCCGUAUGUUUGUUGAUUGGCUGAAACAAAAGGUUAGAUUAACUUCAUUAGAUCUAAUAAAAGUAUCCAAGUAAAAGCACACAAACUUUUCUCUUUCAACUAAUUAUUGUGAUUUUAUUAAUUAAACAAUAGGUAACAACUGAUGAAGCAAAUAAUGUAGUGGUUGACGAAAAAGUAUGGCGGCUGGUAAACAAACCCCACUCAAGCGUGGUUACAUAUGAUAGCUACUGUAUUAAUGGUUUUAAUUUUGCUACAAGAGAUCAAGACAACAACCACAUAACACAAAACAAUGGCGUUUAUGUAGUUGCUAACACUUUACAGAUUUCAAGUUCGAAAGACAAAAAUCCUCAUUCUGGGGAUAUGCCUUUUUAUGGGGUUGUCAGUGAAAUUUGGUAGCGUGAUUAUCUGGGGGUUAAGAACGUAGUUUUCAAGUGCGAUUGGGUAGAUGAUAGAGGGGUUAAUGUUGAUGAGUUAGGGUUCACUGUAGUCAAUUUAGAUCGAAUAGGCUACAAAUCUGAUUGUUUCAUUCUAGCUGGUCAUGCAAAGAAAGUGUUUUAUGUGAAAGAUCAGUUAGAUAAUAGUAAAUCAGUUGUUUGUUCAGUGAGCUCAAAAUGUAAUUAUUCAAAUGAGGCCUUGUGUGAUGGCAUCGAUGAGUAUGUACCAUUAUCUAACAAUUUUCCAGAAUUUAAUUUAGGUUUGGGUGAUGAGGAGUUUGUGUAAGAGUAGUUGUUGAUGUUUUUCUUGUAAAUAUUGGUGCGGAAAAUGAAUAAUCCAACUACUAUGCCUUAUUACCACUACUUCCCAUAAGUCACCAACAAAUUUGUUUUUUAUUAUUUUAUUAUUAUAUUGGGAUAUUAGAUUGGUAUCUGGUGCACUCAUCCACUUUGAUGUAUUUGCAGGUUUGUUGGAGACAUGGCAGAUAAAAAAGAGCCAACAUUUGAUCCAUAUCUAGAAGGAAGACCAAGACGAAACCUUACAAAGAAGAAAGACCUGCAGAGAGGAGCUACCACACUGAGGUUAUGUACAAUUCCUACGGAGUUUCGGUUGGAAAAAAGAUAAACGAUCUGAGGAACUACAUUGGGGUGAUUGUACGGGAAAGAGUUCCAAUUAUAUAUGAUGAUUGGAGGAAAGUGCCACUAGACAUCAAAGAGAAGUUAUGGACUCAUUUUCAGGAAAUGUUUAAGUUGAGUCUUAAGGCGAAAACCCAAGUGUUCAAGUGGAUGGGAAUUGCAUUAAGGGGCUUUAGAUGUAAGUUGGCCAAUGAAUAUAUUCUGCCCAAUGCAAACAACUUGAGUUCACUUAAAAAACCUCCUCUUGAGUAUGAAGGCAUUAGAAAAGAGGACUGGAAGAGCUUUGUUGAUAAGAUUUUAUCCGAAGACUUUCAGGUAUGUUUAAAAUUAUGUUAGUUAGAUAAUAUUAUUGAGUUUGUAUAACCAUUUUAAUCAAUAUCCGUUGUGUGCAGGAAAAAAGUAAGGCAGCUGUUGUGCAAAUUUUAAUGUACUCGCAAGCGCACGAAUCUAUUGUAGUAUAGACUAAUGGUGACGAGUGUCGAUCCCACGAGGAGGUGGAUUUUAAUUAUAUGUAGAAUUAAUUUUGUAAAUGGGUGGUUGGAAUUGUGGUGGAAGUGAUUUAAAUUAUCCUAAAAUUGGAAUUGAAAUGGCGAUAAUAAAUUCUAAAAUUGGAAUUGCAAUGGCGAGAAUAAAUUGAAGUGAAAUCUAUUGAAAUAACGUACUUGGGUAUCUGGAUCCGUAUCAACAUGCAUCAUGGGCUAAAUAAUCCGUAUUAAUGCCAAUUAAAUCAUGAGGGGGGAAUCCACACCUCAUGAACCACGCUCUAAUCAAUAUGGUGCUAAGGGCUUAUCGUGCCAAAUAAUAAUAACCUUGUACUAGAGAGCCGGUGUAACCAAGGCGGUACUAGACAAGAUUAGUAUUAUUUGUCGACGAGAAGUCAAAACAUCUACAAAAACUAGAGGGGAAGAGAAACUAAAUUUACCAAAAUAAAGCCCAUGACACAUGUUGAGACUUCACCUUCAACCCAAGCUUGAAAGAAAAUUAGCCACUCAUAAUUGAACUAGGGGCAAAAUGGGAAUUUAUUAAAAUACGAAGAAAAUACAAGAUGGAGAGAGAAUUACAGAAAAUGGAUCCCAAAAAUGGAUUCAGAGAUAUCAAAUUAAGGGGGGGAGGCCCCCUUUUUAUAGAUACAUCGAGUAAAUCAUGCCCAUCGGAUUAAAAACAGUUUGGACGCUCAGGAUUGUGCCACGUCAUCAGUCAAUAGUACGCGGUUUGACCACGCGGAUGAACAGUAACACGGUUUGACCCAGGUGAACAGUGACGCGGUUUGGUUGAAAAUAAUCCUGUAUGAUGCAUGUACCGUACGCGAGAUUUUUCGUCCACUGAUAUGCUGCCACGUCACCAUCAACAGUACAUAAGAAUUUUAGCCCAAUAGGAUCGUGACACCUCAUCGGUCAAUGCCACAUCAUCGGUCAAUGCCACGUCAUAGAUCCGUCUAUGUGAACAGUGUCGUGAACAGUAACGUAGACAGUAUCGUACACGUGAAUAGUACCGUACAUGUGAAUAGUGCCAUUUUUCCUUUUAUGCUCCUCCUAAGAUUUUCGACCGUCCUGAGUUCAAAAGUGAUGUCCGUUUUGCCAUCUGAUCUCUCGUUUAUUGUGAAAUGACUAUGAUGCCCCUAAAAUACAUAAAAUACUUAAUUAAAAUCGAACACACAUAAUUAUAUUGCAAAAAGCUUAAAUACAUAAAAGUAAUGGUUGUUAGUAAAACUUGAAAUGUAAAAUGAUGAUUUUCUCCUUUAUAAAUAUGCAUUUUCUAACACUCAACACACCCCCCAACCAGCUUAUUGCUAGUCCCUAGCAAAUAAAACGAAAACAAAAUUCAAAUCCAAAAUGAUUUUUUUUUUAAUAGAAACACUCGUGUUUAUUCAAUCAGAUUAAUGAUAGCAAUCAAAUAAAAGUAUAAGCAUUAUCUCCAGUCUAAAGGAACAUUACACCCACAUCAACUAUCCACAUGAAUCAGCCCAGUAGAUUUUGUUAUAGCUACUUUCAAGAAUGACAUGUCAAACUCCAAAAUCUCACUGGAAGUAGUGACACUCUCACAAAGAUAUUAAACCCAAUAAAAAUAGUCACUCCAAUGAAUGGUAAUUGAGAGAAAAUAAUAAAGAAGUGUAUCACAUGCUCUCACCAAGAUGAAAGAAAUAUGCCCUCAGCUUAGAAAUAAUACGAUCUCAAGUCAAACAAAAAUGCUAGUCAACCCAUUUUAUUUAUUCAUUUAUUUUUAUUUUAUUUUUUUUUAUGCAUCACUACAUCUUUUUAGCCCAUAUAACUAGCUUUUACUUCAAACUAUAGUUCCCUAAAAUCAAGAAAGACUUUUAUUAGGACGUAACGUAGGCUAGGGACAGGGCUAACAAAGAAGGGGAAUAAGGAAAACAAAGUAUAUGUUUGAGAAAAAAUGCAGAGUUUUUUUUUUUUUUUUGGAAGUUGCAAGGUGGAUUUCACCUAUUAUUGUUUUUUUUCCUUUUUUUUUAAGAAAAAAAAUUUUUUUUUUUGAAGCAAUUUUUUUUUUGGACAUAACUUCACUACACAAAAUAUUUAUUUACAUUUUUCUCAAACAUAAAUAGGUGAUGGAACUUGUAAGAUAUUGGAUAAUACUCCAAAUCGGAGUGGGUCAAGAUAAUAAGUUGACAAAGAAAAUAUAUAUAUAUUUUUUUUAAAGGCUCAAAAGAGUUAACUAUGGAUAUUUCAUAAAAGGGAUGGGUAGAAAGGCUCAAACGGAUCAAAGAUGGCAUUUCCAUCAUUUUUUAGGGCUCUAAAUAAUCUUCCAUAGCUACUAAUUAGAUGGGCCUCCAAAUGUAGCAACACACAUUUUUUUUCUUUUUUUUUUCUUUUUUUUGUUUUAUAAUUUUUUUUUAAGGGUUAACUCAAAAGAAAUCUGGAGAUCGUAUAUACAAUAAUAAACUGCUAAGCUGUAUAAAGAAUAGGCAAAAGGGUUACUCUCCAAGAAAAAUGAUAGGCUCAAAAGCUCACUUGGUACUUAUUAUGACAUGUUCAUUCCUUCAAGCAACUCAUAUUUGUCUCCGACAUCAACAUGUAAAGUAGCAAACAUAGUGUAACAUCACUUCAGACUAAAGAUAAUACAAAUACUAAAAUUUGCAAUUCAUCAUGUCAUCCAAUGUUAACACAAAUCACAAUUUUUUUUUUAAUUUGAAACAACAUUCUACCCCCCAACCUAUUCUAAACAUGAAAGGAAAAUAUGCAUGCAGAAAUGUGAAAAUUAUGUAGAAAAAUUUAUUAGAAAAAGAAAUGUUUUUUUUUUAACUAAGAAGAUGCGUUUCUAGAGGCACGACACUCCAUAUUCAGCCAUCUUCGACUCAAAAAUUGGAAAAUAUAUAUUUAUAAAGGAGAAAGAGGAAGAAAACAAUUUUUUUUUUCAAACGAUGAAGAUGCGUUUCUAGAGUAACUACACUCCAUAUUCAGCCAUCUUCAACACAAAACGUUCGCAACAGUUAGUUUCUACAACAAAAAAUUAGUAAAAACUUAACCAAGAUUCCACAAUUGUCGACUAUUCCCUCCCUCCAACCAGAACGAAACAUUGUCCUCAAUGUUUGAAAGGAAAGAAGUAGAGUUUAGAAGACAUCACCUGGGUGGUGCAACACAGAAGAAAAUAUUUACAGGCGGAGAGUUAAAUCUAAUUUGUACUUCUUACUGCGGCUACUGUUACCAUCAUUAUUUGGUCGCUCUAACACAAAGGUCCAGGGGUCUGGCUCCGGUUUAUAAGCUUGUAACAUAUCAAGUAACUCAUUAGCAGUGUGAGCACAAAUAAAGAGUUUUUUCACAUUAGAAGGAAUGAAAUAGUUUUUUAUUGCAUGGUUAAGAGAUGCGAUAAAGCCAUCAUAAAAGUUAUUGACAUUUAACAAACCGAUGGAUUUCUGGUGGAUGUGCAGAUGGGCCCAAGAUGCUAGUGUGAUAAGUGCCUCUAGUGUUGCAAGAUCUCCUGGAAGGAAAAUAAAAGCAUCAGCAUAAUUAAGCAUUUCAGUUAUUCUUUCUUGCAUACCUGAGACGACUAACUCUUCUCCAGUUGAUGAGUCAGACGAACUGCCCAAUGGUUUUAAGACUCUUGGGAUGAUGCCUAACACUUGACUUCCUCUGAUAAAAGCUGCUUCUGAGACCAUUUUUGAUAACCCUCGGUUACCUCCUCCAUACACCAAAUAUAAAUUUCUCGCCGCUAUGCUUCGACCAAGAUCUAUGGCUGCCUCAACGAACUCUUUAUGUUUGCCAUAGGUAAAUCCAGAAAGCACACAAAUGUUCUUGAAUUGUCUAUUGGGAGUAGCUGCCAUUGGAAUAUUUCUCAAAAACAAUUUGUGAGUGUUUGACAAAAGAAAUCACAUUUAAGAGUCUUGGUGAUAGUGGGUCACAGCUGUGAAUGAGGUAACAUGUCAGUGUCAAAUAACGCGUGAAGCACAUGGCUCGCGAGUCAAAAAGGAAACAGUAAAAAGGAAAAAGCAAACAGUAAUAAAAUUAUUAAAGAUAAUAAUGCAAACAAUAAAACAACAGUGAAAUGAAAUAAAAUAACAGUAAAGUAAAAGGAUAUUUACACGUAGUUGCGACUGUGGCUCACAUCUUCCUCUAGUUUUACGUCCAGAAAUGGCUUGAACGCCCUCUAUGGGUCGAGGAUGGGCUUCCCAUCCAGUUUUCUUAUAAACUGGCAAACAGGGUCGUUUAUAGUCAAAUUCCUGAGACUAUACCGUGCAUGCUCUUUUUGAAAUAAUGGCCAUAACUGGAGAAUCGCUCCUUGCACAUAUCCACUGGGAUGCGUUUCAAGAGACAGAAGGAUAUCAUCCAAUGACUCCUUAUUCAAGCCAUCCCUAAUGAAUUGAAUCUUAUCUUCUCUGUUAUCAGACACCAUUCCUAAAGAACAUGGGUUUUUAUCGCAACUCAUUCUGGCACACUUAUAACAAGCAACAGAAAUUCUUCGAGCUCGUCGUUUUCUUGCAUAAUUUCCUUUUCCACAACCAGGCAUGUAUGCAAUAAAUUUAGAAGGUAACUCACCUGCCAAUCGUACUUUAGCCUCGAUUAACCAACGGAUGUCUGCAGGUAUGUUAUUCCUCAUGAGCAAUCGCAUGCGUUCAGAUCGAGCUUUAUAGAUCGUAAGGAGGGCAUUCUGAGGGAGUGAAGGAAAUCGCUUGUGAAGCUUCGCUAGAAUCUCGUUUCUGUCCAUACCUUCGCCUCAGAAUAUCAGUUAUUAUGGGAAAACUGAAGUAACCGACUUGGUUGUCACGGAGUACCGUUAUCCGCCACUUUACCGGGGUAACAAACUAAAGCACACAAACAGAAAAACAAAUUAAAACACACAAAGAAAAUUAAAAUCGUCCUCUUAUUAAAUUUACCUCAAGCUCCAACUGGAUGUCGUAAACACUUCUCUCAAUGUCUCUGAGUUGGCUUUCUAAACCCUCAACAUAGGCUACUAACUCUGGUGGUUGUAGAGCCCAAAUACGAUGUGUUUUACAAAAUUGAAUCUGCCUUUUGAGAUGAGUUUUGACACGUUGAAGUGGUUUAAGAAUGUUCAAGAGGAACGGUUUAAGCAUGGUACUCAUGAUUAAUAAUAAUAAGAGAAAACUUAAUGGUUAAACAAACACACUUAUGCAAAAAUAAUUUCAAUUAGCAAAAGAAUAAUAUAAAGAGAAAAAAAAUCAAAUCACCGAAAAGAAGAAAAAAAAUCAAUUCAAAUCUGGUGGGUCACUCAAAUUUAUUUCGGUAUCUUCUCCAUGUGCUUGGUACUCUAAAUAUGGCUUUAAUCUUUGACCAUUGACUUUAAACAUGACACCGUUCUUUGGGUCUUUAAUUUCAAUUGCCCCAUGUGGAAAAAUAGUAUGAACAAUAAAUGGACCAAACCAACGAGAGCGUAACUUACCUGGGAAUAGGUGCAAGCGAGAAUUGAAUAAAAGCACUUUCUGACCUGGAGUGAAAGAUUUUCUCAUAAUUUGCUUGUCGUGAAAGACUUUCAUUCAUUGCUUGUAAAUCUUGGCAUUUUCGUAUGCAUCAUUGUGAAUUUUUUCAAGUUCUGCCAGUUGUAAUCUUCUUUCUGAGCUGGCUUGCUGCAUGUCAAAAUUGAAUUUCUUGAUGGCCCAAUAUGCACGAUACUCGAGUUCCACAGGUAGGUGGCAAGCUUUUCCAUACACUAGCCUGUAGGGUGACAUCCCAAUCGGGGUCUUGAAAGCCGUUCUAUAUGCCCAUAAUGCAUCAUCAAGUCUUAAUGACCAAUCUUUUCUGUCUGGCCUCACCGUCUUUUCUAAUAUGUGCUUUAUUUCUUGAUUGGAUAUCUCAACUUGGCCACUGGUUUGCGGAUGAUACGGAGUCGCCACUUUGCGUGUGAUUGAAUACUUUGUCAAAAGAGCUUUGAAUGCUUUAUUACAAAAGUGGGCACCACCAUCACUGAUUAUUGCUCGAGGGAAUCCAAAGCGUGAGACAAUGUUGCUUUUCAAAAAUCCUAUCACCACUUUGUGAUCAUUGGUCCUACAUGGAAUUGCUUCUACCCAUUUCGAUACGUAGUCAACAACAACCAAUAUGUAUUGAUGGCCAAAAGAAGGGGGAAAAGGUCCCAUGAAGUCGAUACCCCAUACGUCAAAAAUCUCAACCACUAAAAUUGGAUUUAGUGGCAUCAUGUUCCUUCGUGUAAUGCUCCCCAUUCGUUGACACCUAUCACAUGAAGAACAAAAAGUGUAAGCGUCUCAAAAUAGUGUUGGCCAAUAGAAACCACAUUGUAAAACUUUAGUCGCUGUUUUCUUAGCACUGAAAUGGCCUCCACAAGCUUGUUCAUGGCAGAAUGAAAGGAUAUUCUGAAUUUCAUUUUCUGGGACACAUCGUCUAACAAUUUGGUCUGCACAAUACUUGAACAAAUACGGAUCAUCCCAAAAGAAAUUCUUUAUUUCCGUAAAGAAUUUAGCCUUGUCUUGCUUGGUCCAAUGCUCUGGAAGUUUACCUGUAACAAGAUAAUUAACUAUAUCAGCAUACCAAGGUAAUACUUCUACACUCAUUAAUUGUUCAUCUGGAAAUGACUCAUUUAAUGGUAAUGGUUCUGUAAUUGUGUCAAAGUGAAGACGAGAGAGAUGAUCCGCCACAACAUUUUCUGUGCCUUUUUUAUCUUUGAAUUCCAAGUCGAAUUCCUGCAAAAGUAACACCCAACGAAUUAGUCUAGCUUUUGCAUCUUUUUUUGUGAGAAGAUAUUUAAGAGCAGCAUGAUCUGUGAAUAUAAUUAUUUUACAACCAAUGAGAUAAGAUCGAAAUUUCUCUAAUGCAAACACUACUGCUAGCAUUUCUUUUUCAGUAGUUGAAUAGUUCAACUGUGCAUCAUUUAAUGUCAUACUAGCAUAGUAAAUAACGUGGGGAAUUCGAUCAACUCUUUGUCCUAAUACUGCUCCUACUGCAUAAUCAGAUGCAUCACAUAUGAGCUCAAAUGGUAAGCUCCAGUUUGGGGCCUGAAUGAUGGGUGAUGAUGUCAACAAUUGCUUUAAUUUUUCAAAAGCCAUAAGACAUGAAUCAUUAAAGAUAAAAGGUUCAUCCUUAGCAAGUAAAUUGCAUAAGGGUCUAGAAACUUUGCUAAAAUCUUUAAUAAAACGUCGAUAGAAACCAGCAUGCCCAAGGAAAGAUCUUACUUCUCUGACUGUUUUGGGUGGAGGAAGAUUAGAAAUGAGAUCCACCUUGGCUUUGUCAACCUCAAUACCUUUGCUUGAAAUGAUGUGACCGAGAACAAUACCUUGUUUUACCAUAAAAUGGCACUUCUCCCAAUUUAAGACCAAGUUCUUCUCGAUACAUCACUGCAGAACUAGCGUUAGAUGAUGUAAACAUUGAUCAAACGAGUCACCAAAGACAGAAAAAUCAUCCAUAAAGACUUCAAGGAAUCGUUCAACCAUAUCAGAAAAAAUGCUCAACAUGCAUCGUUGAAAUGUAGCAGGUGCAUUACAUAAUCCAAAUGGCAUCCUCCUAUAUGCAAAUGUGCCAAAAGGGCAAGUGAAAGUAGUUUUCUCUUGAUCUUUUGGUGCUAUGAGAAUCUGAUUAUAUCCUGAGUAGCCAUCUAGAAAGCAAUAAAAUUCAUGGCCUGCUAAUCUAUCAAGCAUUUGAUCGAUAAAUGGUAAAGGAAAAUGGUCUUUACGUGUGACAGAAUUCAAUUUUCUAUAAUCAAUGCAUACACGCCAUCCUGUAGUCACUCUAGUGGGUAUCAAUUCAUUAUCAGCAUUCGUAACUACUGUGACUCCUGACUUUUUGGGGACAACUUGUACAGGACUGACCCAUGAACUAUCAGAAAUGGGGUAAAUGAUACCUGCAUCUAAUAGCUUAAGGACUUCAGUUCUAACAACUUCUUUCAUAUUAGGAUUUAACCGACGUUGCAUUUCCCUAGUAGAUUUAACAUUUUCAUCGAGGUGAAUGUAAUGCAUGUAGUCUACUGGGUUUAUACCUUUUAUAUCCGCUAUGGUCCAUCCUAAUGCUCCUUUGUGCUCUUUUAAAACAUCCAACAACUUACCUUUUUGUUCGUCAUUGAGGGAUGAUGAGAUGAUUACCGGCAGAGAACUUUCUUCUCCAAAAAAUGCAUAUUCCAAAGUGUUGGGUAAUGGUUUGAGCUCGAGUUUCGGUGGUGAUUCUGAUGAUGGGAUGAGUUUCUUCUCUGAUGGUGCUAGUUGUUCAACUCUUGACUUCCAUUUAUUAGUGUCCAUCGAUGGUGCUGAGUCAAGUAGGGCGUUGACCUCAUCGACCGAUCUGUCAAUAUCAAAAUCCAAACCAAAGUGAGUUAAACAUGUUUGUAAAGGAUUAUCACUAAGGUUUGAAACAAAAGUGUCAUCAACUAAUGCUUCAAUUAAAUCCACAUCAACAAGUCCAUCAUUUGUAUUGUGAGGUUGUUUGGCAUUGUUGAAGAUGUUCAACUCCAUAGUCAUGUUGCCAAAGGACAACUGCAUAUUUCCAGUCCUGCAUUGAAUGUGAGCAUCCGCAGUUGCCAAGAAAGGUCGGCCUAGAAUAAUGAGGAUGUGCUUCCUUGAAUCCUGUAUUGGUUGAGUGUCAAUUACAAUGAAAUCAACAGGAAAAUAAAACUUGUCUACCUGGAUAAGCACGUCCUCCACAAUACCACGAGGUAUUUUCGUGGACCGAUCUGCAAGCUGUAACACCACUGGAGUUGGGUGUAAUUCUCCCAGUCCAAGUUUCACAAACACAGAGUAAGGCAACAAAUUUACACUAGCUCCUAAAUCCAACAAAGCAUUCUCAAUUGUGUGGUUCCCUAUGCUACAUGAGAUAGUGGGGGAGCUUGGGUCUUUGCAUUUUAGAGGAAUUUUAUGUUGGAGUAUAGAACUAACGUUUUCUGUUAAAAAUGCCUUCUUUUGAACAUGCAUGUUUCUCUUUUUAGUACACAAAUCUUUAAGAAACUUGGCAUAAGAUGGAACUUGCUUUAUAGCAUCAAGUAAAGGGAUGUUAACACUUACCUGUUUGAAGAUUUCGAGAAUCUCACCUGUGGAUUUUUCCUUCUUUCCUUUCGCUAACCUCUGAGGAAAUGGAGCUUUCGGAACAUAUUCUCGUGGGUUGGUUUCUUCUCUGUCCUUCGGUGGUGAGUCCUCAGCAUUUACAGGUACAAUUUGAUUUUCUUUUGUCACCAGCAUCUCCACUUUGUUGUCGACUUCUUUUCCUUUUCGCAAGGUCAUGACGGCUUUGACCUCUCCAUGCUGCUGUGGUGAACUGGUACUUGCUUCAUGUACUCCUUUAGGAUUAGGCACUGGUUGACUUGGAAAUUUACCUUUCUCAACAGUCAUUGCCAAGGUCUGAACUGAAGAAGCGAGUUGUCCCACCAUCUUCUCAAGGCUUGAAACUGAUUGGGUUUGUGAGUUGAAGCCUGCUCGCAACUCAUUUCGUAGUCCAUCAAUGGUGCGGUUCUGUUGCUCAAUCGUGGAGUGAGUAAGAUUCUUGAGAUUCUUGAAUGAAUCCUCCCAUGGUCUGGGUUGAGAGUAAUUCUGGUUCUGAUUGUAUGGUCUAAAUGGGGGCUGAGAGGCUUGAGGAUUUUGAGGAAUUGGUGGAGCUGGAGCUGCUGGUCCAUUCUGUUGGAAUCCUUAAGACCAUGAAAAAUUGGGGUGGUCUCUCCAUCUAGGGUUAUAUGUGUUGGAGUAUGGGUUGUAAUUUGAUGGUUUUCUCAUUACACCUAUGGCAUUGGCUUGAUCUGAGUAUGAGUCAUGGUCAUGUGGCUCUGUUGAUUUAGCAGUUGAUAACGAUGCUAUUUGUCGAGAGAGACCUUUAAUUAUUGCUUUGACUUCUUUAAUUUCUGAACUGGAUUCGCCAAUGUGAACCUCAUUUACUCCCUCAAUUCUUCUAGUAUUCCUGAGUGACCGACUCCGUUGUUGGGAAUUAUCCGCUUGUUGCUGGAAGAAUUCCCAAAUCUCUGAUGCACUUUUUGACAUUAGCUCUCCUCCACUUGUUGCCAUUAGCCAUUCUUGCACAUUUGGUAGUAAUCCCUCCAAAAAGUAUUGGCAUUGGUGCCAUUUCUCGAACCCAUGAUGUGGACACUUCAAGAGUAGCCCAUUGAAUCGCUCCCAUGUUUCGAAAAACUGCUCGUCAUCUCUCUGGGUAAACUCUGAGAUUUCCCUGCGAAUAGCAUUGGUUUUAUGCACUGGGAAAUAUUUAUUCAAAAAUUUCGUUACCAUUUGUUCCCAUGAUGAAAUGCUAUUAGCAGGUAAAAUAUUUAACCAUGAACGAGCUCUAUCCUUUAAAGAAAAUGGGAAUAAUCUAAGUUUAACAUCAUCGUCUGAAAAAUUUUCAUAUUUAAAAGUUUGACAAAUUGCAUGAAAAUCAUUCAGAUGAUUAUAUGGGUCCUCAUUUUCUAGGCCAUAGAAUGUUGGGAGACAAUUUAGCACACUAGGUUUUAGUUCAAAACUCCUAGCAGCUACAUUUAGGUAUCUUAUGCAUGAUGUGCUCAAAUUAGCUAAAGGACUAAAGGAGUCCUUAAAUGGCCUCUCCUGUGGUUGCAAAUCCAUUUUAUUUUUAAAUUGUUUGUGUGUGCGAAGUGUUUUUUCUAGUUCAAGGUCUAUAGGUUCAAGAUUAGGUGAUAAUGACCUACGACCAUGCAUGCAAAAUAAAUAAAAUGAAAAUAAAGAUGGGAACAAAACAAAUAAAAAUAAAGAAGAGGGAGAAAUUACGAUACUAACCUUAUUGCGCUAUUACAACCUUUCUAUAAAAAUACACAAAAAAAAAUACGUGAAAUAAAUUAACUAAAAAUUAAAUUAAUAAAAUAAACAAAAAUUACAAAGAAAAAAUAAAUUGAAAAUUAAAUUACAGAAUUUUAAAGAAGAGAAAAAGAAAAGAAAUACUAACCUUUAUAUGUAGAUUCACUUUUUUUCUUUUUUCUUUUUAAUAAUUAAAAAAAAUACAAGAAAACAAAUAAAAGAAAUUAUUGACAAAAAUUAAUUCUAUGAAUUAAAAUUACUUACCUCCCCGGCAACGGCGGCAAAAACUUGUUGUGCAAAUUUUAAUGUACUCGCAAGCGCACGAAUCUAUUGUAGUAUAGACUAAUGGUGACGAGUGUCGAUCCCACGAGGAGGUGGAUUUUAAUUAUAUGUAGAAUUAAUUUUGUAAAUGGGUGGUUGGAAUUGUGGUGGAAGUGAUUUAAAUUAUCCUAAAAUUGGAAUUGAAAUGGCGAUAAUAAAUUCUAAAAUUGGAAUUGCAAUGGCGAGAAUAAAUUGAAGUGAAAUCUAUUGAAAUAACGUACUUGGGUAUCUGGAUCCAUAUCAACAUGCAUCAUGGGCUAAAUAAUCCGUAUUAAUGCCAAUUAAAUCAUGAGAGGGGAAUCCACACCUCAUGAACCACGCUCUAAUCAAUAUGGUGCUAAGGGCUUAUCGUGCCAAAUAAUAAUAACCUUGUACUAGAGAGCCGGUGUAACCAAGGCGGUACUAGACAAGAUUAGUAUUAUUUAUCGACGAGAAGUCAAAACAUCCACAAAAACUAGAGGGGAAGAGAAAAUAAAUUUACCAAAUAAAGCCCAUGACACAUGUUGAGACUUCACCUUCAACCCAAGCUUGAAAGAAAAUUAGCCACUCAUAAUUGAACUAGGGGCAAAAUGGGAAUUUAUUAAAAUACGAAGAGAAUACAAGAUGGAGAGAGAAUUACAGAAAAUGGAUCCCAAAAAUGGAUUCAAAGAUAUCAAAUUAGGGGGGGGAGGCCCCCUUUUAUAGAUACAUCGAGUAAAUCAUGGCCAUCGGAUUAAAAACAGUUUGGACGCUCAGGAUUGUGCCACGUCAUCAGUCAACAGUACGCGGUUUGACCACGUGGAUGAACAGUAACACGGUUUGACCCGGGUGAACAGUGACGCGGUUUGGUUGAAAAUAAUCCUGUGUGAUGCAUGUACCGUACGCGAGAUUUUUCGUCCACUGAUAUGCUGCCACAUCACCAUCAACAGUACAUAAGAAUUUUAGCCCAAUAGGAUCGUGACACCUCAUUUUUCAAUGCCACAUCAUCGGUCAAUGCCACGUCAUCGGUCAAUGCUACGUCAUCGAUCCGUCUAUGUGAACAGUAACGUAGAUAGUACCUUACAUGUGGAUAGUGCCAUUUUUCCUUUUAUGCUCCUCCUAAGGUUUUCGACCGUCCUGAGUUCAAAAGUGAUGUCCGUUUUGCCAUCUGAUCUCUCGUUUAUUGUGAAAUAACUAUGAUGCCCCUAAAAUACAUAAAAUACUUAAUUAAAAUUGAACACACAUAAUUAUAUUGCAAAAAGCUUAAAUACAUAAAAGUAAUGGUUGUUAGUAAACUUGAAAUGUAAAAUGAUGAUUUUCUCCUUUAUAAAUAUGCAUUUUCUAACACUCAACAACAACAAAGGAAAAAAGAGCAAAGAAUAUGUACAAUCAUCACUUGGACAGCACAGGAUAUGCUGGGUUGUUGCAUAAAAGAGUAAGUAUAAUAACCACUCUAUACAAACUGAUGACAUUUUUAAUACAAAUAAUAGGAUGAUUCAUAGCAGUUUUCAAUUCAAUUUUUGUUGAAUUAUUACAACAGUUGGACCUCAGAGUUACUGAGUGCGAGAUUGACCGCAAUGAAGCCUGGUUAUUGGCUCACAGGAGAAAAGAUGGAACUUAUACACCUGAAGUGCAUCAAGUGGCUGAGAGAAUUGUAAGUUUCCACCACCAUAGUCAUUAUUUAACUUAUUUGUUUUUUUAUUCCUAAUUUUGAUCAAAUUAUUUUUGUAUUUAUUUUGUAGAGUGAGCUAAGAAGUCAAGUUGAGUAGGGAACGUUCCAAUCCCAAGGACCGAAUGAUAUCCUAGGUGAAGCACUUCAAAAGAAGCCUAAUGGAAGUCGGGUGCAAGGAUUUGGUCAAUUCAUCACCCCAUCCAUGUAUUUCAAUGUUCCUGACCCCACGGAGUUGGCGCGAGAACAGAGAAUGUAUCAGGAGAGUUUUCAGUUUAUGCAAGCUCAAUUAGAUCAAAUGAAUGCAAGGAUAAAUGCCUGCAACAACACUGAAGUUGGCAGUUCCAACUUUCCUAACUCCAAAGGUGAUUUGCAGUGUUAAGAUGGAGAUAGAUCGUCGAUCACCCAGCAAAGUUACUCCAAAGUCAGUGACUAAAAACCCCAAAGCAACUCCAAAGUCAGUGACCAACAACCCCAAAGCUACCCCAAAGUCAGUGACCAACAACCCCAAAGCUACCCCAAAGUCAGUGACCAACAACCCCAAAGCUACCCCCAAGUCCAUGACCAAAGUUAGUCCAAAGUCAGUGACCAAUGACCCCACUAUUUGUCCAAAACCUGACAAAAACAUCAACACACCUCCCCUGCCAUCCCCUGCACAGAAUCCACCUCUAGUAGUUUGUGAAGCCACUUCAAAAAUCACCCCAAGAAGAUCUCCAAGAUUAACUCCUUCAAAGUGAAAAGUGGAUGGCCGAAAGUCUCCUACAAAUGCCGUGGUAUAUCUGUAUGAAUAGAAACGAACAACAAAGGAACCCGUUGUUGUAAAACCAGUGACAGCAAGGAAACUAGUUUUGAGAAUGAAUACCUGUGGAGCUGUGAAAGCAAGAAAAGAGAACAAAAGUUCACAAAUGAACAUCUUUUCUUUGAUGAUUGAGAGCUCCCUGCCACGGACGAUUAUGAUUGCCCAUGAUUUGAAGACUUUUGGUGUCUACUGGGAGAGUAGAUUGGACGAGCAAAUUUGCAAUGAAGUCAUUGAGUUUACAGAGCUCUCAAAUUCUGUUUUGGAGAUAUGGAUUAGGUAAGAAAUAAAAAACUUGAUUUAUGUUUUUACUAUGUUUUCUAAUUUUGCAAACUGUCAUUAAUUUAUUUCUUAUAUUCAUGUCAUGAAAGUUUCUUUUUUUAAUAGACACUUGUAUGAAGAGAUGGAUAAUGGUAGUGGUGUUAUUCGAAUUCAAUUUGGAUGCAUAGCUAAGUUACAGCCAAGUCAAGCAAGCUACCCAAAUAGGUGUUCUUAUAUUUCAGACCUUUUGGACAAGAUUCAAAUAGCCCAAAUAAUUGUCUUCCCAUAUAACCCAGGGUAUAGUUUAUUUAUUUUUUGUCUAUUUUAUUUUUUAACAUAAAUGAUUUAAAUUUAUCUUGUAAUCUGUUUUUUUUUUUUUACUUGUUUGUUUAGUGGCCACUGGGUGCUAGUAACAAUUGGUAUGGUGAGGCGAAAAAGUUAUUAUCUUGAUCCAUUAGGUGAUAAUCUUGAUGAUGAGUUGAAGCAAAUGGUGAAUGAGUAAGUUUAAUUAGUAUACUUAAUUCUUUGUCAAAUAUUUAUGUUGUAGAUUAAUUUGUUGCAUCUGUUAUUUAUUAUUUAUAGUGGGAUAACAAUGCAUCAAGUGAAGAGUAAUAAAAAGAAGGCUGUGCAGUGGGUCUCUGUGAAGGUAUUAAUGAAACAAAGUUUUGAUUUCCAUUGUUACUUCAUCAGUAUAUUUGAAACUAAGUUUUUUUUUUUUAGUGUCCGAAACAACCUGGAACCUUUGAAUGUGGUUACUAUGUGAUGAAGUACAUCCAGGAUAUUGUUCGCGAUUUGUGCAUUCUUGAAAACAAUGUGAGUUUCUCCAGAACUUGUUUAAUAUUUUUUCGAAGAAUGCAUUGUGAAAUGGAUUUUCUUAAGUGAAUUGUGAAGAUGGUUAAUGGGUGAACAGUUUGCUGCUUUAUGCUUGAAACUAGCAAUAUAAUCAUAUCUUGUGCUAGGGAUUAGAGGAAGUGUUGUGUAUGUUUAGGAUAAUCACAUACACUUUAUUUGCCAUAUUUAUUAUAGGUAAAAGCUAUAACGCUAUAUACAUUUUACUGAAUGCAUUCAACAUGUUUGGAAAAAUUAAUGCCAAUUUUUACUGUGUUCUACUAUGUAUUUAAGGCACUUUAGUGUAAACCAAAAUGACUGGAGCUGUUGCAUGUACAAAUAGAAUACAUAUAAAUCUCAGUGUUCAGAGUUAAAGUAUUAUUGAGCAAUCAUUGGAGCUGCUGCAUGUACAGAUAGAAAGCAUAUAAAUCCCAGUGCUGAGUGUUAGAAGUAAUAUUGAGUAAAGCAAAUUAUAUAUUAUAAAUUAUCAGCUUCUUAGAUAGCUUUGGUAACUGUUGUUUGCUAUGGUGAUACAAUUUAUUUGCAUGUUCUUCAGUUUUAAUGUUAAUCGUAGCAAACUUAAAAAUAUAUGUUUUUAUUGUGUUGUUUUAUUUUAGGACAGAUUCUAUAAUAUAUGAAUACAUUUUGUUGCUUUAUUUUUUAAGUUCAAGGGCUGUAAUGAGUACACUAUGGACGAUCUUUCGCAACUUCGCGAUCAGUGGGCCAUGUAUGUUGCAAAGUUACUUGUAGCAUACAAUAAUGAGGUAAAUUAUAUUUUUGCUUGUAAAUAUCAAAGAAUUGAUUUUUGUAGCAUAGUGGCUAAUUGAUUCUAUAUACUACAAUUAUAGGUGGGAAAGGUGAAGGGAAAGGCAAAGGUCAAAGAGUAGAGAUGUACUGAUUGUUUCCUGCAAACUGUCAUUAUGUGUUCAUGUAAAUAUUUGACAUGUUUUCAAACAAUAUUUUAGAUAUUUGUAUUACUAUUUUAUUUGAUACCUAUUUAAAUGUUAGUAGGAAUGUUAUAUACUUAUAUUUAAUUAUUCAAAUUUGUCCUUUAGUUUAAUUUGAAUAGAUUUUCUUUGAAUACCAAUAUUUGUUUGGCAAAACUAAAAGAAUAAUGAAAAUAAUCGAGUAACAACAAUAAUUUCAGCAUCUUUUCUUUGAAGCCAUUGACGCUAAAAAAUGUUUCAGCAUCAUAAUAUUAGUGAUGCUAUAGUAUUGCAAAUUGCUGACACUGAAGUAUUAGUAUUCGUUCAUUCUAUCAUGUCAUCUCCCAGUGUAAAACAAACUAAUGACGUGUAAUAAUUGUUAGUAAAUACUAUCACUAUAGUGUCAUAAUAUUUUGUGAUACUAUGGUGAAAGUAACUUUUAACAAGCGAUCAUUAUCAGUAAUUACUAAUACCAUAGUGUCAUAAAUCUGGUAAUACUAUAGUAAUAGUAAUCACUAACACCAAUUACAAGUGUCACUAUUUUUCUGACUCCCAGAUUACUGACACAAUUAAUAAGUGUCAGUGAAAGUAAUUUCUGACACUAUUCUAAAGUCAGUAAAAACCAUUUUUCUAGUAGUGUAAUUUUGUCCAAUUCACGAACUAACUAAAUAAAUUAAUAUAAAAAUAAUUUUACUGCCGAUCAAAUUUAAAAUUAAAUAAGAUUUAAAUAAAUUAAUUGUUUAAAUAAAGCUAGAAAAUACAUUUAAAGUUUCAAAACAUAACACACCAAAAUGAAAAAAAAAAUCUCAUCUGUUUAGAUCAGUAUAUGGAAAUUAACUGUUUACAAAGCUAUAUUUGUUUAUUUAAUUAUUUUUAUUUUAUAUUAUUAUCGGAUAAGAUGUAAUAUAGUGUUAAUGUAACUAUAUUUUAACUUAUUUAUCUACUAACAAGUACUAAUGACAUAUUUACAAGUUUUAAUUUUUAAUUAAAUAAAUACUUCUUAUUUUUUUGCGGAUUCGCGGAUUUUAGCGGAUUUGCAGAAGUAGAUCCAUAUCUAAUCCAUCGAUUAUGGAUUAUCAAAAUUUCAAUCCAAUCCAAUCUAAUCCAUCAAUCCGCGGAUCGAAUUUUUACGGAUCAUAUUUUUACGGAUCAGACGGAUUGAGCGGAUCAACUUAGAUUCUGAACACCCCUCCUUGCCACUAAACGCAAUUGUAUAUUCUCGACCUUAUAAUUUUCUCCCAUUUCCGUAUUGUCGACGUUGAGUGCAUGUAAUUCACGAGUUUGAUUCAGCAGAAAAUAGCCAAAAAUCUAAUGACACCCACGUCCAAAGAUGCCGUUGUCACAAAGGCCUGGACUGCAGACCUGAAACCCAUCCUCUUUUACCAUAUUUUAUAGUUAAAGAGGUCAUUGUUGGAAAGAAAAGAAUGAUAUGUUGGUAUGAAAUUACGUUAAAAUGUAUAUAUCACUUUUUUUUUUUUUUGCGUGAGUGAUGGCUUCGUUUAAUGACAAUUGGUCGACAAUGGGUCAUCUUUUAAUCUCAUAAGGGGUUAAAAUACAAUUUACCCAAAAAUUAGUGUUAAAAUUUUAUAGAUGAGUGUAUAUUAAGAUGUUCAAAGUAUUAGUUUUAAUAAAAUUUUGCCACAUAAUGAAUAUUAUCCUCAACCUCAAGAGAAACAUAUCAAUAAAAUAUACAAAAAUAGAAUGCAUUAGUACAUGUCAAUAACAAGACCAAUUAGAUCAUGUCAUAUUUGUUAUGUGGUUAUUUUUAAAUUAAGAAAAGGAACAAUGAUAGUCUUACAAAGUUUGAAUAUAAAAUUUAUAAUCUAAAAUUAAUGAUGCGACAAUUAACGUGUUAUUAAGCUAGUAGAGAAAGAAGUCCCAAAUUCAUUUACAUCAUAUCUUGCUAAAGAAAACGGUUCUACCCGGAAUACUUCUUUGUAUUGAAAUCAAUUAUGAUUGCUUGUUUAAAUCAUGAAAGUUAAAAUAAUUUUGUAAAUAAUUUCAUUCUUUAAUUUACGGUAUACAAAUAAAUUAAAAAAAAUGUUAAUUUCUCUCAUACUUUUAGGAUUUAAAAAAUAGCAAAAAGUCUUAACAUAUUUAAUGGUUAUAUAUAAAUCAUCCGUACGUAUUUUCUUGAGAGAAGCUCAAUUCGAUAGACAAUGCUCCCCUUAAUUUUCUUUUCUAGUUAGAUAAAAGAACAAAAGAAAUUGAUUACAAGAAUUCACGACGAAGUCACCUUGGUCUACCUGAUAUAUAUUACAGAGGUAAGCUUCUUUUUAAUGCCAAACUAGAAUAACAAACUUUAAUUUACUUCUUAAAGGAUAAAAACCUCAAUUUGUGCUUAUAUUUGUUCAAAAGAUAAGGAACACACACACACAUACAUAUUGUCUUCUUAAUGUACACAAGUUAAAUUGAUGUUUCACGUUUUUUAGAAAACAAUUAAAGAUUGUCAUUCUAAGUAGGAGGUAAAUUUCAAAUAAAGCAUGUGUUCAUAUGAUAGAUGUGCAUUUUACAAAUUACAAUAAUUAAUAAACAAAAAGGGUAGUGAUAUUUUCACCCUGCAAUUUUUUUAAAUCCACCUCCACUCCCAAGAAAUAAUUACAAUAAAUUCACAUAAUUUUUUAAAAAUUCAAAUAAAGAAAAAUUUUGGAGAUUUAAACUAUUAGAUACAAGUGGAUAAGCGUAAACAUUUUUCAUGCAGUAUAAAAAGAAUGCAACAGCUCCUUUUCUUUUGGUAUUUUCGCAACAAAAGCACACUUAAUAACUCAUCAAAUUAUUCCUCCUUUUCUUUGAUCGCUUCCCCUCUCCUGGAGCUGCUGAAACUCCUUUGUUGCUGAUGAAGUGAAACAACAGGUGAGGCUUUUUAAGAGACCACAAUACGUAUAAAGAGGAACUAAUUACACUAUCAAUGGCUCAAGGUUACCUUAAUGCAGAAGAAGGCAAAGAGAUGGAGAUUCGAUUCGAUUCGAUCCGAUAAUAGUAGUUUAUUUUAAUUUUUAUUCAUUUCAUUUCAUAGUGGUAAUUUUAUUUUAUUUUAUUGUUGAAAAUUGGUAAAAACAAACUAAAAUGAGAUAAUUACAUUAAAACAAUCUUCAAUGACUAAAGUAAUUUGAAUAAAAAAAACUCAAAAUAAACAAGCUCAAAAUUUACCCCUAAUUUGAACAUUAUUCGAAUUCAACCUAAUUGACCCAAAUCUGAUUUUAAUCCAAAUCGGACAUGACUGGCAUAUAAUUAUAACCUGUUCAAAUCCAAACUCAACCUAAAUUCUUAAUUCAAUGCGAUCCAAUUCAAAUAUUCCAACCCAAUCAAAUUGAAACUUGAUCGGGUUGAUCCAAACCUGAAUUUGCCACUUACAUAGGAGACCAUGACCCUAAAGGUUUUGAAAAAAUCUUUGAGGUUUGUAAAUGAAAUAUUAAAAGUUGGGUAUAAAAAGAUUGAUUCGACCGUAAGUAAACUUGAUAUAUAAAUUUCAUACAUUAUAUUUUGUGAAAUAAAAUCAAAGUAACCCGGCUGUUUGAAUUUUUUAUUAAUUACUUUCCAUUAUGACAAAAUGACAAAUAGGCUUUAUUAAAAGUUUAAUAAAGUUUGUGCCUAACUCUUAAUUUUGUUUUCAAUUAUUCUACAUUUUGUUUCUUACUUGCAGCAAUAGCUUCAAUUAUCAAUCAAAGCCUCCAAAUCAAAAUCACUGCAACCUGUAGCUACAAGCAAAAUUCUCAAAUUUUGAAAUUUCUAAUGACUACAUAAUAGCUAUAAAUAGAAAAAUCAUCUAAAAUUAAUCCCCCAGCUGGCAAAAAUAUUAGUUUUGCAGGUAUUGCGAACUAUGUUUUUCUUUGUAUUUUCUGCCCAAGGAUGAAGAAAUUUCCUUCAACUUUUAUGGUGAAUUACGAACAUAUGACAGUUAACCGUUGGCAGUGACUUGUUUAAAACGAAAAAAACACUUUAAAGCAAUAGGAGAUAUAAUAACCUUUAUUCCUUAGAAAAAUCUAUCAGAUAUAUUAUGCCUCCGACUGCUAUUAAUUGCUAAAAAUAAUCAUAAUUAAUGAUUACUGAGAAAUAAACUGCUAUUAAUUGCUAAAAAUAAUCAUAAUUAAUUAUUACUGAGAAAUAAGUAGUUAUUUUUUUAUAUAUAUUACACUGGUAAAAGGUUGGAUAAAAUUUAAAAUAAUUUUAAUUUUUAAUCUUUUUUGCCAUUUCGAAUUUGAAACUCGAGAAGUCAACUAAAUAAACCUUCUUCAGAGGCUGAUUAAAUUCUUAGUAAUUUCAUAUAAUUUCAUUUCGUCAGAACAAUUUUCCAAAAGCAAUUUUAUAAAUGGUUGUCGAAAGCUUUGUUCCUUAAUUAUCUUUCAUGUAUUUUCUUUGUAAUAUGAGGCGAGUCCAUAGACCAUAAUAUGAUAUUUAUUGUAAUUAAAAUCAAUAUGGAACUGAUUUUAUUCUUUUUUCUCAAACAAAGUAUCUAACUGCAGAUGUAAUAAAUCACUAAUUACCAUUAUUUGAGUCGCACUCUUUGAAUUAGAUCUUGGAGUUUCAAAUGACCAAUUAAUUAGUGAGAUAAUGGCUUUUGCUUUUGUCUACCUGAUAAUAAAACUUGUCCACCGUAUAGAGAAGAAAUGGACCGGAUCCACACGCUAUACACGCUAUAGCUAAAUUAAAAAAUUUAUGUGGAGUUUUAUUGCAAGACAUUUUUAACUGAAUAGACAAAGUAAAAUUUCAUCACUUUUAUUUGAACGAUAAAAUGUCUGAAUUGAAAAUGAGUUUUCUUCUUACAAAUACACUCAUUAAAUAUAUUUAUUUCCUGCUUAGCUAUUAGAUGUCAUAUUAGAAUUUCCCUUGAUCUCAAAUUUUACUUGGUAUUAAAUACUUAACAUGCGUUCAAUUGAAAUUUUAAAAAAUUUUCUUUUGUUAUUAGAUAACAACUUUUUUACAUAUAAAUAUUAUCCUAGAUUGUAAAAAAUAAUUUUUCAUAAACUAUAUAUCAAAUGCUUCCUUUAUAAAUAUUUAUAACAUAUAAAAAUUAUUGUACCAUAUACUACUGGAAAUGUAAAUCUAUUUAAAACUUCAAGUAUAUACACUACCUUCUAGCUCAUAAGAGUAAAAAUAUUAGAUUUAAGAUGCUUUAAAUUUGUAAAAACAAUCAACUUACCUCUUAUACUCAUACAUCAAAAAAAAAAAAAAAACAAGCAUAUUGAUUUGAUAUAUGCAUUCAAAUCUAUUUAGACUUCAGUAACAUUUAAACAUGUUUAGAUUUCAAAUAAAAAAACAAGUUAUAUAAUAGUUGGGGAUAUAUAUUUGUGGGGAAUGACAAAUAUAGAUAGUUGCAAUAACAAAGGGGAAACUUUAUUAUAAUAAAGUAAUGCAUUUACAACUCUGUAGGCACUACAAGAUAUAAUAGCAAUAGGUAAACUACAGAAAAUUAAUGUGCAUAUCAAAGCACGUUACAAAUGCUGCUUUCCUUAACAAGGGAUGUCCUAUUCUAGAAGAACAAUACAGAGGAGAAGACUGGCAUAAGAUAUCUCACAUUCACCACAUUGAGUUGGAAAUUCUUGAACGGUUGCAAUUACUAUCCCCAGCAGGUAAUUUCUACUCCUCUAUUUUACUUCGUUGUUUCUUGUAAUGAAUUUAAUAAUGAUGAUGAUGAUUAUAUUUUGAAUUAAAUUUCUAUAUUUUUCCAAUGUCUCAUAGGAAUAUGCAAUAUUUUCUAAUAUUUUGAUUUUCAUAUUGAAAAUAAUUAUUUACUUUAACCAUUAAUUUAAUUUUUUUUUUUAGUGCACGAUAAUUAAUUUGUUAUGUGGAACUUCCCUAGAGACAGAAUUUUCGUGAUGCUUUGCAGUAGUGUUGAAAUUCUGUAAUUAACUUAAUAAUAAUAAUAAUAGUAAUAAUUAUAUUUUGAAUUAAAGUUCUAUGAAAAUGUUCUGCUGGUAAUUCACUUGCAUUAUUUUGUAGAAUUUCAUUUCCAUCUUCUUCUUUGUUGUGUAUAAACAAGAACAGAGAAGUAAAUAAUUGAACCACAGAGAAGUAAAGAUAUAUCAAAACUUGCUAAUACUAUGAUGUUAAAGCAAGCACAAGCACUCGAUUCACUACUAAUAUUGCGUUGCAUUUUUAUCUUAUUUAAUUUAUAGAAUUUUCAUUUCCACCUGAGUUGCAUUUUUAUUUUAUUUUUAGGUUGAUUUUGGAGACUCUAUGGAGAACAUUGGGGUAACCAAUGAUUAUCACUGUAGUUAUUGUGCAACGUUUGGUCUGCUCUGUUUCAAUUUGGAUGGAUAGCUGCCUGAAAGAUAUGAUGAUUAUUAUUGCAUGAAGUUUAGGUGCUGAAAACAUCAUUUCUUUCUUGUUUCAUUCUCUGAUUCAUUUAUCCUAUAUGAACAUAUUGAAUUAUGCUAAUACUGUCAUCUUUUCACACAAUUUUCACCGUUGGUUGCAAUAACAAUUUGAGUUACUCAAAAGCUACAAAGCGAAGCACACGUGGGCUGAUCAUAUGCUUCCAUGGAGGAAGGAAUCCGGUGUUGACGUUAUUGUGCAGGUAACCACAGUUCAUAAUUUGCCCAAAUCUACAUUGCCAGAAUAACCUUUAAUAUUCAUUGUGUUUGUUUGUGUUACCAGGCUAUCAUGAUCUGUAGGAGCGUUUGCAAUAAAGUUACCAGCUCGUGCAAUUGCACAUUCAUUCGGAGUACAAUUUUGGAUUUUCAAGGUUUGUAUGUUUAGUUGCGAUUAAAAUGUUUAGUCACUCAUUCGCAAUCUCUUCUGAUUUUCAAAUUAUUUAAUUUGGGUCCAUAAACAGUUUUCAGCUCAGUGAGAAUUUCCUUUUUUAUUUUUUUUUCAAAAUAUGUUUCAAUGCUUGUAGUGAUAACAAUUUCAUAUCUUGCAUCUCCAAAGUUCAUCAUGUUCAAGGGUUUGAAAAACUUUUGCAGUAAAGCUUCAGUGCUUCGACAAUGGCUGUGAAGAGGCACAUUCAAUCCGGUACGUUUUGAGAGUGGUAAUAAUUGAAGAAAGUUAUUAUCUUAACUGAAUUACAGGUGAUAAGAUGUUGCUUGAAUUCAGCAAGCAUCUCAUCUCAAUUCAAAAAAAAAAAAUUGUGUUUUUCUGUUUUUACGUGAAAAGCCAAUAAUAAGAACUUGAUUGACAAUGAAUAUGGUUCUUAGAAAGGGUUAAAUAUUGUCUUAGUUUAUACUUAAUUCUUGUGUUAGUUUCUCUUGAUUGAGAUUCUUUACACUAUGAGCACUAAUAUCAAUUCUUUCAUAAUUUUGACUUGAAAUUUGAAAUUGACGCAGCUUGAGUUGAGAAUUUUAGAUAGAGUAAAUGACUGUUUGUCUUGAUUCUUAUCUCCACAAUACACAAUAGUAUACACAGGCGCCAAAGUCAGAAAUAGCUACCUAUAACCCUUAAGAGUGAAGCUAUCCUUGAGUAAUUUGGGCCUAUGUACCACAAGUAUGUAGAGGAUAAUCUACCAUGAGAAGAAGGCUACCUUAAGGGGUAGAGUGAAAGCUCCUGACUAUGGUUAAAAAAAAAAAGAGAAAGAAAAAAAAUGAAAUCAAGUGCAUGUGCUAAAAAAAAUCAAAAGAAAAUGCACAUAAAAGCCUGUGAGAGGAAAAAAUUGGAGAUCAAGAUGAUAAGAUUAGUUUGACCUAUUCUUUUCUUUGUUUGAGGCGAAGGCUGUUGAUGUUGAAGAUUUUUGGGAAUGAAUUUGAUUGAAUUGAUUUCACACACACAUACAAGAAUUGAAAGAGAGAUGGGAUUGAUUAUUAAAUUAAAGUUAGAACUUUACCAAUAUUUGAAAUUUUCUUUGAGCUAUAUAAUUUAUGCAAUCUUUUAGGCCAUCUUCAUGUUUUGUUUAAAGCUCGUUGUUCUUUUCAUUUUAUUUUUAUUUUUUUAAAAAAUAAUGUUUGUGGGUAUUAUGACUGAAGCCCUCACGAGACUAUAACUCGUCCACUAGGGCCGCCUAGGGGUUUAAAAGCUUGUUGCAUACACUAAAUGCAAUCGCGAUUACCUGUGAAAAUAGUUUAGUUAGGAUUUACUUUUUGUUUCAUUAUUUUUAUUUUUGCUUUUAGUUUUAGUUUUGCUCGAGGACUAACAAAAUCUAAGUUUGGGGGUAUUUGAUGAGCAUAAUUUAUAUACAUAUUUUAUCUUUUAUUAUAUAUUUGCUAGUUAUUUUAUUUCUUAUUUUUAAUUAAUUGUAUUAUUUUAUUGAAUAAGAAAUUAAUUGGAGAUUGUGGAUAAAAAAAGGCAUGAAGAAGUUCAAAUUGAGAAGGAAUAAAGAUUAAAAUUGGAAGAUAAAAAUACAGUCAAGAAUUGAUAGAACCGAGCGGAAGAAAUCAAAACAAUUAAUCCAAUUGAGAAAUGUUGAAUAAUUAAAAGAUUUAAUUUUUCCAAUUGGCAAUUGGAGUGCACGUGCAUGGCAUUGCAAAAGUGGAAAGCAAUUUAAAUGGGCCCGUAAUUGACUUUCAAAAGUUGGAAUUAAUGGCUUUUGGUGGCGUUAAAUUGGAAAAGGAUUUCAAUUAGAAUUGAAAAAGGAUUUCUUUCGAGUUGUUGGAGAAGAAUUCGGUCAACUAGCAUUAUAAAAGGAAGGCCGCCAGAGGACAAAGGGAAAAAAAAAAGGGGAGACGCAAGGCUGGGCAGAGAAGAAGAAUAGCGAGAGUAGCAACAAUUCGGCUUCUCCAUGGCUGUUUUUAUUUGUUUUGUUUCUCCCAAUUCAAGUAUGUCUAGCUAAUUUUCUUAUUCUGAUGUUAAAGAUGAAACCCUGUUCAAUGAAAUAAUUAUUUUAUUUAUUUAUUUAAUUUCCUAUAUAUGUUCUUUAAUGAUUAUGGUUAAUUUUUAUUUCACAUGAUUAAUUGGAUGUUAUUAAAAUCUUUUCAUCAAUUCUGUCAUGCAUUAUUGAUUGUUAGGAUCAAUAUUCGAUUAAAUCUAUGCUUGGAUCUAUAAAGUUUAUACAUGAUUAUCUUUGAUUCUAUGUCUUUCAUUAAAUUGUUUACACAGAGUACUUAGGAAAACUUUGACUCUUUGUUAUUCAAUAUGUUUACAUGGGACACUUAGAUAUCAUAUUAUUAAGCAGAAAAAGAACCUACACAAGAUUAAUUUUAUUUGGGCUUAAUUGUUAUAUCCAUGAGAUGAUAUAGAUUGAUUUCGAGAUGUCACUCUAAAAUUGAGGAUUAAUGAAUAUUUAGAUAAUUACUAGUUGAAUAGUGGUGGAUUAUAAAACCUUGGUAAUUCUUAUCUUAUUGAAUUCUCCUUUAUUUUAAUUGCUUCCUUAGUUUAAUUGGUUUAAUUUUCUUAGAAACUCAAUUUUGUCAACUAGGUUAGAAGUAAUAUUAAGUUUAGAUUUAAAUUAGACUUUUCAAUUUAUAACAAUCCCUGUGGAAUCGACCUCGUUACCACUAUUCUAUCUCUAGAUUCGUGCGCUUGCGAGUACAUUAAAAUUUUCAAAACAUUAGGCUUUUGGCUUUAUAUGUUAUUAGAGCUAUCCCUUUUGAGAGAUGUCUCAUCAAAUUUGAGUAGAGAAUCUUUGAUAAGAAUUUUGUGUGAAGAGUUUCACUAUAGUGAUAAUUGAGAGCUUGAAGUCUCUUGAGAAGAAGAAAGAAUCAUUAUCCUUCCAAUAUUUGUAAGCUCUCGCUUGUUAGUAAAAUCAUCUUUGUAUAUUGACUCUGCUUUUUUGUUAUCAGGUAGAGUAUGAUCUUCAAGGUUUUGAGAAAGUCUUUGCAGUGAAGUUUCCACCACAUGCAACUGCUGCGGAGAGGCAUAUACAUUUGAGUAAUUCAGUUUUCGAUUUUCAAGGCGUGUAUUUUUAGUUAGUUUCGAUUAAAAUAUUUAGUCGCUCAUUCUAGAUCUUUUCUAAUUUUCAAGUUCCUUAGCGCCACAACCAAUUUUUCAAGUCUGUAUGUGGCUGCAAAAAGAUUGAUGGCCAUAAAAUUAUCUUCGGCGUUGAGGCAUCGCGUUUGAGCACACACAAAAACCGAGCUAGGGGAAAAGAGCUUGAAAGUACAAGAUACUCAAAAUAUAGCAGAAGUAUAUUUCUACUUAUUGUGGCUAUUUUACUUUUGUUUCUUCCGUCAUCAUAUUUGAUUAAUUCGUUCAAAUUCACACUCUCAGUCAUUAUUUAAAACCAUUUUCAGGUGGCUUGCAAGCUAAAUAAGUUAAUGCAAAAACAAUACUCUAGACAAAGAUGAGCAAAUUGAAGGUGAUCAAUGCAUAUAUAGUUGCCAAGUCACUUAUUCUACUUCAUUCCUUACGUGAUUCUGGAUUUGAAUUUCCAUAACUGAUUGUUGGGUUGGUGCAGAUUUUCUUAAAAGGGCCGUUAAGCUACCUUCUGAAAUUGGAAAGUUCUUAUUGCUUGAAAGCAAGCAGCAUCUUCUGUUGCGAAGGCUUUCCCUGAAACGACCCACCCCGAAUCCCCCCAGGCGAGUCUAUCUAGUCUCAUCAAAACGGACUUGAUAAUAAUUCUAUUACUAAAGAUUCUGCCGAAAAUUCAGCAGAGUCUCCUUUAUAUAUAUAACACUUCCAAUCUACAAAUAUGAAUAUAACACUCCCAAUAUAAUUCAAUAUACAACAAACUCCAGUGAUCAACAUCCUCAACCAAAAUGCUGAGUUUUAUAUCUCCAGAGUCUCAAAAGAUAAUAUUAUAACUAAUAUUAAUAUCUCAGUUUAUUUUUAAUCCCAAAAGAAUAAUAUAACAAAAUUAUACAAUCCAACAGGAUGAAAUAACCAAGAUGUCCUAAUAAAAACAUCUAUAUCUUCUAACACCAUCACGUGGCCAAGACUCAAAAUAUACUUACAGUCGCUGGGUCGGUCUGGUAUACCUGCAACCUCCUGGUGAGGGGGGAAAAUAUAAUAAAAACGGGGUGACUUUAAAACUCAGUGAGAUCAGUGAGUGGAUAAUAGUUUUUGAAAAUUAAUUCUUACUUUAAAAGAAAUAAUCAUAUCAUUUCCAAACACUAUUUCAUUAAACCAUAAGCGAGAAACCAGUAAUAAAUCAUUUAACAUUUAAACCAGAUUACUAACCAUGCAAAUCAUAUCACAAUAUCAUUUAGAAUACACAAAUAUGAAAAUCAUCACCAAACAAGUACUCAGGGGAAUAAUCUCAUCAUAUCCAGACUUCAACAGACAGGCAAUGACAUACUAUCUGGGUAUCGUCAUGCCCCCGAGCUACACAGAUAGACAUGGAAAUACCAUCUCAUAUCUCAUCAUAUCUGUGCAUGCAUAAUCUAGUCCCCAAGGGACAAAAGUGCCCAAACACACGGCCCAAAGCCUCAGUGUGUACUCAGACGGGCCCCAAAGGCCUGUAUCUCAUCUGUAUCAUCUAUAUCUCAAUAUCUGUCUGUAUCUCAUAUUUGUAUAUCUAUAAUCAUCAUACCGCAUGCAUAUGCCCCCAAAAGGCAAAAGCGCCCAAACACACGGCCCAAAGCCUCUAUGUGUGUUCAGACGGGCCCCAAAGGCCUCUCAUCUCAUAUCAUCUGUAUCACUGUAUCUGGAGGGAAAGAUACUGUCCAAUGAUUUCAAAAACAAUCACUAUACUCAUAUUCACAUACCUUUUAACCAUACUUUAAAUCAUACCACAGUUGAAUCCACUUUUCUUAUCUUUAAAAUACUAUCAUGCUUAUUCAAAGUCGAUCCGCAAAAUCAUUGAUCAAACAUUUUAAUAAAAUACCAAUGCAUGAAUAAAAUCCAUUUCGAGGAAAUCAUUAAAUCAGGACAUUUAAAAUACUUAUUUCGCAAACAUGCUUUACUAUCAUCUCUAACUAUGAAAAUAAGUUUUGUAUAUUCCACUCACAGUGACGGUGUUCACGCUCGGUUAUCGUCCACGUCCGCGGACCAGUUCUCGCUCGCGGAUCCUCCUAAAUCAAGGAAACAACAUAAUUAUUUUUCGUAAAUCGAAAUUAGGACUAAAUUUAUGCAAUAAACUCGAAACGAACAUCUAUCCAUAAUUUACAACUCCUGUGUCGAUAAAAUUACUAAAAUGCUCUCGAGUCCGUAAAUCAUUAAAAUACUCCGAAAUCAGAAAUCAUCGAAUUACCCUCGGAAUCGUAAUUACAGCCAAUCCUCAAUUCUAGGAAUUACUAAAAUAUCCACAGGUUUAGAAAUUACAAAAUUGCCCUCGGAGUGUGAAAUUACCUAAAUGCCCUUGUCGGUCAACGGUCACCGAAAUUUGGUCAACGCUGGCUGAGAAGCUCAAGUCUGAAAGUUCCAAUCAUGCUGAGUUCAAUAGUACCGGCGGUGAGCCGGAAUCUAGCUCGGCAACCGUGAAUUCCAACAAUUGAUCGGCGGCAAAACAAUGAAUCUCGGUGGCUAUGGAUGGUCGGAAAUGGAAGCGGGAGUCGUGAGGAACAAAAUCCAAUCAGUAGUGUCACCCAAAACCGGCAAAAAUCUCGGCGGAGCAAAGUGAAACAGUCGCGGGUUUCCAAACUUUGAUCACCAGCGUUCCGAUUGGUUUUCAGCGGCAAGAAUGGCAGGGGAACCACGGUGGCUUCUAAGCUUCAAAUUGAUACCGAGCUCGGACGAAACAGUGGCCGGAAAUGGCAGAUAUGGUCGGGUCAAGGUCGCGGGUUCCGGGUCGGGUUUCGGGUCUGUUGUUGGGUCGGUUUGGCAGCAUCUCUCUCACUCUCUCACACGUGUAUCUUCCCUCUGUUUUCCAGCUCUUUUCUCUUUUGCUUUUACUAACUUCUUCACCGCCUCUUUUGAUUCAUUUUUAAUUCACAUAUGUUACAUUCCCCACUAGGGAUGGCAAAAUCCGGAUCCGGGUUUAACCAUUCCGGAUCUGGACCCAGACGAAUAUUUUCUAUACUGGACCCGGAAAUAAACUCGCAUUUUUCCACUUUAGGUCCGGUAUGGGUUCAACCUGGAAAAAUCCGGGUUCCCGGACUGCAGGUUUCCAACCCGGAAUCAUGAAUCCAAUUGAAAAAAUAAAACUAAAUUCGACUUAAAAAAAUCAAAUAGAAAUACAUAUCCAGGAUUUCAGCAAAUCAAAGAAAAAUUAUUUCAUCUGGAAACUAAUUAACAAAAACAACAAUUUUGUUUGGCUGCCCAGAAUCAGCAACCCAAUGUGGCGGCUCGUUCAAAACAUUAGUAAAGAGAACUAAAGAACUAGCUUUAGUUGCGAGCAGGAAGUCAGGAGUCAAGGAGUAGCCAAAGCACUUUUAAUGGUGAUGGGAAAGCUGGAGGGGUAAUGCAAAUAAGUUUACAUUGAUUGGAUAUUCAGAAGAAGUAAUACGCCAUUAAAAGCAACAAGUUUUCCAAAAAGCUAACAAAGACAGACACUACCACACCACCCCGCACUGGAUGAAAAAAGAUGAAACCAUGAUAAGUGGCAUCGAGUAAGCCACAUUCUCUCUCUCUCUUUCACUCGCACUUGCACACACUGUUACUAAAAUGACCAAAAACAAGAUUCCCAUCAAAAUAUUUUCGAGUAUCGUUCUUGAAAGUGACGGCUACUGAUGAUGAUGUUGAACAGCCACGAAGAUGGGCAAGUGAUGCGACGAUGAUUUGAUGAAGAUGAAGAUGAGUUGAAGAGGGAAUAAGAGAGGAAAUGUUUGUGCGGCUGGGAAAGUGUAAUGAGCUGCUAGGGCACCAUUUGGGUUUUUUUGGUUUCCUAUUUAUAUUAAAAAUAAUUUUAAAAAAUUAAUAUAUAUUCGGGUCCGGGUUCCGGAUGUACGGGUUUACCUAAAUCCGGAACCGGACCCGGACACAUGCGGGUUUUUAAAAUGACAUCCGGAUCCGGAUUUUAUUUAAUCCGGUACGGGUUGAACCCGGACCGGAAAAUCCGGGUUUCAUCCGGGUCCGGGCCGAGUGCGGGUUGAAAUGCCAUCCCUAUUCCCCACAUGAUGAGAUGCUGCGAUUGUUACCAGACCUGUAUUUAUUAACUCAGAUCAGUAUUAUCAACUACAUCAUCUUCUUCACCAUUUUGGCUAUAUAUAAAUACUAAAAAUUUAGAACAUUUGUUUUGGUUUCUUGUGUAAUCAGGCUAAUAGCGCACACGUCAGAAAUGAAGAUUGUUUAGUGCAACUGGUAUGGCAAGGAUGAUGAUGGUGAGGAAGAGUGUUCACAGGACAAAUAAAGCCCUCCAUUUUGUGACAUAUCUUCCUCAAAUUUUAUUUGCUGAGCAUAUGAAGUGAAGCUAAAGCCUUUGAUUAGUGUUAAAUAUUGUAUGUUUAUUAAGGAGUAAAAAUGUUAUUUUGUGCUUAUAUUAUAAUUUACAUUUGUAAUUAUGUAACAUAUUGUGAAUUUCUAAUUAUUUUUCUAGAUAAUUGAUUUUGUGUAUUUUUGUAUUUUUUAAUGUAAAAAUAAUAAUUUCAUGCAAUCUGAGGCUUCAAACUAAUGUACGAAUGUCAAAUUUGAAUUCCGGAAGUCCGAGAAGUUGGGUCAUUGUCGACAAAGAUCCGUGACUUUUGUUGUAAAAUUAUAAAAUUUUACCACGGUAAAUGUGGUAAUUGUGAAAUUGUAAGUUUUUGCCAUAUUAGGUGUGGUAAUUGUUAGUGGAAUGAGUUGAGUGUUCUUGAGUGCAUUAAGUUAAGUUUAUAUUUUGUUAGUGGGAUAAAUGUAUGUUUAAGAUGUAAUUAGUUUUAUUUAUUUGUGUGGUGUGGAUUAAUCAUGUAUUAGUAUAAAUAGAGGGGGGGCACACCUCUCUACACUUUUUCUUCUCUUCUUUCCCCUCAAAUUCUUCUUAUCAUCUCUCUUUAUAAUAUAUUUUGAAUAAAUAAAAUUAGUUUUAUUUUCAAUUUUCAAAUACUUUUUUUAAUUAUUUUUAUAAUUUUAAUAAUUACCUUUGUUUCAAAUAUGUUUAAUUGCACACUAAUAAUUAGGGGAAGGUGAAACUGUAACGUCCAAAUUUUCACUAGUUUAUUUAUAUUUUUUAUUGGAAUUUAUAAAUGACAUUAUUGCCCUAACAAAUAGGGGUUAUUUAUGAGAUAAUUUUUGGGAAAAAGGUUAUUUUUCCAUAUUCAAUGGAGUUUCUUAAGACUCCCUAUAAAUUCAUAAUUUUUCCCUUCCAUAACCCUAAGUCCACAACGUUUCUUCUUCUUCUUCUCUGCUGCUCAUUACGCUUUUACCCAAACCAUAGGAUUCAAACCUUUGUUGAGGAGAGAAUCAAAGCGAUUGGUAAGUUUACUCUCCUUAUCCUCCACAGGCUUUUCAACCACUCUAUCUAGGGUUUGAAUUGGCAUGAUUUUAUAUUGCUAUAGAUUAUAAUGCAUGCUUUAGGAUGUGUUUAGGCUUUGUUUAGGGCUCUGAUUUAUUAUGAGUCUAGUUAAUCAAUCCUUGAUGCGUUAAGCGCACAAGAUAAUUCUAGACAGCGUGAGUACCUCGAAUUUAUAUUUUUGGAAACUAGACAUGUAGGGCUUCUUGAAUAAAUUUUGUUUCAUUAAAUUUGAAUUCGUUUUCGAUUUUAUAUGUAUUUUUGAAACGGACACUGGUGCACUGGAAAACUGCGAUUCCAGUCCAGCGACCAGAUUCACAAAAUUAUUUGUACUAUCAAAUGAACUCAAAAACUUCUGAAAUUCUAUUUUGAAGUUAAUAUAUGUGUCUAGUAUUUAUAGUUUUAAUUUUAUAAGUUUCUGAUAAGUAUCUGAUUUUAUAAAAAUCUCAGAAUCGGCUUUGUUCAAUUAAGGUAUUGUGAAACAGUUUCUAAUUCUUCAAGUAAUAAAUAGUUUUGAAAAGGUUUCUGUUAUCGGAUCCUCUUGAAAGUUUUACAUGAGGUACCUAUGGAUGUCCAGAAUAGUUUUGUAUAUUUGUAUGUCAUUCCAAUUUUUAUAUUAAGAGUUAAACUUCUGAGAAUCUGACUAGUACGGGUAUGAAUGAGAAAAUCAGAUUCUUAGAAUUAGUCAUUGAUAGUAAUAUCUUGUAUUUUUUUAACGUGGUGGAGGUGUUUGAGGCUCUUAGAGGCUUAGAGGUGUGUUAAUUCAAAUUCUUUUUUGAGGUAAGUAACUUCAUUCCUAAUGUACUGGAUAUAUAUGAUUAUUUUGAUAUUAUUAUAAGUAUUUUAUACUAUUUAGAAGAUUAAUUGGUUUUCAUAACAAAAUUAGUUUAUGUAAAUGUUUUCAAACCUAAAUUCCUUUUAACGAAGUAUUUUAUAAAUGUUUUUAAAUAUGUAAAUUAUUUUAUGACACGACUACAUUUUAUGAUUUUAUCUAUAAAAUAUUUUGUAAGCCUAAAUUGUUGUUAUGGACAUUUAUGAAACUGAUAUGAAUGUUUUGUGUCUAUGUAUGAUUUUAAUUAUUUAUGAUUGUAUGGGGGCCACCUUUUGAGGGCUAAAGUGUUGCAAAGUGCCACAUAUAAGUCAUUAUGUUUUGGCUCAUUGUCCGUAGUUAUUCUGAUUCUAAUUCUAAUUCUGAUUAUGAUCGUAUUGUACGAUAUAUAUAUAUAUAUAUGUUAUGGACCAGUAUUGGGUUUCUGUUCUGAGGGUGCACACGAUAUUCUGAUUCUGAUUCUGUUUCUGGUCGGGUCAUCGGGACUAUAGGUGACACUAUGUGACAUGAGCUAAUUAUUUGUUUUUUUUUUUGUGGAUGCGUUAUACGAUUUAAUUUUAUAAUUGAUUAUUCUUUUGAUAUUCUGAAUUACCAUGUAUUUAUGUUAUCUAAUUGAAAUAUGUUGUUUUAUGAAAUUUAUGAAUUAUAAUAAAUGUUUUUAAAUCAAAGAAGGCUUGCAAUAUUUUUUGUAUCAAUAAGCCUAGUGGGUUAGGAAUGGUUUUACUUACCGAGUUGAUGGCUCACCCCUCGUCAUUACUUUUUGCAGAUUAAAUUCCUUUUGAGAGGUGUGCUUAGCUUCAGAGUUAGAGAUUUCAUUUUCGUUUGCUAUUUGAAUAAGAGGAGGAAUAGACUCAUGUUUCUUUUUAGUUUAAUUUCUGUUAUGAACUUGUAAUUUAGAGUUUUGAGACUUUUGUUAUUUUUAUGUUUUUGGAGAGAUUAUUUAGUGUUAGACAUAUGAAAUUGUGGAUUUAUUUGAUAAGAAUGUGAGGUAUUCAAUUUGGAGUUUGUGAGUAAGGAUUAUAAUUUGUAAGUAGCCUCCUUCUUCACGUGCUCCGCACGUGUUAGAUUUGGGGUGUUACAGAAACUCUUAGUAAGAAAAUAUGAUUUAAUCAAAUUUUACUUUUAAUUAUAUGAAUUAAAUUAUUUUCCAUCUAAUUUUAUCUAUAUUUUAUAUUUUGAAAUUUUGAUUUGUUGUAGACAAACAUGGGGUUUGGCACAAUGAAUUCUUAAUAUCUUAGUAUAAAGUAUCGUAAAAUGGUAUUUUGACUUAUUGUAGACAAGUUAAAUUUUGGCACACUAAGUACUUAAUCCAUAAUAAAAUGAUUGGGAAAAUAAUUGUAAUUUACAUAAUUAAUCAUUUGGGCAAUAAACAAAAAAUAAAAAGAAUUUAUUAAAUUGUAUUUGUUACUAAGAGUGCAUCCAUAACUCUAACUCAUUUAAUUUUAUAGUUUUGCUCAAAUUAAAUUGAAUAUAUUUAAAUUUUAUUUUCUUUUUUUAAGAUAAACUAAAAUUAACAAAUUAAAUAUUUUCUCUAUGGAUCAACCUCAAACUCAGCGAGCUAUAAUAUAACUAGGCACUCUUAUACUUGCGAGUAAAUUAAAUACUUUUGAGUCGUGUCAGCCUUAAUAAUAAGAUUUUCCUGUGAAAGCUUCAUUAGAGUGAAUUUUGGGAGAUUGAAUAUUCCUAGAUGGAAUGAGAUAUUAAGGACAUAUCAAUGAUUUAGGUCAUCGGUGUGUGUUUUCCUUUAACAUUCAUACACUCUCAUUUCGCAGUAAAAAUCUCUUCACGCUUUGGCCGUGAUGCAGGCCAAUAGCCGAACCAUGUAGAAUUAUAUUGUGAUUUCUUUAUACCAGUUUCUAUAUAUCAGUUCUGUACAAUCAAGAAUGUAAUUUUGUAAUUAUUUAACUCCGCUUCCGCAAACAUGCAGUAUUACAAGUGACAUCUUGCAUAUUUUUUUUGCUCUUUUUCUUUCUCCAUUAAAAUUGCCAGAAAAGGAAGUGAUUGGCCUGAUUUUAGCUCCUGCAGAAUGUUCUGGGGGCAAUGUCUUUUGUAUCAGCAAGUUAUCAAAGAUCGUAGUCUAAAUAAAGAAUCCUAAAAUUGCUAUAUGAAAGUCCAGGUCUUUCAUCUUUCAGUUUCUUAAUAGCUACAAAACAAACUGCAUGUGGGCUGAUAUACUUCCACGGUUCAGGAAAGAAUUUGGUGUUGACACUAUAUAUUACGCAGGUAACCGCAGUUGACAAUUUACUCAAAUAUGUCAUAGUUGACAAUUCGCUUACAGUCUUUCCUUCUGUUAUCAUGUGUGAAUUGAAAGAUUGAGAAAGGAUGAUUUUAACUAACUUAUGCAAUUAAAGAGUUUGAAAAAGCAUUUGCGCUAAAGUUUGCCGCUCGUUUAAUUGCUGUGAAGAGCCGCAUUCAUUCUGAGUACAUAAGUUUUAGAUUUCCAAGUUGUGUAAGUUUAGCAGCCACUUAAAUGUUUAGUCACAUAUUCUUAAAAUCUUUUCUAAUUGUCUAUUUUUUUGGGCCAUCACAAAUAGUUUUACGAGUGUGCAAGUGGUUGCUAAAGAUUGAUGGUUAUAAAAAUUAUCUUGAGGUAUGAAAUCUUAAUUUUCUAUAAGUAUCUGUAUUUUGAGUACAAAUUUUUUUCUAUAAGAUUGAUGCAUAUGGUGCAUGAUUUUUUUCCAAUUUGUAAGCAGAAAACAAUGUGUUUUGUUAGAAAGUUAUCAUGGUAGUGAGGAAUCAGUCGUAAACUCUUUUGAUGAGAAAGUCCAUCACUUAAUGUUAACUCUUUAGUGUUAAAGUCUUGGUUGGGAGGUGCCGCCCAAAGAAAGAAACAAAAGAGAAAGAAGAAAAAGAAGAAAGAAAGAAGAAAAAAUGGGUUGGCCGAAAUGCUUGAAAAGGAAAAUGAAAAAGAAGUAGUUUGAAGAAGAAAAGGAGGAACACGGUUUUGAAAAAGAGGAACACGGUUUUGACUUUCUUGGCCAUCAUUUUGUUAUAAAUAGAAGUGCAAAUGAAGAGCUGUAGUAUUCCAUCGAGAGACAAGCAUUUCCUUCCUUUAGAGUUGAGAGUAUUAAGAGUUUAAUAAACUCUUGAGUGAUUAGUGUUCUGAGAGUUUGGGUGUAUUGGGAUUUUGGGAAGUGAGCUAAAAUACUACAAUACUUGUAACUCCUUUUCACUAGUAAAAUAUUUCUUUCUGUCUUCGCCCGUGGACGUAGGCUAAAAGCCGAACCACGUAAUUUCUGGUGUCCUCUCUUGUGCUUGUUCUUUAUUUUAUUUCAAUUUCACUUUAGUUGCAUGUCUGCUUCACCCACCAAUUUCCUAACAGUGGUAUCAGAGCUAUUGGUUGUAUUUUUUGGAGUCGAGUACUAUUCAUGUAAAGGUACUAUUCCUAGGGAUGGCAAAAUUCGGGUCCGGGUCCGGGUUUGGCCUUCCCGGUUCCGGACCCGGACGACCAAUUCAUUAUACCAGACCCGGGUAAAACCCGUAUUUUUUUAAUCCGGGUCCCAUCCGGGUUAAACCCGGCAAAGUCCGGGUUCCCGGAUUGCGGGUUCUAAACCCGGAUUUUUUUCCCCCAAAAUCAAUAUCUUCAGCACGUUGCAUCUUGGUAAAAACAAAUAAAAUGCAAAGACCAGUCCAUUAAAUCAACAAUCAUACUGUAGUUCAAGUAACUAAGCAACCUUUUUAAAACAGUAAAGAAAACAAGUCACAAAAGCAUUCAUAACAAACAGAAGAAGAAUUUCCCAUUCUUAAGUGACCCACAAAGCCUCAAUUACUACAAUACCUCCUGCCAUUACCGAACAAAAAACUGGAGUAGAGAAGAGAGACAAUGAAGCAGAGAAGCUUCAGACAUCUAGAGGUUGCAGAGCUGGUGUGGUUAGAGGAGGUGGCUGCCUUGAUGAUAGGAGAUGAGGAAGAUGAAAGAUGCGGCUAGUUUGAGCCCGUGAGGCUUAGAUUUUGAGGGCUGCUUUUGUUUUUUCACUUACUUUUUGUUCUUAUAUUUAUAACUAACAAUUAAAAAUUAUUUAUUUAAAUAAUUAAAAACAUUAAAAUGCGGGUCCGGGUUCCGAAAAUCUGGGUUAGAAAAAAUGCAUUCGGAUCCGGAUAUUUCAUAAAUCCGGUACGGGUUAAACCCGGUCUAGAUCAUCCGGGUCCGGGUUUAUUUGCCAUCCCUAACUAUUCCCAUAUACGAUACUGUUCACGUAUACGGUACUGUUCACGUAUAUGGUACUAUUCACGUGAAACAGUGGGAGCGAUCCAAGAAUUUUGCGGUGCAAGGCAGGGAAUAGUGGUGUGAGUAAAACAACUGUGUGGUUUUGUACAUGUCUAGGAAAGUUCUGUCACAAAGGCGAUAAGAGCUUAAUGAGUCUGGGUUUUAAGUGGGACCAUUGUGACCCCUCCAGUCUUUCCUGGGAACUUUCCUGAUGUGCAUUCUCACACAUACUUACAACUAUUCAAGGUGGUAUACUAGCUUGUGUGCAGUAUUUAUCAAAAAAAUAGCGGCAAAGUAUGAAAUUGAGAAAUUUAACGGAAACAAUUUUUCGUUGUAGAAAAUGAAGAUGAAAGUUGUAUUGAGGAAAAAUAAUUGCUUGGCAGCAAUUGGAAAAAGGCUCAUGGAGAUAACUGAUGACAAGUGAAAUGAGAUAGAUGGCAACGCCAUUUCUUAUCUACACUUGGCACUUGUAGAUGGAGUAUUAUCUAGUGUGGCAGAGAAAAAUCAACGAAGGAAAUAUGGGAUACUCUCACAAAAUUGUACGAGGCCAAGUCACUACACAACAAAAUCUUCUUGAAGAGAAAACUCUAUACUCUUCGAAUGGUGGAAUCUACAAUGGUGACCGACCAUAUCAACACCUUGAAGACUCUAUUUUCAUAACUCACAACGUUGGGUUAUAAUAUAGAGGAAAAUGAAAAUGCAGAGCUUCUACUUCAAAGUCUACCAGAUUCGUAUGAUCAACUCAUUAUCAACCUGACAAACAACAAUCCAGUGGACAGUCUAGUUUUCGACGAUGUUGAGCAGGUGGAAAAAUAAGGAAAAUAGACAAGCAAGUUCGCAGCAAGCGGAGGCGCUAUGGGUGACGAGAGGGAGAUCAAUGGAACGUGGCCCCAGUGGGAGUCAAAAUCAUGGUAGAUCAAAAUCCAGAAGUAAAAAGAAUGUUAAAUGCUACAACUGUGGCAAGAAAGGACACGUCAAGAAAGAGUGUUGGAGUAACCAGAAGAGAAGAGAGGGCAAAGAACUUGCGUCAUCAAAUGCUUAAGGGUGUGUAACAAGUACCUCGGAUGAUGGCGAAAUUCUUUACAGCGAGGCAAUAACUGUUUCAGAAGGCAGAAAACGAUUAUCUGAUGUCUGGCUUAUAGACUCAGGAGCUACCUGGCACAUGACCUCUCGGAGAGAAUGGUUCCACACAUAUGAACCUAUCUCAGGAGGAUCUGUAUAUAUGGGUAAUGAUCAUGCCUUGGAGAUCGCUGGUAUUGGUACUAUCAAAAUAAAAAUAUUUGAUGGUAUAAUUCGCACAAUUGGGGAGGUACGACAUGUAAACGGCCUAAAGAAAAAUCUAUUGUCUUUAGGACAAAUAGACAGUCAUGGGUGCAAAACUCAUGUGGAGAAUGGAAUUAUGAAGAUCGUUAAAGGCGCGCUUGUAUUGAUGAAGGCAAAAAAGAUCGGUGCUAAUUUAUUCAUGCUUAAAAGAGAAACACUACAGGAGGCUGAUGCGUGUGUCGCAUCAAAUGGAGAAGAGUCAACAAUGAUGUGGCAUCUCAAAUUUGGCCACAUGUCAGAACAAGGUUUGAAGAUUCUCUCUGAGCGAAAAUUGCUUUCAGGACUCAAAUCGGUAAGUUUACCAUUUUGCGAGCAUUGUGUUACAAGUAAGCAGCAUAGAUUAAAAUUCAGUAGAUCUAUUGCUAGAAGUAAAUGCAUUCUAGACUUGAUUUAUUCUGAUGUUUGGGAAUCACCGGAUAUAUCCAUGGGAGGUGCAAAGUACAUGGUGACUUUCAUUGAUGAUUAUUCCUGAAGAUGUUGGGUGUAUCCAAUUAAGAAAAAGUCAGAUAUAUUUUCAAUAUUUAAAGAAUACAAAGCGCGGGUGGAACUUGAAUCUGGUAUAAAGAUCAAGUGCUUGAGGACAGAUAAUGGUGGAGAGUAUACAGACGGCGAGUUUCUUGCUUUCUGUAAGCAAGAAGGUAUUCAGAGGCAGUUCACGGUGGCAUACACUCCUCAACAAAAUGGAGUGGCAGAGCAGAUGAACAGAACUCUUACAGAAAGAAUAAGAGCUAUAUUGAGGACCACUGAUCUACCCAAUUCAUUCUGGGCAGAAGCAGCCAAAACUGCCUGUUAUAUAGUAAAUCGAUCGCCAUCUACAACUAUUGAGCUGAAGACAGCGAUGGAGAUGUGGACUGAAAAGCCAGCUGAUUAUUCCUACCUACAUGCAUUUGGAUGUCCUGUGUACGUGAUGUACAAUACCCAAGAAAGAACAAAACUGGAUCCAAAAUCUAGAAGAUGUAUCUUCUUGGGAUAUGCUGAUGGAGUAAAGGGGUAUCGUCUGUGGGACCCCACUGCCCACAAGAUCGUCAUCAGCAGAGAUGUUAUUUUUGUAGAAGAUCAACUACAAAGGAAAAAUGGAGAUGAUAGCACUGCAAAAGAAAAUUCAGAGACCGUGCUGGUAUAUAUGGAAAAUAAUUCAGAAGAUUCAGAUUCUUCGGAAGCAGCACCAGAGCAUGAGGAACAAGAACUAGUCGAGUCCGAGGCUCCAGAAGUUCAUUGGUCAACUCGUGAGAGACGACCGCCAACGUGGCACUCGGAGUAUAGAGUUCAACGUUACAUACUGUCUUCUAACAGAGGAUGGAGAGCCUUCAACUUUCCAUGAAGCUUUAAACAGCUUAGAUGUUGCUUUGUGGAUGACAGCAAUGCAGGAAGAAAUUGAAGCUCUACACAAGAACAAGACAUGGGAACUUGUACCACUACCACACGGAAGAAAAGCCAUUGGAAACAAAUGGGUCUACAAGAUCAAGCGUGAUGGCAAUGACCAAGUGGAGCAGUAUCGUACAAGAUUGGUGGUGAAAGGAUAUGCUCAAAAAGAAGGUAUUGACUUCAACGAGAUAUUUUCUCCGGUGGUUCGACUCACAACAGUCAGAGUAGUCUUGGCGAUGUGUGCUACACUUGACUUACAUCUUGAGCAGUUAGAUGUGAAAACUGCAUUUCUUCAUGGAGAACUUGAAGAAGAAAUAUAUAUGCUCCAACCAGAAGGUUUUGCAGAAAUAGGAAAGGAGAACUUGGUUUGCAGGUUGAACAAAUCUCUAUACAGUCUCAAACAGGCACCGAGGUGUUGGUAUAAGAGAUUUGAUUCCUUCAUCAUGAGCCUUGGAUACAACAGACUAAGUUCAGACCAUUGUGCAUAUUACAAGAGGUUUGAAGAAAAUGAUUUCAUUAUUUUGUUAUUGUAUAUGGAUGACAUGUUGGUAGCAGGCCCCAACAAAGAUCGAAUCCAAGAAUUAAAGGCACAGUUGGCUAGGGAGUUUGAAAUGAAGGACUUGGGACCAGUAAACAAGAUUAUAGGGAUGCAAAUUCACCGAAACAGAAAUAACAAGAAGAUUUGGCUUUCACAGAAGAAUUACUUGAAGAAAAUCUUGCGACGCGUCAACAUGCAAGAUUGUAAGUCAAUUUCUACGCCACUUCCUGUUAAUUUCAAAUUAUCCUGAAGUAUGUGUCCUAGCAAUGAAGCAAAGAGGAAGAAGAUGUCUCGAGUACCGUAUGCUUCAGCAGUGGGAAGUUUGAUGUUCGCUAUGAUAUGUACUAGACCGGACAUUGCACAAGCAGUGGGAGCAGUCAGUCGAUACAUGGCGAAUCUUGGAGGAGAGCAUUGGAUAGUUGUGAAGAGGAUUAUGAGAUAUAUCAAAGGAACCUCAGAUGUUGCAUUAUGUUAUGGAGGAUCAGAAUUUACUGUCAGGGGCUAUGUGGAUUCAGAUUUUGCAGGAGACCUUGAUAAAAGGAAAUCCACUACUGGUUAUGUGUUUACACUUGCGGGAGCAGCUGUAAGCUGGGUUUCGAAACUGCAGACCGUUAUGGCCUUAUCUACAACAGAAGCAGAGUACAAGGCAGCUACACAAGCUUGCAAGGAAGCUAUUUGGAUACAAAGGUUAUUGGAGGAGCUCGGGCACAAACAAUAGAAAAUUCUUGUAUUUUGUGACAGUCAGAGUGCCUUGCACAUUGCAAGGAAUCUAGCCUUUCAUUCCAGAACAAAGCACAUAGGAGUUCAGUAUCACUUCGUUCGAGAAGUAGUGGAAGACGGAAGUGUGGAUUUACAGAAAAUCCAUACGAAGGAGAACCUAGCAGAUGUUUUGACCAAGCCAAUCAAUACUGAUAAGUUUUUCUGGAGUAGAUCCUCUUGUGGCCUAGCAGAAACGUAGGCAACAUGAUUAUGGCGAAGCAGAAAGGAUGGUGUGGAGAUUGAUUGAUUUUCAAUCUAAUCUCCAAGUGGGAGAAUGUUAAAGUCUUGGUUGGGAGGUGCUGCCCAAAGAAAGAAACAAAAGAGAAAGAAGAAAAAGAAAAAAGCAAGAAGAAAAAAUGGGCUGGCCGAAAUGCUUGAAAAGGAAAAUGGAAAAAUAAGCAGUUUGAAGAAGAAAAUGAGGAACACGGUUUUGACUUUCUUGGCCAUCAUUUUGUUAUAAAUAGAAGUGCAAAUGAAGAGCUGUAGUAUUCCAUCGAGAGACAAGCAUUUCCUUCCUUUAGAGUUGAGAGUAUUAAGAGUUUAAUAAACUCUUGAGUGAUUAGUGUUCUGAGAGUUUGGGUGUAUUGGGAUUUUGGGAAGUGAGCUAAAAUACUACAAUACUUGUAACUCCUUUUUACUAGUAAAAUAUUUCCUUAUGUUUUUGCCCGUGGACGUAGGCUAAAAGCCGAACCACGUAAUUUCUGGUGUCCUCUCUUGUGCUUGUUCUUUAUUUUAUUUCAAUUUCACUUUAGCUGCGCGUCUGCUUCACCCACCAAUUUCCUAACAUUUAGGAGAUUGUUGGUUUCCUAACUCCAUUCAUAGACUUAGUAGAUUGCGUGCCCUCUUAAUUUGUGAUGUUAACAAUUUGUCUCUUGAUAGUAGCAUCCUUCUAUAGUUAAUUAGCAAAUCGUUUUAUCGUGAUACAAGACGAUUAAGUUUUGGUGAGACAAAUUAAUUUGACUGAAGAGAUUCCAGAAAAUGUAGGAAAAAUGAUACAUUUAAAAUACCUUAAUUUGUCUAGUCUGGAUAUAGAGGGACUACCUGGGACUUUGUGCGAGUUAUACAGUUCACAUGGGCUAGAUAAAAGAGCAUACCGAGAUAUCAGAGAAUUACAUUCAGGAAUUGGCAUGUUAAUGAAAAUGAGGAGAUUUCUAAGUGGUGAAACUGGUUCGUUGAAGUGCAUGCCAAAAGGGAUCUUAAGAUUAACCAAUCUUCGAAGAUUGGAUAAGUUUGUUGUGAGUGGAGGUGUUGAUAAUGGCAUACCAAGUCGUCUUGGUUCUAUGAAAAACCUUCAACUCCUUCGAGACUGUGGUAUGGAAGGGCUGGGUAAUGCGUCAUAUUUAAGUGAUGCUAUGAGACCAGAACUUGAUAAAAUGAAAAACCUUCUGCUUUUGAAACUGUCCCUUGAUGGGGAAGAUCGAGAAGGAGUUGUUAAGGUGCAUUUCUGAAAAUCCUUCUUUCUUCACACACGUUUCAAUGUUGGUUGUAAUAGCAAUUUCAUCUCUCAGGUUAUCAUGUUCAAGGUUUUGAAAAAGCUUUUGCGGUAAUGUUUCAAAUUAAGCUUGUACAAUGACUGUGAAGAGGCAUAUUCAAUUCGGUACGUUUUGGUACGAUCUCCUUAUGCUAGUAUCAUGUUGUGUAUAUUUAAUUGCAAUUAAAAUGGUUUAAUCUCCCAUCCUUAAUCUUUUCUGAUAUUCUACAGAAGAUUAACGGUGACAAUUAUUCUUCAAGUAUGCAGUCUCAAUUUACAAUAAAUCAUGAGUACUUGUGUACAAAGCUUUAUAUAUUAGCUAUAUGGGGAAUGAAAUUUUAAACAUCAUAUCGAUCUUCAAUUUUUGGUAAUUCUCGUUUAUUUGCUUCUACAGAGUGCCUGUCUUGGCUGAUUUGUCUAAUUCGUAGAAAUUCAUUUCCAUUGGUUGGAGCACAAACAAGACAAGAGAGCUCUGGGGAAAAGUAAUCUACUUCUUGUGUUACUACGCCUUUGUUUCUUCCUUCAUAAUAUUUGUUUGACUUCAUGCUCUCAUUCAAGAUUAUGAAGCAAUUUCCAGGCAGAAUUAGAGAAGGUGUUGUUAAAAGGGCGUUUAGCUUCCCUACGAUUGAAUAUGGAACUACUGAGAAUAAAAUUGAUCAAUUGACGACGUUAGUUUGGUUGGGUGGUUUACUUAUACUCAGUCUGACAUUCAAACUACGUAUCAUCAAAUGUCCGAUGUAUUGGUAUCCUUUUCAUGUUUUUUCUUCGAUUUUGGGUUAAUUUGUGCGGUUGAUUUUAGUUUAGAUCUCUGCCUGUUUAUUAUUCCGGCUUUUCUUCCUAAUCAAAUGGUGCUUUCUUUGUCAAAAAAUCUACGUUGUUCCAUCCAUGCUUUGACAAUGCUAAAUGCAUUUUUUACGUUUCCUUUCUGACACAGACAUAUAAAGGACAUCACAUCCUAGUCUUGCUGUGAAAACUUUAGGCAAAUUUUGGACCGUCUCAAAGGAAAGCAGAGAAUGUAACAAACAUCUAAUGCCAUUUUGAUGCCGGCCUAAUUAUAAACUAAACUUUAUUAUUUAGUAAAACACACACAUAGACAAGGCGAGAGCAAAGCUCACUACAAUGUGAUAUUUUCACCACCCAAUAAUGUCUUACAAGAGAUACAUGACGCUUUAACUCACCAAAGCUCACCACUUAAGAGGAUUACAAAGGGAUUUAGAUAGUCAUCAUCCAAUGAUAUCCUACAAGAGAUACAGUACUUCUCAACUCACCACUCUACGGAAUCAACCCAAGAGAUCCGGAGUUCUAUGAAGAAACUCUAACAAGAGCACUCUUCUAGGUUACAUUCUCAUAAUCACCCCCUUUUGUAAGGUUACAACCUAAUACCUUUUGUAUAGACAACUUGGAACAUCCCUUCAAGCUUAGGAUAAGAUCUCUAUCAUUUAGAAUUCAAAUCAAACUUGAAUUAUAGGUCUUAGCUGUCAUGAGGUGGAAGAAAACAAAACAAAAUGCAAUUUGACAUCAAGGUCGGUUUCAAGUGCAAGUCAGAGUAGUCAACAUUCAUUUAAUCAUAUCUUGAUGUAGAAAGCUCCAAAUCAAACAUGUAAAAUUCAUUAACAUCUUGACUCAAAAAGCUUUUCACUUAUGUGAAAGUUUUUAAUUGGAUCUUGAUGCAUUUGUACCAAUAAAUUCAGAACUUUUGGCCGUGUGCAGAAUUCCUAACAGUUGUGACCUUCGUUGACAAAAUCAUGAAUUUUUUUAAGAAGAGAAGUCUGAAUUUGAUUCCAUAAAAUUCUUCAAAGACUAGGCAUAUUCAUCUUUCUUUGAAUAUAUAUGAUACAUAGUUUAAUUACAUCUAGAAAAAUACAGUCAAUUCAAACAAUUGGAGUCAUAAUCUUGGAUUGUACUUGUCUCUUGGACUAAAUCUAAAACACGCCUGUGUCAUAUUUAUGGCUUUACAUUAUUUAGAAUGAAUCUUUUGAGAUUUCUUCAGAAUAAAUCUUAGUUUCGGGAAAAGUAUGUCUGUUAGCGAAAAUUUACUUCUCAUUGGAACCCUUAACCCAGCUGGAUUAAGGCUCUGUUUGUGUGAGCUUUUUGGUCACUCUGCUGCCAAAGAUAAGUGUUUUAGUAAAUAAUUGCAGUUUGGUUUUGGCAAGGUAACUGAUUAGUGCCCACAACUAUUUACUUAACUGCUUAAGCAUAAGUUCUAAAUACAAAAUAGGAUACCAAACAGUUUUUAACUUGACAAUUAGUAGUGUUUAAGAAACACUCGUCAACUUUCCCUUUACACUUAGAACUUUUGUUUUGCAACAACAAUGACUCAAAAAUUGAUUUCAUCUUUGGUAACUUAGAGCUGCAAGCACUGAGGUGCUGUUUAUUGAACUUUUGAGGCUUCAACCUUAAGGGUGCAUUGGGUAGCCCGCAACUUGUUACCGACCCAUGUUUGGCAAAUUUCGAAAUUGCAUUGUGGUGCUUUCAAUAAUGCACCACAUUGUAAAUUUUAGUGCAUUACACAAGCCCGGGGGACCCCGAGUUAGUGCACUGCGUAACUUGACGCAUUAGCUUUUGCUGUAUAUAUGAGCAAAAGCUAUUGAUAAUUAAUAUAACAUCGAACUAAUAAUUUAGUAAAAUUAUAUUAUAUUACAUUACAAUAUUAUUUAUAUUAUAUACAAUAUUAUUUAUAUUAUAUUCUACUUUUUCUUUUAUUUUUUAUAUUUAUAAUAAUUAAUAAAUAAAUGUAAAUUUGUAUUAUGUAUUUUUAGUUAUUUUUAAUUUUAUUAUGUUAUUUAGUAAUACCACAUCAUAUUAAUAUAAAAUAAUUAUUUAAUAUAAUUAAAAUAAUAAUAAUAAUAAUAAAUUUAUAUUUUCGAAUUUAAAGCAGCAAGCGCCGAAGUAAAGUAGAACUGCACACUAACUGAAAAAGAAAAGAAAAUAUUAAAAUAUUAUAAUAAAAUUAAAAAUAAUUAAAAAUAUAUAAUAUUAAUUUACAUUUAGUUAUUAGUUAUUAUAAAUACAAAAUAAUAUAAUCUAUAAUAACUAUUAUUUAAUAUUAAUCGGCAACGACAACUGCUCUAAAUCACUCUCGCGAAAAUCAGCCGCUAGCUUUAUAUGUCUAUUUGAGUUUAUUUUAGUAUUGUUGGAACUCGUUGUUUGAGCAUUACGACAAUAUAUGUUUCAUCGGAACGGAGGCCUCCAUCAUUCUUUGUCUAUAGAUCUCUAGUGAUCGGAAACUGUAUUUCCAGUGAAACAUGUACAUUGAGGAUUAGCGAUGGUUGAUGUGUACAUUGCAGGCCUCCACCGAUACCAAAAAUAACAUCAAACAAAACCAAAAUGUGGUGUCGGCGCUGAUUCGUGGUGAUUAGCGAUGGUUGAUGUGGCUGUCAGUGAUUUAUUCUUUUGUUUGUAAAUUAAAUUAAUAAAUGUGAUAUAAUAAUAAUAUAAAGUAUUAAUAAAUAUACAUAAUAUUAAUUUCACAUAAAUAUUUUAAACCACCUCCAAUCGAUAACCACAUGCAACUGCUGAAGAAAGUGGGCGGAAGUUAAGGUGGCAACCACCCACGACCAAGGGCCUAUUUAAACUGAAAAGGGGAACUGAGGAAGGGGUUAGCAAAAUUAACCAAAGCUUAUACAAGUUUAAACCUUAACAUUCUUUAUAAGAUUUUCGACUCCUCUACCGGAAAAUCACCUGACUUUAACUCAUUUACAAUUCUUCAUUCUCACUUUUCUCCCUUUAUUCAUAAUUUUUAACUUAAGCAUCAGAGGGUAUACGCUAGAACCCCACUGGCGAAUCCUGACCGUGUUUCUGGUCUGCAGGUAUAGAAAGUUGCGAUCAGACUGGCGUUUGAGCUUGGAUUCGUGCUGUAAUUCCCCAAAAGAAAUAAAUUAAGCUAUUGGGGUCGUUUAUUGGCAUCAACAGUGAUGAUGAACCAUCUUCAUCUUCAUCGUCAUCAUUAGUUAUUGCCUUCCCCAAUUUGAAAUCACUCGAAAUUGUGGACUUGAAAGAAUUGGAUGAGUGGGAUUAUAGGAUUACAAGAAAGGAAAACAUCUCCAUCAUGCCACGUCUUUCUUCCUUGGAAAUUCGGUCUUGCCCUAUAUUAAAGGUGCUGCCGGAUUACCUUCUUCAGAAAACGACACUGCAGAAAUUGAGUAUCUUUCAUUGUCCAAUUAUGGAAGAACUGCCCAUUCUAAAAGAUCGCAGGACAACAUACAUACCACGUCUUUCUUCCUUGCGAAUUACGUGUUGCCCCAAAUUAAAGGUGUUGUCGGAUUACCUUCUUCAAACGACAACGCCCCAAAUUCUAGAAGAACGUUACAGAUGUCAAAGUAUUUGGCUGCAGCUUCUAGAAGCUACAUCUAGAAGCGUUGAUGUAGCAAAUGUUGAAGGGUUAGGCACCGCCAAGGAAGAAUGAAGAAGAUGUUGCCGAAGUUGAUCUUGACAAAUGAUGGUUGGAACGCCAAAAUGCAAGAAAGAAAAAGGUUGGAGCACGGCUUUGAAGAAGCCACGAGAAGAAUAAAGAAAAUAUUAGAAUAAUAGCCAAUUUUGGCUAUCUAAAGGAAGCUCCCCAUUUCUAGUUUUUGUAUCCAAUCCUCAGUUUCUCUUCUUCAUUCAGAGAGUGUUUCUUUGGGGUGUAUUUGGGGAUUAGGUGAGAGAAAAUUAUUUCUGAGAGAGUGGUUGUAAUAAUUUUCCACAUAGUGAAUAUUUUUUUCUCUAGUUGUCUUUUUGACAACGGCCGUGGUUUUUCUCCAGAUUUGGAGUUUUCCACGUAAAUCUUGUGUUGUGGGAUUGAUAUUAUUUUUCAUUUAAUUUUUCUUGUUAAUUUGUUACUUGACAAAUUGCUUGGAGAGAUCCUGGGAGGAAGCUCAAUUUCCUAACAGUGGUAUCAGAGCCAUUGAUUGAAGUUUUGGUGUCGGGCACUGUUCAUGUAUACGGUACUGUUCACGUAUACGGUACUAUUCACGUGAAGCAGUGGGAGCCAAUCCAAACAGUCCGUGGUGAAGAGUAAAAGCUGAUCUACAAAGCAAAUAUGUCAGGAUUGAAAUUUUCAAGUCUGGUGAAAUUUGAAAUAGAAAAAUUCGAUGGGAGAAUUAACUUUGGCUUGUGGCAAGUUCAAGUCAAAGAUGUGUUGAUUCAAUCUGGGUUACACAAGGCAUUGAAGGGGAAGCCAUCCCCUGCUUCCAGUAGUGGCUCUGGAAAAGCUAGUAUAAGCGAUGAAGAUUAGGAAGAUUUUGAUGAUGGAGCUGCAAGUGCCAUACGACUGUGUUUAGCAAAGAAUGUUCUUGCAAAUUUAGGAAAAAUUCCUACAGCGAAAGAACUUUGGGAGAAGCUAGAAAAGUUGUAUCAGACAAAGAGCAUCUCAAAUCGGUUGUACCUGAAGGAGCGAUUUCACACACUGUGAAUGGCUGAAGGUACAAAAAUUUCCGAUCACCUCAGUGUUCUCAAUGGUAUUGUGUCAGAACUUGAAGCCAUUGGAGUUAAAAUUGAAGAUGAGGACAAGGCGCUUAGGGUACUAUGGUCACUUCCAACUUCCUACAAACACUUGUUACCUACUUUGAUGUACGGGAAGGAGACAGUAGAUCUUGAAGAAGUUACUAGUACUUUACUCUCAGAAGAAAGAAGACUAAGUGGUGAAAGUACUAAAACUAUAGAUGUCUCAGCUUUGGCAGUUGUAGGGAAUUGGCAGAAAGAUAAAUCUAAGAAGAAAGAAGAAAGGAGCUUUGGCAGUUGUACAACCGCCACUGAAUACAUGCAGCCACUACUAUAUUUUAUUCUAAGACAAUAACCUUUUGAAGAAACUAGAGCCCAUAUCAUUCCCCACCCCUUAGAAUCACCUUGUCCACAAGGUCAAAGUGCCCCAUUCACUUAACCAGUAUCGGGUGGUGUGAAUGGUGGAGGAUCUUCAAUCAUGAACAGUUAUGGCCUUUGGCAGUGAUGGCCAGGAACGAAUUUCUCAUCACAAUAAUAACAUAGCCCUUUUUCACGUCGAGCCCAUACUUCUUGGUUAGUCAACCGCUGGGUAGGAGGAGUGGUGGCAUUGGCUGUUUGGUUUGCCUUAGGAGGGGGGGCCUAAGAUCCCAGCAGAACUAUUUGGGAUUGGUUGUGGCAUCACGGAAAUAUGUGGUGGUGCAGAAAAGUGUUCAGUGCAGCGAUCGAGAGAAUUCUGCUCCUCAAUCAGUCUUGCCACACCAAUGGCGUCAGCUAAGGUUCGAGGUUGUUUAAUCUUAACAUCAAGUCGUAUGUCGUCUCGCAACCCAGCAAUAAAACACCUUACAAGAAACUGCUCAGGGAGGUUAUCAAUGUUGUGAGAGAGUUUUUCGAAGGCUUCUUGGUAGGCUGCCACCGUUGAAGUUUGUUUGAGACGUGUUAAAGCUUCGGAUGGGUCUUCAUAAUCCGUUGGUCCGAAUCGUAAGAGCACUGCCUUAGUAAAUUCUGCCCAAGUUAGUGGACCACGAAAUUUCAUUAACCAUCUAUGCCAUUAAAGAGCGAUCCCCUCCAAAUGGAAUGAGGCUAACUGUAUAUGUUGUUCCGGGGCUACAUUCUUAAAUUCAAAGAAUUGUUCUGCCUUAUAGAUUCAACCAAUCGGAUCCUCUCCAUUGAAAUUUGGGAAGGUUAGUUUGAGAUGGUGGUGGUGGUUAGGAAGGUUUGAGGAGGCAGGCUUUACGACUUGGUGAGAGGAUGCUGUAGGUGCAAAAGGAUUAACUUCAGAGGCAAUUCCAUGUGAGGCUUGGGAGGCACGAAGAGAUUGGAGCUCCGAUAAUACAGUUUGCAGAGUAGCAUGAACUUGGUCUAGGCUAGACUCAUGACGACCUAAGAUUUCUUGAACCUCAUUUCGAAACUCAGCGUUUGAUUGAUUUCGGGUAGCCAUUUUCCCGGAAAACCGGCUCUAAUGCCCUGAUACGAAUGAAUUUAGAUAAGAAGUAGAAGUCGAAGAAGUUAGUGAUAGUUUAGUUUCCAGUUUAGAAAGGGAAGUCAAAGAAUUAGAGAGAAGAAUAUGAAUUGAUUAGAAGGGGAAAGACAACUUCAUUCCAUUCCUCCCCAUUACAAGUCCACUAAGUCUUUUAAAUAGACCUGUACACUCUGAAACUAGAAAAGAGGAAAAACAUGUGCAAGUCCAGCAAGCACUACACUUGAAAAUAGGAACAUGAACACUUAAAAUGGAAAUGUGCACAACCGCCACUGAAUACAUGCAGCCACUACUAUAUUUUAUUCUAAGACAAUAACCUUUUGAAGAAACUGGAGCCCAUAUCAAUUUGUUACUUGACAAAUUGCUUGGAGAGAUCCUGGGAGGAAGCUCAAUUUCCUAACAACAGAGAGGAGGAAGGAGAAGACUGGCACAAGAUAUCUCACAUUCCCCACAUCGAGUUGUAAAUUCUUCGAAUGUUUGCAAUUACUAUCACCCACUGGUAAUUUCUCCUCCUCUAUUUUACUUUAUUGUUACUUGUAAUGAAACUACUAAUAAUUAUUAUGAUUAUUAUCAUCAUCAUCAUCUUUUGAAUUAAAAUUAUAUAUUUUGCCAAUGUUUCAUAGGAAUAAGCAAUAAUUUCUAAUAUUUUGAUAUUCACAUUGAACAUAACUAUUUACUUCAUUGCACGAUAACUUGUUAUGUGAAACUUAUAGAGAGACAGAAUUUCUGUGGUACUUUGUAGUAAUGUUGGAAACUAAAGUAUUAGAAUUUGAUAAAACAAGCUCAAGCACUGGAUUCCCCACUACUAAUGGGUUGCAUUUUUAUUUUAUUUUAGGUUGACUUUGAAGACUCUAUGGAGUAGGCUGGCAAUGGAACUACUAUGACUAUGGUAUUGUGCAACGUUUAGUUGCCGGUGCUAUGUUUCAAUUGAGUAUGGAUAGCUGCCUGGACGACAUGAUGAUUAUUAUUGCAUGAUAUUAAGGUGCUAAGAUCAUCAUUUCUAUCUUGUUUCAUUCUUUGAUCAGCUUAUCCUCUAUAAGCAUACUGAAUUAUUCUAAUAAUAUCAUUUUUUCACCCAAUUUUCACUGUUGGUUGUAAUAACAAUUUCAGGUUCUUAAAAGGCUACAAAGCAAAGCAUACGUGGGCUGAUAUGCUUCCGUGGAGGAAGGAAUUCGGUGUUGAUACUAGUAUGCAGGUAACCACAGUUUAUAAUUUGAACAAAUUUUGCUUUCUCAGAAUACCCUUUAAUAUUCGCUGUGUUUCUUUGUGUUAUUCAGGUUAUCAUGCUAUGUAGAGUAUCAUCUUCAAGGGUGGUAAGAGCCCUUGCAGUGAAGUUACCUGCUCGUGCAACGCACAUUCAUCGGAGUACAAUUUUGGAUUUUCAAGGUUUUCAUGUUUAGUUGCGAUUAAAAUGCUUAGUCACUCAUUCCUAAUCUUUCCUGAUUUUCAAGUUAUUUAGGUCCAUAAACAGUUUUCACACAUGUUUCAAUGCUAGUUGUAAUAACGAUUUCAUAUAUUGCAUCUCAAAAGUGCAUCACGUUUGAAACAACUUUUGCGGUAAAGCUUUAAUGCUUGUACAAUGGCUGUGAAGAGGCACAUUCAAUUCGGUACGCUUUGGUGCAAUGUCCUAAUGCUAAUAUCAUGUUGUGUAUAUUUAGUUUGCUAUUAAAAUUUAGGUAUAAAAUCUUAAUCUGCAAUAAAUCAUUGUGUACAAAGUUUUCUAUUAAUUAUAUGGCGACCAAAAUUUUAAUUAUCUUAAAAUAUUUUGUAACUCUCUUUUACUUUGCUUGUACAGAGUACCUGUUUUGGCUGAUAUGUCGAAUUCGUAGAAAUUCAUUUCCGUCAGUUUCCAUUGGUGCGAGCACAUACAGAAACAGAGCUCUACUUCUUGUGGUAUUAUGCCUUUGUUUCUUCAUUCACCAUAUUUCUUCGAAUUCAUGCUCUCAUUAAGAAGGGAAAUUGUUGAGGAAAGUUCUUGUCUUAAUUAAAUUACAGGUGAUAUGAUAUGGCUUGAAUUCAGCAUCUCGUAUCGCGAUGAUUUUUUGUCCACAUGAGAUGCUGUGAUUCUUGACAUCAGGAUAAUUCAGGUCAAUUUUUAGUAUCAACAUAUAUCAUCUUCUUGGCUGUUUUGCCUUUAAAGAGCAAACAUUAGUAAAGUUGUUUUUGUUUGUGUAAGUUAUCAGGUUAAGGAAACCACGCAGCUUAUUAAGGCAAAUGUCAGAAUGAAGAUUGUUCACCACACCUGGGACGUAUGAUGGCUUUAUAUAUUAUUGGAGCUCCCCCUUUUUAGAGAUAUCUCAGGAAAUUUGAGUAGAGCUCUCCCAAUAAUUCUAUGCUCUCAUUUGUUUGUAAAAUCAUCUUCUUAUAUUGAUUGUGUUUCCUUGUGUUAUCAGGUAGAGUAUCAUCUUCAAGGGUUUCAAAAAGUCUUUGCAGUGAAGUUUCAACCUUAUACAAUUGCUGUGAAGAGGCAUAUUUUGAGUAAUUCAGUUUCAGAUUUUCAAGGCGUGCAUGUUUAAGUAGUCUCGAUUAAAAUAUUUUAGUCACUCAUUCUGAAUCUUUUCUAAUUUUCAAGUUCCUCAGGGCCACGGCCAAUUUUUCAAGUCUGCAUGUGGCUGCAAAUGGUUGAUGGUCAUAAAAUUAUCUUGAGCCUUAAGGCAUUGCGUUUGAGCGCACACAGAAACAGAGCUAAAGGAAAAGAAAUUGACAGUAGACGAUGCUCUAAAUAUAACAAAGUAUAUUUCUACUUCUUAUGGUUAUUUUACUUUUGUCUCCUGUCAUCAUAUUUGAUUAAUUGUUCGAAUUCACACUCUCACUCAUUAUUUAAAACCAUUUUCAGGUGGCUUGCAAGCUCAUUAAGUUAACGCAGAAACAAUACUCAAGACAAAGAUGAGCAAAUUGAAGGUUAUAAUUGCAUACACAACAUGAUUCUGAAUUUGAAUUUCCAUGAAUAACUAUUUGGCUGGUGCAGAUAUUCUUGAAAGGGCGUUAAGCUACCUUAUGAAAUUGGAAAGUUAUUAUUGCUUGAAUGCAAGCACCAUCUUCUGUUGCCAAGGCUUUCCCCACAUGAUGAGAUGCUGUGAUUGUUACCGGACCCUUGAUUAUUUAUUAUCUCAGGUGUUUAUCAUCAACUACAUCAUCUUAUUCACCAUUUUGGCUAUGUGCAAAGAUUAAAAUUUAGAACACUUGUUUCGGUUUCUUGUGUAAUCUGGUUAUUAAGGGAAAUGUAAGUACAAAGGUUGUUCAGUGCAGUUGGCAUGGCAAGGAUGAUGAUGGUGAGGAAGAUUGUUCACAAGCCAAAUAGAGCCCUCCAUUUUGAGAAAUCUCAUCCUCAAAUUUGAAUUGUUGAGCAUAUGAAGUGAUGUUAAAGCCUUAAUAUUAAGUCUUUCUGAAAGUUUCAUUUGAAUGAAUUUUCGGAGAUUGAAUAUUCAUACAGUGAGUAAGAAAUUAAGCACAUAUUUGCGAUUUGGGUCGUUGGUGAAUGUUUUCCUUUAAUAUUUGUACACACCCAUUUCAUAGUAAAAUUUUCUUCAUGUCUUUGACUGUGACGUAGGCUAAUAGCUGUACCAUGUAACAUUAUUUGCUACAUACCAAUUUUGUACAAUCAAGAAUGCAAUUUUGUAACUAUUUAACUCUGCUUCCGCAAACUUGCAGUAUUACAAGUGACAUCUUGCAGAAUUCUUUUUUUUCCUUUGUCUUUCUCCGUUAAAAUUGGCACAAAUGGAGGCGAUUGGCUUCAUUUUUGAUCCUGUAAAAGGUGCUGGGAGCAAUGUCAUUUGUACCCGCAAGUUGUAAAUCGUCGUAGUUUAAAGAAUCCCAAGUUGCCAUCCAAAACUAAAGAAAUUGCAAAUUAAGUAGUUCUUGAGAAAUGAUAUAUUUUGAGUUGCUAAUUAUUAAGUAUUUCAUUCAAAAAUGCAGGGGCGGACCCAAGACUUAAUAUUAUCUCGGGUUAAUUUUUAAAAUUUAUAUUUUAAAGCGAAUAUAAAAAUUUAUAAGUAGAAAGAAGUACAUUAAAUAAGAAGGAACACCAAAAAUCUUAUCCCUCUAAAUAUGUACUAUAGACAAAAAUAACUAUAAAAAAUAAUAGAAAACAAAAGGCAGCUCAAAUAUGAAAACAUUAUUUUUCACUUAUAAAAUCUGACAUUGCAACCUAUGAUAACAUGUAAUUAUAUCAGGAUUGAAAAAUUAAUUAAUAAUUUCAAAUUAAAAUAGCUUAAUACAUGCAAUUACAAUCAAUUAAAAAUUUCAAAUAAAACUUUUUAUACUUGAAGUAAAGUACUAAAUUACCAAACUUAAUAAAUUAAACAAUUAAAAUUUAUUCGUCAUUUCAAAUUGUAAAAGUAUUAUUAGUCAAAAGUUUCAAUAAUAAAUUAAACUCAAUUAAGCAAAAAUGUAUUUUGGUAUAGUUGUUUUUUUGUCAGACACUCUAACUCUCUUUAAAAAACUAGAUGUUGAUGAUUCUUCUACCAAAAUUUCCUUAAAAUACUCAAAUUUUAUUUUCUAACUUGUCUUCUUAAUUAAUAUAACUAAUAAAUAAAAUCUAAAAAUUCACAUAAAAAUUUUAUGAAAAUAUUGAUAAUUGUUAUUAUAUAUUGUUUCUAUAAGUACUUUUAAUAUUAGUGACGAUGUUAUAUUACAUUGACAUUUUUUUUCAAUUAAAAGUUUUUAAAAAUAAAUUAAAGCAAUAAUAAAAUUUUAGCUCCCUAGUGUUUUCAAUCUAUUCAAUAAAUAUAUAAUUUAAUCAUUUUAUAAAAUAAGUCACUAAUUUCAAUUGAAAAUUAUAUAAUUGAAUUAGGGACAUAUUUAUAAAUAAAAUAAAAACUCUAUUGUCAUAUAAAAUUGAUGAAAAUGUAAGGGUAAUUGGGUUGGGGACAUAUUUGAAUAUAAAAUAAAAACUAUAUUGUUAUACUAAAUUGAUAGAAAUAUAAGGGUAUUGAGUUAGGGAAAUAUAUGAAAAGAAAAUAAAAAUUCUAUUGUUUUACAAAAUUAAUUAAAAAGUAUGGGUAUAGAUGACUUUUUUUGGACUAGAUCGGGCUACAGCCCGGUCUACCCCACGUGUGGGUCCGCCACUGCAAAAAUGUUCUCGUUCCCACAAUUCUUAAUGUUUAGAGUGCAUCAUUGCUCCACUUCUAUCAUAACAGCAUGAGAGAAUUUAACAUAAUAUUGAGAAAAUGAUUAUUUUACCCUGAUUAUAAAUGAUUAUUCUACCCUUAACAUGAAAUAACUAAUUUGCCCUAAUUUAAUGACAAAAAAAAAUUAGAUGACUGCAAUAUAGUUAUUAAAUAAUAAACAAAACAAAAGAAAUCAAAAUUAAAACUAACAUAAUUAAAAGAGACCUUAAGAGAAAACCGCACUUUAAUCAGGUUCACAAGGGAUGGGGCCGGUACCUGUACCCGCGGAUCGUGGCGAUGGCGGAUUGGAGCUUAUUAUCAACUCGUUUAAGAAUUUUAAAUUUUAAAGUUUUUUUAAACCUUGAAUUGUUUUGUUUAUUGCUUAAAUGAUAAAAUUUGGUGGUAGUUUGAUACUGUGUUGUAUGUUGCGUUAUUUUAGCUCAUUUUGUUAUUUUGGGGCAAUCGUUGGUGUUAAGUAAAUAAAAGCACCAGGUCGCCCAUGCUAUUAUUUCCACCCUGGCAUGGAUCACCUCAGCCAAGUGGUACGAGCAGAACACGAUGACCAACACGAGUACCAACCAGGGGAAUAUACCGACCAGAGGUAUAUACCGAGGCAAUACACAUCCCCCAAAAAGCGGGAACAUGAUCUCACAAAAUCACGGUAGUUGCGCUUUUCCCAGAACCGUUGCGGGAGACGCGAGAUCCCACAUUUGCCCAUAAUGUAACCGUUAGAGUCCCAUGAGGGGCUGCCACCACCCGAAAAAGGAGGGAUGAGGGGAAAACGGACACGUGGAACAUCGGCUAUAAAAGAAGAAGAAAUCGAUGAAGAAAGGGAUGAAAAAACUGAAAGAGGGGAAAUGCUGCCAAAUUGCAACCAGACCAUUUUCUUACAAACUUUGAAUAAAUUAGAAACCAUUUUUGAAUCCAAAUUGAGCUGUUUUCCGGUAAACGCCUUGUGCUAACUUAGGCAUCGGAGGGUUUACGCAGGUUUAGCAAAAGAAAGGAGGGUGAUUCCAACCCCAGUGGUUCGAGCAACAGUUGAUAACAUACACGUUGGUGAAAGAAUCUGGUUGGUCAAAGGGCGAGCAGAUUUCAACAUCAACAUUUUGGCGCCGUCUGUGGGGAAGCUGGAUAAAAAGCUACCACCGAAUUAGUAAUUACCGGAGAAACAGUGAACGGUUAGACAUGGAUGUACUAAGGAAGGACGCUGUGAGGGAGGAUAACGAAGCUGGGGAGACAAUCACUCUUCGGGAAAUAGCAAAUGAAGCCCGGGAGAGGAUGAUGCAAGAUCGAUGGAGCGGAUGGAGAAACAAAUGGAGACUCUCGCGACCAUACUGUAUGAGUUGAGGGAUGAGCGGAGAAGGGAUUGUGAAACCCCCGUGGGGAGAGACGAUGUUGGAGCAGAACCCAGCCUCCGAAGGCGUAGAGUCGAGGAAAUCCCUCCGCCAGCAGACCAACCUAAUGGGGUGCAUCCCCACAGGAGCAUUGGUCAGAUUCUAGGAGAACAGGUAGAUGAAGGGAGGGAUCAACCUCGCCCCAGACGGGUACUGGAAACGGAUGGCCGAGGGGCCAGUGUUGAUGAAGGAGAGCUCAGACAGAGGCUGCAGAAUGCCGAGCAUGAGCGAGAUCAGAUAGCUGCGCGUGAUCCUGACCGUGCUGUAGAAAUGGAGGGAGAGGUGCGCAGAUUAGCGCGAGUGAUAGAGGAGAUACAGGGCAAGAGGAAGCCCCCAAGCUGGAGAAUAAUGCUAGAUGAAGAAUCUCCGUUAUCAACUGAAAUCAUGGGUACCGUAAUCCCAAGAGACUUCCGCUUCCCCGACCUCAAAUACUCCGGGCGAAGCGAUCCGUUGGUGCACAUUGAGCGUUUCAACGACAUGACGGGUGUGCAGGGGCUCACACCAGCUCAGAGGUGCAGGGUGUUCCCAUUGACACUAGAGGGACGAGCCCGAGAAUGGUACCGCAAGCUACCCCGAGCAAGUAUAAAGUGGUACGAGCAGAUGUGCCAGGAGUUGGCCGAACAGUUCCGAGGAGCAGUAGCCCCAGAGGACGACAUAAUGGAACUGAUGGGGAUGAAACAGGAGGAGGAUGAAUCCCUUCAGGAUUUUGUUAAGCGAUAUCACCGAGCCGUACUGGAUCUAGGAGCUUUUAAUCACCCGCAAGCGCUGAGGGGAUUAAAAGAGGGUGUAAGAAUUGGCCGACUGUGGUAUAACUUAAGAAGCCCCCUAGUGCAGAAUUACUUGGCGGGAUAUGAGCAGGCGAGGCGAGAUAUAGAAAUCGAAGAGGAGAAAUUGGCGAGAAUAAAAAGUGAACAGCUGGAAGAACUGAGGCGAAAGGAACGGAGAGCCCCGAACGGGAGCGGGUCGGGAAAGCGAGCUGGGGAAUCUUCAGUAAUGGGCGGAAUAUCAGCUCGGUCCCGCCCUUACCCCAUAGCUCCGAGAUCACAACAGUUCCAACACAGCCGGGCUCAACCUCCCCGCCCCCCGUUCCCAGAGCGGCAGCGAGAAUUCAGGCAGACGGUGGCCCACCCUUACCACAACAAUCCCAGAGCGUUAAAUGCAACUAAUUCCAGGUCUGGACGACCAGAGCAGCUACCGGCUACACCAGGCCGAGGCGACAUCCACGAUAGCCGAGCAGUUCAAUUGGUUGACCAGAGCAUGGCAUAUGGACAGUACACUCCAUUAAAAAUAUCCAUGGAGGAACUGUAUGAGAGGAUCGAGGGACGAGGACUGCUGUACCCACCAGCCCCUAUAACAAAACCUGCUCACCGACGGGAUAAGAGCAGAUUCUGCAAAUUCCACGACACUCACGGUCACACUAUCAGCCAAUGUUGUGGCCUAAAGAUUCAGGUGGAGGAUUUAGUGAAGAACCGAUACUUGGAUGAGUACGUGGAUAGAGUGUCCCCUGUCAUUGAGUCACAAUACACAAGGGAUGAAGGAGUUGUGAGGGGUCUGGAGCAUGAACAACCAGUUAUCCGUGUGAUAGCAAGAGGGCCAACAUUGGCCGAGGAUUCGAACAGGGCCCGGAAGAACUAUGGGAGAUACGCCCUGACUAGCAAAGAAGUGCUUUUUAAUUUGCCAGCAACCAAGAAGGCAAAAGUGCGGCAAGUUCCCAUUAUGUGGACAGAUGAAGAUGAAGAGGGUAUCUUAUAUCCUCAUGAGGAUGCAUUGGUGAUUAAGGCAAUGGUGGCUGGUAUAGAGUUGCGACGAAUACUAGUAGACACAGGCAGCUCGGUCGACAUCUUGUUUAAGUCAGCUCUAGAUGAUAUGGGGAUUGCAGACUUGAAAUUGGAGCGGACAAAUACAUCCUUAAAGGGAUUUGGAGGGGGACAGCUAACUCCCAUGGGGAUCAUCGAACUCCCGAUUACUGUGGGGUCAAAACCGUUUGAAAAAUCGAUGAUGUUGGAUUUUGUCGUAGUAGAGGAAAAAAGCCCCUACCAGAUGAUACUGGGGAGACCGUUCAUGAGGAUAAGCCAAUGUGUAAUGUCCACGCAUUAUUUUGCGUUGAAGUACAGAGUAAAUGGAGUUGUUGGCAUAGUAAAAGGCGAUCAGAGAAUGGCGAGGAGCUGCUAUGCUACAGCGGCCAAGGAAACGCUGCAGGUUACCUCUCUAGAUAACCGAGGGGAUUCAAAAAAUGGUCACCAGGAACCUGUCGAGAAGUUGGAGGAAGUCGUUAUAAGCAAGAAUAACCCGAGCAGAGUGGUUAAAGUCGGGUCAGAAUUGGGCGAAGCGACAAAGGGUGAGCUGGUGAAGUGUCUACAGUCCCAUGCAGACAUAUUUGCUUGGUCUCAUGAGGAUAUGCCCGGAAUUGAUCGAAGGGUAGCCUGCCACAAGUUGGCGAUCAGGAAAGGAGCAAGGCCAAUGAGGCAGAAAAGGAGGUGCUUCAACCAAGAAAGGUACGAAGCCAUAAAUACCGAGGUUGAAAAACUGCUGAAAGCGGGAUUUAUAAGGGAAGCCAAGUACCCGGAGUGGAUUUCCAAUGUAGUACUGGUAAAGAAGGCCAACGGGAAGUGGAGGAUGUGUGUGGAUUUCACAGAUCUUAAUAAGGCAUGUCCGAAGGACAGUUUUCCCCUACCAAAGAUAGAUCAAUUGGUAGACUCAACAGCGGGUCACAGUCUGCUCAUCUUCAUGGAUGCCUUUUCAGGAUACAACUAGAUACCCAUGGACGAGCAGGAUGAGGAAAACACCACCUUUAUAACUAACAUGGGUUUGUUUUACUAUAAGGUGAUGCCUUUUGGCCUGAAAAAUGCAGGAGCUACUUGUCAAAGGUUGGUGAACAAGAUCUUCAAGCCCUUGAUCGGUCAUACCAUGGAGGUAUAUGUGGACGAUAUGAUCACAAAGUCCAAAAAACUGAGGGAUCACGUGAAACACCUGGAAGAGACCUUUGAAUUACUGAGGAAGUAUGAAAUGAAGCUAAACCCGGAGAAAUGUGCAUUUGGAGUCAGCUCGGGCAAAUUUUUGGGAUUCCUGGUGAGCCACCGAGGGAUCGAAGCCAACCCAGAAAAAAUACGGGUGGUAAUAGAAAUGAGAUCCCCUCGAACAGUUAAGGAGGUGCAGAGCCUUACAGGGAAAUUGGCAGCAUUGAACCGAUUCAUCUCGCGGGCCACGGAUAAAUGUCACCCUUUCUUCCAAACCAUAAAGAAAGGGAAGAAGAUGGAAUAGACAUCAGAAUGUGAGGAGGCGUUUGGGCAGCUGAAGGAGUAUCUGGCCCAUGCCCCGUUACUGUCAACUCCGAGAAAAGGUGACCAGCUGUUUUUGUACUUGGCAAUCUCAAAGUGGGCUACCAGCUCAGUGUUAGUCCGAGAAGAAGAAGGGAAGCAACACCCCAUGUAUUACACUAGCAAAGCCCUGGUAGACGCAGAAACUAGGUAUCCAUUAAUGGAGAAAUGGGCACUGGCUCUAGUGACGGCAGCACGAAAACUGCGACCAUAUUUUCAGGCCCACCCGAUAUUUGUGAUGACUGACCAGUCUCUUCGGCAAAUGCUCCAAAAACCAGAUGCAUCAGGGCGGUUAGUGAAGUGGUCCGUGGAGCUAAGCCACAGGCCCCGAGGAGCAAUCAAGGCCCAAGCACUGGCUGAUUUUAUGGCUGACCGUGUUGAACUAGGGGAAGAGGUCCAAGAGAAGCAGCCAAUAGAGUAGGAGAAACCAGAGGGGGUGUGGCUGGUAAUGGUUGACGGAUCAUGUAGUGAGCAAGGAUCUGGAGCAGAAAUUGUGAUACGAAGCCCAGAAGGAACCGAAAUAACGUAUGCAGUGAAGUUCAAAUUUCAGCUCACAAACAACCAAGCUGAAUAUGAAGCCUUUAUCACCGGGCUCGGACUUGCACACGCUUUAAGAGCAGAGAGGGUAGAAAUUCACGUAGAUUCCCAAUUGGUAUGUAAUCAGCUCAAUGAUCAGUUCCAAGCAAGGGGAGAGUCUUUAUUUGAAGAAGGCGAAGCAGAUGGUUGGGCUUUUCCAAGAGGUAGAGGUAAAGCAGAUAUCCCGGAAUGAGAAUUACCGAGCGGAUAUGUUGGCUAGGAUGGCCGCAAUUGCAGAUCCGAAAUUACCUAAGUCAGUUCCACUAGAGGUAAGGACCUCGCCAAGCAUAGGGGAGGAGGUAGAGGUGAUGAGAGUAAGCACUGGAGAAUCCUGGAUGGACCCGAUUCGCGCAUAUGUACGCGAUGGAGUUUUACCAGAGGACAAAAGGCAAGCAAGAAAAUUAAAAUGCCGAGCAGUGAGGUACACGCUAUUAGAUGGAGUGUUGUACCGCCGAGGGUUCACUUUGCCCCUUUUGAGAUGUUUGGAUGACGAAGAGGCAGAUUAUGUACUAAGGGAGAUCCAUGAGGGAAUAUGCGGCAAUCACUCGGGAGCAAGAACUUUAGCCUUCAAGGCGCUCCGGCAAGGAUACUUCUGGCCAACCAUGCAUCAGGAUGCGAAAAGGAUGGCAAAGAACUGUAAAACCUGCCAAAACUUCUCUGAGGUUCCUGCACAACCCCCAGAAAAGCUGACCACUAUGACAUCCCCAUGGCCUUUUGCUCAAUGGGGAAUCGACUUGAUUGGUCUGUUACCUAAGGGCCGAGGAGCGGCGACACAUGCAAUUGUGGCAAUAGACUACUUCACCAAGUGGGUAGAAGUGGGAGUCCUCAGCCAAAUCAUGGAGAGAAAGACAACAGAUUUUAUUUGGAAGAAUAUCAUCUGCAGAUACGGAAUCCCCUAUGCCAUCAUUACAGAAAAUGGGAGGCAAUUUGACAACGGUAACUUUAGGGAAUUUUGCCGAAAUUUGGGGGUGGACCUGAAGUUCUGCACCCCCGCACACCCCCAGGCAAACGGACAAGUGGAAGCGGCCAACAAAGUGAUAAAGAAGCUCUUGAAAACUAGAUUGGGGAAGAAGAAGGGAGCUUGGGUUGAUAAACUACCGGGAGUAUUAUGGGCCUACCGAACAACUCACAAAACCGCCACAGGGGAAACCCCAUUCGCUUUAGCUUUUGGUCAUGAGGCGGUAGUCCCAGCAAAAAUUGGAGUAAGGACACAUCGAAUGGAACCUUUCACUGAGGAGCAAAACAACGAGCAGAUCUGCUUAAGCCUGGACCUGCUUGAGGAGAAAAGGGAUGGGGCCUCGCAGAAAAUGGCCCAGUGUCAACAAAGGGUCAUGCGUUAUUACAACAAGAACAUACGCGUGAGGCAGUUCCGAGCAGGAGAUUGGGUACUUAGGAAGGUGAACCAAAACACCAGGGAUCCUAACCAUGGCGCUCUUGGCUCGAAAUGGAAAGGCCCAUACAGGGUGGUACGAGCCACUGGACCAGGAGCUUAUAAGUUAGCGCACCAAGAUGGACGAGAUGUGAAGAGGUCGUGGAACGCCGAGCACUUGAAGAAGUAUUUCCAGUAAGCAAAAUUAUUUUUGAAGAAGUUAUUUUUGUUAACUGCAUGAUGGCUUGUUGCGCCUGUAUAUAUUAUGUAUUCUUGUAAUACAUUCAAAUUUCAAAUAAAGAUGAAUUCAGCAUGAAAUCCCCCUGCUAGCAAACCCAAUAAGAAUUUUACUAAGGCAAGUAAGUGCCUGUUUCUGCUCGGUCAACGAAAGACCAUCAGAUAAUUUUAUGAGAAUUUUACUAAGGUAAGUAAGUGCCUGCUUCUGCUCGGUCAACGAAAGACCAGCAGCUAAUAUUGCAAGAAUUUUACUAAGGCAAGUAAGUGCCUGUUUCUGCUCGGUCAACGAAAGACCAGCAACUAAUUUUACGAGAAUUUUACUAAGCCAAGUAAGUGUCUGCUUCUGCUCAGUCAACGAAAGACUAGCAGCUAAUAUUGCAAGAAUUUUACUAAGGUAAGUAAGUGUCUGUUUCUGCUCGGUCAAUGAAAGACCAGCAACUAAUUUUACGAGAAUUUUACUAAGGCAAGUAAGUGCUUGCUUCUGCUCGGUCAACGAAAGACCAGCAGCUAAUUUUACGAGAAUUUUACCAAGGCAAGUAAGGGCCUGCUUCUGCUCGGUCAACAAAAGACCAGCAGCUAAUUUUGCGAGAAUUUCACUAAGGCAAGCAAGUGCCUGCGUCUAUUCGGUCAACAAAAGACCAGCAACCAAUUUUACGAAAAUUUUACUGAGGCAAGUAAAUGCCCACCACUCUUGCUCGGUCCACCAAGGAACCAGCAGGCAAAAUCAGAUAAAUUGUCCGAUUAUUUUGCAGAAACAAUCUAUAAACAAAAACCAGACAAGAAAGCCAAUAGAGAGCAUCUAAAAAUUUAUAAAUGUUCAAUUGUUUGCAAAAUAAAUGCGAAUCUAGAGUUUAUACAAAAAUAGACUUAAAGAUUAGGAGAGUCAGCGGCUCCAGCAACUGAAGGAUCAACUACCUCGGGAGGUAAAGGGUCAGCAAUCACAGAGGUGGGAGAUCAGCAAUACCGGAAAGAGGAGGCAUGGACCCUUGACCCACUUCGAAAGCACGUCCCCCAGCUUCCCCCUCCUACAUCCUAUCCAAAAGAGCCUCCACCUGAUCCUGCUCACCCUGUUCCUUAUCUGCCUGGCCAACCUCUGCCAUAUACCGCUGCACUCCAGCUUCCAACUUGCUCAUGUCCAGCUCGGGAUAUUCUUCCUUAAGCACAGACAUGAUGCACUUAUAGGAGAAAGCAACCCCAGAAUCAUACUCGGCAUCUAGCCGAUCGUCUACAUCAGCGGAUUUGCCUUUCUCCUCAGCCAGCUGCUCACCCAAGGAUUUGAUUUCCCCCUCAAGGGCGGUCCUCAGAGUAUCCUUUUCACUUUGAGUAGCCUGAAGAUCAGAUUUCAAGUCACCCAACUCACCCUCAAGUUUGGAGGAAGUGGACUCAGCAACCGCAACUUUCUCCUCUAGCUCCGCAAUCUGCCUGUUCAGCUCGGCCAGCUUCUCCUUCGAGCGAUCAGCAGACUCAACCCUCUUUUUCAAGUCCUGGUUCUCAGCUUGAAGCUUCCUCUCAUGGCGCGUGAUCCUGUUCUUGUAACAAGAUAUUAUGGUAGCCAACUUGAAGGAGACCCUCUGGACAGAACCAGCCAAUUAAUUGAGAUUCAUGCUCUCAAUGUCCUGGACCAUCUUGGGCCCCACCGACUUCCCAUAGUCCCUCUGAUACGGGGUCAGGUAGUCACCCUGAUCACGAGUCGGAAGAGGGGAGGAUCGGUCCCCAGAGCGGGUGCUAACCUCUGAACUCUUGUCAGUAGUUUUAUCCCCGACACUCUUACGAGGUGGUGGAGGGGGCAGGGUAGGAACAGAAGCCUUUGAAGGGCCAUCACUGACUUUCUUCGGAGGAGGAGAAGGGUUGCUGGAGCUGCUCAGAGCCCGACCGCGCUUUCUGCUCAUUGCACUGAGGAUCUUGUUAUCCAUCCCGGCAGCAAUGUCCACUAAGCCCGAACCGACCAAGUUUGUUGGUGACAGCAGGUCUUGGCAGGUUGACGCGUUCACCAGAGUAGUUUCCACCUGAAGCAAAGGUCGGUCCUCAAGUUCCUUAAUCAAACCCCACAAUUCUGAAAGAACAAACAAGGUUAAAAAACCAAUAAGUGACAAGUCGAGAAAAGAUAUAGGCAAAAAUGGACGACCUGGGGUGACAAAAUGUGUUGGGAGGUAAAUAUCACCACCCAACGAAUGAGCUGCUGGACACCAACUUCCCCCAGCAAAGAAGAAUUGGUUCUUCUAAUUUUUGUACGAGGAGGGGAAGCCGGUGAUUGGUUUCCUCUUCGCAGAGCUCGACAUGAAAUAGUACCAGCUUGCUUCCUUCAGGCUACUCCUCAGCUGAUAGAGAUGCUUCACUUCAACAAGGGAGGACUCCUCUGAUCCACACCUCUCCCACAGCACAAACAUUGCUGAGAGAACCCUCCACCCGUUGGGAUGUAGCUGACCUGGGGCUAGGUGCAUGCCACCCAGGAUUUUAGCAAAAUAACGUUGAAGGGGCAGCCGAGCUCCUAAUUUGAAACUCUCCAGGUGCAUCGUCACGUACCCCCGCGGAGGCCGACUAGGAACAUCAUCUUUCCCAGGAACUACUAGGAGAACCUCCUCAGGAAUAUUGUAAAGGUUCCUAAGCUUGAACAGAUCAGUUUGGGUAGUGGAACAAGCUAUGUAGUCAAUAGGAUAAGAGUCCGCCUCUACCCUAUGACCGAGGUUCCUUCUCUGAGGGGGUACGCUCGGUCCGGAACUGCUCCCCUCACCAUCACCAGCUCCUUCAGGGACCCCAACCCCAUCAAAGCUGUGAUUCUCACCAGAGCCCGACGCAGGUCCACCUCUAUUCCCUACGAGCUCUACUUCGAGGGAGGGAGAAACAGCCAAGGGGCGUGGGUACUCAAGGGUAUCCCUACCAUGGGAGGGGUCUACACUACUAAAGGGACGUAAAAAAUCAGUGGGUAUUGACAAAUUAAGGUCUGAGUCCCCUGUUUCCUCGUCACUCUCUUCGACAAUCAACUUCCUUUUCCGAUUCGACAUAUUGGAAUCCCAAAAGAAAACAAAGCAAACUCAAGUAUACGGAUAUAAAAGGGGUGACACAGAACCCAAUCAACAGCAACCAGAGAAGAAAGUAAAAGCAAUACCUGGAUUGAACGGGCACUAAUAGCGCGGCCGUGACAAAAGAAAAACCCAGCAAAUGGAUACUCCAGAUGCGGGAAGUGUGAGCAAAGUUCAUAGAGGGGGUUAGUUGGCGACGGAGAGACGAAUAGCAAAACGAUGAUGAUUUCAGUCUAGGGAUUUGAAACGAAAAGGGGGAAAUGAAAGCGUUUAAGUGAUGGGGAUGACAGCUCAUUCACCGAAUAUCGAGGACAGAUAACCCAUCAUUUCAAAUUUCAAAUACGAAGAGUCUGGAGAUGCCACGUCACUAACCGUUACCAGAGACCAGGCCAGAUGCAAGCCCAGAUAUGCAAUGUAUAUGCUCAUUUAGGCCUAUGCUCAGGUCGGAUUCUCCCCAAAAGAAAAUUGGUAUCUGAGGUCCGUCCCGAUAAACAGAAGACCAGAUGAGAAGCUCCCCGGGUCGGUAAGAUUUGACUAUCAGUUUCUACUCUUAACUCAUUCCACUCGCGAGACUAGAAACUGGGGGACUGGUGUUAAGUAAAUAAAAGCACCAGGUCGGCCAUGCUAUUAUUUCCACCCCGACAUGGAUCACCUCAGCCAAGUGGUACGAGCAGAACACGAUGACCAACACGAGUACCAACCAGGGGAAUAUACCGACCAGAGGUAUAUACCGAGCCAAUACACAUCCCCCAAAAAGCAGGAACAUGAUCUCACAGAAUCACGGUAGUUGCGCUUUUCCCAGAACCGUUGCGGGAGACGCGAGAUCCCACGUUUGCCCAUAAUGUAGCAGUUAAAGUCCCAUGAGGGGCUGCCACCACCCGAAAAAGGAGAGAUGAGGGGAAAACGGACACGUGGAAUAGCGGCUAUAAAAGAAGAAGAAAUCGAUGAAGAAAGGGAUGAAAAAACUGAGAGAGGGGAAACGCUGCCAAAUUGCAACCAGACCAUUUUCUUACAAACUUUGAAUAAAUUAGAAACCAUUUUUUAAUCCAAAUUGAGCUGUUUUCCCAUAAACGCCUUGUGCUAACUUAGGCAUCGGAGGGUUUACGCUGGCAAAACCACCGGCGUCUCUGAUCCAUUUUUGGUGAACGCAGGUUUAGCAAAAGAAAGGAGGGUGAUUCCAACCCCAGUGGUUCGAGCAACAGUUGAUAACAUACACGUUGGUGAAAGAAUCUGGUCGGUCAAAGGGCGAGCAGAUUUCAGCAUCAACAGUUGGUAAUGGUUGCAGAAGAGGAAAUUUAUGAUUCGUUUGAUUUUUCAAUAAAUUAUAGGACCACAGCGAAAACAAAUGUGGCGGUUCGCCUUCUUUGGCCCCUGGUAAUCAUUCACCAUUCACUCGUUAUGUCUUGUCUCAGUUGUUUGUUUGUUACUGUUGAAAGUUUCAAGCAGAUGGGAUUAUAUAAUUCUUCUUUAAACACGACGUCGUUUUUGUUCGUUAAGAGCCCAAUGAUAAUUUUAUCAUUCUUACAUCAAUAAAAUUCUAACGGCAUGAUGACAAUAGUGUAGAAAUGAUACAUUUUUUAAAUAGAUAAAAGCCUAUUUAGUCUCUGUAUUUUGAGAUUAGUGUUCAUUUAGUUCCUGUAUUUUUAAAAAUGUCUCGAAACAUCCAUACCAUUAAAGUAUUGAUACCUCUACCGUUACUUUUUAUUUAUUUUGCCUUACUUUUACAAUAUUACCCUUUUGUAAUAAUUUUUUUCGACAUUAAUAAAAAGAAAAUAAUUAAAUUACCAAUUUAACCCUAAAAAAUUAAAAAAAUAUAUUAAUUUUUAAUUGUCAUAAAUUGUCAAAAUUGCAUGCAAACUACCAAGUGUGCAAAUGGUGCUUGCAAAAAAAUUAAUAUAAAUUUUUUUAGGGUCAAAUUAGUAAUUUAAUUAUUUUCUUUUUAUUAAUAUCCAAAAAAUUAUUAUAAAAGGGUAAUAUUGUAAAAGUAAGCUAAAAAAAAGUAACGAUAGGGGUAUCAAUACUUUAACGACAAGGCUAUUUUGAGAUAUUUUAAAAAAUACAAGGACUAAAUGGAUAUUAAUCUUAAAAUACAUGGACUAAAUGAGCUUUUACCCUUUUUAAACAUCAAGUAGAAUUGUUGUAAAGAAAAAAAAAUGUGUUUUUUGUAUUUUUGAUAAAGUCUAAAACAUCAAGUGAUCAGUGAAUAUUUAUCUUUUAAGUAUUUCAUUCAAAAAAAUUUCCAUUCCUAGACUAUUUGAGUUGCUACCAAAAGUGUGAAUUUUUUUUUUAAUUUUAAUGAUGAACCUCAAUAUUUGGGGUGAAUAUUUUAGUAUUUAAACUUAAUGGUCAAUAAUAGGCCCACUAUUGGUAGUGGAAUUUUUAUUCCAAUACUAUACAAUUUUCGUAUGAGGUGGUCUUGAGCUUAUCUCAACCUCAAAAGUCAAAAGCUAGUUCAAUAAGUGAGAUUUUUUUCUCACACUUAUAAAAUCACCACGAGCUCCUCCCACAACCGAUGUGGGAUAAUCCCAACAAUCUCCCCUCACUCAUCAGGUCUUGGGUUAGAAGCAUAAACAUCCAUUCUCCCUAUUAGUUAGUUGAGAUGUUGGUGAACCUGAGCUUUGAUGCCAAUGUUAGAUGGUCUUAGCCUCUCUCCGACUUCAAAAGAUUGCUCAAGGAGAGAUAUUUUCCCUCAUAUUUAUGAAGUCAUUAUCAGCCUCUUCCAAUACCGAUAUCGGCUAACCCGACAUUUCUCUCUCUAUAUAAUACAUAAGUUGGAUAAUUUUCCAAUUUAACCUUAACGUAUGGACCAUUUUUUGUCUAUAUUGAUUAUGGGGCUGACAACUUUGGUUAUCAGGUAGGCAAAAAGAAAAGUCAUUGUCUCAUUAAUUCAUUUGGUCAUUUGAAAACGUUGUGGCUCUGUUUUAGUCCAGUGUCAAUAUAUAAAUUUAUUAUGUCAUGACAAACUUCAAAAUCUAAUUUAGACUGCGACUUAAAUAAUUGUAAUUAGUAAUUUAUUAUAUCUGCCGGAUAUUUUGUUAAGGAGAAAAAAAAAGAAUAAAAUCAGUCCCAUAAUGAUUUUAAUAAAUAUCAUACUACAAAGAGAAUAUGCGAAAGAUAACUAAGAGUGCAUUUGGGAUUGAGUUUGGACAGUUGUAGGUUAAAAACUACAACAAUGAAGUAUUUAGUAUACACUAGCUGCUGUAACUUAAAAGUUUUAUUGAUAUGAUUUUUCACUUGUAUAAUGGUGAAUCUAUUAUAUCUUUAAUAAUUUUAUCAAAAUUAUUACUUAAAAUUUAUAUUUACUACAUAUUAUUAACUUUUAUUUUAUAGUUACAGUUUUUUUUACAGCAGCUAUAACUUUUAAGCUACAACAACUCAAUCCCAAACGUACCUUAAGGAAUAAAGCUUUUCUACAAUGAUUUAUAAUAUUGCUUUUGGAGAACGGUUAUGAAAUUAUAUCAAAUUACUAAGAAUUUAGUUAACCACACAAGAAGUCUAUUUUGUUGACUUUUUUGACGAAGGUAUGUUCUUUCUUUCUUGCUGCUCAAACUGCUUUGGUGGUUUCAAACAACUCAGUCUUCAUCAUGCUAUUGCUGUCAAGAUUAGAGAAAUCAGUGAAAAGCUAGAUGAUAUUGCCGAACAAAAAGAUUGUUUCAAAUUUGUUGAGAAUGUGAGUGACAAUGUUAAGAAACCACAGCGACUACCAAACACCUCUUUGAUUGAUGAGAGGAACAUAAAAACUUAGGAGGCGCAUAAAAUAUAUUUGGUAUUGUUCAUAUAUACGGUACUGAUCAUGGAUACAAUAAUUUUCACAUAUAUGGCGCUAUUCACAAGUAUGACAUUGUUCACAUAUAUGGUACGAUGACAUGACAUUGACCGAUAAUGAAGCAAUAUCCUAUUGGACCAAUGAUGUGGCAUUGAUUGAUGAUGUGGGGUUGAUCGAUGAUGUGGCAACAUCUUAUUGGACAGAAAUGCUGAUGUGGUGAUGACCGAUGAUUCUCUCUCCAUCUUGUGUUUUCUACAUAUUUUAGUAAAAUUAUCAUUUUACCCGUAGUUCAAAUAUGAGUGGCUAGUUUAGUUUCAAGCUUAGGUUGAAGGUGAAAUCUCAACAUGAUCCAUGGGCUGAAAUAGGUGAGUUUAUUUUCUUUUCCUCUCUAAUUUAUGUGAUUGUUUUGACUCAUUGUUGACAAUAGUGUAUCCAUUCUAGAUUUUGCACGGUAUAUCGAAUCCCUAGUGAAAGAUUGUUACUGUAUGGCACAAUGAGCACUUAGCACCAUAUUAAUUAGAGAGAAAAUUUCCCUCUAGUAUUUUGUGGGUUGUUUUGACUUAGUGUUGACAGAGAGUGCAUCUACGCUAUUUAGUGGAUGGUAUUGCCACGUUAUUGACAGAAGAAUUAUUAUCGUCUGGCACGCUGAACACUUGAUACCAUAUUUAUUAGAGUGAGGAUUAUGAGGAGUGGAAAUACUCUCCCUCAUGCAUUAAUUGGAACUAAAAAGGAAAUAUUAAGCAUAUAGUGGAUGUUGAGUGUGAAUCCAGAGAUUUAAGCAUUUCAUUUACAUUGUUUUCAUCUUUAAUUCAUUUCUGCCUUUUCAUUUUAAAUCUUGAGAUUAAAAAAAAAUUCACUUCCAACCAACUCACAUUUACACCUAGAAAAUUAACCUUACGAAUAAUUAAAUCUACAUUCUCAUGGGAUCAAUACUUGUGUUGGUUAAUUUUAUAAUCAAAUGCUAUUGAUGUCAAUGUGUAAUUGAACACAACAAGUAAUAAAGUGAUGAUAUUCAAGAUCGUCUCUAUAGGAAUUGAUGUCACUUGAAAUGCUAUAGCAAUCACAAUAGUGCAACUAAAUUCAAUUCGAAGUUAACAAAUGUAGAGUGGGUUGUAUUGUAAUUAACGAUUAUGAGAGAAUAAAGUAAAAUAAUACUAUAAUGAAUUAAACCAAAUUAAAUGUGUCUAAGAUUCAAUUGAGACUAUGGUAGUUGAAUGAUCAAACUUUCCUUAUGGGCUGACUGCUUUUCAUCAUGUUAACACCAGUUGUUACGGCAAGUGCUGCAGCACUGGGCAAAAUUAAUCUGCAUCCUCAGCUAUCGCAUAUUGGAACUCUCAUACCCUUAAAUCUAUUAACAAUGACCAGUUGCUAAUCUACUUAUGGUAUGGCAUUAUGAUCCUUUAGUCUCUCCACCCUAUAAGGUGAGCACCUAUAUCAAAGUCAUGUUCUUCACUACAGUAUAGACAAGAAAGUUCAGCAACUUGCUUCACUAAUGCUGGAGCAGAUGUCAUGGCCUUUACCAUGUUAGUCAAUGAAGUUACUUACCCUGAUAAGGCUGUAAUUGCAUCUAUGUUAUGUAACCCUGCUGAUCCUCUUGCUGCUGGUUGCCUGGUUGAUAGCCACUGAUAAUUAUUAUUGGCAAUUCUCUCUAAAAUUUCAUAAGCUUCGAUAUAAGAUUUGGAUAACAGGGCUCCAUUUGCUGAAGCAUUCACCAUUAAUCUAGUACUAGGAUUUAACCCAUUGUAGAAAGUUUCCAAUUGAAUGCAACAAGGAAUGCCAUGAUGAGGACACCUUCUGAGCAGUUCUUUGAAUCUUUCCCAAGCUUCAUACAAACUCUCAUCUUCAAGUUGAUGGAAAGAAGUAAUCUCAUUCCGCAACUUUGCAUUUUUUAUCGGUGGAAAAUAUUUCAUUAGGAAUUUAUCAGCCAACUCAUUCCACGUAGUGAUGGAAUCAGGUGGUAACGAAUUUAACCAUGCUCUUUCUCGAUCUCUUAAGGAAUAAGGAAAAAGCCUUACCCUUAAGAUAUCUUGUGUUGCUCUAGUAAUCUUAAAAGCAUCACUCACUUCCAAGAACAAUUUAAGAUGGAGAUGAGGAUCUUUAUUUAGCAAUCCAUUGAAUUAACCAACUGUUUGCAACAUUUGAAACAUCACUAGCCUCAACUCAAAAUUUGCAGCUUCUACCUCAGGUCUGAUUAUCCCAGGGUGUACAACUUGAGGAGUUAACACGGCAUAAUCUCUAAUAGCUCUGUCUCUAUCAUCAGCCACAUAAAUAAUAUUGUUAUUGUCUGGUUGUCUUUCGUUAGCAUGUUCAUUCUACUCUUCUUGAAUGUUGACUGGUUGUAAGGGCCCGUGAGGGUUCAAAUUUUCCACAUCCUGCAAAUUAUUCAUGCCUAAAACGGCUUUUGAAUUCCUUUGUAUUCUUCGCAGUCUCCUGACAGUCCUUUCAAUCUCAAGAUCGAAUUGGAAUACAACAGAUUUGUCUUUACGCAUGCACGUAUUGAUCUGCGAACCAAUAGAAUGAAUUAAAUCAAGUUUGGCACUAUCAAGAUUUACUUCACACUUUAAAAAUAAACAAUCAAUCCCCGGCAACGGCGCCAAAAACUUGUUGGUUAAUUUUAUAAUCAAAUGCUAUUGAUGUCAAUGUGCAAAUGAACACAACAAGUAAUCAAGUGAUGAAUAUUCAAGAUCGUCUCCACAGGGAUUGAUGUCACUUGAAAUGCUAUAGCAAUCACAAUAGUGCAACUAAAUUCAAUCUGAAGUUAACAAAUGUAGAGUCGGUUCUAUUGUAAUUGAUGAUUCUGAGAGAAUAAAGUAAAACAAUACUGUAAUGAAUUAAACCAAAUUAAAUGUGUCUAAGAUUCAAUUGAGACUAUGGUAGUUGAAUGAUCAAACUUUCCUUAUGGGCUGACUACUUUUCAUCAUGUUAACACCAGUUAUUACGGCAAGUGCUGCAGCAUUGGGCAGAAUUAAUCUGCAUCCUCAGCUAUCGCAUAUUGGAACUCUCAUACCCUUAAAUCUAUUAACAAUGACCAGUUGCUAAUCUACUUAUGGUAUGGCAUUAUGAUCCUUUAGUCUCUCCACCCUAUAAGGUGAGCACCUAUAUCUAGUGUGUCAUAAAUCUUAACUUCAAAUAUAGCCCUUAUAGAAUUCAAGAUAACUUAAUCCAGGAAACUUAAAUUAAGAUCAAGUAAUACUCUAAUAAUGUCCGCUAAGACAUGCCUUUUUACUGCUCUAUCUUAAUUGGAACUAUUAAAUAGGUGGUCAACCAAAAUAACAAUUAUAUUAAUAAUAACUGCUAGAGUAUAAUGUUACAGCAAUGACAUAACAAAACAUAAGAACAGUCAAGAACCCAUUAGAUUGUUUGUCACUCAACUACAAGCAAAUCUAGUUCAUUAUUCUGAAUAAGAAAAACAAACAUAAAUAUGUUGUUCACAGGAUACAAAUCCAAAUAAUUCUGAAAGAUUCCUCAAUGUUGCCGAAACAACACUCUUCAAUUCUGAUCUUCUUCUCCUUUCCUUUCUAAUGAUUCUAAUGAUAAUUCCCUUGCCGCCUUUCGACGUGGUGUACGCCUCCCUUUUAUACUGCAAACUAGGGUAAACAAAAGUCUAUGGGCAUGCAUGAGUUAAAUUAGGAAACAUGCAAAUCACGAUUCUGCAGCUGACCCGCGCCUGAGUUUUCUCCCGCAUUGCUCCCAGAUUGCUACAGCACUGAUUGCUCUAACAUCUGCUACAACACUGCACUAUUCUCGAUUGUACUUUACUUCUUUUGCGGCCAUCUUCUUUCCUCCUCUUGCUCAUCUAAUGUCUCACUAUCCCCUCAUGAAUUAAGACUUUUUAAAAACCUACAAUUAUGCACCUGUUUUUAGCACAAAUUGCUUUGAUUCAAACAAAACUUAUUAAGACUCAACUAAAAUGAAUGUUUAUGCAAAAUAUAACCAAAAUGUAAUAAAAACACCUUAUUUGUUCUCUAAGUGAUCUUGAUUUAAGUCUAGAAUUUAUGUAAUAACUCUCAUUUCCUAGAGUUAUCAAUUUGUCACCACAAAAUCUAUUUUAUGAUAGAUUCGUGCAUUUGCGAGUACAAUAAAAUUUACACAACAAAAAGCAGGUAGCGUUUGGUCCUUUGAGGAUCAUGAAAUUUAGAACCAAUCGAUCUAAGAAUUACAUGAAAGUGCAAAAUAGGGAAUCUCUUAUGCUCUAAAAGAGUAGUAAAAGAACAAAAAAGAAUUUUAGAUAGUGAUAUGUGGAAGGUAGAAGAGAUUAGGAAAGGUCUUUUGACUCCUUUAUUGUUGAGUUAUAUUGCUUUGCCGUCCAUGGUAAAACGAUUCUUCACAUAUUGUGUUGUCUUUUCAAAAGACUACAACAUGUAUAAAGAGGAACUAAUUACCCUAUAGAUGAUUUAAGGUUACCUUAAUAUAGGAGAAGGCAAAGAGAUGGAGAUCCAAUCCGAUCUAAUAGUAGUAGUUUAUUUUAAUUUUUGUUCAUUUGAUUUCAUAGUAGUAGGUUUCAUUUUUUUUUUGUUUAAAAUUAGAAAAAUGAACUAAAAUGAGAUAAUUUUGAAAAAGAAUCAAAACAAAAAAAGGCCCAAAAUUACCCUUGUUCCGAACAUUAUCUGAAUCCAUCAUAAUUGACCUAAAUUCAAUUUUAACUCAAACCCAGCCUCGGCCUCAUAUAAUUAUAACCUGAUCCGAUCUAAACUCAACCCCAAAGUUUUGAUUUAAUCUAAUUCAAUCCGAAUAUUCCAAGCCAAUCAACUUAAAACCCAAUUAAGUUGAUCCAAACCCAAAUUUGUACACUCCUAGAGGGGACCAUCACCCUAUAGGCUUUGAAAAUUUUUUGAGGUUUUUACAUGAAAUAUUAAAAUUAGGUAUAAAAAGACUAAUUUGACCCUCGAAUAGUUUAUAUAAAAACUUUAGAUAUAUAAUGAAACUUUAAUUGUAUAUUUUGUGAAAUAAAGUCAAAGUAACAUGAUUGUUUGAUUUUUAUUUGUUAAUUAUUUUUUAUAGCCUUUUUUAAAAGUUUGUAAGUUUGGGCCUACCUCUUGAUUUUUAUUUUGUUCAUUUUGUUUUCACUUGCAACAGUAGUUUCAAUUAUCAGUCACAAAAUCCUCAAAUUUUGGAAUCCCGUACAUGCUAGCUAUAAAUAGAAAAAAAACUGUCUAAAAUUAAUACCCAGCUAACACUUGAAAUUUAAACUUGGGCCUCAUGAAGAUUUACCCUGAGCUUUGCCCCUGGAUAUGGAGCAAAAUAUUAGUUUUGCUAGUGAAAUUGCCAACUAUGUUUUUCUUUUGUAUUCUCCGCUUAGGUAAGAAGAAAUUUCCUACAACUUUUGUGGUGAAUAUCUUGUGAAUAUAUGACAGUUUAAUCUUUAGUUGCCAAUUGUUUAAAAUAAAAAAGGGAAAAAGGAUAUUUAUAUCUCCAAGAUUUUGAGAAAUAGUCACCAACACCCUUCUAAAAAGGACAUCAAGACUUCCUUUUGACCAUAAUACCCUUUAUCUUUAAUAUCUCGAAAAAUUUAACUUGCAAAUUUUUAAUAAACAGAAAUAUUAUAUAACUAAUAUAAUCUAUGUAGUAGAUUAAUAAUAUUAAAAUAUGUAAAUUAUUAUAUUUAUUUUAAUAAUAUAUUUGUAUUUAUUGUAGAGAUUUUAUAUAAAUAUUUGUAUUAAGUACAUUUUACAAUUAAAAAAGUCUCACAUACUAAUAAUGUUAAAAUUAUUAUUUUCAUAAUAAUUUAAAUUUUAAUACAUUUAUUUUAAUAUUAUAUUUCUAUUUAUUAUAAAAAAAUUAAAGUUAUUUUUGGGAAUAAAGGUAAAGGGUAUUGUAGUAAAAAAAGAGUCUUAGUGUCUCUUUUUGAAAAAUUAGGAGUAUUGGUGACCAUUUCUCCAAAAUUUAGGAAUAUAGGUGUCCUUUUCCUAACAAAAAAUGACACUUUUGAUAGGAGAUAUAAUAAGCUUUGUUCCUUAGAAAAAUCCAUCAGAUAUAUUAUGCCCGCGGUUGCUAUUGUUAAAAAUAAGUAGUUCUUCUUUUUGUAUAUUAAAAUAGUACAAGGGUGGAUAAUAUUUAAAAUAUUUUUUAACCUUUAUCUUUUUUGACAUUCGAAUUUUAAACUCGAGAAGUCAAGCAAAUAAACUUCUUGAGAGGUUAACUAAAUUCUUAGUAAUUUGAUAUAAUUUCAUAACCGUUCUCCAAAAGCAAUUUUAUAAAUCAUUGUGGAAAAGCUUUAGUCCAUAGUUAUCUUUUGCAUAUUUUCUUUGUAAUAUGAGGUAAGUCCGUAGACCAUAGUAUGAUAUUUAUUAAAAUCAUAAUGGGACUGAUUUUAUUUUUUUUUUCCUUCUCAACAAAGUAUCCGACUACAUAUAUAAUAGAUUACUAAUUACAAUUAUUUGAGUCGCACUCUAAAUUAGAUUUUGAAAUUUGUCAUGACAUAAUAAAGUUAAAUAUUGACACUGGACUAAAACAGAGCCACAGUUUUUUCAAAAUGACCAAAUGAAUUAAUGAGACAGUGGCUUUUGCCGACCUGAUAACAAAAGUUGUCGGCCAUAAUCAAUAUAGAGAAAAAAUGGUCCAUACGUUAAGGUUAAAUUGAAAAAUAUAAAAAAUAAAUUUCAUUUCUGAUGAAAUUUGUAAUGGAUUUAUUACUAAUUUUAUCAAAUUCUUAUCAAAUAUUUAAAAAAAUAUAAAAUCACUUAAUUGAUGGUAUUAUUAAUUUUCGUGAUUAUUUUUAAUAUUAUAUUAGUUCUUAUUAAAUUUAAUACAAUCAAUAAUGCAAUAAAUCGUUAAAUGGUUAAUUUUAUUGACAAAUUAUCAAAUAUGCAAGUAAUGAAAAAUUAAUCUCAAGAGUUAGUAGAAGUAAAGUUCUAAUUUAAUCAGAUGAGAGAUGAUAAAUAAAAAAAUAUUUUAAGUAAAUCAUAAAUUAAAAGAAUUAAUUAAUUAUUAUUAAGUAUAAAUAAACAAUAAUGAUAUGAAUUAAAGUCUAUAAAUUUUUUCUUUAAUCUUAUCCCAACUAAAGCCAUGUGUAAAUUAGGAUUAUCAAUCCCAUAAUUUUAGGGUUAAAAUUAAAUUUAGUCCCUCAGUCCAAUUCAAUUAAGCUUACCAAAUAUGAGAUAAAUAUAUAAUCACAAAAUUAGUCCAAUUCCGUACUUAAUCCUAGUAUCGAACAUGGCCUGAAACAAUUUAAAUAAAUUUGAAAGUUCAUAAUAAUCAUAACAUGUGCUAUCUUUUCUUCCUUUUCUUAAUUAAAUAAAAGAAAAAAAUUAAUUACCGAGCCACUGAUGUCUAAAAUGACCUGAAAAAUAAUUUAGGUAAUAUACUCCUAUCGCGCAAUCAGAUAGAAAAAAGGGUCGGCUGCAUGAUUUUUUGAACUUUUGUCUUAUUUUUCUCUUUUCAACUAAAAAUUAAUUUAAGAAAGUUAUAUUUAACUACUUUUUGUCGUGACAUAAUAAACUAAAACGGAAUCACUACGUUUUCAAAUGACCAAAUGGCCUUGGCCUACCUGAUAAUAAAAGGCCAUAUAGAUAAGAAAUGGAUCCAUACGUUAAAGCUAAAUUGAAAAAUAUAAUAAAUAAGUUGUCAGGAGAUGAUUUUAUAAAAAAUUUCACUCGCAUGGUCCCGACCAAAUACAAAUUUGUGAUGAUAUUCGUAAUGAAUUUAUACAAUGAGGCGAAAUUACUCUGUCUAAUUUCAUCGAUAUAUAUUACACCAUUAAAAAUAUACUAAUAUUUAUAAUGAAAAAACUUAUGACUACUUUAAAUCGACUGUAUUAUAUGUGAAUUCACAAGAUUCAUAGAUAGAUUGCACUAAGCUUUUUGUUGCAGUUUACAAAUAUUUUGUUACUAAUGUAAGAAAUUUUACAAGUGCUGAUGCUGUGUACUCUGCAGAAAGCUAGCCCCAGACGGUGACUCCUGUGGGGACUCCUUCAAUUUGCAGCACAAAAGAACGUUCACAUUGACAUUGACUUGAGGGUAAAACUUAAAUAACUCCUAUGGUAUAAGAAGAAUGCAAACAUGCUUGAAUCAACAUUCUCUCAGAAUACAUAAAACCUACUUUCCUCUGAGCAUUUUAGCAGCAAGAAAAGCAAUUGCAGCAUUUACCAAUUGAUCUAAUAUCAAAAUGGCUCUUGCGAUCGUUUCCUCUCUCCUGGACCAGCUGAAAUCCAUUGCUCAAGAUCAGGUGAAAGAAAAGUGGAGGCUUGUGACGGGUGUCGAACAAGAAGUGGAAAAGCUUACCAAAAAUCUUCGAGCCAUUCAAGCUGUGCUGGAAGAUGCAGAGCAGAGGCAAAUGAAGCUCGACAAAGCUGUUACUGAUUGGCUGGAUGAGCUCAGAGACGCAUUCUACGACAUGGAAGAUGUGUUGGAUGAGUGGAUCACUGAAACACGGAAAUUGCAGCUUGAUGAGGGUGGCGAUGAUGAUAACGACAAUGCUUUUGUUACUCUUUUGACAAAGGUAUGUUCCUUCUUUCCUGCUACGUCAAACUGCUUUGGUGGUUUCAAACAACUCAGUCUUCGUCAUGAUAUUGCUGUCAAGAUUACAGAAAUCAGUAAAAGGCUAGAUGAAAUUGACACACGAAAAGAUAGGUUUAAUUUUGUUGAGAAUGUGAGUAACAAUGUUAAGAAUCCAGAGCGAGAGCGAACCAUCUCCUUGAUUGAUGUGGGAGAGGUUUGCGGUAGAGUUGAUGAGAAAAAUGAGCUCUUAAGCAAGUUGUUGUGUGAAAGUAGUGAACAACAACAAGGCCUUCAUGUCAUCUCACUAGUUGGGUUAGGGGGUAUAGGUAAAACCACUCUUGCACAACUGGCAUAUAAUAAUGAUGAGGUGAAAAGCAAUUUUGAAAAAGUUAUAUGGGUGUGUGUAUUAGACACUUUUGAGGAGAUUAGGGUCGCCAAAGCAAUCAUUGAAGGUCUAGGCGUGUCAACUUCUGGUUUAAGCGAAUUCGAAUCUCUUAUGAAACAGAUUCAGGAAUAUAUUAGGAGGAAGAAAUUUUUUCUUGUUUUAGAUGAUGUGUGGGAUGGAGAUUACAAAAAAUGGGACCCAUUCUUUUCUUGUCUAAAGAAUGGCCACCAUGAAAGUAAAAUUCUAAUUACCACACGUGAUAGGUCAGUUGCACUACAGUUGGGAUCAAUAGAUAUUAUCCCUGUCAAGAAGUUGGGUGAAGGGGAAUGUUGGUUACUGUUUAAGCAGAUAGCAUUUCUACGUAGGUCCUUUGAGGAUCGUGAAAAAUUAGAACCAAUGGGGCGAAAAAUUGCACACAAGUGCAAAGGCUUGCCUCUUGCUACAAAGGUAAUAGGGAAUCUCUUGCGCUCUAAACGUACAGUAAAAGAGUGGCAAAGAAUUUUAGAGAGUGAAAUGUGGAAAGUAGAAGAGAUUGGGCAAGGUAUUUUGGCUCCUUUGUUGUUGAGUUAUAACGAUUUGCCCUCCAAUUCUAUGGUAAAAUGGUGUUUCUCAUAUUGUGCUGUCUUUCCAAAAGACUACAAUAUGAAUAAAGAGGAACUAAUUUCACUAUGGAUGGCUCAAGGUUACCUUAAUGCAGAAGAAGACGAAGAGAUGGGGAUGAUUGGGGAAGAGUAUUUCAACAUUUUAGCAGCACGCUCUUUCUUUCAAGAAUUUAAGAAAAAUGAUGAUGAUGAUAUUAUGAGUUGCAAGAUGCAUGACAUAGUACAUGAUUUUGCUCAAUUUGUAGGUAGCAAAGAAUGUUUGUGGCUAGAAAUUAAUGGUACCAAAGAAUCAGUCAUAAACUCUUUUGGUGGGAAAGUCUGUCACUUAGGGUUAAAGUUUAAAGGACGUGCUUCAUUUCCUAUGUCCAUUCAUGGACUUAAUAGAUUGCGUACCCUUUCAGAAUGAUGAAAGUCUUUUCAAUCCGUCUCUUAAUAACAGCAUCCUUUCAGAAUUAUUUAGUAAAUUGGCGUGUUUAAGGGCAUUAGUUAUAAGCCAAUCGUCCCUAAAUUUUCCUUCUUUUCAUCUUGACCCAUAUAAGAUUAGAGAAAUUCCAGAAAAUGUCGGAAAAUUGAUACAUUUAAAAUAUCUUAAUUUGUCUGGACUAUGUAUAGUGAGACUACCUGAGACUUUGUGUGAAUUAUAUAAUUUACAAAAGCUAGAUAUUAGGCGGUGCCGAAAUCUAAGAGAAUUGCCUGCGGGGAUUGGGAAGUUAAAGAACAUGAGGAGUUUAUUAAAUGGUGUUACUCUUUCGUUGAAGUACAUGCCAGUAGGGAUUUCCAAAUUAACCAGUCUUCGAACAUUAGACAAGUUUGUGGUGGGUGGAGGUGUUGAUGGUAGCAAUACGUGUAGGCUUGAAUCUCUGAAAAAUCUUCAACUCCUUCGAGAAUGUGGAAUAGAAGGGCUGGGUAAUGUGUCACAUUUAGAUGAGGCUGAGAGGUCACAACUUCACAAUAAGAAAAACCUCCUUCGUUUGCAUCUUGAGUUUGGUAGAGUCGUAGAUGGGGAAGGCGAAGAAGGGAGGAGGAAGAAUGAGAAAGAUGAACAACUUCUUGAAGCUUUACAACUGCCUUUGAAUGUAGAGGAAUUAUGGAUUAUAUCCUACCGAGGCAACAUUUUUCCCAAAUGGUUGACUUUGCUAACCAAUCUAAGGAAUUUAACACUUUCCGCGUGCGUUAACUGUGAGCAUUUGCCUCCUUUGGGAAAAUUGCCUCUGGAAAAACUCAAACUACGGAAAUUAAAAAGUGUAAAAAGAGUGGGUAAUGAGUUCUUGGGAAUAGAAGAAACUAGUGAGGAUGACCCAUCUUCAUCUUCAUCAUCAUCAUCAGUUACUGCCUUCCCGAAAUUGAAAUCACUCGAAAUUUGGGAAUUGGAUGAAUUGGAAGAGUGGAAUUACAGGAUUACGAGGAAGGAAAACAUCUCCAUCAUGCCCCGUCUUUCUUCCUUAAAAGUUGGUUCUUGCAACAAAUUAAAGGCGCUGCCGGAUUGCCUUCUUCAAACGACGGCACUGCAGGAACUGAGUAUUUAUUUUUGUGAAAAUUUGGAAGAACUGCCCAUUCUAGAAGAUCGCAGGACAAUAGACAUACCGCGUCUUUCUUCUUUGCGAAUUGGGUAUUGCCCCAAAUUAAAGGUGCUGCCGGAUUACCUCCUUCGAACGACGGUGCUGCAGGAAUUGAGUAUUAUAAAAUGUCCCAUUUUGGAAAACCGUUAUGGAGAGGGGGAAGGAGAAGACUGGCAUAAGAUAUCUCACAUUCCCCACAUCAAGUGGUCGCCGUAAUUUAUCACUUGCCGGUAAUUUCUCCUCCUCCUCUAAUUUACUUCAUUGUUGCUUGCAAUGAAAUUAAUAGAAAUAAUUAUAUUUUGAAUUAAAAUUCUAUAUAGAAUCAAUCAUGGUAUAAAUACGUAAAACUUCCUAGUUAUCAAAUCUGUUAAACUUGUUUUCUAAAGAUUAAAUAAUUAAAAAAAAAACAAAGUGUAGUCUGCUGAAAUUUCUAUAUUUACUUUUAAAAAAUAUGUGCUCUUUUGUAAAAUUUCGUGCAAUGUAAUUUAUUUUUUAAUGUACGAAAAUUUGUUAUGUGUAACUUGCUGAGAGACAAAAUCUCUGUGAUAUAUUUGCAGUAAUGUUGAAAACUAAAUUAUCAAUUUUAUCUUGUAUAAUGCUAAUCUUAUUUUUUAUAUAUAUAAUAUACAUGACUUUAAUUCUUUAAAGUAAUUGUGUAAUUGUUUUUACUACAAUAGCCCACUUUGUUUUAUUUCAUACUUGUUUAAUUGCCAGGUCCAAGCUAAUUUGGUUUUAAUGAUGCAGGCAGGAGAGCAAGACUAUGAAAAUGAAAAGUUUAGCCAAAGGAUUGCUAAAAUGUUCUGCUGGUAAUUCACUUGCUUUAUUUUAUAGAAUUUCAUUUCCAUCUUCUUCUAUUGAUAUCUUGUUGUGAAUAAACAAGAACAGAGAAGUAAAGAUAUAUCAAAAUUUACUAUUACGAUGAUGCUAAAACAAGCUCAAGCUCAAGCAUUGCAUUUUUAUUUUAUUUUAUUUAUAGAAUUUUCAUUUCCACCUGCAUUGCAUUUUUAUUUAUUUUUAGGUUGACUUUGAAUACUUCAUGGUGAACAUUGGGGUGACCAAGGAUUAGGGUGGCAGUGGACCGACUACCACUGUGGUUAUUAUGCGACUUUAAAGAAGAAAGUGAUGGCUGGGUCUGCUCUGUUUCUAUCUUUUUUAAUUCUUUGAUCGGUUUAUCCUAUAUAAACAUAUGGAAUUAUGCUAAUAUUAUCAAUUUUUUCACCCAAUUUUCACUGUUGGUUGUGAUAACAAUUUCAGGCUCUCAAAAGCUACAAAGCAAAGCAUUUGUGGGCUGAUCAUAUGCUUCAAUUGAGGAAGGAGUUUGGUGUUGGCAAUAUUGUCCAGGUAACCACAGCUGAUAAUUUCCACAAAUUUGCAUUGUCAGAAUACACUUUAAUGUUCAUUGUAUUCCUAUGUAUUAUCAGGUUAUCGUGGUAUGAAAAGUAUCAUCUUUAAGGAUUCGUAAGAGACUUCGCAGUAAACUUAGUUGUCACCAGCUCGUGCAAUUGGUCAUUCAGUCAAGAGUACUUCAAAAUUAGAUUUUCAAGGUUUAUAUGUUUAGUUGCGAUCAAAAUGUUUAGUCAUUCAUUCGUAAUCUUUUCUGAUUUUCAAGUUCUUUAGGGCCAUAAACAUUUUUCGAACUCAUUCUUAAUUUUUAGGUUGAUUUCGAGAACCCUGUUGAGGACAUUCCUGAGACCAAGGAUUAGGCUGGCGAAGAAACUACUACCUCUGUUGUUAUAGUGCAGGGUUUGAUCAUUGGACCUUGAAUAAGAAGGCCUUCCACGCAUUCUGUAAUUCAAGCAUUCUCUAAAGGAAAAGAGCAGUAGAAGGGAUAGUGAUGGCCGGAUCUGCUCUAUUUUAGUUGAAGAUCUCUGUGAUGUCGAUGAACUUAACGCAGUUGAUACUUCUUGAAAAUUGUUAUUACGGAUGAAUUGAUUCUUGGAGAGGGGUAUCCAAAGGCGGAUUUUCAUAAACUUCCUUCUUUAACAAAUGUUCCAAUGCUUGUUGUAGUAACAAUUUCAUAGCUUGCAUCUCUCGGGUGCAUCAUGUUCACGGGUUGGAAAAAGCAUUUGUGGUAAAGCUUCAAAGCUUGUAAAAUGGCUGUGAAAAGGCACAUUCAAUUCGGUAUGCUUUGGUGCGGUCUCCUAAUGCUAAUAUUAUAUUUUGUAUAGCAAUCUUAAUAUGCAAAAAAUCAUUGUGUCCAAAGUUUUCUGUUAAUUAUAUGGUGACUGAAAUUUUAAUUAUCAUAUCAAUCUUAAAAAUUUUUGUAACCCUAUUUUACUUUGCUUGUACAGAAUACCUGUUUUCGCUGAUAUGUCUAAUUCCUAGAAAUUCAUUUCCAUCGGUUUCCAUUGGUUUUAGCACAAACAGAAACAUAGAGCCCUGGGAAAAAGUUUUACUUUUGGUGGUAUUAUGCCUUAUUUUCUUCAUUCAUCAUAUUUGUUUCGAAUUCAUGCUCUCAUUCAGAGAGUAAAGCCUUUUCCAGGCUGUUUUGUAGCCAAAUUUCGAUGCCAUCGAUGCGUGAUUGUCAUUUAGAUUUUCGAAAUAAUUGUUAGAUUGGAGAAGAAUAAGAAUAUAUUGUUCAAAGGCUAUUUAAUUAGCACCCUCUGAAUUUAGUUGGCAAUAAUGCAUUGAAAUGGUUGGGGAAAGUUAUUGUCUUAAUUAAAUUACAGGUGAUAAGAUGCUGCUUCAAUUUUGCAAGCAUCUUGUACUGCAAAGAUUCUGCCCACAUGAGAUGCUGUGAUUCUUGACGUCAGGACAACACAGGUCAAAUUUUAGUAUCAAUAUAUAUCAUCUUCUUUACUGUUCUGCCUCUAAAUAUUAAACUUUAAUCAACUUGUUUUUGUUUGUGUAAAUUAUCAGGUUAAGGAUACUAAGCUGCUUAUUAAGGCAAAUGUCAGAAUGAAGAUUGCUCACCGUACCUGGUAUGCAUGAUGGCCAGGAAGAUUAAUUGUUCACAAACCAAUUUGAUCAGUGUUAGAUUUUUUGCCUCCUUUCGAGGGACAUCAUCAUCAAAUUUGAGUAGAGAAUCUUUGAAGGGAAUUUUGUUGUAAGAGCUUCACAGUAGUGAAUUCUGGGAGCUCGAACUUGAGUGAGAUAAUAGGGAGUAUUGGGGAUUUGGGUUAUGAGUAAUCAUUAUCCUUCCAAUAUGUGUAAGCACUCACUUGUUAGUAAAAUCAUCUUCAUAUAUUAAUUGUUUCUUUGUUAUCAGGUAGAGUGUGAUCUUCAAGGGUUUGAGAAAGUCCUUGCAGUAAAGUUUCCACCAGAAGCAAUUGCUCAGUUUCAGAUUUUUUAGGCGCUUAAUUAGUUUCGAUUAUAAUGUUUAGUUAGUUUCAAUUAUAAUAUUUAGUCACUCAUUCUGAAUCUUUUCUAAUUUUCAAGUUCCUUAGGGCCACGACCUGUUUUUCAAGUCUGCAUGUGGCUGCGAAAAGAUUGAUGGUCAUAAAAUUAUCUUGACCCUUGAGCCAUUGCGUUUGAGCACAAACAGAAACAGAGCUAAAGGAAAAGCACUUGACGCAAGAAGAUGCUCUGAAUAUAACUGUUGAUAAAUUAGAAGUAAUUGAUAAGGAUUUGUUUGUUAGAGAUUUGGAUAAAAUCCUAAGAUUUAGGGAUGAGAUAAGUUAGUUCCUGAGUGUAGGAUUAAUCCUUUAUUUUUCCUUAUUUAAGUUGUUUGUUUUCUCUAUUUUUUAGUGAAUUGAAUAAGAGAAUUUUUCCUCCUUCUUCCUCUGUAAAAUCUACAUGGUAUCAGAGCUAGGGUUUGAUCAUGAAUUUCAAGGCCACCAUGGUUGGCUCUAGUUCAACCACUUUGGAUGGCAGCAGUAGUACGACUUCAUCGGAGGAAGUUUCUCAACCACUUCCGACUAUUUCUCUUUCUGAAAAUUCUCUUCAAAUUAUCAUUCACAAAUUGAAUGGAAAGAAUUAUUUUGAAUGGUCUUAGUCUGUUCGUUUGGUGAUUGAUGGAAAAGGGAAACUAGGGUACUUGAAUGGCGAGGUAACACCACCAGCCACUAAUGAUCCAAAAUACAGGCAGUGGCGUUCAGAGAAUUCAAUGGUUACUGCUUGGCUGAUCAACUCAAUGGAUUCUAUUAUUGGAAAAACCUUCAUGUACUUGAAGACUGCUCGUGAUGUCUGGGAAGCAAUUCGGGAAACCUACUCAGAUUUAGAAAAUCAGUCACAAUUGUAUGAAUUAAACACCCAUAUGUGGAAGAUGCAGCAAGGUAAUCGUGAUGUAACAGCUUAUUAUAAUGAUAUGAUGGCUGUUUGGCAGGAAUUGGACUUGUUUGAAGAUGAACAAUGGGAAAAUUCUAAUGACAGUGCUCGAUACAAAGAGAAAGUUGAAAGAGGUCGGGUAUUUGUUUUCUUGGCUGGUUUGAACAAAGAACUUGAUGAGGUUCGAGGACGUAUACUAGGGAAAAAACCUUUGCCAACUAUUAGAGAAGUUUUCUCAGAAGUGCGCAGAGAAGAAGCACGACGGCAAGUGAUGUUGAAGAAUAACGAUGAACCAAAAAUAAAUAGUGAAGGAUCUGCUCUUGUGGCUCGAGGUACAGACUCAGGGGGAAAGCAGAAGCCCCGGUGUGACUAUUGUCGAAAGUCGUGGCAUACUCGAGAAAGUUGUUGGAUGUUGCAUGGGAAACCAAAGAAAAAAACAGGCAGCGACACCAAGUCAGGGGGAGAUGUCCGCGCAUUUCAAGCUAACAGCACUGAUCCAGGGCAGCAAUCAUCCUCAGAGUCUCUUCCUUUUACCAAGGAACAGAUAGAGCAUCUACAUAAAAUGUUUCAUUCCCAAUCCUUAGAAAAAUCUAACCUAUCUUGUUCUCUAGCACAGUCAGGUAAUUCUUUCAUUGCAGCCCUAGCGUGUACUAAGUUUCAUGGCUCCUGGAUAUUAGAUUCAGGUGCUACUGAUCAUAUGACCGGUAAUUCGCAGCUCUUUUCCUCAUAUAUACCUUGUGCAGGAAAUCAAAAGGUUAAAAUUGCAAAUGGUUCCUUAGCUACUGUUGCUGGAAAAGGAACAAUUACUAUUUCUCCUUCUCUAGUCCUUAAGAAUGUUUUGCACGUCCCACAUUUGUCUUAUAAUCUUUUAUCUAUCAGUAAAUUAACUUUUGAUCACAACUGUCAAGUUAUUUUUCAAUCUUCCUGUUGUAAAUUUCAGGAUUUAACCUCAGGGAAGAUGAUUGGGGGUGCUAAAAUGGGUGGUAGACUCUAUUUCUUUAAUAACGGAUCAACCUAUGGAAGGCAAGAUCUGCAGACUUGUUUUAAUUCUAUCUCUGUUGUUAAUGACAGUAAGAUUAUGUUAUGGCAUUAUCGAUUAGGACAUCCAAAUUUUCAAUAUUUAAAGCUUUUGUUACCCAAGUUAUUCAUGAAUAAAAAUCCUUCUGUUUUUCGAUGUGAAUCUUGUGAAUUAGCUAAACAUCAUCGGGCUAUUUUUCAAUCUCAACCAUAUAAAAAAUCAAAACCAUUUACCAUGAUUCAUAGUAAUGUUUGGGGUCCUUCUAGAGUGCCAACUUUUUCUGGAAAGCGCUAGUUUAUUCUUUUUAUUGAUGAUCAUAUUAGAGUCACUUGGGUCUUUCUUUUAAAAGAAAAAUAUGAUGCUGAAACUGUGUUUAUAAAUUUUUAUAAUAUGGUUCAGACACAAUUUCAGACUCAGAUUAAAAUUUUUCGAAGUGAUAAUGGAAAAGAGUUUUUUAACAAAGUGUUAGGAAUUUUUUUUUGCUGAAAAGGGGAUUGUUCACCAAAGUUCUUGUAAUAAUACACCUCAACAGAAUGGGGUGGCUGAAAGAAAAAACAGACAUCUCCUUGAAGUUGUUAGAGCUAUUAGUUUUACGACUAAGGUUCCUAAAUACCUUUGGGGAGAAGCAGUGUUAACAGCCACUUAUUUGAUCAAUAGACUGCCAACGAGAAUUUUGGACUUUAAACCACCAAUUAAAGUUUUAAGUGAAUGGUUUCCCACAACUCGGCUAACAGCCGAUAUUCCCUUUAAAAUUUUUGGAAGUGUGGCUUUUGUUCAUAAUCAUGAUACUAGACAUUCAAAACUUGAUCCAAAGGCACAUAAAUGUAUUUUUGUAGGCUAUCCUACAAAUCAAAGAGGUUAUAAAUGUUUUGAUCCAAUUCUGAAAAAAAUGUUUGUGUCUAUGGAUGUCACUUUUUUUGACGGAUAAUUAUACUACAACAAUUUCCUUCUUCAGGGGGAGAGCACUAGUGAAGAUGAUUUUUUAGAUAAUUCUGAUGUAACUUUUGAGUUUGUUCAGGAUGAUGAUGUUUCUUACAAACAGUCACCAAAAGAAAAUGGGAUGGGAAACACAAAAUCUGUGGAAACAAAUGAACUAAAUGUUGAAAAUAUUGAAUCCACAACUGAACAACCUUUGGUAAUUCCAUCUCAAAAUCAAAAUACUAAAACAACUGAGAUGUGUACAAAACGAUUUAAAGGUCUUGUAUAUUCAAAGGAACAUCUAGCACAAAAAAGAGCCACUAUCCCACAGCACUAUCAAGAAUCUGACCAGAGGUUGGAUCAUGAAGUUUGUGACGAUUCUCCAGAAAUCCCUGAAAACAAUCCUCCAUGUAAUUAUGAGUCAAAUUCUUCUAGUCAGCUUGAUCUUCCCAUUGCUCUUAGAAAAGGUAUUAGGUCUUGUACAAAACAUCCUUUGCCAAAUUUUAUAUCUUACAAAAAUAUUUCUUCAUCAUAUUGUGCUUUUAUUUCACAAGUGUCCAGUGUGGUUAUUCCGAAAAGUGUCUAUGAGGCUCUAAAUGUUCCUGAGUGGAAAGAAGCUAUGCUUGAGGAGAUGAGAGCCCUGGAAAAGAAUGCUACUUGGGAGAAAGUGGAUCUGCCGGAUGGGAAGACAACUGUCGGCUGUAAAUGGGUGUUUACUGUGAAGUACAAUUCAGAUGGGUCCUUGGAAAGGUACAAGGCUAGACUUGUAGCCAAAGGUUUCACUCAGACAUACGGAGUAGACUACUCUGAAACUUUCUCUCUAGUGGCAAAGCUAAAUACAGUUAGAGUACUCUUGUCUAUUACAGCUAAUCUUGAUUGGCCUCUGAAUCAGCUGGAUGUGAAGAAUGCUUUUUUGAAUGGGGACUUAAAGGAGGAAGUCUAUAUGGAGCCUCCACCAGGUUUUAAUGAGAAAUUUGGAACCAAGGUAUGUAAGCUAAAAUGGUCUUUAUACGGCCUUAAACAGUCUCCCAGAGCUUGGUUUGAGAGGUUCACAAAUUUUGUUAAAAGCCAAGGAUAUGAUCAAGGGCAAUCUGAUCAUACGCUGUUCACAAAGAGAUCUAUUGAAGAUAAAAUUUCUGUUCUUAUUGUGUAUGUAGAUGAUAUAAUUUUAAUUGGAGAUGAUAUAGUAGAAAUGAGCAAAUUGAAACAAAACCUAGCCAAGGAGUUUGAGAUUAAAGAUUUAGGCCAACUAAAAUACUUUCUUGGAAUGGAAGUGGCAAGAUCAAAUAAGGGUAUUGUUGUCUCACAAUGGAAGUAUAUUCUUGAUCUCUUGAAAGAAACUGGGAUGAGUGGUUGCAAACCUUCUGACACUCCAAUAGAAGCCAACUCUAAGCUUGGGGAAGUAAAAAAUGGUGUUCCAGUAGACAAGGGGAGAUAUCAAAGACUUGUUGGGAGACUAAUUUACUUGUCACAUACUCGUCCAGACAUUGCUUUCGCUGUAAGCAUGGUAAGCCAAUUUAUGCAUUCCCCAUAUGAAGAACAUCUUGAAGCUGUAUACCGAAUCCUUCAUUAUCUGAAAAGUACACCAAGAAAAGGACUCUUCUUCAAGAAAAAUGAGAAGAGGGGAAUUGAGGUGUAUAUUGAUGCUGAUUGGGCAAGUUUAGUCACUGAUAGAAGAUCAACUUCGGGGUACUGUACAUUUCUAUGGGGUAAUUUAGUCACAUGGAGAAGCAAGAAGCAGAAUGUUGUUGCUAGAAGUAGUGCAGAGGCUGAAUUCAGAUCAAUGGCGCAAGGAGUAUGUGAGAUUCUUUGGCUAAAGAGGGUUCUAGAAGAGCUUAAGAGGCCAGUGAGUUUGCCUAUAAGGUUGUAUUGUGACAACAAGGCAGCUAUCAGCAUUGCUCAUAAUCCUGUUCUACAUGACAGGUAGGGGUGGGCAAAAAAAGCUGAUUAAUUAAAAACCGAAUCGAACCGAUCGGUUCGGUUCGGUUUUUAUGCGGUUUUUUUAUCUUCAAAAAACCGAAAUAGUAACAUAAAAAAAUAGUAAAAUCAAUCGGUUCGGUUUUCGGUUUUUAAAAAAAAACCACAAAACCGAACCAAAAUCUCAAAUAAACCGAUUGUUUUGAAAGCUAAAGCCAAAACCUAAAAGCCUAAAAUCUAAAUCUAAACUUCUGACUUCUGUCUUCUUCGGUUCCCGACUUCCCGCUGGCCGCUGCUCGUCGUGACUUCUUCUGUUCCCGCUGGCCGUGCGGCAUCCCUCGCUGUAAUUUUUGCGAUCGUGCGGCAUCCCUCACUGCAAUUUUUGCUUCUGCUAACCUUGUUACUGUCUCAACUGCACUCUUUUCCACAGAGUUGAAAUCAUUCUGCUUUUUGGCCUCCGUUGUCUGCACCCAGACCUUUACAAAUUGACCUUAUUGAUUGAUUCAAUCAAUUUGAUUGCUUUUGCUUGGGAAAUCACAGAGAAGAUGCAACACGUAAGGUGGGAUGCACUUUCCUUCUUGGGCAUAUUAAAAAAUUAAUUUUAACUUUUUUCUUUAAACCAAAAAAGAAAAAGAAAAAUUAUUAUCCAUAUGUCAUCAUCAUCAAUUGGAAUUGGUCAUAAUUUGGGACCACCACGUUUGUGCUGCCAUGUCAAAUUUUUCUGCAGUUCUCUUUUUCAUUUUUUUAUCAUAUAUAAUCUCGAUUUUUGUAGAUAGUUUAUGUAAUAAUUUAAGAUAUAUAUUCUUGGUUGGCCAAAAUGAAUACAAAUGCAAUUAAUGAAUGAAGAAGUUAUUCAUAAAGCACCAUUUAUUUAUUUGUUCAUUGCGGUUAAGUUGUAUGCGAUCCAUUUGGUUGUUGGUUACAACCAGUUAAAUAUUUAUUUAAAAAUAAAAUAUAACUUGUUAAUUAAGAUGAAUGUUGUAAUAUGAAGUGUCUUAAUUUUGUAAAAUGUGUGUGGUUAUUCAAUAAUUUUGUAAAAUGGUAGAUUUAUUAAUUUAAAGUUUUAAAUUUAAAAAAGUCCAAAAUAGGCCCAAUAGGCCCAUAAUCGAAAUAAUCGAACCGAAUCGAAUCGAAUUAUUUCAAUUAAUCGAGUAUUUGAUUAUUUCGGUAAUUUGAUUAAUCGCGAUUAUGAUUUUAAAAUAAUCAUAAUCGAACGAUUGUGAAAAAUUUAGUAAAAAACCGAACCGAACCGCGCCCACCCCUAAUGACAGGACGAAACAUGUUGAGAUUGACAGGCACUUUAUAACAGAAAAGCUUAAAGAAGGAAUAAUUUGUACUCCAUUUGUACCGACCACACAGCAAGUUGCAGAUGUUUUAAGUAAAGGCUUGCUGAGACAGCCAUUUGAAGUUCAAGUUAGCAAGUUGGGCAUGACAAAUAUAUUUGCACCAACUUGAGGGGGAGUGUUGAUAAAUUAGAAGUAAUUGAUAAGGAUUUGUUUGUUAGAGAUUUGGAUAAAAUCCUAAGAUUUAGGGAUGAGAUAAGUUAGUUCCUAAGUGCAGAAUUAAUCCUUUAUUUUUCCCUAUUUAAGUUGUUUGUUUUCUCUAUUUUUUAGUGAAUUGAAUAAGAGAACUUUUCCUCCUUCUUCCUUUGUAAAAUCUACAAUAACAAAAGUAUAUUUCUGCUUCUUGUGGUUAUUUACUUUGUUUCUCCUGUCAGCAUAUUUGAUUAAUUCGUUCGAAUUCACACUCUCACACAUUAUUUAAAACCAUUUGUAGGUGGCUUGCAAGCUAAUUAAGUUAAUGCAGAAGCAAUACUCUAGACAAAGAUGAGCAAAUUGAAGGUGAUAAAUGCAUAUAUGGUGGCCCAAUCGCUUAUUAUAUUUCAUCUCUCAAUCUAAUAUGAUUCUGAGUUUUAAUUUCCAUGAAUAAUUGUUAGGCUGGUACAGAUGUUCUUAAAAGGGCCAUCAAACUACCUUAUGAAGUUGGAAAGUUGCUAUUGCUUGAAUGAAAGCACCAUCUUCUGUUGCCAAGGCAUUCCCCACAUGAUGAGAUUAUGUGAUUGUUACCGGCUUCUUAAUUAUUUGUUAAAUCAGGUUUUUCUUAUCAAGUACAUCAUCUUAUUCACCAUUUUGGCUAUAUCAGAAUUUGCUAAUACCAUGAUGUCAAAGCAAGCUCAAGCACUAGAUCCCUAAUAAUAAUGCAUUGCAUUUUCAUUUUAUUUUUAGGUUGACUUUGAAGACCGUAUGAAGAACAUUGGGGUAAUCAAGGAUUAGGCUGGUGAUGGAACUACUUCCACUGUGGUGUUGUGUGCAACGUUCAGUUGCUGGACUUUGAAGAAGAAAGUGAUGGCCAGGUCUGCUCUGUUUCAAUUGAGGAUGGAUAGCUGCCUGGAAGGCAUGAUGAUUUUUAUUGCAUGAUAUUAAGGUACAAAGAUAAUCAUUUCUAUCUUGUUUUUUUCUUUGAUCAGUUUAUCCUCUAUAAGCAAAUUCAAUUAUGCUAAUAUUACCAUUUUUUCUCCCAAUUUUCACCGUUGGUUGUAAUAACAAUUUCAGGUACUCAAAAGCUACAGAGCAAAGCACAUGUGGGCUGAUCAUAUGCUUCCAUGGCGGAAGGAAUUCGAUAUUAACACUAUUAUGCAGGUAACCGCAGUUGUUAAUUUGCACAAAUUUGCAUUGUCAGAUUGCCCUUUAAUAUUCACUGUGUUUCUUUUUGUUAUUCAGGGUACCAUGGUAUGUAGAGUAUCAUCUUUGAGGGUUUGUAAGAGCCUUUGCAGUAAAUUUACCUGCUCGAGCAAUUGCACAUUCAUCGAGUACAAUUUUGGAUUUUCAAGGUUUGUAUGUUUAGUUGCGAUUAGCAGGCUUAGUCACUCAUUCCUAAACUUUUCUGAUUUUCAAGUUAUUUAGGUCCAUUAACAGUUUUCACACAUGUUUCAAUGCUAGUUGUACUAACAAUUUCUCAUCUUGCAUCUCUAAGAUGCAUCACGUUUGAAACAGCUUUUGCGGUAAACUUUCAAUGCAUGUACAAUGGCCGUUAAGAGGUACAUUCAAUUCGGUACGUUUUGCUGCAGUCUUCUAAUGCUAAUAUCAUGUUGUGUAUAUUUAGUUUGCAAUUAAAACUUAGGUAUACAACCUUAAUCUCAUAUAAAUGAUUGUGUACAAAGUUUUCUACUAAUUAUAUGGUGACUAAAAGUUUAAUUAUCUUAAAAUUUUUGUAACUCUCUUUUACUUUGCUUGUACAGAGUACCUGUUUUGGCUGACAUGUCUAAUUCGUAGAAAUUCAUUUCCAUGGAUUUCCAUUGGUUUGAGCACAUACAGAAACAGAGCUUUACUUCCUGAGGUGUUAUGCCUUUGUCUCUUCAUUCACCAUAUUUGUUCGAAUACGUUGUCUCAUUAAGAAUUUAAAGCCUUUUUCUAGGCAGCUUUGUGGCCAAUUUUUGAUGCCAUCAAUGCAUGAUUGUCAUUUAGAUUUUCCAAAUAAUUGUUAGGUGGGGAAGAUAUUGUUAAAAGGGCAUUUAAUUAGCUACGUCCCCUAUGAAUUUAGUUGCCAAUAAUACAUUGAAAUUGAGAAGGCUAAUUUAAAUUACGGGUGAUAAGAUGUUGCUUGAAUUCAGCAUCUUGUAUUGCGAUGAUUUUGCCCACAUGAGGCUCUGUGAUUCUUGACAUCAGGAUAACUCAGGUCAAUUUUUUGUAUCAGCAUAUAUCAUCUUGUUUACUGUUUUGCCUUUAAAGAAUAAACUUUAGUGAAGUUUUUUUUGUUUGUGUAAGUUAUCAGGUUAAGGAUACUAAGCAGCUUAUUAAGGAAAAUGUCAGAAUGAAGAUUGUUCACCACACCUGGCAUUUAUGAUGGCAAGGAAGAUUAAUUGUUCACAAGCCAAUUUGAUGAGUGUUAGAUUUUUGGCUUUAUAUAUUAUUAGAGCUCUCCCUUCUGAGAGAUAUCUCAUUAAAUUUGAGUAGAGCUCUCCCAAUAACUGCAAGCUUUCAUUUGUUUGUAAAAUCAUCUUCUUAUAUUGAUUGUGUUUCCUUGUGUUAUCGGGUAGAGUAUCAUCUUCAAGGGUUUCAAAAAGUCUUUGCAGUAAAGUUUCAACCAAUUGCUGUGAAGAGGCAUAUUCAUUUGAGUAAUUCAGUUUCAGAUUUUCAGGGCGUGUGUGUUUAAUUAGUUUUGAUUAAAAUAUUUAGUCACUCAUUCUGAAUCUUUUCUAAUUUUCAAGUUCCUUAGGGCCACAGCCAGUUUUUCAGGUCUGCAGAAACUAUCUUGAGUGUUGAGGAAUUGCGUUUGAGCACACACAGAAACAAGGCUAAUGGAAAAGAACUUGACAGAAGAAUUAUGCUCUAAAUCUAACAAAAGUAUAUUUCUACUUCUUGUGGUUAUUUUACUUUUGUAUUUUCUGUCAUCAUAUUUGAUUAAUUCAUUCGAAUUCAGACUCUCAUUAUUUAAAACCAUUUUCAGGUGGCUUGCACGCUAAUUAAGUUAAUGCAGAAGCUAUACUCUAGACAAAGAUGAGCAAAUUGAAGAUGAUAAAUACAUAUAUGGUGGCCAAGUCGCUCAUUACAUUUCAUCUCUCAUACGAACAUGAUUCUGAAUUUGAAUUUCGAUCAAUAAUAGUCAGGCUGGUGCAGAUAUUCUUAAAAGGGCAUUAAGCUACCUUAUGAAAUUGGAAAGUUAUCAUUGCUUGAAUGAAAGCACCAUCUUCUGUUGUCAAGGCUUUCCCCACACGAUGAGAUUCUGUGCUUGUUAUCGGCCACUUAAUUAUUUAUUAAAUCAGGUUUUUGUUAUCAAGUACAUCAUCUUAUUCACCAUUUUGGCUAUAUAUAAAGAUUAAAAUUUCUAACAGUUGUUUCGGAUUCUUGUGUACUCAGGUUAAUAUAGCAAAUGUCAUAAUGAAGAUUGGUCAGUGCAACCGGUAUAGCAAGGAUGAUAGUGGUGAGGAAGAUUGUUGGCAAGUCAAAUAGAGCCCUCCAUUUUGAGAAAUAUCAUCCUCAAAUUUGAGUUGUUGAGCAUGUGAAGUGAAGCUAUAGCCUUAAUAAUGAGACCUUCCUGUGAAAGUUUCAUUUGAGUGAAUUGAACGUUCUUAGUGGGUAAGAAAUUAAGUUCCCAGCUUGUUUAAAUGCUGUGUAAUUUUUACCCAAGAUUAUGCAAUUGACUUAUGCAAUUCACUUACAGUGUUCUGAGUACUUGAGUUUCAGAUUUCCAAGAUGUGUAAUUUUAGUUGCCAUUGAAAUAUUUAGUCGCUCAUUCUUAAAAAUCUGUUCUAAUUUUCCUGUUAUUUUGGGCCAUAAACAGUUUAACAAGUCUGCAUGUGGUUUCUAAAGAUUGAUGGUUAUGAUAUAUAUUGUGAGGUAUGAAAUAUUAAUUUGCUAUAAAUAUGUGUACAAAUUUUUCCUAUUACAUGGGGACUGAAAUUGUAACUUGCAGGGUCAAAAGAAAUCUUAAUUUGCUUAAGUGUCUGCAUUUGUGUACAAAGGAAAAAUAAGAAAUUCUGCUACGUGGGGACCGAAAUUUUAAUUGGCAGGGUCUUCAUCAAAUGUUUGUUAUCAAUACUGAUCCCGGAAUGUGUGGAACACGGUGAAAAGUUUUUCAUAGUUUUGUGAAGAAGGCUGAUUUAUCUGAUUCAUAGAAUUGUUAAAAGGGCAUCGGGCGGGGGACAAAAGAAGUGUUGAAAUUAAAAAGGUUAAUGGUUAAAGCAUGCAGUUUCUGUUGCAUUUGCAUUGGCCUGGGUUUAGGGAACUGUCAGAACUUUCAGAAGAAGAUGGAGUUUCUCAAACCAAAUCUAAGAAGAUAUCUCACAUUCCCCACAUGGUCUCAACGCACAGGUAAGUUCUUCUCUAGCUCUGUUUUUCAUUGUUUGUUUUAUCUAUUUUUAAUUCACAUGUCCACAGUAAUUUCAUUUUAGUUUGAGCUGAGUGAUGACUUUUCAAGGCUCACUUACUCAUUGGGAGAAGCUGCAGGACGCAGGCUGCAAGGAUUUAGAUUUUCAUUCGAAGGCUCACUUGCUCAUUAGCUUGUGCAAUUCCUGUUAAGAGGCACAUCCAUUCGAAGUAAUUCAAUUUUAUAUUUUCAUAGUGUGCGUGUUUCGUUGCGAUUAAAAUGAUUAGUCUCUCGUUCUUAAUGUUUUCUAAUUUUCCGGUUAUUUAGGGCCAUAAACAUUUUCCAAGUACUGCAUGUGGCUGCCAAAGAUUGAUGAUGAUAAUUAUAUCUUGAGGCCUGUGUCUUGCUUUUGAGCACUCGCAGAAACAGAGCUCAAGGGAAAGAAAUUGGAAGAUGCUCUAAAUAUAAUGAAAGUAUAUUUCUACUUGUGGUCAAUUUACAUUUGUUUCUUGUGUCAUUAUGCAGAUUAAUUUAUUCAAAUUUUUCCUAUCUCAUUCAUUUAUUUUAGACAAAGUUUGAAAAAAAAUUAUAAGUAUACAAUUUCCAAUGGAUUUGAUAGAGCGGUCAUCAACCAUAUUGAUGUUAUUGGAGUAGCACUGUUCUUAAGCACUGCUUUGAGGUCUCUCCCUCUCUAUAUACAUUGAUAGACUAUUCUGGUCGUACCAAAUUAUCCUUGUUUUAAUGUUUUGUUUGUUAAACUUUGACUGGGGGAAUCUGUUUAUUUGUCUGAUAUGAUGUUAGUGUGGUUUCUAUUGAAGUGUGUUAGAUCUAUCACCAAUUAUUAUUUCAAUUUUUCUUACCAAAUCGACUUGCAUACUUUCCAAGUCUAGAUCCUUAACAAUAGUGAGACUACGCUACAGAAGUACGAUUUCUCUAGUUUUGUAGUUAAAUACGUUAGAAUGGUUUUAAAUUAACAGAACUUUGAGAUAGUUCUCUGAGGAAAUACAAGUGGUGAAUAUGGUUCCAACUUUUAAGUGCCUUAAUAUUCCCAUUUGUUCAGCCCUGUGCGUAAACAAUUAGUAAUUUCUGUCCAAAUUCUUCUUUAAUGCCUAUAUGUGUUGGACUUUGUCUAUUGUUCAACUUCUCAAAUGGAUUCCAUGCAGGGUUCUUAAUGUCCAAUUAGGAGAAAGAUCAAGGCUUGCUUGGCUAGGAGUGGAAGCGGAUCCACUACUUCAGUCAGAUGACCUUUUGAAGAAGGCUUGCAACAGGCCGUCUCAGGAUGUCAAUGGCUCAACUCAAAAGUCCUCAAAGUGGCUGAUAUCAAAGAAUGCCAUUGUCUCUGGGCUUGGGCUCCUUGGCAUCAAACAAGGGAAUGUCGACUCUGUUGAAGGGGAAGCAAGGUGUUGAUGCGGGAUUCCGGUUCUCCUCGUUCUACGACCAGGAUCUCUGCUCGAUCAACUUCAUCACGACCAGGAGGUCUCCUCGUAAGGCUUCUUCUCCAGAGGUUCCUGCGCACACAGACAAGUCAGAGUACGCCGGUUGUUUUCCCGGCGCAAACCCUCCGACGCUCAAGUCAGAUAUCAAGGUUCGAGGAACGUUUGCCACAGAUCUUAUGGCUUUUUCGUGGUUUUCUCUCUUUUUAAUUUCUUUUCUAAAAAAAUGCCAACCCUUUUACCUCGUUGGCUACCUUUUUAUAGGCUUCCUCUGAAUCCCAGUUUUCUGCUUUUUUCGAGACGGUAUGGGACUCUGACUGCUGCGUUAUGGGCAAACGUGGGAUCUUGCGUGUUACGCCACGGUCCUGGGGAAAGCGUGGCUGUCGUGGUUCUGUGAGAUCUUGCGUGUUACGCCACGGUUCUGGGGGAAGCGCGGCUGUCGUGGUUCUGUGAGAUCUUGCGUGUUACGCCACGGUUCUGGGGGAAGCGCGGCUGUUGUGCCUAGAUUCUCGGGCUGGAGAGCAUGUCUUGCCAACUGUCGUUGACCGGAUCUCCUCGCCUCUCGACCUCUAGCCGGAAUGGCCUUAUGCCUCUUACAGGAAAUUGGCCUCGCGGAUGACGUGCUCGUGGACGAGCAGGAUAUUUCUGCUCCUGUUCCCCCGCGCGCCAGGCUCUUACGGAACACACCGGUUCGCAGAACUAUGCCACCAGAUAUCUGCUCACCAUGCCUGGUCUCGUCGACGUAUUUCUCCCAAACACCGGUCCCCCAGUUUCUGGUGUUGGGCAAUGUAGUGGACCAGCAGUAGAAACUCGAUAGUACUCGCUCGCGUGGGAUUGGAAAAGGCUGCCAAGAGUCAUGUCGCAUUUAAUUGCGGACGAGGUGACGUGGCAGAAAUCCCCCCCCCCCUCCAUUUGAAUUUCAAACCGACGGUUAUGAGACCCUCGGGAUUCGGCGCUGUUAAAUGCUGGCAACCUAAGAGUCCGUCCUCAGUAGGAAAACCAAAUCCUCUCGAACGGCAUAUUCGCCAUUCACUCCGUCUCCGUCUCUGUCUCUCCGGCAAAGAAGUUCCGGCAUAAAGGUCCUCCAUCUCUGAUUUUCACCGACUGAACCAUUACUUCAGGUAUUUCUUCUAUCUCCUUGGUCUCGGAUAGUUGUAGAUAAUUUCUCUUCUCUUCUGUUUGGGGUAGUAGUUGGUGGUGUUGUGGUUAGAGCUUAGGGAAUGUCGAAAGGCAAGGAGAAGGUCAUUGAGGUUGAUGACGACGAGUUGGACUUCCUGCCUAGUCUGCUCACCGAUCCUGCUUUUGACCCCGGGAUCCCUUUAGAGCCCAUUAGGUCUAGUGUCGGGACUAGUGCUAGGAGGAUGUCUCCCCAAACAACCUCUACGAGCGGAAGUAAUGGUGAGGAGAGAUCUUCUGGCUCCGAGGAUACUUUGAGUGAGGAUGGCGAAGGUGAUUCUGGUGAGGUGUCUCCAUCUGGAACGUCACGACCAGAAGGACGGGGUACAGUAGGGGGUAGAGCCUUGUUGCGUGAUUAUGCCAUCGACUAUAUGACGUGCACGACCACGUUUGACGAGCUCGAUGACCUCCGUCUUAGGUACAGCAUUCCUGGUGAAAUACUUCUCAAGGUCCCAGGCAAGAAGGAUACCCCUAGCUGGCCUCCUAGGGGAUAUGUUACCCUGUAUCUGGAUAGCUUUAAGUAUGGGCUUAGGUGUCCCUUGCAACCUUACUUUGCCCGGAUACUUAGCGGGUUGAAUCUAUCUCCUGGUCAGUUGAACCCAAACGGUUGGAGAGUGCUCUCUGGUCUGUUCAUACUGUGGGACAGAUGUUGCCAAAGCGAGCCCACGGUCGACGAGGUGAUGCACCUGUACCAGCUGAAAAGCAGCCCAAAAGAUGCCGGCUGGUAUUACUUCCAAUCAAGUACCAAGACCAGGAAACCCAUAACCGAUCUCCCUACUGGUGGUGGUGGGAAUUGGAAGAGGAAGUUCUUCUUCGCAGGGGGUCCCUGGGGUCAAGUUGCACGGGUUGAUGGGGAAGACUUCCGCGUCCCACCCCGUUUCGUGGUCCCAGGUUGCCUGCUCGUAUUAGAUGUCUUGUCUCCCUUGUCGUUUGCGCUUUACUGGUUUGUCUCUAAUCAAAUGUUUGUUUGUGUUGCAGGUUCUUGGGGUGUCCACUUCCCGCUUGAACCUGACCAGCUCAAACGGGUCGAGGCUGUACUAGCCAAUUCCUGCUCAAGCCGAGAACUGUUAACUACAUACAACUUGCUCGAGUCUCGCUUGAUACUUCCUGGCCAUAGGAUGGAGGACGCUGUGAUUGGGGCUCUGACCCGAAAACGUUCUUGACCUCCAACCACGAAAAGGGACCAGAGUAAGGAUGCCCCUGCUGCGAAGCGGGCCAACAUCGUGCAGCAGGUCCCAUCCUUGAAGAUUUUACCUCCUGCUCCUGUAAAAGUCGGGGAAGCUAGUGGAGCAGCCACAGAUCCUGCUUCCUCUUCUCCUCCUGUCGGGCCUCGAUCUCGCUUACCUGACAGCCGAGCAGAACACCUGGUCCCCUACCUCAAUGAGUUAUCUAAACUCGUGAGCAAGAAGGACCUGGAGGACUUUGACGGCUGCACCUUGGGUGAGCUGGUGGGGGCCAUGCAGCAUAGCGCUUUCCACCUCAGCUGCAUGACCACCUAUUACAAGGCUAAGAUUGGCCGCUACGACCGGAAGAUGAAGGAGGAUAUUCAAUCGGCGACGACCAGAGCUGACGUUGCCGAGCAGAAAGCAGGGGAGCUGAAUCUCGAGAAUCUGAAGCUGAUAGAGCAAGAAUCACUUGCUCAAGCAAAAGCCAUUACCCUCGAGGAGGAGCUUACCAAGGUCAAGGAGGAUCUGCAAAGGCAGAAGGCUAUGUAUGAGGCUCAGCUCGAAUCUCUCCACGACUCCCACCGAGCUCAGGUCGAGAAUUUGGAGAGGGAGGCCGACAACCAGUACGACCAGGGACUUCGGCAUUCCUAUCGUUGCAUCAUGGCCGUCCUCGGGAAGCAACACCCUGAUCUGAAGAUGGAUGACCUUGCAGCUGGUGUUGCUCAACAUACGGACGAGGAGGCGGCCAAGGAAGAUGCCGAAAGGGUAGAGCCGAUUGUGAUUGAGGAGGAAAACUAUCCUCCUCGUGCAGUCCCUGCUGAUGUUGGCGAGGCGAGCACCCCCCCUGACGCAACUGGUGAUACCCCUCCUGCACCUGAGGAGGUCCAACCAACCGAUGCUGCUGGGCUUACUGAUCCACCAUCUUCUUGAUAUAUUUCUUAUAUUGUAAUGAACAAUGUUUAUGGAGAUUAUCCCCUCUGUUAAUUAUUAACAAAUUAAUAAAAAUGUUUUUUGAUUACUUUCUUGUGUUGUAAUUAUGAAUUAAUUUUCGUUUGAGAAUCUGCUCGUCUUUGUCUAGACGAGCAGGUUCCGGCUUGGCUCAUGGUUUUGUGCCACAUGCCUUUGAAGAUUCUUCAAUGCCUGGGUUUCGGCUCGCAUUCGCGCGGUCAAGCAGAUCCUGGUACGCUUGACUUCUAUCUCGCUAUAAAACAGGCUUUGAGACUUGGUGAGCCUUUACAUGCCUUGGGAAUUUCUUCGAAUGCUUUGGAGUCUGCUCGCCUUCUCGUGGUCGAGCAGAUCCUGGCAUGCGUGGCUUCUGUCUCGCCAUAAGACAGGCUUUGAGACUUGACGGGCCUUUGCAUGCCUUGGAUAAUUUCUUCAACGCUUGGGAUUCUGCUUGGCUUCUCGUGGCCAAGCAGAUCCUGGCAUGCUUGGCUUCUGUCUCGCCAUAAGACAGGCUUUGAGACUUUGUCGAGCCUUUGCAUGCCUUGGAUAAUUUCUUCAAAGCUUGGGAUUCUGCUAGCCUUCUCGUGGCCGAACAGAUCCUGGCAUGCUUGGCUUCUGUCUCGCCAUAAGACAGGCUUUGAGACUUUGUUGAGCCUUUGCAUGCCUUGGAUUCUUCGAGGAUUGGGAUUCUGCUCGCCUUCUCGUGGCCGAGCAGAUCCUGGCAUGCUUGGCUUCUGUCUCGCCAUAAGACAGGCUUUGAGACUUUGUUGAGCCUUUGCAUGCCUUUGAUUCUUCGAGGAUUGGGAUUCUGCUCGCCUUCUCGUGGCCGAGCAGAUCCUGGCAUGCUUGGCUUCUGUCUCGCCAUAAGAAAGGCUUUGAGACUUUGUUGAGCCUUUGCAUGCCUUUGAUUCUUCGAGGAUUGGGAUUCUGCUCGCCUUCUCGUGGCCGAGCAGAUCCUGGCAUGCUUGGCUUCUGUCUCGCCAUAAGACAGGCUUUGAGACUUGACGGGCCUUUGCAUGCCUUGGAUAAUUUCUUCAAAGCUUGGGAUUCUGCUAGCCUUCUCGUGGCCGAGCAGAUCCUGGCAUGCUUGGCUUCUGUCUCGCCAUAAGACAGGCUUUGAGACUUUGUCGAGCCUUUGCAUGCCUUGGAUAAUUUCUUCAAAGCUUGGGAUUCUGCUAGCCUUCUCGUGGCCGAACAGAUCCUGGCAUGCUUGGCUUCUGUCUCACCAUAAGACAGGCUUUGAGACAUUGUUGAGCCUUUGCAUGCCUUGGAUUCUUCGAGGAUUGGGAUUCUGCUCGCCUUCUCGUGGCCGAGCAGAUCCUGGCAUGCUUGGCUUCUGUCUCGCCAUAAGACAGGCUUUGAGACUUUGUUGAGCCUUUGCAUGCCUUUGAUUCUUCGAGGAUUGGGAUUCUGCUCGCCUUCUCGUGGCCGAGUAGAUCCUGGCAUGCUUGGCUUCUGUCUCGCCAUAAGACAGGCUUUGAGACUUUGUUGAGCCUUUGCAUGCCUUUGAUUCUUCGAGGAUUGGGAUUCUGCUCGCCUUCUCGUGGCCGAGCAGAUCCUGGCAUGCUUGGCUUCUGUCUCGCCAUAAGACAGGCUUUGAGACUUGACGGGCCUUUGCAUGCCUUGGAUAAUUUCUUCAAAGCUUGGGAUUCUGCUAGCCUUCUCGUGGCCGAGCAGAUCCUGGCAUGCUUGGCUUCUGUCUCGCCAUAAGACAGGCUUUGAGACUUUGUUGAGCCUUUGCAUGCCUUGGAUUCUUCGAGGAUUGGGAUUCUGCUCGCCUUCUCGUGGCCGAGCAGAUCCUGGCAUGCUUGGCUUCUGUCUCGCCAUAAGACAGGCUUUGAGACUUUGUUGAGCCUUUGCAUGCCUUUGAUUCUUCGAGGAUUGGGAUUCUGCUCGCCUUCUCGUGGCCGAGCAGAUCCUGGCAUGCUUGGCUUCUGUCCCGCCAUAAAACAGGCUUUGAGACUUGACGGGCCUUUGCAUGCCUUGGAUAAUUUCUUCAACGCUUGGGAUUCUGCUUGGCUUCUCGUGGCCGAGCAGAUCCUGGCAUGCUUGGCUUCUGUCUCGCCAUAAGACAGGCUUUGAGACUUUGUCGAGCCUUUGCAUGCCUUUGGGAACUUUCUCGGUCUCAAGCGAAAGAAAUUCUUCGACGUUCCAUUAAUGGCAGGAUUCGACUUACAUGAAAUUGUUUGGACAUAAAACGUGAAAGAUAAAUGAUAAUGAACAUGAGCAAAAAUAGCUUUCAAAUGUGAACAAGUCUUACUGGAAGUAUUUUCGGAGGUGUGCUGCGUUCCAUGGGCGUUUCACCUCGUGGCCGUCCGUGCGAACCAGCUUGUAAGCUCCGGGUCCCGCUAUCUGCUUGACUCUAUAUGGCCCUUCCCAAUUCGGUCCCAGUACUCCUUGAGUCGAAUCUUUGGUGCUCUGAUUCACUCUUCUCAGUACCCAGUCUCCGAAUUGCCGUAUGUUCACCUUCUGGUUAUAGUACCGAGCAACCCUCUGUUGGUAAAUGACUGAUCGCUCGGCUGCUUGCUCCCUCCUUUCCGUUAGCAGAUCAAGAUUCAAACAUAUCUGCUCGUCGUUCUCCUGCUCAUUGAAAUGAUUUGUCCGGUGUGUGGUCGUUCCUAUCUCAGCCGGCACGACCGCUUCAUGUCCGAAAGCCAAAGCGAACGGUGUCUCCCCAGUUGCGGUUUUGUGGGUUGUUCUGUAUGCCCAUAGCACACAUGGCAGCUCGUCAACCCACGCACCCUUUUUUGCUCCAAGCCUGGUUUUCAGAAGCCUCUUGAUGGUCUUGUUGGCUGCUUCUACUUGUCCAUUUGAUUGAGGGUGAGCAGGCGAGCAAUACUUCAGCUCUAUCCCGAGGUUCUGGCAGAAAUCCCUGAAGCUGUGAUUAUCGAACUGCCUGCCAUUAUCCGUUACCAAGGCAUAAGGGAUCCCGUAUCGACAGACCAGGUUUCUCCACACGAAGUCUGUUGUUUUCUUCUCUGUGAUCCUGCUAAGGGCUUCUACCUCAAUCCACUUCGUGAAGUAAUCUAUAGCAACUAUUGCAUGUGUUGCUGCUCCUCGUGCCUUUGGCAAUGGGCCGAUCAGAUCAAUUCCCCAUUGAGCAAAUGGCCAGGGGGAGGUCAUGGAGGUGAGUUUCUCUGGUGGUUGGUUAGAGAAAUUUGCAAAACUCUGGCAGCUUACACAACUCCUGGUCUUCUCUUGCGCAUCCUGGUGCAUUGUCGGCCAGAAAUAUCCCUGCCUUAGAACCUUGUGGGCCAGGGACCUCCCGCCAGAAUGAUUUCCGCAGAUUCCUUCAUGUACUUCUCUCAGUACGUAAUCCGCGUCGUCCUCAUCCAAACACCGAAGGAACGGUAGUGUAUAUCCUCGCCGAUACAGUACCCCAUCAAUCAUCGUGUAUCUCGAGGCCUGGGCUCUAAUCUUGCGAGCUCGCAGCUUAUCUGGUGGUAAUACCCCGUCUCUAAGGUACGAAACUAUCGGGUCCCUCCACGAGCAUUUUUGUUCUAUCCGCAACACCCCCAAAUUCUGAUCGAUACUUGGGCUGGACUUCACCUCCAGAGGGACCGACUUUGGCAUUUUUGGGUCGGCUACUGCUGCCAUCCUAGCCAAAAUGUCUGCUCGACUAUUCUGCUCCCUGGGGAUUUGUAUCACCUCCACUGCUUCGAACUUCCCCAUCAUCUGCCUGACUAUCUUCAGGUACUGCUCCAUCUUUUCCUCUCUUGGUUGGAAUCUUUCACUGACAUGAUUCGCAACCAGCUGGGAAUCAGUUCUGAUCUUACCUCUGUCUGCUUUCACGGCCUUAGCCAAUUCCAGACCUGCUAUCAAGGCUUCAUACUCUGCCUGGUUAUUCGUGGCUGCAAAUUCCAACUUUACAGCAUAAGAGAUCUCCUCCCCCUCUGGGCCUUCCAAGACAAUCCCUGCUCCUGAACCCCGCUCCCCUGAUGACCUGUCCACAGACAUCUGCCAUACUUGAGUUUCGUCAUUGCUUAUAACUGCAUCUUGUUGAUCUAAGCAUACUUCGGGCUCUGUGAAUUCAGCUACGAAAUCGGCCAUUGCCUGGGCUUUUAUCGCUGCGCGAGGUUUAUAGUCUAUGUCGAACUCGCUCAGCUCUACAGCCCACUUGACGAGCCGACCAGAAGCAUCUGGCUUGUGCAGAGUUUGACGCAAUGGCUGGUUUGUUAUUACCGAGACCGAGAAUGCUUGAAAAUAUGGCCUCAACUUCCGAGCAGCAACCACAAGGGCAAGUGCCCAUUUCUCCAACGGUGGGUAUCUGGUCUCAGUGUCGAGCAGGGCCUUGCUAGUGUAGUAUAUCGGAUGCUGAACUCCUUCUUCCUCUCUCACCAGAACAGAACUGGUGGCCCGAUCCGAUACCGCCAAAUACAGAUACAACUUGUCCCCAUCCCUCGGUGUGGACAGCAGCGGAGCUUGCUGCAAGUAUUGCUUCAAGUUCCGGAAGGCUUCCUCGCAUUCCGGGGUCCAUUCUGUUUUCUUUCCCCUCCUUAUCACUUGAAAGAAUGGCUGACACUUAUCUGUAGCCUUGGAUAUGAAUCUGCUCAACGCCGCCAACCUCCCCGUGAGGCUCUGCAUCUCCUUCAGGUUACGAGGAGACGUCAUUUACACAAUCGCCUGGAUUUUCUCGGGAUUUGCUUCAAUCCCCCUAUGGCUCACCAUGAAUCCAAGGAAUUUCCCUGACUCGACCCCAAAAGCACACUUUUCCGGGUUGAGCUUCAUCUUAUACUUCCUCAAAAGCUCGAAUGUCUCCUCGAGGUGUCUGACAUGUUCCUCCGGGAUUUUGGACUUGGUGAUCAUGUCAUCCACGUACACCUCCAUGGUUUUCCCAAUCAACGGCUUAAAGACUUUGUUCACCAACCUUUGAUAGGUGGCCCCAGCAUUUUUGAGACCGAAUGGCAUUACCCUGUAACAGAACAAACCUUGGUUAGUGAUGAAAGCCGUGCUCUCCUCAUCCUGCUCGUACAUGGGGAUCUGGUUGUAUCCCGAGAACGCGUCCAUGAAGCUAAGCAGACCAUGUCCAGCCGUUGAAUCCACUAACUGAUCGAUCUUUGGUAAAGGGAAGCUGUCUUUUGGGCACGCCUUAUUGAGGUCUGUGAAAUCCACACACAUCCUCCACUUGCCAUUCGCCUUCUUUACCAACACCACAUUCGAUAUCCACUCGGGAUAAUUGACUUCCCGAAUGAAUCCUGCUCUCAAGAGCUUUUCUACCUCGCCAUUUAUAGCCUCAUACCUCUCCUGGUUGAAGCACCUCCUCUUUUGCCUUACUGCCCGAGCACCUUUCUUUAUUGCCAGCUUAUGACAUGCUACCUCAGGGUCAAUCCCCGGCAUGUCUUCAUGUGUCCAAGCAAACACAUCAGCAUGAGCCUGUAAGCAUUUCACCAACUCCUGCUUUUGCUCUCUCUUAAGUCUCGACCCGAUUCUGAUCGUCUUUCCCGGGUUCUCUGGUCCUAGGCUUACUGUUUCCAGAUCCUCUACAGGUUCUUGUCUGCCCUUCUUGUUUUCCACUCGGGUAUCGAGGGAUGUUAUCUGCAUUGCUUCCCUUGCUGCCGAGGAGUAGCAGCUUCUUGCGAUCCUCUGGUCUCCUCGUACCACUCCUACUACCCCAUUCACCCGGUACUUCAGAGCCAGAUAAUGGUUGGACAACACCGCUUUGCUCAUCCGUAAAAAUGGCCGACCUAGGAUCAUCUGGUAAGGACCUUCCUCAUCCACUACGACAAAGUCCAGUAUCAUUGUUCUUUCUGUCGGGGAGCUCCCAAUUGUGAUAGGCAGCUCGACCACGCCCAGAGGGACCAGCUUCCCUCCUCCGAACCCCUUCAAGGAGGUAUUCCUGUAUUCCAACUUCCGGUUGGCUAUUCCCAUCUCUUCCAGGGUUGACUUAAAUAACACAUCAACUGAGCUCCCUGUAUCAAUCAGGAUCCGGUCAAACUUCUUGCUAGCGACAGUAGCCUUGAUGACUAAAGCAUCCUCGUGGGGGUAUAGAAUCCCUUCCUCAUCCUCAUCCGUCCACAUGAUUGGCACUUGCCUGACCCUUGCUCGUUUGGCUGCUGGGGUGUUGAAGAGUACCUCUUUACUGGUCAUGGCGUACCUAGCAUAAUUUUUUCUCGAUCUGUUGGAAUCUCCGGCCAAUGUUGGGCCCCCAGCUAUCACCCUUACUGCGGGCUGCUCGCGCCUCAAGUUUCUACCACUCUGCUCCCCUUCACCUGUUGUGGCCACCAUCGGGAAAGUCCCAUCCAUAAACUCGUCCAGGUACCGAUUUCUCACCAAAUCUUCGACCUGGGUCUUGAGAUCUCUACACUCUGCUGUGGUAUGGCCAUGGGUGCCAUGGAACUUACAAUAACGUCCUCUAUCCCUCCUGUUGGGUAGCUUUGUUAUUGGUGUAGGGAGGUGCAGCAGCCCUCGAUCCUUUAUGGCCUCGUACACCUCAUCCAGGGACAUCUUCAAGGAAGUGUACCGCCCAUAGUCCGGGUUCUGGUCGAUCAGGCGCACUGCUCUUUCUCUGUUUGCCCCGCUCUGAGUUGGGGGCAGUGGGAGUACUUCUGGUCCGCUCGCUCUGCUACCGUGGGGAUGUUGAUGAAGACCACCAGAUGCCGACUCAUGCCUUCUCCAAGGCUCCCUAGCUGGGGAACGAGGAGGUUGCGCCCUGCUGCGCUGAUACUGUGGUGGCCUCUGAUGAGGCUGGUAUGCAGUUACCCGACCUCCUGCUCCACUACCGGAGGCCUGGUGGUCCCUCCUCCUGAUCGGCCCAUUCCCCGGUAAUGCUUUCUUCUCUUUCCUCCCCAACCCUUCUAACUGGUCUGUCUUAAUCCGUGCAGCCUUCUCCUCUUCAAUCUCGAUGUCUCUCUUAGCCUGUUCGUAUGCGGCUGCAUACGUUAUAAUAGCUGGGCUUCUUAAAUUGUACCACAGCCUUCCUAUCUUCACCCCUUCUUUCAAUCCCCUUAACGCCUGAGGGUGGUUGAAGGCUCCCAAGUCGAGGACAGCCCGAUGAAACCUCUUGAUGAAUUCCCGAAGGGUUUCUUGCUCCCCCUGUUUCAUGCUUUUCAGCUCCAUCAUGUCAUCUUCCGGUGCCAUUGCCCCACAAAACUGCUCCGCGAAUUCCUGACACAUCUGCUCGAAGGUUUUAAUGCUGCCCCGAGGAAGUUUUCUGUACCAUUCUCGUGCACGUCCCUCAAGGGAUAGUGGGAACACCCUGCACCUUUGGGAUUGGGAUAAUCCUUGUACCCCAGUUAUGUCGUUGAAGCGCUCUAUGUGCACCAGCGGAUCUGUUCUUCCUGAGUAUCUGAGGUCUGGGAGGCGGAAAUCUCUCGGAAUAACUGCCCUCAUGAUCUCUGCUGCGAGCGGUGAUUCUCCGUCCAGCAUUAUCCUCCAACCAGGGGCUCUGUUCCUUCCUUGCAUGUCGUCAAUUAUCUGUGCUAGUCUGCGCACUUCCUCCUCCAGCUGCACUGCACGACCAGGGUCACGUGCUGCAACUUGAUCCCGUUCUUGCUCUACAUCAUGCAAGUGUUGCCUCAACUCUGUUUCCUCUGCAUUCACCACCCCGUCGUCCUCGUCACCAGUCUGUCUUACCGGGGACUGCUCUCUUUCUCUAUGAAAUUCUCCCCGCAGAGGUACGUUACCUCUCUCACCACCAAAUCUCCCGGUGGUUUGACUUCUCCCCGCACUAUCGGGACCUGGUGCCACUCCACCGCCUCUCACCCUUCCCUCUUGGGUUACCCUUCGCUCGCUCCGCAGCUCAUGCAGGAUGGUUGUCAAGGUCUCCAUCUGCUUUUCCAUCCGUUCCAUCCGGUCGAACAUGACUUUUUCCCGUGCUUCACUGACUAUCUCCCUCAGCGUCACGGAAUCGUUAAGCCUCCUAUCACCCCCUUGUGCACUACUUCCUCCUGUCUCCAUCGCUUUUUACUUGCUUCGCCCCUCUUCUUGCUAUCAACAGAAGCUUUUUGCUUUCUCCCCACAGACGGCGCCAAAAUGUUGAUGCAGGAUUCCGGUUCUCCUCGUUCUACGACCAGGAUCUCUGCUCGAUCAACUUCAUCACGACCAGGAGGUCUCCUCGUAAGGCUUCUUCUCCAGAGGUUCCUGCGCACACAGACAAGUCAGAGUACGCCGGUUGUUUUCCCGGCGCAAACCCUUCGACGCUCAAGUCAGAUAUCAAGAUUCGGGGAACGUUUGCCACAGAUCUUAUGGCUUUUUCGUGGUUUUCUCUCUUUUUAAUUUCUUUUCUAAAAAAAUGCCAACCCUUUUACCUCGUUGGCUACCUUUUUAUAGGCUUCCUCUGAAUCCCAGUUUUCCGCUUUUUUCGAGACGGUAUGGGACUCUGACUGCUGCGUUAUGGGCAAACGUGGGAUCUUGCGUGUUACGCCACGGUCCUGGGGAAAGCGUGGCUGUCGUGGUUCUGUGAGAUCUUGCGUGUUACGCUACGGUUCUGGGGGAAGCGCGGCUGUCGUGGUUCUGUGAGAUCUUGCGUGUUACGCCACGGUUCUGGGGGAAGCGCGGCUAUUGUGCCUAGAUUCUCGGGCUGGAGAGCAUGUCUUGCCAACUGUCGUUGACCGGAUCUCCUCGCCUCUCGACCUCUAGCCGGAAUGGCCUUAUGCCUCUUACAGGAAAUUGGCCUCGCGGAUGACGUGCUCGUGGACGAGCAGGAUAUUUCUGCUCCUGUUCCCCCGCGCGCCAGGCUCUUACGGAACACACCGGUUCGCAGAACUAUGCCACCAGAUAUCUGCUCACCAUGCCUGGUCUCGUCGACGUAUUUCUCCCAAACACAAGGGCUCCUAAAGUUCGAAGAAAGAGAAUAGUCCGGAAGAAGGUGAUCGCAUAAAUUUCUUGGGAGUUAAUCCUAGUCAAUAGCCCAAUUUUGCUGCCUGUCGAAGAGAUACAACACGGAAGUCCUCAUCAAACUCUUUUGAGACAUCUAAGAACUAGUAGGGAGGUGGUGGUAUUUCACCGUGUUUCCUGGCAAGUAUAGUUCACUGAUAGAGGGAUUCUUUUCUUGAUGUCUAAAUACUAUAUGUGAUACAACGUCGUAUAUUCCAAUUUUUCUCCAGUUAAAUUAUAGUAAGUUAGAAAAGUUAAUUUUGUUCUAGCGAUGAAUUGUUUUCUUAAUAAUAAUAAUGGCCUGUUGCUUUGGAAUCUUAUUCACUCUCUGUAACCCAAUUAAAUUGUGCAAAUUCUACUGCAGAUUUGUCAAACAGAGUGUCUCUGUGAUUGUUUUGAUACACCUUUUAAUUACUAGAUUGUACUCGAGUUCCUAUUUAUUACUACUGUGUUGUAGUUAUAGUUAUUGUGAAAAAGGAACUGAAACUAUAAUAUAAAUGUUGAUCUUCUGUUGUAUAUAUGAUUUUUAAAUAAUAAUUUUGACAAAAUUAAUAAAUGUAUCAUUGAUUUUUUUAUACUCCCAACUUAAUUUUUAAGUCACCAUAAUAAAUAUUUAUUAAAUACUUUGAUACUGUAACUUUAAAACUAUGCUCCGCGGCACUCUUAUCUAAUUUUAAUUGUACUUUAUAGCUCGAUUAUAGAAAUCCUUACUCGAUGUACUUUACCAUACAAGAUGUUAGUUUACUUAAUCUUACUCGACUUUAAUUGCAUAUUUUAUAACGAAAUUUUUGUCAAAAAAUUGGUCCCGAUUCCAGCAAAACAGUAACUUCCAUUCAAAAGGGUUCCACGUUGAGUGCAUGUAAUCUGCACCAAGUUUGAGAAGAAAUAACCAAAAAAAAAAAGAAACCCGCGUCCAAAGAGGCCGUCAUUGAAUUCAAAAAUUAUGAUCCAAAAUCCAAAAAUAGAAGAAGAAUUGGAAACAUAGUCGGAGUUUUAAAUUGAUAUGAGAAAAGAAUUUAUCAUUUUUUUAACAAAAUUUAAGCUAAGACGAAAAAAUAUGCCUAAAACACCCCUCACAUUAUCCCAAACUUUCGAAACUCCCCCAUUCCUCUGACCAUCAUCUCUCCCAAAUCAAUCUUCCCCCAAAACCAGCCAUGGCUUCAAAUUCAAUCAGCUUAACACUCCAAUAUUGCUUGUAAGCCACCCACAAGUCCUCAACUUCAUAUGGACUCAAGACCAAACCCUAGCUUCCUUCCCACACAUCCUCAUUCACUCCAUCAUUACUUACCUCUCCCUCACAUCCAUCCUUUACCACACAUCAACAUCAACAUCACCAUCACCAUCAUCAUCACCUCUCAUUGGACCCCACAUCCUCAGACCCAUCACAGCCAUCCAUAACAUUUUUCAUUUUGAUGCUGUAUGAUCAUUUUACGGGAUUUGGUUUCCCUGGGUUUUGGGGUUGGUGCUUCAAUACUGUGUUUAAUGCUUCCCUUUUGGCCCUUUUUGUUAAUUUUCAUUACAAGAGCUAUGCUAAGAAAAAGAAGCAGGGAUGAUCAAAACAACUAGUAGUUAUCCUUGUUUUGUGUUUUCUUUUUUAAUUUAUCUCUAUCAUUGCCAUUGACAGAGAUGUUUCCAGUUGCCUAAACUUUGUUUUUUCAAUUUUGGUACUACGUGUAAUUUGUCACCACAUUUGUUUAGUCUCUCCCUUUUAAAUUCCCUCUCGCACACAAAAAAUUCGGAUUUGUAUUUUGUAGACUAAUAUUUUUCAUUUUGUUAAUGAAUUAACUAUUAUUAUCUACAUUAAUGUGAUGGAACACAAGCCACAUCAACUAGAAUUAGAUUAUGAAUUUUUGCAGCCCCAGCAAAAAACAUUUAUGAAAGAUGUUUAGGUAAGGAUUAUUUUGGUAUUCUAAAGAGUAGAAUAAAAAUUAAUGUUCAAAAUAUUAGAACAUAUAUAUUCCCAGCCUUAAUAAAAUUUUGCGACAUGAAAUGUACAAAGUUAGAAAUAUAGAAUGCAUAUUAGUACAUGUCAAUAACAAGACCAAUUAGAUUAUGGCAUUACUUUAUUUUAUUUAUUUAUUUUUUUUAUUCUUUUGAAACAAGAUCAAUUAAUUAGAUCAUGCUAGAAGUUAAAUUGUUUUUUUUCAAAUGAAAAAGGAGCAGUCAUACAAAGUUUGAAUAUAAAAUUUAUAAUCUAAAAUUAAUGAUGUGACAAUUAACAUGUUAUUAACCUAUCUAAUAGAGUAGGAAGUCCCAAAUACAUCAUAUUCUGCUCCCGAAAUCAAUUCCACCUAGAAUACUUCUUUCUAUUGAAAUUAAUGAUGAUUUGUUUGUUUGCAUCAUGAAAGUCAAAAAUAAUUUUGUGAGUAAUUUGAUUCUUUACGGUACAAAAAAUAAAUUCGGAAAGUACUAAUUUCUGUCAUACUUUUCGGGCUAAAAAAUAAAUGUAAGUCUAUCAUAUUUAUUAUUUAAUGGUUUUAUAUCAAUCAUCUGUAUGUAUUUUUCUUGGGAGAAGCUCAAUUAAUUUCUCUCAUACUUUUUGAUCUGAUCCAAUUCUAGCCUAAUCAACCUGAAACCCAUUCAAGUUGAUAUGAACACAAAUUUGCCCACUCCGGAGAUUGUGACCCUACAAACUUUGAAAAAUUUUGAGGUUUCGAAGUAAAACAUUAAAAAUUAGAUAUAAAAAGACUGAUUUGACCCCUAAGCACUUGAUGUAUAAACUUUAUACAUAUAAUAGAAAUUUAAUUUAUAUUUUGUAAAAUAAAAUCAAGUAAACUCGAUUUUUUUUUGUUAAUUAUUUUUUCAUUAUGACAAAAUGAAAAAUAGCCUUUUAUUAAAAUUUUUAUAAAUAAUCGGGCCUAAGUCUUUGAUUUUUAUUUUGUUAAUUAUUUUUUAGUUUUACUUGCAACAGUAAGUUCAAUUAUGAAUCAAAGUCGGCAAAUCAAAAUCGCUGCAGCCUGUAGCCACAAGCAAAAUUCUCAAAUUUCGAAAUUCCUAACGACUACAUAAUAACUAUAAAUAGAAUAACAGUCUAAAAUUAAUCCCCAACUAACAUUUUAAGUGAAGUUGGGCCUUCCGAAGAUUUACCCCAUAUGGAACAAAAUAUUAGUUUUGCUACUAAAAUUGCGAACUACGUUUUUCUUUGUAUUUUCCGCUCAAGGAUGAAGAAAUUUCACUCAACUGUUGUGCUGAAUAUCUUGCGAACAUAUGACAAUUUAAGACCCGUUUGGGGCAGCUGCGCGGUGGUCCUUAAUCUUUGGCUGAGACUUGUUUAAAAUAAAAAAUGACACUUUAAAGCAAUAGGAGAGUUUUAUAUAUCAAAAUGGUAAACGGAUGGAGAAAACUCAAAAUAAUUUUUUUAACUUUUUAUCUAUUUUGACAUUCGAAUUUUAAACUCGAGAAGUCAAGCAAUGAAUAAACCUUUUUGAGGGGCUAAUUAAAUUCUUAGUAAUUUCACAUAAUUUUAUUUCAUCAGAACAGUUUUAUCAAAAGCAAUUUUAUAAAUCGUUGUUGAAAGAUUUAUUCCUUAAUUAUCUUUCACAUAUUUUUUUGGUAAUAUGAGGUAAGUCAUAGACCAUAGUAUGAUAUUUAUUAAAUAUCAAAAUUAAUAUGAUAUUUAUUAAAUAUCAAAAUUAAUUAGACAUGUCUUUAUAAUAAGACAUCAUUUAUUUUGAAAUUGUUCCAGCACUAAGAUUAUUCUAGAUCAAAUUAAUCUAUUAUAUAUAACUUCAGAAGAUUUCUCGGUGGAUUGCUUUAAGGUUUUACAGGAGCUGAUGCUGAGUAGUCUGAAUAAUUAUUAUGAAUCAUAGAAACGGGGCAGAUGCUGUUAAAUUAUUGAGGUGGUGGAGCAGAUGCUCAGUAGUCUGAAUAAUAAUGAUGAAUCGGAAAAAUAGGGCAGAUGCUGUACAAUUAUUGAGGUGGUGGAGCAGAUGCUCAGUAGUUUGAAUAAUUAUUAUGAAUCGGACAAACAGGGCAGAUGCUGUACAAUUAUUGACGUGGUUGAACAGAAAGCUAGCCCCAGACGGUAACUCCUGUGGGGACUCCUUUAAUUUUGCAUCACAAAAGAACGUUCACACUGACAUUGACUCACGGGUAAAAAUUAAAUAUCUCAUAUGGUAUAAGAAGAAUGCAAACAUGCUUGAAUCAACAUUCUCACAGAAUACAUAAAACCUACUUUCCUCUGAGCAUUUUAUCAAGAAAAGCAAUUGCUGCAUUUACCAUUUGAUCUAAUAUCAGAAUGGUUGAUGCGAUCGUUUCCGCUCUCCUGGAGCAGCUGAUCUCUGUUGCGGCUGAUGAAGUGAAACAGCAGGUGAGGCUUGUGACUGGUGUCCGAGAAGAGGUGAAAAAGCUUACCAGCAAUCUUCGAGCCAUUCGAGCUGUGCUGGAAGAUGCAGAGAAAAGGCAAAUGCAGCGCAACAAUGCUGUUACUUUUUGGCUGGAUCAGCUCAAAGACGCAUCUUACGACAUGGAAGACGUGUUGGAGGAGUGGACCACUGCAAGGCUCACAUUGCAGAUUGAGGGCGUUGAUGAUGACACUGCUCUUGCUCUUGCUCCUCAUAAGAAGAAGGUACGCUCCUUCUUUUGUGCUGCAUCAAACUGCUUUGGUAGUUUCAAACAACUUAGUCUUCGUCAUGACAUUGCCGUCAAGAUUAGGGAAAUCAAUGGAAAGCUAGAUGAUAUUGCCUCCCAAAAAGAUACGUUUAAAUUUGUUGAGAAUGUGAGCAACAAUGUUAGGGAACCAGAGCUAGUGGGAACCACCUCCUUCAUUGAUGAGGGAAAGGUUUGUGGUAGAGUUGAUGAGAAAAAUGAGCUCUUAAGCAAAUUGUUGUGUGAAAGUAGUGAACAACAAGAAGGCCUUCAUGUCAUCUCACUAGUUGGGUUAGGGGGUAUAGGUAAAACCACUCUUGCACAACUGGCCUAUAAUAAUGAUGAGGUGAAAAGAAAUUUUGAAAAAGUUAUAUGGGUGUGUGUAUCAGACACUUUUGAGGAGAUUAGGGUUGCGAAAGCAAUCAUUGGAGGUCUAGGUGAGUCAACUUCUAGUUUAAGUGAAUUCCAAUCUCUUAUGAGCCAUAUCCAUCGAUCAAUUGAAGGAAAAAAGUUUUUUCUUGUUUUAGAUGAUGUAUGGGAUGGGAAUUACAAUAAAUGGGAACCAUUCUUCCUUUGUCUAAAGAAUGGUCACCAUAGAAGUAAAAUUUUAGUUACCACACGUAAUGAGUCAGUUGCACGUAUGAUGAGAUCAACAAAUAUUAUCUCCAUUAAGCAAUUGGCUGAAGAGGAAUGCUGGUCAUUGUUCGAGCAGUUAGCAUUUUUCAGUCGUUCUCUUGAGGAUCGUGAAAAAUUAGAACCAAUGGGGCGAAAAAUUGCACACAAGUGCAAAGGCUUGCCUCUUGCUGCAAAGGUAAUAGGGAAUCUUUUGUGCUCUAAAAGUACAGAAAAAGAGUGGCAAAGUAUUUUAGAGAGUGAAAUGUGGAAAGUAGAAGAGAUUGGGCAAGGUCUUUUGGCUCCUUUGUUGUUGAGUUAUAACGAUUUACCCUCCAAUUCUGUGGUAAAACGGUGUUUCUCAUAUUGUGCUGUCUUUCCAAAAGACUACAAUAUGGAUAAAGAGGAAUUGAUUAAUCUGUGGAUGGCUCAAGGUUACCUUAAUGCAGAAGAAGACGAAGAGAUGGAGAUGAUUGGGGAAAAGUGUUUCAACAUUUUAGCAGCACGCUCUUUCUUUCAAGAAUUUCAGAAAAAUGACGAUGAUGAUAUUCUGAGGUGUAAGAUGCAUGACAUAGUACAUGAUUUUGCCCAAUUUAUAAGUAGAAAAGAAUGUUUGUGGCUAGAAAUAAAUGGUACCAAAGAAACAGUCAUAAACUCUUUUGGUGACAAAGUCCGUCACUUAAGGUUAAAGUUUCAAGGAGGAGCUUCAUUUCCUAUGUCCUUUUUUGAAUUUGAUAGAUUGCGUACCCUCUUAAUUUAUGAUGAAAGUCUUUCCAAUACAUCUUUAUUUGAUGAUGAAAGUCCUUCCAAUCCAUCUCUUAAUAGUAGCAUCCUUCGGAAGUUAUUUAGUAAAUUGGCGUGUUUAAGGGCAUUAGUUAUAAGACAACUGUCCCCACCUUUUUGUCCUAAUCACCCAAAUUUGAUUAGAGAAAUUCCAGAAAAUGUUGGAAAAUUGAUACAUUUAAAAUAUCUUAAUUUGUCUAGACUGUGUAUAAAGAGACUGCCUGAGACUUUGUGUGAAUUAUAUAAUUUACAAAAGCUAGAUAUUAGGCGGUGCCGAAAUCUUAGAGAAUUGCCAGCGGGGAUUGGGAAGUUAAUGAACAUGAGGAGUUUACUGAAUGAUAAAACUCGUUCUUUGAAGUACAUGCCAGUAGGGAUUUCCAAAUUAACCAGUCUUCGAACAUUAGGCAAGUUUGUGGUGGGUGGAGGUGUUGAUGGUAGCAAUACGUGUAGGCUUGAAUCUCUGAAAAAUCUUCAACUCCUUCGAGAAUGUGGAAUAGAAGGGCUGGGUAAUGUAUCCCAUUUAGAUGAGGCCGAGAGAUUAGGACUUCACAAUAUGGAAAACCUCCUUCGUUUGCGUCUUGUGUUUGAUGGAGUCGUAGAUCUUGUGUUUGAUGGAGUCGUAGAUGGGGAAGAUGAAGAAAGGAGGAGGAGGAAUGAGAAAGACAAACAACUUCUUGAAGCUUUACAACCGCCUUUGAGUGUAGAGAAAUUAUGGAUUGUAUCCUACGGAGGCAACAUUCUUCCCAAAUGGUUGACUUUGCUAACCAAUCUAAGGGAUUUAAGCCUUUCCUCGUGCGUUAACUGUGAGCAUUUGCCUCCUUUGGGAAAAUUGCCUCUGGAAAAACUCACAAUUAACAACUUGAAAAGUGUAAAAAGAGUGGGUAAUGAGUUUUUGGGAAUAGAAGAAAGCAGUGAGGACGACCCAUCUUCAUCUUCAUCGUCAUCAUCAGUUAUUGCCUUCCCCAAAUUGAAAUCUCUCAAUAUUGAGGAAUUUGAUGAAGUGGAAGAGUGGAAUUACAGGAUUACGAGGACGGAAAACAUCUCCAUCAUGCCACGUCUUUCUUCCUUGACGAUUUCUUCUUGCAACAAAUUAAAGGCGCUGCCGGAUUACAUUCUUCAAACGACGGCACUGCAGGAACUGAGUAUAUAUUUUUGUGAUCUUCUAGAAGAACUGCCCAUUCUAGAAGAUCACAGGACAACAGCCAUACCACGUCUUUCUUCCUUGGAAAUUAGUUGUUGCCCCAAAUUAAAGGUGCUGCCGGAUUACCUUCUUCGGACGACGACGCUGCAGAAAUUGACAAUUUGGGGAUGUCCCCUUUUGGAAAACCGUUAUAGAGAGGGGAAAGGAGAAGACUGGCAUAAGAUAUCUCACAUUCCCCACAUCAAGUGGUCGCUGUUGCCGCCGGUAAUUUCUCCUCCUCCUCUGAUUUACUUCGUUGUUGCUUGCAAUGAAAUUAAUAAAAAUAAUUAUAUUUUGACUUAAAAUUUUAUAUAAAAUCAAUCAUGGUAUAAAUAUGAAAAACUUCCUAGUUAUCAAAUCUGUUAAACUUGUUUUCUAAAGAUUAAAUAAUAAAAAAAUACAAGUGUAGUCUGUUGAAAUUUCUAUAUUUAUUUACUUUUAAAAAAUAUGUGCUCUUUUGUAAAAGUUCAUACAAUAUCAUAGAAAUGUUAUGUGUAACUUCCUGAGAGACAAAAUCUCUGUGAUACAUUUGCAGUAAUGUUGAAAACUAAAUGUCAUUAGCCCACCUUGUUUUAUUUCAUACGAGUUUAAUUAUGUUCACCAGGGAUUCGAGGAAAUGUCAGAACUACACUAGCAAUUCGCAGGUCCACGCUAAUUUGGUUCUAAUGAUGCACGCAGGAGAGCAAGACUAUGAAAAUGAAAAGUUUAGCCAAAGGAUUGCUAAAAUGUUCUGCUGGUAAUUCACUUGCUUUAUUUUAUAGAAUUCAUUUCCAUCUUCUUCUAUUGAUAUCUUGUUGUGAAUAACAAGAACAGAGAAGUAAAGAUAUAUCAAAAUUUACUAUUGCGAUGAUGCUAAAGCAAGCUCAAGCUCAAGCAUUGCAUUUUUAUUUUAUUUAAUUUAUAGAAUUUUCAUUUCCACCUGCAUUGCAUUUUUAUUUAUUUUUAGGUUGACUUUGAAUACUUCAUGGUGAACAUUGGGGUGACCAAGGAUUAGGCUGGCAGUGGAACGACUACCACUGUGGUUAUUGUGCGACUUUGAAGAAGAAAGUGAUGGCUGGGUCUGCUCUGUUUCUAUCUUUUUUCAUUCUUUGAUCGGUUUAUCCUACAUAAACAUAUGGAAUUAUGCUAAUAUUAUCAAUUUUUUCACCCAAUUUUCAUUGUUGGUUGUGAUAAAAAUUUCAGGCUCUCAAAAGCUACAAAGCAAAGCAUUUGUGGGCUGAUCAUAUGUUUCAAUUGAGGAAGGAGUUUGGUGUUGGCAAUAUUGUCCAGGUAACCACAGCUGAUAAUUUCCACAAAUUUGCAUUGUCAGAACACACUUUAAUGUUCAUUGUGUUCCUAUGUGUUAUCAGGUUAUUGUGGUAUGUAAAGUAUCAUCUUUAAGGAUUUGUAAGAGACUUCGCAGUAAACUUAGUUGGCACCAGCUCGUGCAAUUCCUCAUUCAUUCAAGAGUACUUCAAAAUUAGAUUUUCAAGGUUUGUAUGUUUAGUUGCGAGCAAAAUGUUUAGUCACACAUUCGUAAUCUUUUCUGAUUUUCAAGUUCUUUAGGGCCAUAAACAGUUUUCCAACUCAUUCUUAAUUUUUAGGUUGAUUUCGAGUACCCUGUUGAGGACAUUCUUGAGACCAAGGAUUAGGCUGGCGAACAAACUACUACCUCUGUUGUUAUAGUGCAGGGUUUGAUCAUUGGACCUUGAAUAAGAAUGCCUUACACACACUCUGUAAUUCAAGCAUUCUCUAAGGAAAAGAGCAGUCGAAGGGAUAGUGAUGGCCGGAUCUGCUCUAUUUUAGUUGAAGAUCUCUGUGAUGUCGAUGAACUUAAAGCAGUUGAUACUUCUUGAAAAUUGUUAUUACGGAUGAAAUUGAUUACAGGAGACGGGUAUCCAAAGGCGGAUUUUCAUAAACUUCCUUCUUUAACAAAUGUUCCAACGCUUGCUGUAGUAACAAUUUCAUAGCUUGUAUCUCUCGGGUGCAUCAUGUUCACGGGUUGGAAAAAGCAUUUGUGGUAAAGCUUCAAAGCUUGUAAAAUGGCUGUGAAAAGGCACAUUCAAUUCGGUAUGCUUUGGUGCGGUCUCCUAAUGCUAAUAUUAUAUUUUGUAUAGCAAUCUUAAUAUGCAAAAAAUCAUUGUGUCCAAAGUUUUCUAUUUAUUAUAUGGUGACUGAAAUUUUAAUUAUCAUAUCAAUCUUAAAAAUUUUUGUAACCCUAUUUUACUUUGCUUGUACAGAAUACCUGUUUUCGCUGAUAUGUCGAAUUCCCAGAAAUUCAUUUCCAUCGGUUUCCAUUGGUUUUAGCACAAACAGAAACAUAGAGCACUGGGAAAAAGUUUUACUUUUGGUGGUAUUAUGCCUUAUUUUCUUCAUUCAUCAUAUUUGUUUCGAAUUCAUGCUCUCAUUAAGAGAGUAAAGCCUUUUCCAGGCUGCUUUGUAGCCAAAUUUUGAUGCCAUCGAUGCGUGAUUGUCAUUUAGAUUUUCGAAAUAAUUGUCAGAUUGGAGACGAAUCAGAAGAUAUUGUUCAAAGGGUAUUUAAUUAGCACCCUCUGAAUUUAGUUGCCAAUAAUGCAUUGAAAUGGUUGGGGAAAGUUAUUGUCUUAAUUAAAUUACAGGUGAUAAGAUGCUGCUUCAAUUUUGCAAGCAUCUUGUACUGCAAAGAUUCUGCCCACAUGAGAUGCUGUGAUUCUUGACAUCAGGAUAACACAGGUCAAAUUUUAGUAUCAAUAUAUAUCAUCUUCUUUACUGUUCUGCCUCUAAAUAUUAAACUUUAAGCAAGUUGUUUUUGUUUGUGUAAGUUAUCAGGUUAAGGAUACUAAGCCGCUUAUUAAGGCAAAUGUCAGAAUGAAGAUUGUUCACCACACCUGGUAUGCAUGAUGGCCAGUAAGAUUAAUUGUUCACAAGCCAAUUUGAUCAGUGUUAGAUUUUUUGCCUCCUUUCGAGGGUCAUCAUCAUCAAAUUUGAGUAGAGAAUCUUUGAAGGGAAUUUUGUUGUAAGAGUUUCACAGUAGUGAAUUCUGGGAGCUCGAACUCACUUGAGUGAGAUAUUAGGGAGUGUUGGGGAUUUGGGUUAUGAGUAAUCAUUAUCCUUCCAAUAUGUGUAAGCACUCACUUGUUAGUAAAAUCAUCUUCGUAUAUUGACUAUGUUUCUUUGAGUAAUUCAGUUUCAGAUUUUCAGGGCAUGUAUGUUUAAUUAGUUUUGAUUAAAAUAUUUAGUCACUCAUUCUGAAUCUUUUCUAAUUUUCAAGUUCCUUAGGGCCACAACCAGUUUUCAGGGUCUGCAGAAACUAUCUUGAGGGUUGAGGAAUUGCGUUUGAGCACACACAGAAACAAGGCUAAUGGAAAAGAACUUGACAGAAGAAUUAUGCUCUAAAUCUAACAAAAGUAUAUUUCUACUUCUUGUGGUUAUUUUACUUUUGUAUUUUCUGUCAUCAUAUUUGAUUAAUUCAUUCGAAUUCAGACUCUCAUUAUUUAAAACCAUUUUCAGGUGGCUUGCACGCUAAUUAAGUUAACGCAGAAGCAAUACUCUAGACAAAGAUGAGCAAAUUGAAGAUGAUAAAUGCAUAUAUAGUGGCCAAGUCGCUCAUUACAUUUCAUCUCUCAUACGAACAUGAUUCUGAAUUUGAAUUUCCAUCAAUAAUUGUCAGGCUGGUGCAGAUGUUCUUAAAAGGGCAUUAAGCUACCUUAUGAGAUUGGAAAGUUAUCAUUGCUUGAAUGAAAGCACCAUCUUCUGUUGUCAAGGCUUUCCCCCACACGAUGAGAUUCUGUGCUUGUUAUCGGCCGCUUAGUUAUUUAUUAAAUCAGGUUUUUGUUAUCAUGUUCAACAUCUUAUUCACCAUUUUGGCUAUAUAUAAAGAUUAAAAUUUCUAACAGUUGUUUCGGAUUCUUGUGUACUCAGGUUAAUAUGGCAAAUGUCAGAAUGAAGAUUGUUCAGUGCAACCGGUAUAGCAAGGAUGAUAGUGGUGAGGAAGAUUGUUGGCAAGCCAAAUAGAGCCCUCCAUUUUGAGAAAUAUCAUCCUCAAAUUUGAAUUGUUGAGCAUGUGAAGUGAAGCUAAAGCCUUAAUAAUGAGACCUUCCUGUGAAAGUUUCAUUUGAGUGAAUUGAACGUCCUUAGUGGGUGAGAAAUUAAGCAUAUAUCAGCGAUUACUGAAUGUUUUUCUUUAACAUUAGUACACUCUUAUUUCUUAGUAAAAUUCUCUUCACGUCUCUGACUGUGACGUAGACCAAAAGCUGAACAAUGUAAAAUUAUAUUGUUAUUUCCUUAUGCUUGUUUUGCUAUAUAUCAUUUUUGUGCAAUAAAGAAUGUAAUUUUGUAAUUAUUUAACUCUGCUUCUGCGAACAUGCGGUAUUACAAGUGGCAUCUUGCAGAUUUUUUUCCCCUUUUUUUCUUUCUGCAUUAAAACUGCAACAAAUGGAAGUGACUGGCUUGAUUUUAGCUAAUGUAAAAAAGUGCUUGGGGCAAUGUCUUUUGUAUCAGCAAGUCAUCAAACAUCAUAGUUUAAAUAUAGAAUCCUGAGUUGCCGUAUAUUGACAAAGCUAACCGUCUGUGGGCUGAAAUGCUUCCACGGAUCAGGAAGGAAUUUGGGGUUGACACUAAAUGUUAUGCAGAUAACUACAGUUGAUAAUUUUUACCCAAAAUAUGUCACAGUUGACAAUUCACUUACAGUGUUUCCUUGUGUUAUCAGGCUCUCAUAUGUGAAUUGAAAGAUUAAGAAAAAGCAUUUGCACUAAAUUUCAAUUUUAAAGUUCCCAGAUUAAGAAAGAUUGUUUGUUAUGCAAUUGAAGAUUAUGAAAAAGCAUACGCACAGGUAAGUUCUUCUUUAGCUCUGUUUUUCAUUGUUUGUUAUAUCUAUUUUUAAUUCACAUGUCCACAGUAAUUUCAUUUUAGUUUGAGCUGAGUGAUAACUGUUCAAGGCUCACUUACUCAUUGGGAGAAGCUGCAUGACGCAGGCUGCAAGGAUUUAGAUUUUCAUUCGAAGGCUCACUUACUCAUAGUGUGCAUGUUUCGUUACGAUUAAAAUGAUUAGUCUCUUGUUCUUAAGUAUACAAUUUCCAAUGGAUUUGAUAGAGCGGUCAUCAACCAUAUUGAUGUUAUUGGAGUAGCACUGUUCUUAAGCACUGCUUUGAGGUCUCUCCCUCUCUAUAUACAUUGAUAGACUAUUCUGGUCGUACCAAAUUAUCCUUGUUUUAUUGUUUUGUUUGUUAAACUUUGACUGGGGGAAUCUGUUUAUUUGUCUGAUAUGAUGUUAGUGUGGUUUCGAUUGAAGUGUGUUGAUCUAUCACCAAGUAUUAUUUCAAUUUUUCUUUACCUAAUCAACUUGCAUACUUUCCAAGUCUAGAUCCUUAACAAUAGUGAGACUCCGCUACAGAAGUACGAUUUCUCUAGUUUUGUAGUUAAAUACGUAAGAAUAGUUUUAAAUUAACAGAACUCUGAGAUAGUUCUCUGAGGAAAUACAAGUGGUGAAUAUGGUUCCAACUUUUAAGUGCCUUAAGAUUCCCAUUUGUUCAGCCCUGUGCGUAAACAAUCAGUAAUUUCUGUCCAAAUUCUUCUUUAAUGCCUAUAUGUGUUGGACUUUGUCUACUGUUCAACUUCUCAAAUGGAUUCCAUGCAGGGUUUUGAAUGUCCAAUUAGGAGAAAGAUCAAGGCUUGCUUGGCUAGGAGUGGAAGCGGAUCCACUACUUCAGUCAGAUGACCUUUUGAAGAAGGCUUACAACAGGCCGUCUCAGGAUGUCAAUGGCUCAACUCAAAAGUCCCCAAAGUGGUUGAUAUCGAAGAAUGCCGUUGUCUCUGGGCUUGGGCUCCUUGGCAUCAAACAAGGGAAUGUCGACUCUGUUGAAGGGGAAGCAAGGGCUCCUAAAGUGCGAAGAAAGAGGAUAGUCCGGAAGAAGGUGACCGCAUAAAUUUCUUGGGAGUUAAUCCUAGUCAAUAGCCCAAUUUUGCUGCCUGUCGAAGAGGUACAACACGGAAGUCGUCAUCAAACUCUUUUGAGACAUCUAAGAACUAGUAGGGAGGUGGUGGUAUUUCACCGUGUUUCCUGGCAAGUAUAGUUCACUGAUAGAGGGAUUCUUUUCUUGAUGUCUAAAUACUAUAUGUGAUACAACUUCGUAUAUUCCAAUUUUUCUCCAGUUAAAUUCUAGUAAGUUAGAAAAGUUAAUUUUGUUCUAGCGAUGAAUUGUUUUCUUAAUAACAAUAAUUGCCUGUUGCUUUGGAAUCUUAUUCACUCUCUGCAACCCAGUUAAAUUGUGCAAAUUCUACUGCAGAUUUGUCAAACAGAGUGUCUCUGUGAUUGUUUUGAUACACUUUUGAUGGCAAGUUCAAGUUUGAAUCAUCUUGUAAUGCCAAAAAACCAUAGCGCUUUUAAUUACUAGAUCGCACUCGACUUCCUAUUUAGUACUACCGUGUUGCAGUUAUAGUUAUUGUGAAAAAGGAACUGAAACUAUAAUAUAAAUGUUGAUCUAGUGUUGUAUAUAUGAUUUUUAAUUAAUAAUUUUGAUAAAAUUAAUAAAUGUAUCAUUGAUUUUUUUAUACUCCCAACUUAAUUUUUAAGUCACAAUAAUAAAUAUUUAUUAAAUACUUUGAUACUGUAACUUUAAAAUUAUGCUCCGCGGCACUCUUAUCUAAUUUUAAUUGUACUUUCUAGCUCGAUUAUAGAAAUCCUUACUCGAUGUACUUUACCAUACAAGGUGUUACUUUACUUGAUCUUACUCGACUUUAAUUGCAUAUUUUAUAACGAAUUUUUUAUCAAAAAAUUGGUCCCGAUUCCAGCAAAACAGUAACUUCCAUGAUGAUUUUUAAUAUUAUAUUAGUGAUUAUUAAAUUUAAUACAAUCAAUAAUGAAAGAAAUUAUUAAAUGGUUAAUUUUAUUGACAUAUUAUCAAAUACGCAAGUAAUGAAAAAUUAAUCUCAAGAGUUAGUUGAAGUAAAGUUCCAAUUUAAUAGAUAAAUAUAAAUUUUAAGUAAAUCAUAAAUUAAAAAAUUAAUUAAUAUUAAGUAUAAAUAAAUAAUAAUGACAUAAAUUAAAGUCUCAUAAAUGGAUAACUUUUUUUCUUUAAUCUUAUCUCAACUAAAGUAAUGUGUAAAUUAGGAUUCUUAAUCCCAUAAUUUUAGGAAUAAAUUUAAAUUUAGUUCCUAAAUCCAAUUCAAUUAAGCUUACCAAACAUGAGAUAAAUUUUUAAUCACAAAAUUAGUCCAAUUCCAUACUUACUCCCAGUAUCCGAACAUGGCCUGAUAACAUAAUUUAGGUAAUAUACUACUAUGACUCACAAUUUAAAUAAAUUUAAGAAUUUAUAUAGGGGAUGGAAAAUUCACAAUAAUCAUAACAUAUGCUAUCUUUUCUCCCUUUUCUUAAUUAAAUAAAAAAAAAUUAAUGACAGAAUAACUACUGUUUAAAAGGGUCGGCUGCAUGAUUUUUCCAACUAUUGUUUUAUUUUUCUCUUUUCCACUACAAAUUAAUUUGAGAAUGUUACAUUUUCCAAUUCUCUUUUUGUCGUGACAUAAUAGACUAAAACGGAAUCACAUACUUUUUCAAAUGUCCAAAUGGCUUUGGCCUACCUGAUAAUAAAAGGAAUGGAUCCAUACGUUAGUAUGGAUAAAUUGAAAAAUAUAAUAAAUAAAUUGUCAGGAGAUGAUUUUAUCAAAAAUUUCACUCGCACGGUCCCGACCAAAAUCGACUGUAUUAUAUGUGAACUCGCAAGAUUCAUAGAUAGAUUGCACUGAGCUUUUUGUUGCAGUUUACAAAUAUUUUGUUACUAAUUAUCUCAAGAGCAGCAUGUAACUAAAUACAAAUGUAAGGAAUUUUACAAGUGCUGAUGCUGUGUACUCUGAAGAAUUAACAAUGAAUUAUUAUGAAUAAGAGAAACAGAGGGCAGAUGCUGUGCAAUUAUUGAGGUGGUGGAUCAGAAAGCUAGCCCCAGAUGGUGACUCCUUUAAUUUGCAGCACGAAAGAACGUUCACAUUGACAUUGACUCAAGGGUAAAAAUUAAAUAUUUCAUAUGGUAUAAGAAGAAUGCAAACAUGCUUGAAUGAACAUUCUCACAGAAUACAUAAAACCUACUUUCCUCUGAGCAUUUUAGCAGCAAGAAAAGCAAUUGCUGCAUUUACCAUUUGAUCUAAUAUCAGAAUGGCUCAUGCGAUCGUUUCCUCUCUCUUGGACCAGCUGAAAUCCAUUGCUCAAGAUCAGGUGAAAGAAAAGUGGAGGCUUGUGACGGGUGUCGAACAAGAAGUGGGAAAGCUUACUACCAAUCUUCAAGCCAUUCAAGCUGUACUGGAAGAUGCAGAGCAGAGGCAAAUGAAGCAGGACAAAGCUGUUACUCUUUGGCUGGAUCAGCUCAGAGACGCAUCCUACGACAUUGAAGAUGUGUUGGAAGAGUGGAUCACUGAAACAAGGAAAUUGCAGCUUGAUGAGGGCGGCGAUGAUGACGAUGCUCUUGCUCUUGCUCCUCCUAAGAAGAAGGUAUGUUCCUUCUUUCGUGCUGCCUCAAACUACUUAGGUGGUUUCAAACAACUCAUUCUUCGUGAUGAUGUUGCUGUCAAGAUUAGCGAAAUCAGUGAAAAGCUAGAUGGUGUUGCCACUCGAAAAGAUAUGUUUAAAUUUGUUGAGAAUGUGAGUAACAAUGUUAAGAAACCAGAGCGAGUGCGAACCACCUCCUUGAUUGAUGAGGGAGAGGUUUUUGGUAGAGAUGACGAGAAAAAUGAGCUGUUAGGUAAGUUGUUGGGUGAGAGUGGCGAACAACAUCCUCAUAUCAUCUCACUGGUUGGGUUAGGGGGUAUAGGUAAAACCACUCUUGCACAACUAGCCUAUAAUAAUGAUGAGGUUAAAAGAAAUUUUGAAAAAGUUAUAUGGGUGUGUGUAUCAGACACUUUUGAUGAGAUGAGGGUUGCUAAAGCAAUCAUUGAAGGUCUAGGCGAGUCAACUUCUGGUUUAAGCGAAUUCCAAUCUCUUAUGAGCCAUAUCCAUAGAUCAAUUGAAGGAAAAAAUUUUUUUAUUGUCUUAGAUGAUGUAUGGGAUGGGAAUUAUAAUAUAUGGGAUCAAUUCUUCUUUUGUCUAAAGAAUGGUCUUCCCGGAAGUAAAAUUGUGGUUACCACACGUAAUGAGUCAGUUGCACGUAUGAUGCGAACAAUAGAGUUAGAUAUUAUCUCCAUUGAACAACUAGCUGAAGAGGAAUGCUGGUUGUUGUUCAAGCGGUUGGCAUUUUUCGGUCGCUCUUUCAAGGAUUGUGAAAAAUUAGAACUAAUCGGGCGAAAAAUUGCACGCAAGUGCAAAGGCCUGCCUCUUGCCGCAAAAGUAAUAGGGAAUCUCUUGCGCUCUAAACGUACAGUAAAAGAGUGGCAAAGAAUUUUAGAGAGUGAAAUGUGGAAGGUAGAAGAUAUUACGAAAGGUCUUUUGGCUCCUUUGUUGUUGAGUAUAAUGAUUUGUCCGCUAGUUCUAUGGUAAAACAGUGUUUCUCAUAUUGUGCUGUCUUUCCAAAAGACUACAAGAUGGAUAAAGAGGAAUUGAUUGAUCUCUGGAUGGCUCAAGGUUACCUUAAUGCAGAAGAAGACGAAGAAAUAGAGAUGAUUGGAGAAGAGUAUUUCAACAUCUUAGCAACACGCUCUUUCUUUCAAGAGUUUGAAAUAUAUGGUGCCGAUGGUGAAUAUGUGAAGUGUAAGAUGCAUGACAUAGUACAUGAUUUUGCUCAAUUUGUGAGUAGCAAAGAAUGUUUGUGGCUAGAAAUUAGCGGUACCAAAGAAUCAGUCAUAAACUCUUUUGGUGACAAAGUCCGUCACUUAGGGUUAAAGCUUAAAAGAGGCGCUUCAUUUCCUAUGUCCAUUCAUGGACUUAAUAGAUUGCGUACCCUCCUAAUUAGUGAUGAAUUUUAUAAUCUGUCCCUUAGUAGUAGCAACCUUGCAGAGUUAUUUAGUAAAUUGGCAUGUUUAAGGGCAUUAGUUAUAAAGCAAUUUUACCCAAAUAGGAUUAGAGAAAUUCCAGAAAAUGUCGGAAAAUUGAUACAUUUAAAAUUCCUUAAUUUGUCUAGACUAGCUAUAGAGAGACUACCUGAGACUUUGUGUGAAUUAUAUAAUUUACAAAAGCUAGAUAUUAGGCGGUACGAAUAUCUUAGAGAAUUGCCUGCGGGGAUUGGGAAGUUAAAGAACAUUAGGAGUUUACUAAAUGCUAGAACUCCGUUAAAGCAUAUGCCAAUAGGGAUUGCCAGGUUAACCAGUCUUCGAACAUUGGACAGGUUUGUUGUGGGAGGAGAUGUUGAUGGUAGCAGUACAUCUAGGCUUGAAUCUCUGAAAAAUCUUCAACUCCUUCGAGAUUAUGUAAUAGAUGAGCUGAGUAGUGUGUCACAUUUAGAUGAGGCUGAGAGAUUAGAACUCCACAAUAUGGAAAACCUCCUUCGUUUGUGUCUUGUGUUUGAUGGGGGAGAUGAAGAUUGGGAAGAUGAAGAAGAAGAAGACGCAGAAGUUGUAGAGGGGUUAGAUGAAGAAGGGAGGAGGAAGAAUGAGAAACUUCUUGAAGCCUUACAACCGCCUUUGAAUGUAGAGGAAUUACGGAUUGUAUCCUACGGAGGCAACAUUUUUCCCAAAUGGUUGACUUCGCUAACCAAUCUAAGGGAACUAAAACUUCUCUUGUGUUUUAACUGUGAGCGUUUGCCUCCUUUGGGAAAAUUACCUCUGGAAAAACUCCAACUAAAGAACUUGAAAAGUGUAAAAAGAGUGGGUAAUGAGUUUUUGGGAAUAGAAGAAAGCAGUGAGGAUGGCCCAUCUUCAUCUUCAUCGUCACCAUCAGUUUUUGCCUUCCCCAAAUUGAAAUCACUCGAAAUUCACGGAAUGGAAGAAUUGGAAGAGUGGAAUUACAGGAUUACGAUGAAGGAAAACAUCUCCAUCAUGCCCCGUCUUUCUUUCUUGGAAGUUAGUUCUUGCAACAAAUUAAAGGCGCUGCCGGAUUACCUUCUUCAAACGACGGCACUGCAGGAACUGAGUAUUUGUUCUUGUGAUCUUCUAGAAGAACUGCCCAUUCUAGAAGAUCGCAGGACAACAGACAUACCACGUCUUACUUCUUUGUGGAUUUCUGAUUGCCCCAAUUUAAAGGUGCUGCCGGAUUACCUUCUUCAAACACUGCAGCUAUUGAUAAUUUUGGGCUGUGACCUUCUAGAAGAACAUUAUAGAGAGGGGAAAGGAGAAGACUUGCAGAAGAUAUCUCACAUUCCCCACAUCAAGUGGUCACCGUAAGAUAUCACUCGCCGGUAAUUUCUCCUCCUCCUCUGAUUUACUUCGUUGUUGCUUGCAAUGAAAUUAAUAAAAAUAAUUAUAUUUUAAAUUAAAAUUCUAUAUAUUGCCAAUGUCUGACAAGAAUAUAUAAUAUUUUUCUAAUAUUUUGAUUUGCAUAUUGAAUUUUGUUUACUUUAACCAUUAAUUUAAUGGGUCACUUUAUGAUGCUGUUAUAAAAAUUAUAGAAUCAAUCAUGGUAUAUAUAUUUUAAUUUAAGUUAUUUAAAAUUUAAACUUCCUAGUUAUCAAAUUUAAACUUCCUUAACAUCAUGCAAAAAUAAUCAUCAUGUCUUUUAGCCGAAGGAUUGCUAAAAUGUUCUGCUGGUAAUUCACUUGCUUUAUUUUAUAGAAUUUCAUUUCCAUCUUCUUCUAUUGAUAUCUUGUUGUGAAUAAACAAGAACAGAGAAGUAAAUAAUUGAACCACAGAGAAGUAAAGAUAUAUGAAAGUUCGCUAUUGUGAUGGUGUUAAAGCAAGCUCAAGCUCAAGCAUUGCAUUUUUAUUUUAUUUUAUUUUUAGAAUUUUCAUUUCCACCUGCACUGCAUUUUCAUUUCAUUUUUAGGUUGACUUUGAAGACUCUAUGGAGAACAUUAGGGUAACCAAGGAUUAUCACUAUGGUUAUUGUGCAACGUUUGGUUGCUGGACUUUGAAGAAGGAAGCGAUGGCCGGGUCCGCUCUGUUUCAAUUGAGGAUGGACAGCUGCCUGAAAGACAUGAUGAUUAUUUUUGCAUGAUGUUAAGGUGCUAAGAUCAUCAUUUAUAUCUUGUUUCAUUCUUGGAAUCAUUUAUCCUAUAUAAACAUAUUGAAUUGUGCUAAUAUUAUCAUAUGCUUCAAUGGAGGCAGGAAUUUGGUGUUGACACUACUAUGCAGGUAGCCACACUUCAUAGUUGGCACAAAUUUGCGUUGUCAGAAUAUCCUUUAAUAUUCAUUGUGUUUCUUUGCGUUAUCAGGUUAUCAUCUCCAAGGGUUUGAAAGAGUCUUUGCAGUAAAGGCAGUUGUCACCAGCUCGUGCAAUUGCACAGUCAUUCAGAGUACUUCAAUAUUGGGUUUUCAAGUUUUGUAUGUUUAGUCGAUUAAAAUGUUUAGUCACUCAUUCUUAAUCCUUUUUUCUGAUUUUCAAGUUCUUUAGGGCCAUAAACAGUUUUUCAAACUCAUUAUUAUUUUUUAGGUUGAUUUCCUACUCGUGGAGAACAUUGGCAAGUCCAAGGAUUAGGCUGGCGAUGGAACUACUACCUCUGUUGUUAUUGUGCAAGGUUUGAUCGCUGGACCUUGAACAAGAAUGCCUUACACACAUUCUGUAAUUGAAGCGUUCUCUAAAGCAAAAGAGCAGUAGAAGGAAUAGUGAUGGCCGGAUCUGCUCUUUCUUAAUUGAAGAUGUCUGUGAUGUUGAGGAGCUUAAAGCAGUUAAUGCUCUUUGAAAAUUGUUAUUACAGAUGAAUUGAUUCCUGAAGACGAGUAUCUAAUGAUUGUUAAGGCGUAUUUUCAUGAACUUCCUUUCUUAACAAAUGUUUCAAUGCUGGCUGUAGUAACAAUUUCAUAUCUUGCAUCUCCCGGGUGCAUCAUGUUCACGGGUUUGAAAAAGCAUUUGUGGUAAUGCUUCAAAGCUUGUACAAUGUCUCCCAAUGCUAAUAUCAUAUUUUGUAUGGCAAUUAAAAUUUAGCUAUACAAUCUUAAUAUGCAAUAAAUCAUUGUAUACAAAGUUUUCUAUUGAUUAUAUGGUGACUGAAAUUAGAUUGGAGAAGAAUAAAAAGAUACUGUUAAAAGGUUAUUUAAUUAGCGCCCUCUGAAUUUCUUGGAGUUAAUGUAGUCAAUUGCCCAAUUUUGCUGCCUGUGGAAGAUACACAGUAUGGAGUCCUCAUCAAACUCUGAGACACCUAAUAAAUAGUAGGAGGGGUUGGUAUUCGCCUGGUGUUAAUUUCCUGGCAAGUAUAGUUCACAGAUAAAGGGGUUCUUUUCUUGAUGUCUAAAUACCGUAUGUGAUACAACAUCGUGUAUUCCAAUUUUUCUCCAGUUAAAUUUUAAUAAGUUAGGAAAGUUAAUUUUGUUUUAGCAAUGAAUUGUUUUCUUAAUAAUAAUUGCCAUGUUCCUCUGAAGUCUUAUUAAUGCCAAACCAACAACUACUAGGUUCAUCUCUCGUUCACUUCCUCAGGGAUUCUCGAGGGCAUUCUUUGGCAGGUAGUCUUUCUUGUUGAGCUCCUGGAAUUACUUUUAAUUUAUCAUCUGUUGGGUUUUGCUUUUUGAUUGCUUUGUGAUUUGUGUUUUUAUCGCUUUGUCGCUCAUUAAUCUUGGCUGUUUUGAAUCUGUGUUGGAUUUAGACGUUUGGAGUUGAAAACAGUUAAAGCUUAGACUAGUAGAAGAGAUUUAUACAUUCAUUUAUCUUGGACAAAGUUUUUGGGGGAAAAGAAAAAUUAUAAGUAUACACUUUCCAAUGGUUCGGUGAUGUUUGAUUGGUUUAAAGAUGUUGGAUCUCUCAUCAGAUUUCUUAUGUAUCGACUGCUGUUGCCACAGGAUGCUCGCAGAUCCUGCUUUUUUGUAUAAACUUCUACCAGAGCAGGCUGCCACAAUUGGUUGCACUGUUUUGUGGGAGUUGGAGAAUCACAAGGAGAGGUGUUUUUUCUCUCAUAACAAAGGAACUCUCCCCUUCCUUUUUAUUCUCAUUUUAUAUAUUAAGCUAAUAAAUGUUUGUUUCUGUUGUGAUGGGAUAAAGCAAGAAUGGGAUCUUUGCCCUAAUAAAUGUGCUCACAGUAACAGCAUGUAAUGCUUUUGUUGUUUGGUCGCUUGCUCCUUGUCAUUCUUAUGGAAACACCUUCCGGUUUGACUUGCAAAUUACAUUACAAAAGCUCCCAAACAAUAUAUUUGAACGGCGGUACCCAUUUCGAGAAUUUGACUUGCAAAAGAGAAUCCACUCCCUUUUUUACAAGGCUGCAGAGUUGUGUAUGGUGGGAUUAAGUGCAGGAGAAGUGCAAGGUUCUUUGUCAAACUAUCUUGCUGGUAAAAAGGACAGGUAAACAUGGUUGCAAAACUUCCUUUUCAUUCCUCGUUCACUUAUUCGUUAUAAAUAAAGAAAACUUAGAAGAUUGUUCUGUUUACUGUCUAAGCCAGUUUAACAUUUAUUAAAUUACCCUUGUAAAAGAGAAUCCACUCCCUUUAAUGUCUGACAGGUUAUCUGUGACAAACAUGAGAUAUCAGCUAUUGUGUGGAUUUGAUAGAGCGGUCAUCAACCAUUUUGAUGUUAUUGGAGUAGUACUGUUCUUAAGCACUGCUUUGAGGUCUCUCCCUCUAUCUCUUUUACGCAUUUGUUUAUUGAUCUACAUCUCUAUAUACAUUGAUAGACUAAUCUGGUCGUACCAAAUUACCCUUGUUUUAAUGUUUUGUUUGUUAAACUUUGACUGGGGAAUCUGUUUAUUUGUCUGAUAUGAUGUUAGUGUGGUUUCUAUUGAAGUGUGUAGAUCUAUCACCGAGUAUUAUUUCAAUUUUUCUUUGCUUAAUCAACUUGCAUCCUUUCCAAGUCCAGAUCCUUAACAAUAGCGAGACUUCGCUACGGAAGUACAAUUUCUCUAGUUUUACAGUUAAAUACGUAAGGAUGGUUUUAAAUUAACUGAACUCUGAGGUAGUUUUCUAAGGAAAUACAAGCGGUGAAUAUGGUUCCAAGUUUUAAGUGCCUUAAUUAACCCAUUUGUUCAGCCCUGUGCGUAAACAAUCAGUAAUCGCUGUCCAAAUUCUUCUUUACUGCCUAUAUGUGUUGGACUUUGUCUAUUGUUCAACUUCUCAAAUGGAUUCCAUGCAGGGUUCUUAAUGUCCAAUUAGGAGAAAGAUCAAGGCUUGCUUGGCAAGGAGUGGAAGUGGAUCCGCUACUUCAGUCAGAUGACCUUUUCAAGAAGGCUUACAACAGGCCAUCUCAGGAUGUCAAUGGCUCAACUCAAAAGUCCCCAAGGUGGUUGAUAUCAAAGAAUGCCAUUGUCUCUGGGCUUCGGCUCCUUGGCAUCAAACAAGGGAAUGUCGACUCUGUUGAAAUGGAAGCAAGGGCUCCUAAAGUGCGAAGAAAGAGGAUAGCCCGGAAGAAGGUGACCGCAUAAAUUUCUUGGGAGUUAAUCCUAGUCAAUAGCCCAAUUUUGCUGCCUGUCGAAGAGAUACAACACGGAAAUCCUCAUCAAACUCUUUGAGACAUCUAAGAACUUGUAGGGAGGUGGUGGUAUUCACCUUGUUUCCUGGCAAGAAAUUUAUGGAACUUAUCUUCUAAAAACCAGCCAUGGCUUCAAAUUCAAUCACCUCAACACUCCAAUAUUGGCUUGUAAACCACCCACAAAUCCUCAACUUCACAUGGACACAAAACCAAACCCCAGCUUCCUCCCCACACUUCCUCAUUCUCUCCAUCCUCACUUACCUCUCCCUCACAUUCAUCCUCUACCACACAUCAACAUCAACAUCACCACCAUCAUCACCUUUCAUUGGACCCCACAUCCUCAAGCCCAUCACAGCCGUCCAUAACCUCACCCUCCUCCUCCUCUCCCUCAUCAUGGCCGUUAGUUGCACUCUCUCCAUCAUCGUCCAUUUGCCCCACCUCCAUUACACCCUCUGUUUCCCCCCCACCAUUUCUCCGUCUGGCCCCCUCUUCUUCUACGCUUACCUCUUCUACCUCUCCAAAAUACUCGAAUUCGUAGACACCCUUUUGAUCAUUUUGUCAAACUCCGUCCAACGGCUCACGUUCCUCCACGUCUAACACCAUGCAACCGUCGUCGUAAUGUGCUACCUUUGGUUACAGACGAAGCAGUCUUUGUUUCCUAUUUCACUUGUGACCAAUGCAAGUGUGCAUGUGAUCAUGUACGGGUACUAUCUAUUGUGUGUGAUGGGGUUGAGGCCAAAGUGGAAGAGAUUGGUCACUGAUUGUCAGAUUGUUCAGUUUGUGUUUAGUUUUGUUGUUUCGGUUUUGAUGCUGUAUUAUCAUUUUACGGGAUUUGGUUGCUCUGGGAUUUUGGGUUGGUGCUUCAAUGCUGUGUUUAAUGCUUCUCUUUUGACACUUUUUGUUAAUUUUCAUUCCAAGAGCUACGCUAAAAAAAAGCAGGGAUGAUCAGAACAAAUAGUUUUUGUGAUUGUUUUGUGCGUGCGUGUGUGUGUGUGAUUUUUUUUUUCAAGUUUGAUUUUGUUUAAUUAUGAAGGGUUGUGAUCUGUUCAUUGCAAUUGACAGAGAUGUUUUCAGUUGCCUAGACUUCGUAUUUUCAGUUUUAGUAAUAAAUGUCGUUUUUCACCACAUUUGUUUAGUCUCUCGCUUUUAAAUCCCCUCUCACACACAAAAAAAAUUGGAUUUGUAUCUUGUAAACAAAUAUUUUUCAUUUUGUUAAUGUAUUAAUUAUUGUUAUCUACAUUUAUGUGAUAGGGCACAUGCCACAUCGACUAAAAUUAAGUUAUGAAAUUUUGCAGCCCCUGAGCACUCAAUGUUUGUAGGCACAAGUUCAAGUCCCACCAUUUGUUAGGAUUUAAAUAAAGAACAUUAUAACCAUGCGUCCAAGAACUUAAAGAUAGCUUAAGUGCAUGGAUUCGAGUCCUAGUUAUUGUUGGAAUUCGAUUUCCUUUCUAAUUAAAUUGGGUAAGGGUAAAAUUAUCUCUCAAUUAAUAAGGACAGAGUAGAUAUUUCUCUCGAUUUUCCUCCCAAUUAAAUUAGUUAGAAGUAAAAUUAUCUCUCAAUUAAUAACAGUAGAAUAAAUAUCUCUCUAGUAUUAUGCAAGGGUAGAAAUUUGGGCUGUACCAUGUUAGAAUUAUCAAGGAUAGUUUUGGUAGAAUUCUAAUUGUAAUAUAUGAGUGUAUAAAAAAAAUGAACAUCAAUGAAAGAUUUUAGGCAAGAACUAUCUUGGAAUAGAAUUUUGAUUGUAAUAUAUCAGUAUAUAAAAAAAUUUUAUGAAAAAUGUUUAACAAGGACUAUUUUGAUAUUUUAAUGAAUAGUAAAAAUUAAUGUUAAAAUUUGAUAGACGAGUGUAUAGUAAGAUGUGCAAAGUAUUAGAACAUAUAUAAAUAAUCCUAGCUCUAAUAAAAUUUUGCUACAAAAUUAGUUUAUCCCUUAAAGAAACAUAUCAAAAAAAUAUACAAAAACACAAUGCAUGAGUACAUGUCAAUCACAAAUGAAAGCAAUUAAGAUAAAGGAUAUGAUUUAUUUUAUUUUAUUUUAGUUAUUUUUUUAAUUAUUUUUUGUUUCUUUUGAAACAAGACCAAUUAGAUCAUGCAAGAAGUAAUUUUUUUUUUAAAUAAAAAAGGAGAAAUGAUGAAACCCACGUCCAAAGAUGCCGUUGUCGCGGAGGCCUAGAUCUCACUACACCCCAUCCCCUUCUACCAUAUUUUAUAAUUGAAGAGGCCAUUAUUGAAUUGAAAAAUUAUGAUUCAAAAACCCAAAAAUAGAAAAAGAAAAGCAAUUGUUGGAAACACACUCGGAGUUUUAAAUUGACAUGAGAAAAGAAUAUAUUCAUCAACCUCAUACGUUAAAGAUGCGACGAGUUUGAGAUUAUGAGCCAAAUUCCUAACGUGUGGGAAUUUAAAGAUGUUACUACAAAACAUGUGUUCGUCGGUGGAGUAGAAUCAGGGAAAUUAAAGAUGCUACUACAACCACUAACGUGUGGGUGGGGAUAAGCAUAACUUUUUUCAUCAAAUGCCAAAUCCCCCCAGGUGGAGAGUGGGGACUCCUUCGCAUAAAUGUUGAUAAAAUUUUGAUUAUGAUGUUAUUAGAAAUUAGGAAAAACCUGUGGUGCAACUGUGGUACCGUGUUAUAGUUGCAUCCAGCCGUUGGAUACUAGUGGACCCUAUUGUUAACAUAUAUGUUUCCAUAAUAUUGAUUUUGAUGAUAACAAACAAAAUUAAGAAUGAUUAAUCUUUUAAGCUCAAAUUAUUUAAUAUUCUUUUUAAAUAAAUCAUUAUUUUCACAUUAUAAAUGUUUUAUAUUUAAUGGAAAAAUGAUUUUAUGAAAUUGAUUGUUUUUAUUCUCUUUAAAUAAAUCAUUAUUUUUACAUUAUAAAUGUUUUAUAUUUAAUGGAAAAAUGAUUUUAUGAAAUUGAUUGUUUUUAUUCUUUUUAAAUAAAUCAUUAUUUUCACAUUAUAAAUGUUUCAUAUUUAAUGGAAAAAUAAUUUUAUGAAAUUGGUUGUUUUUCAAAGUUUAUGGUUUAAUUAAAAGAAUUUUGAAAACUUUGAAAUAAAUGCUUGAAAUUUUGGAGGACUUAUUUGAAAAGUGUCAUAGCAUUUUUAGCUAUAUCAUAAUUUCAGAAAGUUUUGGGAUUAGCAAAGCAUUACUUAUAAAUUCUAAAAUUGGACCUAUUUAAAAAGUUUUAUAACUUUUUGGGCCGUAAUAUAGUUUUGUAAAGUUUUGGGGUCAAACUGUAAUUUCAGAAAAUAAUGCACUAUGCAGGUUACUGUAGCAUCCGGCUUACCGGAUAUAAAAAACUAGAAAACCGGAUACGGGGCAGUAAGCAUCCGGAACGCAAACGGCUUAUCGGAUUUCGUAACCGGCAAGCCGGUUAGGCAAAAUUCAAAUUUUUGCCUUAGUGGUAACAUAAAUCCAGCUUACCGGAUUCCUUAAACGGCAAACCAGAUACGCUCAGAAUGUGUAUAAUGGGUAGUUUUUGAGUUCAAACUAUAUAAACUCAAAAUCAAUUCAUUUUUGGUAAUACAAGAAAGCAAGAACAAGUGCACACAACAUAUAUUGAGCUUCAAUUUCGUGAAUCAUCAUUCAUUAAAUCAUCUUUGUUCUUAAAUUUGUAUAUCCACUCUUAAAGAGAGUUUGAUUGUUGUAUUUUUCAUUUCUCAUUAAAUUGUGAGAGUACAAGUGUGAGAAACACUUGGAGUGAAGAGAUUGGAGAGAUAAUCUCUUGUUGUAGAGGUUCAUUGACACCUUAAAGUCAAUUGUAAACAUUUGAAGCCUUGGAAAGGCUUGGAUAGUGAAAUCCUCAAGCCCGGUGUGGUUGGAGGCGUGGACGUAGGCGGGGAUUGCCGAACCACGUAAAAAUCCUUGAGUUUGCUUUCUCUUCCCUUACUCAUUUAUUAUUGUGCUUUCAUUGAAUUUAUUGUUUUCGAAUUUAUUAAGGCAUUAGAUUGGAUUUGUGUGGUUUGCUUUACUUAAUUUUUAAAAUUCUAAUUCACCCCCCUUCUUGGAUUGCCUAGUUAGUAUUUCACAUAUCCAUGCAAGUGUAUCCAACAACUGGAUGCAACUAUGGUAAGGUACCACAGUUGCACCGUAGCCGGACCCUAGAAAUUAAGAUAUUAUCUCUCUACAUAUUUUUGCACGAAAUAAUAUGCAAAUAUAAUAUUUUAGUUUAUUAUUAAUAGUUUUACAAUAAUAAAAAUCAUUUUGAUAGACUGGAAAAUGUCGUAUUCGCACUUUAUUUUGUACGAACGUCUGCGAGAAAGAAUAUAUCUAUAUAUAUAUAUUGGAACAUGUAUUUAAGAUUUAGCUAGUGUGAAGUUGGGAAAGUUUUUUUUUUUUUUAACCCAGGCUAAAAAUAUUUCAAUAAAUUUUGAUCAUGGAGACUAAUAAGAUUUUUUUGGUUAUAUUUAUUAAUUUUUUAGGGACUGACAUGAAUAUUAAUAUUUUUAUUGAGAUUAUUAAAAAAAUGUGCUAUUUUACAUCUAUGACUUUUCCAAUCUUUUUUUCUUUCGUUAUUUAUUCCUUUGUGAAUUUUAGUUAAUGCUUGAUAUUAUUUGUUUGCUCAUUUUUUAAAGCAGUAAUUAAAUCUGAACCCUUACAGUAGAAGAUUAUGAAAAAGUAAAGACACAAAAAUCAUAAAAAUCAUUGUAGGUCCAAAUUUGUGCUAUUUUCAUACAUAAUUUGAGAAUAUUUAUAAUUACGCAUCACAACUAGUGGAGUAGAAUCAGGGAAAUUAAACAUUCUACAAUCAUUGACGUGUGGGUUGGGGAUAAGCAUAAACCUUUUCUAUGCAGUAUAAAAGAAUGCAAUAACUCCUUUUCUUUCAGCAUUUUCGCAACAAAAGCACAUCUAAUAACUCUUCAGAAUUCUCGUCUUCUUUGUCAGAAUGGUUGAUGCGAUCGUUUCCUCUCUCCUGGUGCAGCUGAGCUCUGUUGCGGCUGAUGAAGUGAAACAACAGGUGAGGCUUGUGACUGGUGUCGAGGAAGAAGUGAAAAAGCUCACCCGCAAUCUUCGAGCCAUUCGAGCUGUGCUGGAAGAUGCAGAGAAAAGGCAAAUGCAGCGCGACAAUGCUGUUACUUUUUGGCUGGAUCAGCUCAAAGACGCAUCUUAUGACAUGGAAGACGUGUUGGAGGAGUGGACCACUGCAAGGCUCAAAUUGCAGAUUGAGGGCGUUGAUGAUGACAAUGCUCUUGCUCUUGCUCCUUAUAAGAAGAAGGUACGUUCCUUCUUUUGUGCUCUAUCAAACUGCUUUGGUAGUUUCAAAAAACUCAGUCUUCGUCAUGACAUUGCCGUCAAGAUUAGGGAAAUCAAUGGAAAGCUAGAUGAUAUUGCCUCCCAAAAAGAUAGGUUUAAAUUUGUUGAGAAUGUGAGCAACAAUGUUAAGAAACCAGAGCGAGUGCGAGCCAUCCCCUUGAUUGAUGAGAGAGAGGUUUGUGGUAGAGUUGAUGAGAAAAAUGAUCUCUUAAGCAAGCUGCUGUGUGAAAGUAGUGAACAACAAGAAGGCCUUCAUGUCAUCUCACUAGUUGGGUUAGGGGGUAUAGGUAAAACCACUCUAGCACAACUGGCCUAUAAUAAUGAUGAGGUGAAAAGAAAUUUUGAAAAAGUUAUAUGGGUGUGUGUAUCAGACACUUUUGAGGAGAUUAGGGUCGCCAAAGCAAUCAUUGAAGGUCUAGGCGUGUCAGCUUCUGGUUUAAGUGAAUUCGAAUCUCUUAUGAAACAGAUUCAGGAAUAUAUUACGGGGAAGAAAUUUUUUCUUGUUUUAGAUGAUGUGUGGGAUGGAGAUUACAAAAAAUGGGACCCAUUCUUUUCUUGUCUAAAGAAUGGCCACCAUGAAAGUAAAAUUCUAAUUACCACACGUGAUAGGUCAGUUGCACUACAGUUGGGAUCAAUAGAUAUUAUCCCUGUCAAGGAGUUGGGAGAAGGGGAAUGUUGGUUACUGUUUAAGCAGAUGGCAUUUCUACGUAGGUCCUUUGAGGAUCGUGAAAAAUUAGAACCAAUCGGGCGAAAAAUUGCACACAAGUGCAAAGGCUUGCCUCUUGCUGCAAAGGUAAUAGGGAAUCUUUUGCGCUCUAAAAGUACAGUAAAAGAGUGGCAAAGAAUUUUAGAGAGUGAAAUGUGGAAAGUAGAAGCAAUUGGGCAAGGUCUUUUAGCUCCUUUGUUGUUGAGUUAUAAUGAUUUGCCCUCCAAUUCUAUGGUAAAACAAUGUUUCUCAUAUUGUGCUGUCUUUCCAAAAAACUACAAUAUGAAUAAAGAGGAACUAAUUUCACUAUGGAUGGCUCAAGGUUAUCUUAAUACAGAAGAAGACGAAGAGAUGGAGAUGAUUGGGGAAGAGUAUUUCAACAUUUUAGCAGCACGCUCUUUCUUUCAAGAGUUUAAAAAAGAUGAUGAUGAUGAUAUUAUGAGCUGCAAGAUGCAUGACAUAGUACAUGAUUUUGCCCAAUUUGUAAGUAGAAAAGAAUGUUUGUGGGUAGAAAUUAAUGGUACCAAAGACUCAGUCAUAAACUCUUUUGGUGACAAAGUCCGUCACUUAGGGUUAAAUUUUCAAAGAGGCAUUUCAUUUCCUAUGUCCAUUCGUGGACUUAAUAGAUUGCGUACCCUUUUAAUUUAUGAUAGAAGUGAUUUCAAUCUGUCUCUUAGUAGCAUCCUUUUGUCUUUUAGUAGUAGCAAAGAAUGUUUAAGGGCAUUAGUUAUAAGGCUGUUGCGCCUAUGUUUUUGUCCAAACACAUAUAAGAUUAGAGAAACUCGAAAGUUAUUUAGUAAAUUGGCCUGUUUGAGGGCAUUAGUUAUAAGGGAAUCAUUAGUUAUAAGGCUUUCAUCCACGCCUGUUCGUCUUCACUCAAGUUUGAUUAGAGAAAUUCCAAAAAAUGUCGGAAAAUUGAUACAUUUAAGAUAUCUUAAUUUGUCUGAAUUAGGCAUAGAGAGACUACCUAAGACUUUGUGUGAAUUAUAUAAUUUACAAAAGCUAGAUAUUAGGCGGUGCCGAAAUCUUAAAGAAUUGCCAGCGGGGAUUGGGAAGUUAAAGAACAUGAGGAGUUUACUGAAUGGUGAAACUGAUUCGUUGAAAUACAUGCCAGUAGGGAUUUCCAAAUUAACCAGUCUUCGAACAUUAGACAAGUUUGUGGUGGGUGGAGGUGUUGAUGGUAGCAAUACGUGUAGGCUUGAAUCUCUGAAAAAUCUUCAACUCCUUCGAGAAUGUGGAAUAGAAGGGCUGGGUAAUGUGUUAUAUUUAGAUGAGGUCGAGAGAUUACAACUUUACAAUCAGCAAAACCUCCUUCGUUUGCGUCUUGAGUUUGGUAGAGUCGUAGAUGGGGAAGAUGAAGAAAGGAGGAGGAAGAAAGAGAAAGAUGAACAACUUCUUAAAGCCUUACAACUGCCUUUGAGUGUAGAGAAAUUAGGGAUUAUAUUAUAUGGAGGCAACAUUUUUCCCAAAUGGUUGACUUCACUGACCAAUCUAAGGAAUUUAUAUCUUCGCUCGUGCGUUAAGUGUGAGCAUUUGCCUCCUUUGGGAAAAUUGCCUCUGGAAAAACUCGUAAUCAUCCACUUGAAAAGUGUAAAAAGAGUGGGUAACGAGGUUUUGGGAAUAGAAGAAAGCAGUGAGGAUGGCCCGUCUUCAUCUUCAUCACCACCAUCAGUUAUUGCCUUCCCCAAAUUGAAAUCACUCAUAAUUGGGGCAAUGGAAGAAUUGGAAGAGUGGAAUUACAGGAUUACGAGGAGGGAAAACAUCUCUAUCAUGCCACGUCUUUCUUCCUUGGAAGUUCGUUCUUGCAACAAAUUGAAGGCGCUGCCGGAUUACCUUCUUCGAACGUCGACGCUGCAGGAAUUGACUAUUGACAAAUGUCCUCUUCUGGAAAACCGUUAUAGAGAGGGGAAAGGAGAAGACUGGCAUAAGAUAUCUCGCAUUCCCCACAUCAAGUGGUCGCGGUAAUUUAUCACUCGCCGGUAAUUUCUCCUGCUCCUCUGAUUUACUUCGUUGUUGCUUGCAAUGAAAUUAAUAAAAAUAAUUAUAUUUUGAAUUAAAAUUCUAUAUAGAAUCAAUCAUGGUAUAAAUACGUAAAACUUCCUAGUUAUCAAAUCUGUUAAACUUGUUUUCUAAAGAUUAAAUAAAAAAAAAAUACAAGUGUAGUCUGUUUAAAUUUCUAUAUUUAUUUGUUUUUAAAAAAUAUGUGCUCUUUUGUAAAAUUUCAUGCAAUGUAAUUUAUUUUUUAAUGUACGAAAAUUUGUUAUGUGUAACAAAAUCUCUGUGAUACGUUUGCAGUAAUGUUGAAAACUAAAUUAUCAAUUUUAUCUUAUAUAAUGAUAAUCGUAUUUUUUUAUAUAUAAUAUACGUGACAUUAAUUCUUUAAAGUAAUUGUGUAAUUGUUUUUAGUAGUACAUUAGCCCACUUUGUUUUAUUUCAUACUUGUUUAAUUAUGUUCACCAGGGAUUCGAGGAAAUGUCAGAACUACACUAGCAAUUCACAGGUCCAAUCUAAUUUGGUUUUAAUGAUGCGGGCAGGAGAGCAAGACUAUGAAAAUGAGAAGUUUAGCCAAAGGAUUGCUAAAAUGUUCUGCUGGUAAUUCACUUGCUUUAUUUUAUAGAAUUUCAUUUCCAUCUUCUUCUAUUGAUAUCUUGUUGUAAUAAACAAGAACAGAGAAGUAAAUAUAUAUAUCAAAAUUUACUAUUACGAUGAUGCUAAAGCAAGCUCAAGCUCAAGCACUGCAUUUUUAUUUUAUUUAAUUUAUAGAAUUUUCAUUUCCACCUGCAUUGCAUUUUUAGGUUGACUUUGAAGACUCUAUGGAGAAAAUUGGGGUAACCAAGGAUUAUCACUGUGGUUAUUGUGCAACGUUUGGUUGCUGGACUUUGAAGAAGGAAGUGAUGGCCGGGUCUGCUCUGUUUCAAUUGAGGAUGGAUAGCUGCCUGAAAGACAUGAUGAUUAUUAUCAUUGCAUGAUGUUAAGGUGCUAAGAUCAUCAUUUCGAUCUUGUUUCAUUCUUGGAAUCAUUUAUCCUGUAUAAACAUUUGUUUUAACAAAUGUUUCAAUGCCUGCUGUAGUAACAAUUUCAUCUCUUGCAUCUCUCGGGUGCAUCAUGAUCACGGGUUUGAGAAAGCAUUUGUGGUAAAGCUUCAAAGCUUGUACAAUGGCUGUGAAAAGGCACAUUCAAUUCGGUACGUUUGGUGCGGUCUCCUAAUGCUACUACCAUAUUUUGUAUAGCAAUUAAAAUUCAGGUAUACAAUCUUAAUAUGCAAUAAAUCAUUGAGUACAAAGUUAUCUAUUAAUUAUAUGGUAACUGAAAUUUUCAUUAUAAUUUUAAUUAUCAUAUUAAUAUUAAAGUUUUUUGUAACCCUCUUUUACUUUGCUUGUACAGAGUAUCUGUUUUGGCUGAUAUGUCUAAUUCGUAGCAAUUCAUUUCCAUCGGUUUCCAUUGGUUUUAGCACAAACAGAAACAAAAAUCUGGGGAAAAAGUUUUACUUCUUCUGGUAUUAUGCCUUUAUUUAUUCAUUCAUCAUAUUUGUUCGAAUUCAUGCUCUCAUUCAGAGAGCAGCCUUUUCCAGGCUACUUUGUAGCCAAAUUUUCAUGCCAUCGAUGCAUGAUUGUCAUUUAGAUUUUCCAAAUAAUUGUUAGAUUGAAGAAGAAUAAGAAGAUAUUGUUAAAAGGGUAUUUAAUUAGCACCCUCUGAAUUUAGUUGCCAAUAAUGCAUUGAAAUGGUUGGGGAAAGUUAUUGUCUCAAUUAAAUUACAGGUGACAAGAUGCUGCUCCAAUUUUGCAAGCAUCUCGUGUUUCGAGAUUUUGCCCACAUGAGAUGCUAUGAUUUUUGACAUCAGGGUAACAAAGGUCAAAUUUUAGCAUCAAUAGAUAUCAUCUUCUUUACUGUUCUGCUCGAAAUAUUAAACUUUAGGCAAGUUGUUUUUGUUUGUGUGAGUUAUCAGGUUAAGGAUACUAAGCAGCUUAUUAAGGCAAAUGUCAGAAUGAAGAUUUUUCACCGCACCUGGUAUGAAUGAUGGCGAGGAAGAUUAAUUGUUCACAAGCCAAUUUGAUCAGUGUUAGAUUCUUUUGCCUCCCUUCAAGAGAUAUCAUCAUCAAAUUUGAGAAGAGACUUUUGUUUUGACAUUUCACUGUAGUGAAUUUUGGGAGCUUGAACCCACUUGAGUGAAAUAUUAGGGAAUACUGGGGAUAUGGGUUAUGAGUGAUCGUUAUCCUUCAAAUAUUUGUAAGCUCUCACUUGUUAGUAAAAUCAUCUUCGUAUAUUGACUUUGUUUCUUUGUUGUCAGGCCGAGUGUGAUCUUCAAGGUUUGAGAAAGUCUUCGCAGUAAAAUUUCCACCACGUGCAAUUGCUGUGAAGGGGCAUAUACAUUUGAGUAAUUCAGUUUCAGAUUUUCAAGGCGCGUUUGUUUAAUUAGUUUCGAUUAUAAUAUUUAGUCACUCAUUCUGAAUCUUUUCUAAUUUUCAAGUUCUUUAGGGCCGCCAACAGUUUUUCAAGUCUACAUGUGGCUGCAAAAAGAUUGAUGGUCAUCAAAUUAUCUUGAGCCUUGAGGCAUUGCGUUCGAGCACAAAAGGAAACAGAACUAAGGGAAAUGAAGACAGUAGGAGAUGCUCUGAAUAUAACAAAAGUAUAUUUCUACUUCUUGUGGUUAUUUUAAUUUUGUUUAUCCUGUCAUCAUAUUUAAUUAAUUCGUUUGAAUUCACACUCUCACACAUUAUUUAAAACCAUCUGCAGGUGGUUUGCAAGCUAGCUAAGUUAAUGCAAAAACAAUACUCUAGACAAAGAUGAGCAAAUUGAAGGCGACAAAUGCAAAUUGGAUUUCAAUGAAUAAUUGUUAGGCUGGUGGAGAUAUUCUUAAAAGGGCAUUAAGCUAUCUUAUGGAAUUGGAAAGUUAUUAUUGCUUGAAAGCAAGCAGCAUCUUCGUUGCGAAGGCUUUCCCCACCUGAUAAAAUGCUGAGAUUGUUACCGGCCCCUUAAUUAUUUAUUAACUCAGGUAUUUAUUAUCAAUACAUCAUCUUAUUCACCAUUUUGGCUAUAUAUAAAGAUUAAAAUUUCUAACAGUUGUUUCGGAUUCUUGUGUACUCAGGUUAAUAGGGCAAAUAUCAGAAUGAAGAUUGCUCAGUGCAACCGAUAGAGCAAGGAUGAUAGUUGUGAGAAAGAUUGUUGGCAAGACAAAUAGAGCCCUCCAUUUGGAGAAAUAUCAUCCUCAAAUUUGAAUUGUCGAGCAUGUGAGGUGAAUCUAAAGCCUUAAUAAUGAGACCUUCCUGUGGAAGUUUCAUUUGAAUGAAUUGAACGUUCUUACUGAGUGAGAAAUUAAGUAUAUAUCAUCGAUUUUGGUCGUCUGUGAAUGUUUUCCUUCAAUAUUAAUACACUAGCAUUUCUUAGUAAAUUCACUUCACGUCACUUCCUCCUUGUUGGUGGGACUAGUAAACAAAUGUCAUUUCUUAGUACAUUUUGAGAAUUUUGAUUCCCAAAUAAGCCUGCAGAACGGUGUAUGGUGGGAUUAGCUGCAGGAUUCUUUGCCAAAAUUCCUUUUUAUUCCUUUGUUCACUUAUUCGUUAUAAAUAAAGUAAAAUUAGAAUAUUGUUCCGUUUACUGUCUAAGCUGGUCUAACAUUUGUUUAAUUUGGGCAAUUUUUAAUGCCUAACAGGUUAUCUGUGACAAACCCAUCGGUGAGUGUAUGCAACUAUUGGAUGGAUUUGAUAGAGCGGUCACCAACAAUUUUGAAGUUAUUGGAGUAGCAUGGCUUGGAGGUCUCUCCCUCCCUCUUUUACGUAUUUGUCUAUUGAUUGACAUGUCUAUAUAUACAUUGAUAGACCAACCUACUCUGGUUUUAAUGUUUUGUUUGUUAAACUUUGACUGGGGAAUGUUUAUUUGUCUCAUAUGAUGUCAAUGUGGUUCCUAUUGAAGUGUAUAGAUCUGUCACCUCAAAGUCUGAUUUCAAUUUUCCUUUACUUCAUCAACUAGCAUCGUUUCCAAGUCCAGAUACUUACCAAUAGUGAGACUUUUCUACGGAAGUACAAUUUCUCUUGUUUUACAGUUAAUUAUGUAAGAAAAGUUUUACAUUUACAGAAUUCUGGUAUAGCUCUCUUAAGGAAAUGCGAGUGGUGAAUAUGGUUCCAACUUUUAAUAGGCUUAAUAGGCCCAUUUGUUAAGCCACAGUGAUUGCGGUCUAAAUUCUUCUUUACUGUCUAUAUGUGUUGGAGUUUGUCUAUUGUCCAACUUCUCAAAUCGAUUCCAUGCAGGGUUUUGAAUGUCUAAUUAGGAGAAAGAUUAACGGAUGACCUUUUGAAGAAGGCUUACACAACAGGCCAUCUCAGGAUGUCAUGGCUCAGCUCAAAAGUCCCCAGGUGGUUGAUAUCAAAGAAUGCCAUUGUUUCUGGGCUUGGUCUCCUUGGCAUCAAACAAGAUAAUGUUGACUCUAUUAAAGGGGAAAUAAGGGCGACUAAAGCGCGAAGAAAGAGGAUAGUCCGGAGGAAGGUGACUGCAUAAAUUUGUUGGAGUUAAUGUAGUCAAUUGCCCAAUUUUGCUGCCUGUCGAAGAGACACAUCAUGGAAGUCCUCAUCAAACUCUGAGACACCUAAGAAAUAGUAUGAGGUGGUGGUAUUCCCCUGGUGUUAAUUUCCUGGCAAGUGUGGUUCACAGAUAGAGGGAUUCUUUUCUUGAUGUCUAAAUACCGUAUGUGAUACAACGUCGUAUAUUCUAAUUUUCCUUGAGUUAAAUUCUAGUCAGUUAGGAAAGUUAAUUUUGUUUUCGCUAUGGAUUGUUUCCUAGAUAAUAAUAGUUUCCAUGUUUCUUUGGGGUCUUAUUAACUCUCUGUAACCCAGUUCAAGUUUGCAAAUUCUAUUUCAGAUUUCUCAUAUAGUGUGCCUUUGUCACUUCUGUGAUACACUUUUGAUCACAAGUUUCCAUUUGAAGUAACCAAUAUUCUUUAUAGACUAAUUAUCUAAGGAUUAUUUUAUACAAAAAAAUCAAAACUUUAAUUAAUUGAUCAUACUUAACUUGGCUUUUGUUUGAUAUUACUAGCUGUUGUGAGAACCAAAAAAAUAGCAGAAAGUUGACAAUGUGCAGUAAAUGUAUGACUUUUAAAUAAUAAUUUAAUAAAAUUAAUAAAGAUAUUAUAAAUUUUUUAAUAAUAAAGUAUGAGAUCAAAUCAAAUUAAUUUUUAAGUCAAAAUUGUUUAAUUAUGUAGUUUAAAAGUAUAGUUAUCCAACCUCAACACAAUAGAGAGAUUUCUAUUUACCAAACUCUACCCAACUUUGGUUGUACUGACUCGAUCAUGCAAGUCCAUACUCGACGCGUUGACCAUACAAGAUGUUACUCAACUUUAACAAAUCUUACUCAAACUUUGCACGUUUAGCAUGCCGAAUGGAAUAUGAUAGUAGAUGAUGUGAUAGAUAUUAUAGGAAUAGUCGUAACAAAAUUAUAUUUAGUACUUUUUUAUAUUUUAUGUGAUGAACAGAUGUAGUAUAUGAAUGGAUUAUAUUACAAAUUUUAGUGUUAUCAUAAUUAAAAAAUUGAAUUAUUUUUUAUUAUUGAAAAACUGUAAUAUGUUAAAUAACAGUUAUUUUUAUUAAUUUUUUUUAAUGAAUUAUACUUUUAAAUUGUAAUCGAAAAUUCUUAUUACUGAACUAAUAAAAAAUUAAUUAGCUCAAGAGAUAAAUUCACUUAGUGUAGAACGAAAUGGUGUGUUAUUUUUAUGUGGGAUCCACAUCCUUUCCACAUCAACCUCAACAUCCAAACAUGAAAUUGGACUAAAAAUAGUUCUUUCCCAUGUAUUUACGUAACCUCCUCCCACUAAACGCAAAUAUUUAUUCUUGAUUUUACUAACAUAAUUUUCUCCCAUUUCCAUAUUGUCCGCGUUGAGUGCAUGUAAUCCACAAGUUUAAUUUUUUUUUUUUUUUUAGAGAGGUAUGUUAAAAUGAAUAUAUCACUUUUUUUUCUUUUUUCCUUUUUUUUGUGUGAGUGAUGGCUUCGUUGAAUGACAGUUGGCUGAUAAUAAGUUAUCUUUUAAUUUUGUUUUUGAUUUAAUAGAAAAUAUUAAUUUUUGUAGUUUCGGUAGAUGAAAUUUCGAAUCAAAUAUUAAUAUUGUUAAAGUACGCAACCCAAUAUUUGCUUAAAUUACAAAAAAGAUUAAUUGCUUUGCAUAAAAAAGAAGUGAUCACUUGAUUUAACUUCCUUUACUAAAUUUACGAUUUAAAAUCCAAAAUAAAAAAGAGAGUUUAUUAUUGAUUAUCAUUUUCCCAAAUUUAAGCUAAGACAGUAAUAUGUCCAAAAUACCCUCCACGUUAUCCUAAAACUUUAUGAAUUCCCCCGUUCCUCUCAACAUCAUCUCUUCCAAAUCUUUCUUCCCCAAAAAACCAGCCAUGGCUUCAUAUUUAGUUACCUCAACACUCCAAUAUUGGCUUGUAAACAGCAGCGGUUCAACCUCUAGGCAACUUAGGUGGUUGCAUAGGACUCCGCUUUAUAUGAAAGCCCUACAAGAUGAUUAUUUUGUAUAUAAAAGAGGAAAAUGAAUUUAAAAGUCAUUAUUAUUCAUUUAAUUUAUUAUUAUUUUGUAAUUAUCUUUUUCUAAAUAAACUAUCAAAUUCUUAUCAAGUUUAUUUAAUGUAGUACUUAAUUGUUUUAAUUUCUACAAAACCAAUAAAUUAAUAGUUUCAAUCCUAAAAAUUCUCUAUUUCAUUGUUAGAAUUAAUAAGUUAUAUUUCAAAAGUUUUAUAUUUAUUUUAAACCUCUAUAAAAACCCCACAUUUUAUUACUUAUCCAUUAAAUUUUUCGUUCAACAAUCAAGACAUCUUGGUGUUUGAGAGAAAGAAAGAGAGAGGGAAAAAAAUCUUGCUUCCUCUACUUUCUACUCUAGAAGAAAAAGAAAAAAUCAAAUAGUUUUCUCUAUUUUCUAUGACUAUUGGUUGCUACUCAAAUUUUCAAACAACAGCCUUAAUAUAAACAUAAGUUAAUUUAUGAUUUCAUCUCAAAUUUCUGAUUUUAUCUUUUUAUUAUUCUCUUAAUUAAUUGUGUUGUUAUUUGUUCUUAUUUCUUUUUAUAUAUUCUUUUCUUCAUCUACUUUUUUUGUGCUUGUUUUAUCUAUUUUGAAAUAAAACUAUAUCAAAAAAUUUUAGACAAUAGGAGAAUAAAAAAAUUAGAUUAAUUUAAAAAAAUAGUAAAAAAGAUAUAAUUUAACUUAAAAAAAAGUGAAAAUGUUAUAAUUGAAUUAAAAUUUUAUGACUUAACAACAAUAGAAUAAAUUUGUAUUUAAUAAUUUUAUAUUUUAAAGUAUUUAAAGAAUUAAUUUUUAAUAAAUAAUAUUAAUAUAUAUAUAUAUAUAUAAGUUACUUAUCUCUCCAUCCGCACUUAUCUCUCCCUCACAUUCAUCCUCAACCACACAUCAACAUCAACAUCAACAUCACCUCUCAUUGGACCCCACAUCCUCAAGCCCAUCACAGCCGUCCAUAACCUCACCCUCCUCCUCCUCUCCCUCAUCAUGGCCGUUGUUUGCCCUCUCUCCAUCAUCCUCCAUUUACCGCACCUCCGUUACACCCUCUGUUUCCUCCUUACCAUUUCUCCGUCUGGCACGGCCUAAUUCCGACGGAAUCAACGACGGUCGUGAUGGGUUUUGGCUGCGACUAUUCGCGCUUCAAACGGCGGCGUUUCGGUUGGUUUUUGGCGACAGUGACGGUGGGAAAGUGAUGGCUGGCUCAGGAGCUUUCUUUGCUACCAUCCAUGGCCGGUGAGGUGGCCGAAAAUCGGAUAUAUGUCUGCGUCGGGUUCGCAGUUUUGGGUCGGGUUUUCCGGGUCAGUUUGACAGCUUCCUCUAUCCCUCUCCCCCAUAAAACAUUACCCAGCUUCCUCUUAUUAUUAUUUUUUUUUUCACAUACGUUACAGAACAUUAAUGAGAGAUGUUUAGUAGUAAGGACUAUUUUGAUAUUUCGAUGAGUAGUAAAAACUAAUGUUAAAAUUUUAUAGACGAAUGUAUAGUAAGAUGCUCAAAGUACUAGAACAUAUAUAAAUAAUCCCAGCUCUUAUAAAAUUUUGCCACAUAAUGAGUUUUAUCCCUUAAGCAAAACAUAUCGAUAAAGUAUACAAAAGCACAAUGCAUGAAUGAUGGUCUUACAAAGUUCGAAUAUAAAGUUUAAGAUACAGAAUAUGAUUUAUUUCCUUUUAGUUUAGUUUUUUUUUUUUUUUUUGGUUUCUUUUGAAAGGAGACCAACUAGAUCAUGCAAGAAGUUAAUUUUUUUCUAAAAUAAAAAGGGAGAAAUGAUGGUCUUACAAAGUUCGAAUAUAAAGUUUAUAAUCUAAAAUUAAUGAUGUGACAAUUAACCUAAUGGAGUAAGAAGUCCCAAAUAGAUUAUAUUUUGCUAAAGAAGUCAAUUCUACCAAGAAUACCUCUUUCUAUUGAAUUUAAAUGAUGAUUAUUUGUUUAUAUCAUAAAAGCUAAAAUAAUUGUGUGAGUAAUUUGAUUCUUUUACAGUAUAAAAAUAAAUUCAGAAAAUGUUAGGGAAAGGUCUUACACUAUAAAUGACCAAUAGAAGAAUAGAAAAGAAUUUUAGAUAGUGGAAUGUGGAAGGUAGAAGAGUUUGGGAAAGGUCUUUUGGCUACUUUGUUGUUAAGUUAUAAUGAUUUGUCAUCCAUAAUAAAACAAUAUUUCUCACAUUGUUCUAUCUUUUCAAAAGGUUACAAUAUGUGUAAAGAGAAACUAAUUACACUAUGGAUGGCUCAAAGUUACCUUUAAAUGUAGAAAAAGGCAAAGAGAUGGAGAUCCGAUCCAAUAUGAUAAUAGUAGUUUAUUUUAAUUUUUAUUAAUUUGAUUUCAUAGGAGUAGUUUUCAUUUUUUGUUGAAAAUUGGUAAAAAAAAACUAAAAUGAGAUAAUUACUUUAAAACAAUCUUCAAGAACUAAAAUAAUUAAAAAAACUCAAAAUAAACAAAAAGGCUUAAAAAUAACCCUAAUCCGAAAAUUGUUUGAAUCCAUCCUAACUGGCCCGAAUAUGAUUUUAACCCAAACCCAAUCUAACUCGCUUAUAAUUAUAACCUAAUGCGAUCCAAAUUCAACUUGAAUUUUUGAUCCGAUCUAAUCCAAUUUGAAUAUUCUAACCCUAUCAACCAGAAACCCAAUUAGGUUGAUCUGAACCUACAUUUGUCCACUCCUAGAGGGGAUCAUGACCCUACAAACUUUGAAAGUUUUUUGAGAUUUCUAAGUGAAUAUUAAAAAUUAUGUAUAAAAAGACUGAUUUGACCCCUAAACACUUGAUAUAGAAACUUUAUACAUAUAAUAGAAAUUAAUUUUAUAUUUUGUGAAAUAAAAUCAAAGUAACUGAAUUUUUUAAUUUUUAUUUUGUUAAUUAUUUUUCUACUAUGACAAAAUGACUAAUAGCCUGGUGCCUAGCUCUUUGACUUUUAUUUUGCUAAUUAUUUUUUUUCAUUUCUCUUGCAACAGUAAAUUCAAUUAUCAAUCAAAGUCGCCAAAUCAAAAUCUCUGCAGCCUGCAGCUACAAGCAAACUUCUCAAAUUUCGAAAUUCCUUAUGACUACAUAAUAGCUAUAAAUAGAAAAAGCGUCUAAAAUAACUAUGUUUUCCUAAGUUUGAGCUUGAGCCCCCUGAAGAUUUACUCCAUAUGUAACAAAAUAUUAGUUUUGCUAGUAAAAUUGCUAACUAUGUUUUUCUUUGUAUUUCCGCUCAAGGAUGAAGAAAUUUCCCUAGACUUUUGUGGUGAAUAUCUUACGAACAUAUGACAAUUUAAUCUUUGGCUGAGACUUGUUUAACAUAAGAGAUGACACUUUGAAGCAAUAGGAGAGAGAGCUGAUAAGCUUUGUUCCUAAAAAAAAAACUAUUACUUCUUUCUUUGAACAUAUGCGCAUUCUCUCUAAUUGUUGCAAUGGAGGAAUUUCCCAUCUAAAGAACACUUCAAUCAUCCAUUGCUUUGUAAGAUGUGAAAAGGCUACGAUUCUUGUACACAUACUUGAUUGCACCGGAAUCUAUUCACUAUGCAUUAUCAUGUUUGAGAAUAUUAAUCUCAGAUAUCAUGACCAUAAAUUUUGUCCACAAAAUUUGUGUUCAAACACUUCUUUUCUUUCUUAAGAAGUUGACAGUCUUUUUUAAAGUGGCUUGGCUUUUCACAUUGGCCACAUGUACACUUCUUUUUUUUAUUCUGUUGGUUUGAUUCUAUUUGGAAUCAAACUUUUGCUUUUGGUUAUUAAUGCGGUCAUUAGACUGCUUAAGCUCCUUCUCCUCCUCCACAACAUUAAUUUUAGAGGACAUAGCAGGCUGUUCCUCAAGACUAUUAAGUCUAAGUUUCUAUUCAAUAUGAAGACUUUGCCAUGCCUUCCAAGCUAAUUUCCUCUUUGCUAUAUUUAAGACUUUUUUCAUAGUCUUUUCAAGAGGGGGGAAGUUUAUCAAUAAUUGAAGAAGUGGUGCAGUCAAUUAAAUGAGCGAACUCGAGAAUCAUAAGAGUACAUACAAUAGUGGCUACAAUAAUUAGGCCUGCUUCCUCUCUCACCAGAACAGAACUGACGGCCCGAUCCGAUACCGCCAAAUACAUGACACAACUUAAAAGUAAAUUUUAACUCCCAAGUAUAAGAGUGUCUUGUUGUAUUAUAACUCGGUGAGUCCGAGGUCGAUCCACAGAGAAAAGAUUUAAUUAGUUUAUUUUAUUUUAUCUAAAAAUUGAAAUUAAAACUUGAAUAUAAACAACUUAAUUUAAAUGAAACUAUGGAAUUGAACUAGUUAGGGUUAUGGAUCCACUCUUAGAAAUAAAUAAAACUUAAUAAAUUCUUUUUGCCAAUUUGUUUUAGAUUUAUUACUCAAAAGAUUAAUUAUACAAAUUAUUAUUAUUUUCCCUUUAAUUUUAUGAUGGAUUAAGUAUUUAUUGUGCCAAAAUUUAAUUUGUCUACAAUAAGUCAAAAUACCAUUUCACCAUGCCUUAUAUUAAGAUCUUAAGAAUUUAUUGUGCCAAAUUCAUUUGUUUGUCUACAAUAAAUCAAAUUUUCAAAAUAUAAAACAUGUAUAAAAUUAAAUAGAAAAUAAUUUAAUUUAUAAAAUUAAACAUAGAAUUUGAUUAAAUCAUAUUUAUUUCUUAAGAGUUUCACCUUCCCCUAACUAAUAUUAUUUAGUUAAGCAUAAUUAAAAUAAAAAGAAGUAGUAAAAUUGAAUUACUUAUAAUUAAAAGAAAUAAAAACAACUAAAAUUGGAAAUAAAACUAAUUUUAUUAAUGAAAAUAAUUAUACAAAAUAUUAAAAACACACCUGGAAAUCAAGAUUAUAAGGAGAUGGAGAGAAUUUGAGAAGAAGAGAGUUGUAGAGAGAUGAUUAAAACAUAAAAAUGAGGCUCUAUUUAUAGAAAAAUAAAUUCAUAAUCCAGUGCUUUGCGGUCCAUCAUAGGCUUCAUGCAUGUGCUCCUCACAACCCUUAGAUCAAGAUCCAAUGGCUGGUCAAACUUCAAAAGUCAACAUCACACAUGGCAUCAUUUGACUCGUCCGAUUUACCCAAAGAACGGUUGAGAUUUGGCGGGUUAAUGGAUGGAUCGGGUCGACCCGAAUACAAAGAUUCGGAUCCUCCAACUUGCUUCACCAACCAUUGCCACGUGGCACAAUCAUGGCCAUUGAAUCAUGAACGGUUGAGAUUUAGUCAAGAUUGCCAAUUAUCCCAUGCACUCAUAUCUAUUGUAAGCUCAUUUCAUCAUCCAAUCAGUGCUCGGUCAACAGGAAAAGUCAACUUUUUUUACACAAGCCCAAUUUUAAGCCGAUCUUGACUGAUCUUAAGGUUUUCGGACCUCCGGAAUCCAAAUUUGACCUCUGUUUAUCUGUUUGGAGCCUCGAAAUACGUGAAAUUAAUAUUUUUCCUAAUAAACACAUAAAAAUACACAAAAUUAAAUAUAUUUAAAACAUAAUUAAUAAUUCAUAAUAUAUUACAUAAACGCAAAUAUAAAUUAUAACAUAAGCAUAAAAUAACAUAUUAUCGCUUGAUAAUUAAACAAUUUUUAAUACUAAUCACACCCCCCAACCAGCUUAUUGCUAGCCCUCUAGCAAUUAAAGCGUUAUAUUAAGAUUUAUAAAAUUCACAUGCAAGUUAAUAGUUGUUCAUCUAUCCUCUAAAUUACCAAAUAAAUGAACUCUCCCAAAUUCCUUUACCACAUUGAUGUUCACUCAUUAUCCAGAAUAUCAUCAAACCUUCUUUUGUGCUCAAGUAAUUAACACAAUACUUAUGGGGCUUCAUUAAAAGAAAAACAACAUUUUCGUUCUAAAAUUCAUUAGAAAUUAUAUCUUUAGGCAAUAGAUUAUUCACACAUUUUUUUUUUAUAUUACAUUUCUAACCCGUGUAGCGAGCUUUAGGUCAAUGACUCCCAGACCAGUUGGCCUUAGGGCACUAGGUGUUGAAGCACCCCUACGGACUUAAUUACUCGGGUUUCUAAUAAACAAACAAUAUAUCUAUUACCCAUGUAGCGAGCUUUAUGCCAGUGACUCCCAGACCAGUUGACCUUAGGGCACUAGGUGUUGAAACACCCCUACGGACUUAAUUACUCGGGUUUCUAGAUAUAACAAAAUUAAAAACAUUUUUUCUUCUUCUUUUUUUUUGAUUUUUUUUUUUUUUUGGUUUUUUUGUUUUUGGAAAUAUACACUUUCUACUACCUUAGAUACUAUUCCUAAUAAAUCAAAAGAACUAAAUGCUGUAAAACUUUAACUUACAACCCACUAGUAUGUGUCAUAGUGUGUGUGUGAAGAAUGAUUCAAUAAUACCUGUUAAAUGAGUAAACAAUUAAAUAACUUAAUAACCAAGUGGAGAGUUCACAAAUUUGAGUAAUUCAAAGAAAAGGGAACAAAAACAACUUACUAUGAAUCUCAAAAUCAAAAUAUAAUACAACAAGACUAUUAGGAUGCGUCUCAAAAGUCGUGACUCUUUACACGGCCAUCCUAGACAAAAAACAAAUUUUUUUUUUUUGGUUUUUUUUUUUUUUUUAACAAAGAAAAGAAAAGAGAAAAGAGAAAAACAACACACAUAUUUAAAACAUACGUCAAUUAUCCCCACCCCACAACCUAAUCUAAACAUUAUCUUAACAUUUUAUAAUUUUACAGAUAUGCAAAAAAAUAAAAAUAAAAGAGAAUAAUAAAAGAAGAAGAAGAAGAGAUCUCACCUGAACUUGAUGCAGAAGCUUAAAAGCAAAUAACAAAGAUGAAGAAAGAGUCAAUUUUUUUUUUAACAACACCCUUAAGAUUAAGAAGAUGCGUUUCUAGAGAGACUACAUUCUCUAUAUCCUGCCAUCUUCGACUCAAAUUUGUCCUAAGUUAGUCUUUACAGAAAAAAAAAAUUUUUUUUUUUUGUUUUUUGUUUUUUUUUUUUUUUUGUAAACACAUAACCAGGACUAAGACAUUCCACAAUUAUCAACUAUUCCCUCCCCCCAACCUGAAAAAGACAUUGUCCUCAAUGUUUUAAAAGGAAAGAGAAAGAGUGUAGAAGACAUCACAUGAACACUACAACAGAAAAUAUUUACAAACGGAGAGUUAAAUCUAAAUCGCACUUCUUAUUACUGCUACUGUUACCGUUACCGUCAUUAGUCGACCAAUUCAGUGCAACAGUCUGUGGAUCUGGCUCUGGUGUAUAAGCUUGCAAAAGAUCAAGUAACUCAUUAGCAGUAGAAGCAGAGAUAAAGAGUUUUUUUACAGAAUGUGGAACAAAAUGAUUCUUUAUUGCAUGGUUAAUAAAAGUUAGCAAGCCGUCAUAAAAAUUAUUAACAUUUAACAAACCGAUGGGUUUUUGAUGAAUGUUCAAGUGGGCCCAAGAUGCAAAUGUAAUUAGUGCCUCAAAAGUUGCAAGAUCUCCUGGCAAGAAAAUAAAAGCAUCAGCAUGAUUCAUCAUUUCAGAUAUUCUCUCUUGCAUACUUGAUACCACUAAUUCUUCUCCAAUUGGUGGGCCAGACAUGCACACUAGCGGUUUCAUGGGUUUUGGGAUAAUGCCGAGUACUUGGCUUCCUCUGGUAAAAACAGCUUCUGAGACAAGUCUUGAUAACCCUCGUUCACCUCCUCCAUAUACAAGAUGCAGUUUCCUCUCUGCUAUGACACGACCAAGAUCUACAGCUGCCUGAACGAACUCUUUGUACUUUCCAUAGUGAAACCCAGAAAGCACACAAAUAUUUUUGAAUUGUUUACUCGAAGAUGAUGCCAUUGGACUAAUUUUUCAAAAACAAGUUGUGAGUGUUUGAAAAAUGAGCUCAUAUUUAAAGAUCUUGGUAACAUAAAUAAUGAGAAACAGCUGUAAAUGGGUUGGCAAUAUUUGUCAAAUGACGAGUAAAGCUCGUGGCUCAAUAAUUCAAAAACAAACAGUAAAAAGAAAGUAAUGAUUAGAAAAAGCAAACAGUAAAAGAAAACCAAAUAUUUAUUAAAUACAAAAUCACAUCGCUAAAUGCAAUAAUGCAAAUGAUAAAAUAACAGUAAAAUAAAAUAACAGUGAAGUGAAAGGAUAUUUACUGGUAGUUGUGAUUGUGGCUCACAUCUUCCUCUGGUUUUACGUCCAGUAACGGCUUGAACGCCCUCUAUGGGUCGAGGAUCGGCUUCCCAUCCAGUUUUCUUAUAAACUGGCAAACAGGGUCUUUUUGAGUCAGAUUCCCAAGACUUAACUGUGCACUUUGUUUUUGGAAUAGUAUCCACAAAUUGUAAAUCUCACGUUGCACAAUUCCGCUUCGAUGCGUCUCAAGAGAUCGUAAGAUAUCAUCCAACGAUUCUUUACUCAUGCCAUCUUUAACGAAUUUAAUUUUAUCUUCACGAGUAUCAGAAACCAUUCCUAAAGAUUUACAAUCUGGUCGUUUGCAACCAAGUCUCACACAGUUAUGACAUUUUGAGCCAAGUCGUUUAGCUCUCCUUUUCUUAGCAAACGUACUUUUACCAAAACCAGGCAUGUAAGAAACAAAUUGACCAGAAAAUUCACCUGCUAAUCGGACCUUUGCUUCAAUUAACCAACGAAUGUCAGAAGGAAUGCCAUUGAUCAUUAACAAACGCAGUCGUUCACAACGAGCUUUGUAAAUUUUCCUGAGGGCAUUCUGAGGGAGAGAGGGAAAAUGCUUAUGGAGUUUAUGUUGUAUUUCUUCCAUGUAUGAUUUUGGGGUUUCAGUUAUUGUGGGAAACUGAAGAUACCGACUUAAAAAGUCACGGAGUACCGUUAUCCGCCAUUUAUACGGGAAAAUAAAUCAAAACACACCAAAAUCAAAUCUGCAAAAUCAAAUCAAGCGUGAAAGCGAGCAAAAAGAAGCACACAAUAUAAAAGGAAAAUGAACUUACAUUCGUCCUCUCAUUGAGUUAACCUCAAGCUCCAUUUGAAAUUCAUAUAUGCCACUCUCUACUGUUCUGAGUUGUCCCUCUAGAUCCUCAACAUAGGACACGAAUUCUGGUGGUUGCAGAUCCCAAAGUGGAUGUGAUUUACAGCUUUGUAUCAGGCCUCUUAAGUGAAAUUUUAUACGCCGAAAUCUUUUAAGAUGUGCGAACAGGUAUUUUCUCAUUGAGGUGCUCAUGAUGUAAAAUGAAAAUUGAUGAGAGAAUGUACAACUGUCAAACAAACACGCUUACACAAGAAAAACAAUGUUAAAAAAAAACUAUGUACAGUGCAUCAAUCUAAGGAAAAAAAAAAGUCAAACAAUGAAACGGUAAAAUAAUAGUAAAACAAAAAAAAAUCAUUAAAAACUUAAUCAAGAACUGGUGGGUCAUCCAAAUUAAUUUCGGUGUCCUCGUCACGUGGGUGAUGUUCCAGAUAUGGUUUUAAUCUUUGACCAUUAACUUUAAAUGUGACACCAUUAUUUGGAUUCUCAAUUUCUAUGGCCCCAUAUGAAUAUACAUUUUUUACAACAAAUGGGCCACUCCAUUUUGACUUUAACUUUCCUGGAAAUAAAUGAAGACGAGAAUUAUAAAGCAACACUUUUUGACCAAUCUCAAAUGUUUUUCGAAAAAUUCUUUUAUCAUGAAAUGCUUUUGUUCUUGCCUUAAUAAUUCUUGAAUUUUCAUAUGCAUCAUUCCUUAAUUCCUCAAGUUCAUUCAAUUGCAAUUUUCGCACAUUACUAGCAUCAACCAAAUUUGAAUUAAAAGCUUUAAUAGCCCAAAGUGAUUUAUGUUCAAGUUCAACAGGUAAAUGACAAGGUUUACCAUAAAUUAACCGAUAGGGUGACAUUCCUAAUGAUGUUUUAAAUGCAGUGCGGUAAGCCCAAAGUGCAUCAUUAAGUCUAAGAGACCAAUCUUUUCGGUUUGGGUUAACCGUUUUUUCCAAAAUUUGUUUUAUCUCCCUAUUUGCUAAUUCAACUUGACCAUUUGUUUGAGGAUGAUAAGGGGUAGCAAUUUUAUGUGUAAUUCCAUAUUUCUUCAUUAAAGACUCAAAUGACUUAUUACAAAAAUGCUUACCUCCAUCACUGAUAAUGGCUCGAGGGAUUCCAAAUCGACUUAAAAUGUUUUCUCUUAAAAAUUUAAUCACAGUUUUACUGUCAUUAUUUCGACAAGAAAUUGCUUCAAUCCAUUUUGAGACAUAAUCAACUGCAACUAAUAUAUACACAAAUCCAAAAGAUGAUGGAAAUGGACCCAUGAAAUCAAUUCCCCAACAGUCAAAUAUUUCAAUUUCAAGUAUGGGAUUUAAGGGCAUCAUGUUUCUUUUUGUAAUUGAUCCCAAUUUUUGACAUUUUUCACAACUUUUGCAAAAUUCAUAUGUGUCUUUAAACAUGGUAGGCCAAUAAAAUCCACACUGCAAAAUUUUAGCAGUAGUUUUUCUUGAAGAAAAGUGACCACCACAUGCUUCAGAAUGACAAAAAUUAAUGACACUACUUACCUCAUUAUCAGGAAUACAUCGCCGAAAAAUUUGAUCUGGGCAAUAUUUGAACAAAUAAGGAUCAUCCCAAUAAAAUUUCUUUACUUCAACAAAAAAUUUCUUCUUCUCUUGAGCAUUCCAUUGCAAAGGCAUUUUACCUGUAACAAGAAAAUUAACAAUAUUAGCAUACCAUGGCAUUGAAGUAACAGAAAAUAAAAAUUCAUCAGGGAAAGAAUCAUUUAUGGGUGUUAUAUCAUUGCAGAAUUCGGAUGUGAGUCUUGAUAGAUGAUCAGCAACAACAUUUUCAGCACCCUUUUUAUCUUUGAUGGUAAGGUCAAAUUCUUGUAGUAACAAAAUCCAACGAAUUAGUCUCGGUUUGGCAUCCUGUUUACUCAUCAAAUAUCUCACAGCAGCAUGGUCAGUAAACACAACAGAUUUAGAGCCAAGCAAAUAUGAACGGAAUUUGUUUAAUGCAAAUACCACAGCAAGUAAUUCUUUUUCAGUUGUAGAAUAAUUCAUUUGAGCACUAUCCAAAGUCUUGCUCGCAUAAUAAAUCACAAAAGGCUUACCAUCCCUUCUUUGUCCUAAAACAGCACCAACAGCAAAAUCACUUGCAUCACACAUUAAUUCAAAUGGCAAAGACCAAUCAGGAGAUUGCAUAAUAGGUGCAGAUGUUAAAAGACAAAUUAUUUUUUCAAAAGAUUUUUGGCAAUCAUCAUUCCAUUCAAACGGUGCAUCUUUUAAUAAGAGGUUACAAAGUGGUUUAGAUAUGGCACUAAAGUUUUUUAUAAACCUCCUAUAAAAUCCUGCAUGUCCUAAAAAGGAUCGCACAUCUCUAACUGUUUUUGGUUGUGGCAAUUUAGAUAUGACUUCGAUUUUUGCUUUGUCAACUUCAAUUCCUUUAAUAGAAACAACAUGACCCAAAACAAUUCCAGAAGUAACCAUGUAGUGACAUUUUUCCCAAUUCAACACGAGUUCUUUUUCAACACAUCUUUUUAAAACUUUCUCCAAAUUAUCAAGGCAAUCAUCAAAAGAAUUCCCAAACACAGUCAAAUCAUCCAUAAAGACCUCUAAACAAUGUUCAACCAUAUCACAAAAAAUGCUUAACAUACAUCUUUGAAAUGUUGCAGGAGCAUUACAAAGCCCGAAUGGCAUUCUUUUAAAUGCAAAUGUUCCAAAAGGACAUGUGAAUGUGGUCUUUUCUUGGUCCUCAAGUGCUAUAGGAAUUUGAUAAUAACCUGAAUAUCCAUCUAAAAAACAAUAGUAUGGAUGUCCUGCUACUCUUUCUAAGAUUUGGUCAAGGAAUGGUAAUGGAAAAUGAUCUUUUCUAGUGGCUUCAUUUAAUUUUCUAUAAUCAAUGCACAUGCGCCAACUAGAUGUAAUUCGUGUUGGAAUUAAUUCACCUUUUUCAUUUUUAACAACAGUGAUUCCAGAUUUUUUAGGCACUACUUGUGUAGGACUUACCCACUUACUAUCAGAAAUAGGGUAGAUAAUUCCCACAUCAAGUAAUUUAAGGACUUCUAUUUUGACUACCUCUUUCAUGUGUGGGUUUAUCUUCUUUGAGGUUGUUGACAUAUUUUAGCAUUUUCUUCCAAAUUAAUUCUAUGUGUGCAGAUUAAGGGAUUAAUGCCUUUAAUGUCAUUUAAAGUCCAUCCUAUUGCAUUUUUAUGCUUUUUAAGAACAGUAAGUAACUUACCUUCUUGGUCGCUUGUUAAAGUAGAAGAAAUCACAACAGGAUAAGUUUGUUCUUCUCCAAGAAAAGCAUAUUUCAAUCCUUCAGGCAAAGGUUUCAAUUCCAUUUUAGGCGCUUCUUGUUGUUCUAUCUUUUCAAUACUUCCAAGCUCCUCAAAUUUUGGCUCGUCAUCAUAAUUUUGCGAAGUCUGCAUAGAAUCAAGCAACGAAUUUAUAUUAGAAAUAUCAAGUUUAAGUUGCUUAUUUGACUCAAUUGAAUUAACUAAACAAACAUUAGAAAGUUCAGAAAAAUCCCCUUUUUGAAUAUUUUCCUCGAUACAAGAUUCAAACAAUUCCUUUUGUUCAUCAGUAUCAUCUUCAUUCUCAUUUUCUUCAUUAGGUUGCCUGCACAUGUUGAAAACAUUCAAUUCCAAAGUCAUAUUCCCAAAGGAUAAAUUCAUUAAACCAUUCCUACAAUUAAUCAAAGCAUUAGCAGUUGCUAAAAAUGGUCGACCUAAAAUUACAGGAAUUGGUUUGUAAUUAUUCACAACAGGUUCAGUUUCCAAGACAAUAAAAUCCACAGGAUAAAUAAAUUUAUCAACUUGUACUAAAACAUCUUCCACUAUUCCUUUUGGUACUUUAACUGAUCUAUCGGCAAGCAAAAGUGUAGUUGAAGUUGAUUUUAACUCACCAAGAUUAAGUUGAAGAUAAACUGAAUAUGGAAGCAAAUUAACACUAGCACCAAGAUCUAGUAAAGCAUGCUCAAUUCUGUGGUUACCAAUAAUACAAGAAAUGGUAGGACAACCAGGAUCUUUAUAUUUCAACUUAUUAUUAGUAGACAGAAUUGUACUUACCUGUUCGGCCAUGAAAGCACUCUUUCUUACCUUCAAUUUCCUCUUAACAGUGCACAAGUCCUUUAAAAAUUUGGCAUAUGAAGGAACCUGCUUGAUUGCAUCUAAUAGAGGAAUGUUAACUUUCACUUGCUUAAAGAUUUCAUAAAUUUCAGAAGAGUGGUUUGAUUUCUUUGGUUUAUUCAAUGCAUGCGGAAAUGGUGGUUCAGGUGGAACACUAGUUAUUUCUUCACUAGGUGUAAGUUCAUUUAGUCCUUCCUUACCCUUUGAAUUUUCAUCAUUUUCAUAAGGUUCAGGCAUAGGUCUAUCAACAACCUUACCACUACGAAGAGUUAUAACUGACUUGACUUGGUCUGUGGGUGGAUUUUGUUGAAUUUUAGGAUUUGGUUGUGGUUGGGCUGGAAAUUUUCCUUUUUCUUGAAUGGUGAGUGCAGAAGCAAUUUUAGCAAGAGUAUCUUUCAAAUCAGAAAAAGUUUGUGCAUUUUGAUUGUUAAUAACAUCUUGCUUUCUGAUGAAUGAAUGCAUUGUGUCCUCCAGAUUUUUCCAAGGUGGUGGAACAUAUGGUGCAUAAGGCUGAGGAUUUUGAAAAUUUUGUGGAGGUGGUGCUUGUGAAGAUUGUGCAUUAUUAUUAUUCCUCCAACUGAAAUUCGGAUGAUUUUUCCAACCAGGAUUAUAAGUCUGUGAAUAUGGGUUUGGUUUAUUGAAAGUGUUAAUAACAUUAGCUUGAUCAUUUAGACAUUCUUUAAGUGCAGGCAAAGUGGGACACUCUUGAGUGAAAUGAUCAUUCGAAUUACAUAUGUUACAUGCAAUUUCUUGAACAGAUUUUACUUGAUCACUCUUUUUAUGCUCCAAAGCUUCAACUUUCCUAACUAGGGAUGCAAAUUUUGCUUGUAAAUCAUGAUCUUCCCUAAGGUUAUGGAUUCCUCCACUAGAUGGAGAUGAUUGUUGCUUAUUUGUCAAUUCAAAAGUUCCAACAGUAUCCCAAUGUUGUGCAUUUUCAGCUAAUUGGUCAAGGUAAUCUAGUGCAUCUUCAGGAUUUUUAUCCCUAAAUUCACCAUUACACAUCAUUUCAACAACCUGUCUACUUUGGGGUAUUAAGCCUUCGUAGAAAUAAGUGACCAAUCGCCAAGUUUCAAAACCAUGAUGUGGGCAUAUGUUAAGCAACUCUUUAAACCUAUCCCAACAUUGGUAUAAUGUUUCUCCAUUUUUUUGAGUGAAAGAAGUGAUUUGCCUUUUAAAAGAAUUUGUUCUAUGAGGUGGAAAGAAUUUUUUCAAAAACUGUUCUUGCAUGUUAUUCCAAGUUCUUACUGAUCCAGAUCUAAGGUUUUGUAGCCAAGUUUUAGCUUUAUCUUUUAAUGAAAAAGGAAAAAGCUUUAAUCUAAUUAUGUUCAUGCUACAAUUUUGGUCCGUGUAUGUAUUACAAACUUCCUCAAAAUCUCUUAGAUGCAAGUACGGAUUCUCAGAUUCUAAACCAUGAAAUGUUGGUAAAAGUUGGAUAAUACCUGGUUUAAAAUUGAAUCGAGAUGCUUCUGGAGGAAAUACUAUACACGACGGUGCUCCGGUUCUGGUUGGAUUCAUGUAGUCUCUCAGAGUCCUUGGUUGAUUCUGAUCAUGCCCAUGUUGAGAUUGGUUGUCUCCCUGAUCAAUUUGAGGAUUAGGUUCGCCCAAAACGUUUUCGCCUUGAUUCUCAUCCAUGAUUGGUGGUGGAGAUUGAGAUCUACGAAUUAACCUGCCACUUGAAGAUCGAGACCAAUGUCUCAUGCAAGGGUUAUGUUAUAAAGAUAAUAUUUACACAAAUUGAUAACAAAAUAAAAUAAAAAAAUAAAUAAGUAAAUAAUAUAAGUAUACAAAAGAAAAUUAAAUAACAAAAAUGGUGGUUGAACCCACCAAUUAAAAAAAUAAAAAAUGCAAAAUUAAAUAAAUACUGAAAAUUAAAUAACUGAAAAUAAAAGUUAAGGGUUAGUAGUUAGUUUGGUGGUUAAACCCACCAAUAAAGCAAAAAAAAAUAAAUAAAUAAAUAAAUAAAUACGAAAUAAAAUAAAUGCAGAAAAUUAAAUAACUGAAAUUAAAUAAAAGUUAGGAGUUAGCAGUUAGUAAGUUAAGAGUUAGUAAUUAGAGUUAGUAGUUAAAGUUAGUUUGGUCCAAAAUAAGUCCAAAUAUGUCCAAAGUAUGUCCAAAUAUGUCCAAAGUAUGUCCAAAUAUGUCCAAGUCUUGAUUAUGUUGAGGAAUUUCGUCUAGGGAUUCUAUUGCAAAUUAUUUUUAAUUUUAUGGUCAAACUAUAAUUUUUAGAAGUUUAGAAUUAGCAAUUUGGGAUGAAAGUGAAACAAUUGAAAGAUAUCGCGGUCCGAACAUAAUUACCAGAAGAUUGGGCUAGAAACGGAAAUUGUUGGGGUGAAAUUAGAAUUAUGAAAGAUAUGGGGACAAAAGAGAAUUUAAGAAAAGGAAAAGGGGGCAAACGAAAUUUUACAUAUAAGAGAAAAAUAAAAACGGAAAAACAAACCAAAUAAAAAACUUUUCCCCGGCAACGGCGCCAAAAACUUGACACAACUUAAAAGUAAAUUUUAACUCCCAAGUAUAAGAGUGUCUUGUUGUAUUAUAACUCGGUGAGUCCGAGGUCGAUCCACAGAGAAAAGAUUUAAUUAGUUUAUUUUAUUUUAUCUAAAAAUUGAAAUUAAAACUUGAAUAUAAACAACUUAAUUUAAAUGAAACUAUGGAAUUGAACUAGUUAGGGUUAUGGAUCCACUCUUAGAAAUAAAUAAAACUUAAUAAAUUCUUUUUGCCAAUUUGUUUUAGAUUUAUUACUCAAAAGAUUAAUUAUACAAAUUAUUAUUAUUUUCCCUUUAAUUUUAUGGUGGAUUAAGUAUUUAUUGUGCCAAAAUUUAAUUUGUCUACAAUAAGUCAAAAUACCAUUUCAUCAUGCCUUAUAUUAAGAUCUUAAGAAUUUAUUGUGCCAAAUUCAUUUGUUUGUCUACAAUAAAUCAAAUUUUCAAAAUAUAAAACAUGUAUAAAAUUAAAUAGAAAAUAAUUUAAUUUAUAAAAUUAAACAUAGAAUUUGAUUAAAUCCUAUUUAUUUCUUAAGAGUUUCACCUUCCCCUAACUAAUAUUAUUUAGUUAAGCAUAAUUAAAAUAAAAAGAAGUAGUAAAAUUGAAUUACUUAUAAUUAAAAGAAAUAAAAACAACUAAAAUUGGAAAUAAAACUAAUUUUAUUAAUGAAAAUAAUUAUACAAAAUAUUAAAAACACACCUGGAAAUCAAGAUUACAAGGAGAUGGAGAGAAUUUGAGAAGAAGAGAGUUGUAGAGAGAUGAUUAAAACAUAAAAAUGAGGCUCUAUUUAUAGAAAAAUAAAUUCAUAAUCCAGUGCUUUGCGGUCCAUCAUAGGCUUCAUGCAUGUGCUCCUCACAACCCUUAGAUCAAGAUCCAAUGGCUGGUCAAACUUCAAAAGUCAACAUCACACAUGGCAUCAUUUGACUCGUCCGAUUUACCCAAAGAACGGUUGAGAUUUGGCGGGUUAAUGGAUGGAUCGGGUCGACCCGAAUACAAAGAUUCGGAUCCUCCAACUUGCUUCACCAACCAUUGCCACGUGGCACAAUCAUGGCCAUUGAAUCAUGAACGGUUGAGAUUUAGUCAAGAUUGCCAAUUAUCCCAUGCACUCAUAUCUAUUGUAAGCUCAUUUCAUCAUCCAAUCAGUGCUCGGUCAACAGGAAAAGUCAACUUUUUUUACACAAGCCCAAUUUUAAGCCGAUCUUGACUGAUCUUAAGGUUUUCGGACCUCCGGAAUCCAAAUUUGACCUCCGUUUAUCUGUUUGGAGCCUCGAAGUACGUGAAAUUAAUAAUUUUCCUAAUAAACACAUAAAAAUACACAAAAUUAAAUAUAUUUAAAACAUAAUUAAUAAUUCAUAAUAUAUUACAUAAACACAAAUAUAAAUUAUAACAUAAGCAUAAAAUAACAUAUUAUCGCUUGAUAAUUAAACAAUUUUUAAUACUAAUCAUUUCUUACUUGUGGUGUCUUCCUUAAUGUACUUAGACUCCAAUAAGUCCUCUAUUUCUUUUGCUGUGGAUUUUGUUGUGGUACUUAUCAAAACAAAGUACUAGCAAUGGCAUUGUAAAUGUGUCCUAUGCACAGGUAGACAUCUUGCUUCCACUUUUGCCACACUCAAGUUUCUCAUCCUCACGUUCUUCAGGCUUUCAUAUUGUAAGAACAUAAACAACAUUGAGGCUUGUCAACAAGAAAUGUAAUGUUUUUUGCCAACGUAUAAAAGUUGUGACUAGGGGUGGGCAUGGGUUGGUUUGGGUUGGUUUUUAAGUCAAUCCAAACCAAACCAUAAAAAUUUGGAUCCAACCCAAACCAACCCAAAUAUUUUUAACCCAAACCAAACCAAACCAUUUGGGUUUGGUUUGAAUUUUAUUAUCAAAAUAAUUUUUAUUUUAAUAAAAUUUAAUUAUAUCAAAAUUAUAAUAAUUAUUAAUUGUUAUUAAUUAUUAAAUUGAUAUUAAAAUAUAAAAAAAUAUAGUGGAUAAAAAUUAUAAAUUUUACAAUAACUUAAUCCUUAAAUUAAAGAAUACUAGAAAAUCAAAAUAAAGUUUAAUCACAAAAAUUAUUAUUUCUCAAUAAAUAAGAACAUACACUUUAAUAAUAAACUUUCACAAACAUGACAUUAACAAUCUAAUAAUAAAUUAUUUUUAACAUAUAUUAUUUUUCCCCCUUCUCCUUUUAUAAUGGCCAAAAACCCCUCUAAUAGUAUAAGUUUACAAUAUUACCCUUAUUUUCAACUACUCUUUUAUUUCUAUUUAUUCUAAAUUAAAUAAAUCAUAUGAAUAGAAACUAAAUAAAAAAUAAAGCAUUAAAAAUAAGAAAUAUAUGUUUUGAUAUGAACAAAAAAAUUAAUAAUAAAAUUUUUUUAUACUUAUUUAUUUUGUGAAAAUUUUCUUAUAAUAAAUAUAUAAGAAAAUUAUUAGUCAAAUGAUAAAAAAAUUUUAUAAGAAAACUUGAAUGACAAAUAAAAAUUUAUUAUAAGAUAAAUAAUAAAAUAUUUUACCUAUACUUUUUACAUUUAAUUUUAAAAUAUUACAAAAUAUUUAUUAUAAGAAAAUGUUCACAAAAUAAAUAAUUACAAGAAAAAAUUUUAUUAUUAAUUUUUCUGCUCAUAUCAAAACAUAUAUUUCGUGUUUUAAUACUUAAUAUAGGCAUUACAUUCAAUUAUUGACCAAAAAUUAGCCGCCAUCUAGCAUAUCGGACCCAGUCCAAGCCGAGUUAUUAUUGAUCAUUAGUAGAGUCUCCUGCUCUUUCUAUGAUGAUCCUUCCAUGUGGGAGGAAUUAUUUUUGUAAAUAAGAAAAAAAAUUAUUUAUGUUAUUUACAAUAAUAUUUAUUUAAUUUAAAUUUAUUUUUACUAUUAUUUUCAUUUUCUAACUGUUGACAAUUGAUCACGCUGUAAAAAAUUUAAUGGUGGUCUUUCACUUAUUUGUGUUCAUUUAUUUUGUUUUCAUUUAUUUCAUUUGAAAAAUUUGAGUGUUGGGGUUUUGUCAAUAACCCAUGGGUAAACCAUACCCAAACCAUAAUGAAAUGGUUUUCUACAUAAAACCCAUAUCUAACCAAUUUUCAUGAUUUACCCAACCCAAACCAUUUAAUUUGGUUUGAGUUUGGAUAAACCCAUGGGUUGUGGGUUUAUGCCCACCCCUAGUUGUGACCAUCAACUGCUCUAAUUUAACAAAAUCUACUGUGAAUUGCGGAUGAGAUGAGCUCAGUGUCAUUGUUACAGAAAGAACGUCUUAUGAAUGUCGGGAAAAUAUAUUUUUAGGGAAUGAAAAAUGUAAUAAUGGCAAACGUAGAGAGUUACAGUAAUAAUGAUUAUGCCACAAAGAUAAUGAGUCAAUUAUGUAAUAAUGACAAACAUAGAGAGUUGCAGUAAUAAUGGUGGAAUUUUUUUCUAAUAAAAUAAUGAGUUUACUACUCUGUAGGUACAACGAAAAUAAUAGUAAUAAGUAAAUUGUAGAAAUUAACGUGUAUUUCAAGGCACUUUACAAAUAUUACUUUCUUUAGACGUUAUUCGCCCCCAUCAAUUGAGUGAUGAAUAUGGGUUAAACAAAUACGCAUCUACGAUACAAUGAAACACUUAUUUAUUUGUUUGCAUUGGGUAUCGACAAAAGCAAACCUAAAUACUCUUGAAUGUUGCAAGCUUGUCAAGAAUCAAUAUAAUUGUUCCUGUAGUAAACAAUAUGUUGGAUAUUUAAUGCAUAAAAUAUAGAUGUUAUAUGAUAAAAUUCGUUUUAGAAAGGAGAGUUUAGAAAAGAGUGUUAUAAGAAUGUUAUUUUCAUGUCUAAAUGGCCUAAACAUGGCCUCUAUUUAUAAAUAUAAUUGUGCCCUCCAUUUGGAUUGUCAUUUUUCAUGAUACCCAUUCGUUUAUGGUCAUUGGAUCAAGAUUUGAUUUUAAUCAAUUGUCUAAAUAAGUACAUCACCAUUUCAAAUGAAAUGACAAUGUGAAAUGAUACAUUUUUAAGUGGAAAGAUACCUUUUAUAUGGGACAAUUACUAGGACAAGUUUUUAUAAUAAAACAUCAUUUAUUUUGAAAUUGUUACAGCCCUAAGAUUAUUCUAGGUUAAGUUAAUCUAUUAUGUAUAACUUCAGAAGGUUCAUCGGUAGAUUGCUUUAAGUUUUUGUCAUAGUUUACAAAUAUUUUGUUACUUAUAAUGUAAGAAAUUUUACAAAUGUUGGUGCUGAGUAAUCUGCAUAAUUAUUAUGAAUCAGAGAAACAGGGCAGAUGUUGUACAAUUAUUGUUGUGGUGGAGCGGAAAGUUAGCCCGGACGGUGACUGCUAUUGGGAUUUCUUUAAUUUGCAGCAUAAAAGCAUUUACAUUGACAUCGACUCAAGGGUAAAAAUUAAAUAUCUCAUGUAGCAUAAGAAGAAUGCAAAAAUGCUUGAAUGAGCAUUCUCACUGAAUACACAAAAGCUACUUUCCCUUGAGCACUUUCGCAACAAAAGCAAAUGUAAAAUGUAGCAUUUAAUUCUAACAUCAAAUGGUUGAUGCCAUCGUUUCCAUCCCUUGGGGAAAUUGAAUUCCUCUAUCUGAUAUUACAGUCUGGAGCGGCUCUUAAGUACCUCAGGCAACUUAGGGCAAUUUAGGCGGUUGCUCAGGGCCCCACAUUUAACCUAGGAUCCCAUUAUAAAUGAAGGUUUCUAAGUUAAUUCUUAAAUUAUAGUUAUUAAUUAUUGAUUUAUAUUUAUUAUUUAUAACUAUAUUUUCCAUAAACAAACUACUAGAUUCUUUCAAAUCCCCUUUUAAUAUUAUAAUUAACAAUUUUAAUCCAUUUAUUUCCUCCGUAUAUUUCAUUUAAAACUCUAUAAAGGCCACACCUUUUUUAAAUUAUUAUCCAUUAAUAUCUUUUUCCAAUUAAAGAAAAAAACAAAACCUUCAUUACUUUGGUGAAAAAACUACUUUCUCUACCUUACUUUUUGCAUAAGGAAGAAAAGAAAAUCAAUCGUUUUACUUUCUUUUGAUCAUUGUUGCUCAAAGUCUCAAUCCAUCAAAGUUAAAUUUCUCAAAUUUUCAGGUUUUAUCUUCCGAUUCUCUUAUUAAUUAAUUGUGUUAUUUAGGUGUUUUUGUUUCUUUGUAAAAAUAUUAUUCUGUUCAUAGGUUGUUUUCUUUUAAUUAUCUAGCAUAAUAGUUUGCAUGAUUACUCUUGUUUCAUUAGAAAAAAAAAAUGUCUACUAAAAACUAUGCAUCAUGAUACAAAAAACUUCAUAAAAGGAGAAGAACAGAAAAGUUAGUUUAAUCUAAAAAACAAUGCUAUUGAUAAAAAAAUAUUUAAGAUCACCCAUUUCAUAAGAAAGAUUAAAUAGGUUAACUAUAUUGUCUAUUGAGAAAGAUAUAUUAGCAAAAUUAGAAUAUAAAAAGUUGACUAAUAAUUUUGCAUCUAAGAAAGUUAGAGAAAUUGAUUUUAAAUAAAUAAAACUUUAAUAAAUUAAUACAUAUAUUUCACCUCAAUUUUUUUAGAAGGCCUAAUUAAAUCAAUUUAUUUAAGACCUAAAAUAUGAUUGAGCCGCCUUGAAAUUGCAGUAAGAUAGAAAAGUGAAAUAGACAGAACACUUGCUCAUACGUAAAGAUGCGACGAAUUUGAGAAUACUUAUUAUUAUGUGCCAAAUUCCUAAUGUGUGGGAAUUUAAAAAUGUUAGUGCAUAACAUGUGUUUAUCGGUGGAGUAGAAUCAGGGAAAUUAAAGAUAAGCAUAAUUUUUGCAUCCAAUGCCAAAUUCCCCCAGGGAGAGAGUGGGGACUCCUUUGCAUAAAAGUUGUUAAAAGUUUAUUGUUAAUAAUAAAAAUAACAUGCAGAUACAGUAUUUUAGGUUAUUGUUAAUAGUUUUACAAUAAUAAAAAUCAUUUUGUUAGAUCGUAAAAUGUAGUACUCAUACUCUAUUUUGUGCAAAAGUCUGCGAGAAAGGAUUUCAGAUUUACCUAACGGGGAAGUUGGGAACUUGCUUUUUUACCUAGGCUAAAAAUAUUUCAAUAAAUUCUGAUCGUGGAGACUACCUGAAACGACCCGCCCCGAAACCCCCCAGGCGAGUCUAUCUAGUUACAUCAAAACAGACUUAAAAAUAAUAUUAUACGUAAAGAAUCUGCUGAAAAUUCGACAGAGUCUCCUUUAUAUAUAUAACACUCCCAAAGUACAAAUAUGAAUAUACAACAAACUCCAGUGCUCAACAUACUCAACCAAAAAUACUGAGUUAUAUAAUAUACAACCCCAAAAGAACAAGAUGACCAAGAUGUCCCAACAGAAACAUUUAUAUACUCUAGCACCAUCACGUGGCCAAGACUCAAAAUAUAUACAGUCGCUGGGUCGGUCUGGUGUACCUGCAACCUCCUGGUGAGGGGGGGAAAAUAUAAUAAAAACGGGGUGAGUUUAAAACUCAGUGAGAUUAGUGAGUGGAUAGUAGGUUUGAAAAUUGAUCUUUACUUUAAAAGAAAUAAGCAUAUCCAAACACGGUUUCAUUAAACCAUAAGUGAGAAAUCAGAAAUAAAUCAUUAAAUAUUUAAAUCAGAUUACCAACCAUAGAAAUCAUAUCACCAAAUCAUAUCGAUUUCACAAAUCUGAAAAUCAUAUCUCAUCAUAUCUCUGCAUGCAUAAUCUAGUCCCCAAAGGACAAAAGCGCCCAAGCACACGGCCCAAAGCCUCUGUGUGUACUCAGACGGGCCCCAAAGGCCUCCUUACAAUCAGAGCGCGCACCUCCCUUAUUACCCCUCAGUUUGGCGGGCCUCCCUUAUUACCCCUCAUCUAUAUCACUGUACUCAUAUUCACAUACCUCUUUACCACAUUUUAAAUCAUACCACAUUUGAAUCCACUUUUCUUAACUUUCAAAUAAUAUCACACUUUAUUCAAAAUCGAUACGCAAAAUUAUUAACCAAACAUUUUCAUAUAAUAUCAACAAGUGAAUAAAAUCCAUUUCGAGAAAUCAUUAAAUCAGCACAUUUAAAAAUACUUAUUCCGCAACCAUGCUUUACUAUCAUAAUUAACUCUAAAAAUAAGUUUCGUAUAUUCCACUCACAGUGACGGUGUU
rnacentral:lncRNA from 1 species